GCAUUUGAUGUAAUGGGUCGAGUGCCAUACGAAAAGUCAGCGUUUGUGGAUCAACAGGCACAAGAAAGGUCCUGGGACAUUAACCUAGGAUGGUUCUUGGAGCCAUUGGUUCGUGGUGACUACCCCUUCUCCAUGAGAUCGUUGGUGAGGGAUCGACUACCCUUCUUCACCGUCGAAGAGCAAGAAAGGCUAGUGGGUUCCUAUGACAUGCUGGGGUUAAACUACUAUACCGCAAGGUUCUCCAAACACAUUGAUAUCUCUCCAAACUACUCACCGGCGCUCAACACUGACGAUGCCUAUGCUAGCCAAGAAAGUAAGAAAUAAUAGUUCUGCUCGAUUGUUCUAUUAAAAAAUGACGUUCUCAUACUAAUCGUGCAUGCGCUUUUAUUCUUAUGUCAACCAGCGUAUGGGCCUGACGACAAACCCAUUGGUCCUUGGGUACGUAUCUUCUUACACUAUUAUUUUUACAGUAUUUUAUGUUGAAAGUGAUAAUGUAAAAACUAUGUCCAAGAAUAGUCAUAGAAUGCUCAUGGUUAAACUUUAACUAUCAAACUGACCGAUCUUACAUUGCUACGGUUUCCAUUUAUACUUAAAUAUAGAGAAUAAAGCACAAAGACAUGCAUUGUGUUGGCUCGUAGGUGUGAAGGUAUGAGCCAACAAUCUUAGUUUGAAUAUUCAUUUAUGUAUAAUUUUAUUUUUUAUUAUUUAAAUAUGGGGAGCAUGCUGAUGUUAAGUUCGUAAGGCACACAAAUGUUUUGUGUUGGCAAAAAUAAAGCGGAACAAAUCUGUAGUUUGUUAUUAUGAGUAAUAUAUUCAUUACUUCAUUUGCAGAUGGGGAAUCCGUGGAUCUACAUGUACCCUGAUGGCCUAAAGGAUCUCCUUAUGAUCAUGAAGAACAAAUACGGAAACCCACCCAUCUACAUCACUGAGAAUGGUAAGUAGUAAUGUGCUCCAUAUUUUUGCAUUUUGUUGCAAUUUAAAUCAUAGGUUCUACUACAACCGUUUUUUAUUUGACGCUGAUUAGUUCAGUUAUAUACUAAGAAACAUCAAAUAUAAAAAAACCGGAGGGAGCACUAAAUUUUAGUUGACUACAAACAGUUGUACCUUUUUAUUCUUCUCAUGGGCAUCUAAUCAGGACCAUGUGCAUCUAAUCACAUGGUACGGACGGGCAUGUUGGGCUAGCAUGCAAUCGGUUAUUUGUUAAAACAUCUGGCGAACUUGGCCGGAAAACCCAUGGAAUGAAGUGCUGAACAUGUGAUUAUAUUUACAGGGAUGGGUGACGUUGACAAUGGCGACCUACCCAUGGAAGAUGCCUUGAAUGACCAGAAAAGGAUAAAUUACCUCCAGCGCCACAUCGCAGUUAUUAAGGACUCAAUGGAGUAUGAGUCUCUACGCACCUCUAGUUCAUUUCUCGCAUAGAAACUUGUCCGUUGAUUACAUCUAUCCGUUCAUGCAGAUUGGGGGCAGAUGUGCGGGGCUACUUCGCUUGGUCUCUGGUGGACAACUUUGAAUGGACCGCGGGCUACACCGAACGUUACGGCAUAGUCUACGUUGACCGUAAUGACGGCUACAAACGCUACAUGAAGAAGUCAGCCAAGUGGUUGAAAGAGUUCAACACUGAGAAGGCUGGCAGCGCCUAAUGAUGUGCCAUGCAUAAAAGACCGGGUCUGUGUGAUUUGAAUUCUAUAUUUUUAUUUGCACCUCCACAGGAGGUAGUGGAGUCAUGUUCUCCAACACCGUAUAUUGUUCCAGUUCACUGUUACCGUAUUAUGUAAUAAAUGAAGUGAUCAAUUUCUCUGUUUCAAUAUCUGUAAUGUUGAAUUGGAUGAUAUCUUAUUUUUCUCAACUGGCAAAAGAAACGACUUAAACAACAAGAGCUAAGACUAUCUCCAGUAGGUUACACAUCAUCAUCCUCAUAUUCAAAUUCCACUUUGUAAAAGGUACAGUCACAACAGAAAACAGAUCACUUAUGACGGCUUACUUCUGACGUUUUACAUAGGAGCCGUCGAAGACAAUACAAUGUCCGGCGGUCUGAUGAAGCCGUCGGAAAUAUAAGUAAUAUUCGAUGGCUGUCUGGUCAGCCGUUGGAAAUAGCCAUUACAUCCGACAGCUGUCAAAUCAGCCCUCGAAAAUAGAGUUGUUUAGCUAAUGCCGCCAACCCGCCACAUGAUGCCGUUUCGAUCCAUUCGCUCUCCCACCGCGCCUGCUCCAUCUGUCAAGCCCGCCCCCGCGCCGCCGCUCAUCACUGACGGCCGCCUAUGUCAGCUCCAUGGCCUCCAGCCUUGCGCCCUACCCUCGUCCGCGCCAACGCCGCCACCUUCGUUGGCGCCGGUCACCUUCGACCGCCUCUGCCCCACCUGUCCCCGGCCCCUCCCGCUGUCGUACGCCUCUGCUUUGCCUAGCCCCAGCCGCCCCAACCUUGCGCGCCCACGUCCCGACAGUGUCCACGUCGCCGCCACUAAGUGAGUAGUAUUAAUUGUAUUUAGAUUUGUAUGUAUGAAUGUGUUGAUUGAUGGUAGUUAGUUUAUGUACAAAUAAAUAAUUUGUUUGUUGAAAAUUGUUUAAUUUGUUAUUUCUGACGGCCAAAAUUUGAUUAUAUAAAUUGAGUUAGCUUCAUUUAGUUCAUUUAGGGUUGCUUAUAUAAUACUAAUUUAUAAUUUCCGAGGGUAAUUAUUAAGACCUCGGAAAUUAUAAAUUUCAUAUGGUUUUUCACUCAAAAAACAAUGUUAUUUAGUAUACAAUAUUAUAUUAGUGGUUUAUUAAUUAAAUUAUGUAAUAAUGCACGAUGAUUCUAGCGUUAGCUUAUGUAAAACGAAACUUAGGCGUCACCUGUUUCGGCCCAAUACACCUCACAAGCGAUGUAUGUGAGGCGUGUUGGACCGGAAUUGUCUCUUUAUUGGACAGCCUCGGGGUGACCGUCAGACUCCGUGUUUAUGACAAAGGCAUGUGCUCCUGCGUAGUUUCGGCAGCGUAAUCUCUCUGUUCUCCAAUUGCACCUUUUCAAGCGUGCGAUUGGAGAACAGCGGGUUAUGUUGUCGAAAUUUCGCACGAGCACAUGCCUUGUCAUAAACACGGGCAGCCGUUGGAAAUAAGCCUAUUUCCGACUUGUUAACGUUGACGGAAGAGUGCUGUCGGAUGUAAAACAAAAGUCGUCGGAAAUAGCGUAUUUCCGACGGUUUAGAGCUAUUUCCGAGAGUUUAGGCUGUUGGAAAUUUCCUUUUUUUACUGCUGUGAGUCUGCAGUGCAAAAUAGCUUAAACAGUGUUUUUCACAGCUAUAUGGGUAAACUGCUUGAGGCGGUAUAAGGCUGAUUCCAGCGAUGUCUUCCAUAGAGUCCUCUAAAUUUAGGGGACACUUCUUCGUUCUCUAUGUACAUAGACUCUAUUUUCUCCUGUAUUCAUUUUAAUACACUGAACAAUAGAUUAAGCAACAGUAAAAUAUAUAUAAGAGACAUCUGAGGGUAUGAUAAAUACAUACAUAUAAAAAUCUAGAGCAAAAUAUAUCUUUCAUAUGUGUAUUUAAUAUAUGGAGGACGAGAUAUAGAUGAUAUUGUUUGAGAGAACCGAAUAUAUAUGAGGUAAUCUUUUUAGAUUAUCUUUAAUGGUAUCCUCUAUAUCAAUCUUUUAUAGUUUUCUCUAAAAGAUUUCAUUUUCUAUAUCUUAUUUACUAUUUAUAAAAGUCGGUUCAAAAUUGGCGCUCUCACAGUAUAUUGGUCGACCCAAAUGUUUUGGGACACUGGAUUUCUGAUCAACGGUCAAGGCACGGUCUUGCCUUUAACUUCUUCUCUACGCCUCUCGAUGCUUUAACAGGUUCCAGAGUAUUCAGCCACCUCACCCUCUUACGGCUCAGUCGCCUUCUCACUUCACUCUGCCCACGACCGUCGCCGCUCACGGUGCCCGCCCUCAGCCCGACCUCUCCCUCCCCCUCCCACCGCAGCUCCAAUCAAUCUAUCGUUUCCUCCUUCUGCUCCUUCGCCUCCGAUGACGAUGCCGAGCACCGCUGGCACAGCAACAGGUGCCACCACCUCCUCGACCGGCACCACUCGUGUUCCCCAUGUACGACCAGCACCACCUCCAUCGCCGACGAGCGCCAUGUGUUCCUGAAAAAGCGUCGCCACGGGAUACACAACCACGGUGAGAAGCGUGUGCGCCUGCGCGAACACUCUGCGGUGCGUUGCAUGCUAUGCGUUGUGCUCCUCCUUCUCUUCCUUCGGCAAGGAUGACACAUGCAAGAUGACGUUAUGUGUUCCUCAAGCCGCACCACCAUCGGGUAUGCCACCGUGGUAGCCGACACGUGCACACACGCGGACACGCUAUGCCGCGCCACACGUCGUGCCCUGCUACUCCUCCCUCUUCCUCCUACAAGUGCAGCGUCAAGAAACGAAUGUCGCCGCGGUUGGUAGUGGCUUGGUCCAUUCGCAUGAGCUGUUCGAUGCUAUGCCGCAGUGGAUUGCUAACGACUUUGUCCAUGCACGGGAGCUCCUCGAUGCUAUUUGUCACACCCGGGUUUCGGGGGCACCAAGACACAGGCGCGAACAUAAUCACCAAGUGUGCUGGGACCAAGUCUCACACAUAUGAUGAUUCAUGGUACAGAAACUGAAGGAAACAGGUGACGCCUAAGAGAGGGGGUGAAUUAGGACGUCUAAAACUUUCACUAAACUAGGCCACAAAUAAAUCCCUAGAACAAAACCUAUGCAAAUAAUCAAACUAGAAUGUGCAAACUAAGUUUGUCUAAGUGUUGCUAUCUCUACCGCAAUGACUAAGUUUCAAUCUACACUAUAUAAGUAUAAAGACAAGAUUGAAACUUAAAUGCUUAAUAUAAAUGCGGAAGCUUAAAGAGCAAGGUAGAGAUGCAAACUCUCGUGGAUGACGCCAGUAUUUUUACCGUGGUAUUCGGAACCACGCAAGGUCCCGACUAAUCCUCAUUGGUGCCCCUAAGCAAAGGGAAGCCCACGUGAGGGCCAAGCACCUCGGUCGAGUAACUCUGUAGAGAGCCGCGGGCCUUCUCCACGUGCAAGUGGUGCUCCACUUCCAGCUGCUCUCGGACGCUCCCCGCCGUCUCCACUAUCGAGCUUCUGGCCAAAAUGUCGCGGGCCUCGUUCCCUUCGAUACACGGUGGCGGCCGUGACACAAACACGGUUGUCACGAUCUCGCAAGAGUCUCGCCCCACUCGGUACAAUUACAACGGCUCGCGCAAGAGCCGAGGGGUUUUGUGGCUUGUCUAAACUCACUCAACUAACUAGGAUUCACCUAGAGCAAGCGCUAAUGUGGUCUAACUAACCUAAGCACUUCGCAAAGCACCUACGCUAAUCACCGAGUGAUUAUAUUAAGCACUUGGGUGUUGGAGCACUUGGAAAUGUCUUCAGUAUGCCUUGGUAUGUUGCUUGGGCUCCCACGCCUCCAAAUGGCUGGUUGGAAAGCAGUUUUGCAGCUUUCUGCGGCGCACCGGACAGGUGCACCGGACAUGCCACAUGUACUAGCCGUUGAAGGUAGCCGUUGGAGCUUUCGAAGAUGGCACACCGGACAUGGCGCACCGGAUGGUACGGUGUGCACCGGACAACCCAUGCUCGCUCGUCGUAUUUUGGCCAUAACUUUUAGCUCCAAACUCCGAUUUCGAUGAUCUUGUACUUUUUGGAAAGCUUAUGAAAUUCUCUAUAUCCCAGAGUUGAAGCCAUAUCAGUUUGAGCAAAUUUGGCACAACAGACAGUCCAGUGUGCACAUGACAUCUCAUAUGCUGCUGCAGUUUUUCAGCAAUUCCGACUUUGUAUUGUGGGCAUAACUUUUAGCUCCGAACUCCGAUUUUGAUGGUCUUGGACUUUUUGGAAAGACUAUAAAAUUAUCUACAUCUCAGAGUUGAAGCCAUGUCAGUUUAAGUAGAUUUGAUUUUGUGAAAUACUUCCAAUUCAGUCAGCCCUUCCUCUCAACUUUGUCAACUUCACUUUUGUUUUGCAUCUUUGUAUCUCACUUCUACUUCUUGAUGUGUUGGACUCUUAACAUAUAUAAAGUGUCUUCAAUAUGACUUUGUAAUGUCUUCUAUGGGUCUUAUAAUGUUGUCGGCGUUUCGAGACCGGGGGGUCCCUGGGCCGACGAGUGAAUGUCGCCGCGUGCCCCAGCCCAGAUGGGUCGAGCACGAGGGCGAGCACGAAGGGGGGAGAGCGAGGCGGCCGGAGACCGGCGUGAGAGAGGUGGGAAUCCCGCGGCCUUCGUGUUCGUCCCGCGCCCAGGUCGGGUGCGCUUGCAGUAGGGGGUUACAAGCGUCCACGCGGGAGAGGGAGCGAGCGGCCCCAAGCGAGCGCCUGUCUCGUCCUCGUCCCCGCGCGGCCAACCUUCUCUAAGAGGGCCCUGGUCCUUCCUUUUAUAGGCGUAAGGAGAGGAUCCAGGUGUACAAUGGGGGGUGUAGCAGAGUGCUACGUGUCUAGCGGAGGAGAGCUAGCGCCCUAAGUACAUGUCGUUGUGGCCCGGAGAGAUUUUGGCACCCAGCUGGUGUGAUGUCGUGGCUGUCGGAGGAGCGAUGGAGCCUGGCGGAGGGACAGCUGUCGGAGCGGUUGAGUCCUUGCUGACGUCCUCUUGCAUUCGUAAGGGGGCUGAGAGCCGCCGUCGUCAUAGAGUAUGCGGGGCGCCAUCAUUGCCUAUCUGGCGGAGCGAGCCAGAUGGGACACCGGUCUUGUUUCCUGCGGCCCGAGUCAGCUCGGGGUAGGGCGAUGAUGGCGCCUCCUGUUGACGUGGCUGGUCUGCGCCCUAGGUUGGGCGAUUGUGAAGCUCCUCCGAAGCCGAGGUCGAGUCUGUCUUCCGUGGCCGAGGUCGAGUCCGAGCCCCUGGGUCGGGCGAGGCGGAGGCCGUCGGCUGAGGCCAGGGCGGAGUCCGAGCCCUGGGGUCGGGCGAAGCGGAGUUCGUUGUCUUCUGGGGCUGAGCCCGAGUCCGAGCCCUGGGUCGGGCGGAGCGGAGUUCGUCGUCUUCUGGGGCUGAGCCCGAGUCCGAGCCCUGGGUCGGGCGGAGCGGAGUUCGCCGUCUUCCGGGACUUAGCCCGAGUCCGAGCCCUGGGUCGGGCGGAACGGAGUUCGUCGUCUUCCGGGACUUAGCCCGAGUCCGAGCCCUGGGUCAGGCGGAGCGGAGUUCGCCGUCUUCCGGGACUUAGCCCGAGUCCGAGCCCUGGGUCGGGCGGAGCGGAGUUCGCCGUCUUCUGGGACUUAUCCCGAGUCCGAGCCCUGGGUCGGGAGAAGCAGAGCUUCCUAUGGUGCCUUCGGCCGGGCCUGACUGCCUGUCAGUCUCACUCUAUCAAGUGGCACCGCAGUCGGAGUGGCGCAGGCGGCACUGUCCUUCUGUCAGGCCGGUCAGUGACGCGGCGAAGUGACGGCGGUCACUUCGGCUCUGCCGGCUGGGGGGCGCGCGUCAGGAUAAAGGUGUCAGGCCACCUUUGCAUUAAAUGCUCCUGCGAUUUGGUCGGUUGGUGCGGCGAUUUGGUCAGGGUUGCUUCUUAGCGAAGGCAGGGCCUCGGGCGAGCCGGAAAUAUGUUCGCCGUUGGAGGGGGGCCUCGGGCGAGACGGAAAUCCUCCGGGGUCGGCUGCCCUUGUCCGAGGCUAGGCUCGGGCGAGGCGUGAUCGAGUCGCUCGAAUGGACUGAUCCCUGACUUAGUCGCACCCAUCAGGCCUUUGCAGCUUUAUGCUGAUGGGGGUUACCAGCUGAGAAUUAGGAGCCUUGAGGGUACCCCUAAUUAUGGUCCCCGACAGUAGCCCCCGAGCCUCGAAGGGAGUGUUAGCACUCGCUUGGAGGCUUUCGUCGCACUUUUUUGCAAGGGGACCAGCCUUUCUCGGUUGCAUUUUGUUCCGGUGGGUGCGCGCGAGCGCACCCACCGGGUGUAGCCCCCGAGGCCUCGGAGGAGUGGUUUUACUCCUUCGAGGUCUUAAUGCCUUGCGUAAUGCUUCGGCUGGUCUGAUUGUUCCCUCAUGCGAGCUGGCCGUAGCCCGGGUGUACGGUCGGGUCCCAAGUUCUCGGUCUGGUAUGUUGACGCUGUCAACAGUUCGGCCGGAGCCGGGUUUGCGAGAGCAGCCCCCGAGCCUCUGCACAGGGCGAGAGGGCGAUCAGGGACAGACUCGACUUUUUUACAUACGCCCCUGCGUCGCCUUUCCGCAAGGAGGAGGGGGGAAAGCGCCAUGUUGCCCUUGAUGGGCGCCGAACAUGGUGUCUCCGGUGAGCUGCAAGCGGGUAAUCCGAGUGGACGUCCGUGCCCCGUUCGUUAGGGGUCGGCUAGGGGCCCAGAGGCACGCCCAAAAGUACCUGCAGGUGAUCUGCCGGACCCAGUCCCCUAGCGACGGGGUCCGAGGGCUCGAUGCCUCCCUCUGAUGGGAAUCCGUUACAAGAUCGCUCCCGCUGGUCUCGGAAAUGUCCUAGGGUACCUCGGGAGCGCAGCCCGAGCCUUGGUUAUGUAUCGAACGUACCCAUGGUCAUCCCUCGCUCGGCGUCUGAGGCGACUGUGAACCCUUCGGGGGCCAGCCUUCGAACCCCUGAUCAGUAAUGGGCGCAGAGCCCGAGUAGCCUGAGGCGGCCGUGGAACCCUUCGAGGGGCCGACCUUCGAACCUCUUACCAGUAGUGGGUGUAGGGCCCACGUGAUCUGAGGCGGCUGUCGAACCCUUCCGGGGGGCCAGCCUUCGAACCUCUAAUCAGUAGGGUGGCUCGGAGCCUGGUUCUUUCACUGGGAAGGAUCCUUUUCGGGGUAUCCCCCUUUCCCGGUCCCUGUUGCAAGAGAGAGAGAGGAAAAAAGGAAAAGGAUACGAAAUCGAACGACGCGGCGUACCUUUUUUGGCGCGGUUAUUACGGCGAAGGCGAAGCGUCGCCUGCUUCUCCUGCCAGAGGCGCCGCGUGUCCCGCCGCGGAGUUAAUGCGACAGGGCGUGUGGUUGGCGGGGCGGCCGUUGCGCGUGCGCGAGCCGUUCGAGGAACAGAACACGGGCGCGUUGUCUUCACGCCGUGAGAGAGGAUUCUCUCGCUGCCCCCGGAUGGGACGUGAGCUUGGCUGACGACGUGACCGCUGCUCCCGCCCGCCUGCCACCGUCAUUACUGCCGGCCCAUUUUUGGCCGCACUGACCGCCGCGCCAGGCUGGCGCUGCUGGGUCGUGCGCUGGGUCGCCUCGAGUCGCGGUACUGGUUCCGCAGUCGAGGAGGCGCGGUGGUGGCGCAAGUGGCGGUGCAGUUGCAUGCACGAAGCAUUCGGCGCGCCGGUUGCAUGACACGUGGGCCUGGGCCUCCAUGCUGGGCGUGUUGGGAGUCGGAGAAGCGCGCCCACUUGGCACGGUUGCAUGCCGCCCGCAUGGCUGCCCGCCCCUUUCGCCCGUUGGUCUAGGCAAAAGUGAAGGGUCGCUUGUAACCGCUGGGCGGUUGUGCGCACCGCACACGGCGGUUUGGCUUCUUCUGCUCUGAGACGGCUUGCAUGGCAUGUGGGACCCAGCCCCCGCGCCGCAGGGGAGGGCCUUGGAGCGUGUUGGAGAAGACUCAGCCCGUGACGGCUGGGGACGCAAGUAGGGAUAGACGCCUUUAAAAGGAGGGUGACCCCCUUGGAAGGCGACCAUGUCUUCGUGCUCCCUUAUGCAUCGUGUCUUUCCACCUUCCAAGCCCCCGGAUGGGGGAUACCCGCCGUCUUUCUGCCUUGUCGUCGGGGGAACGCAACUCCGCGGGAGUUGGUACCUUUCAGCCAUCGUUCGGCUUCAAGGAUUUUUAUCAUGCAGCCCGGCUGCACCCCUCCGCCGGUGGUCACCCAAGAUGGUGACCUCCAGCUUGAUGGUGGGGGAAAGCGAGCCGGGCUGCGGCCUCUGCCCUUCCCUCAGCCUCAAGGAUUUUCAUCACCAGGGCUGGGGAGGGGAGUGUGCCGAGUUGGGGUCGGCCCUUGCGUGGGCGGUGGCCCGCUCCUUCACUCAGUGAUCGGAGGGAAGGGCGGUCGUCGUCUGUGGCGCCGGCAGCUGCACCGUGCCUGGCUCUCGGACGCGAGUGGCUUCGGAGCCGCUCGUGGCGCCGGCGUCUGCCACGGCAGCUGGAAGAGGUUCUUCCGCUGACGAGAUAGCCAGGGCCGCCCACGGACCGACCUCCAACUCUACGGCCUUCUGCCCGUCCUUGCCUCACGAGUUUGGGCAUGGGAGGGGGCCUCUUGGCAGCAGCAUCCGCCCUGAGGUCAGUGCUGCCGCUGUUCAGCCCCCCGGAGCAGAAGUCGUCGUCGUCGCUGCUGCUGGAGCGGGCGACGGCGGGCCGUUCGUCGGUCUUCUGUUGCUCCGCAGGCCCUCCCCCAUCGAGUGGGGUUGUUCGUACCUGCGGAGGUGGAACCGGAGUUCCGUUUGUAAUGGCACUCUGAAUGCUAGUGUUUUUGUUCAUUGUGGCUGUCGAGGCCUGAACAUGUAUGUAAUUUUGGCACGGAGCCGUGUUUUUUCCUCAUUUUCGAGCACUAAGACUCGCCUGUUGGUUGUCUGAACCGCUUCACCAAGCGUGAGUCGCCCCGUGUCAAGGUGACGAGUGAGGUAUCCGUAUCCCGGAGGCGUAGGAGUCCCUCGGCUCGGUCGGCCUUGUUGUCCGAGGCUCCUCUAGCUUAGUUAAAGGGACCCCUUGGCCGCUCUUGGAUGAGCCGAGGCUAGGGGUAGCGAUAUCAGCAUGAACAGGGGCAGAGUUGGCUCGAAAAUGAAACCUGGUUGGCCGGAGCCUAGCCGGGUCGUCCGUUAGCGGGACCGACGCUGGAGUUGACCAGCCGACGCCUCGGGUCGGGCUGGCGCCCUCGGAGGACGGCUGGCCGAGGCCCUGGGGCGACCGGCCGAGCCACCUGCUCGGGCCGGAUUCCCGGAGAAGACCCUGGCAGCGAUUGCCCGGGCGUGGUGAUGACGUCGUCCUUUAGAGCGGAGAUCCUUGGACCGCGUCGCCGUCCGAGGCUAGGUCGGACCUCGCCGAAGGUGUCGUCGAUGCCGAGGGUGCUGCUGCCCCCUUCCAGCUUCAAGACCCGAGUCUGCAGGAUCAGAUUGUCUUGUAGCGUGUGCCUCCUGCGGCCGCCGAGGCCAGAACACACACCCUCGCUGUGUUGUAAAGCUACGUCUCUUUUCCUCUUGUUUCGAGUAUCUGGACUUUUUUGUCGGUAACAGGGAUGUUUGUGCGAGCGAGAGUUGCUUCUCGCGGAAGGUGAUGAGUGAGGUAUCCGUAUCCCGGAGGCGUAGGAGUCCCUCGGCUCGGUCGGCCUUGCCGCUUACGCGCACUUUUACCCGUCCAUGAGGCUCUGUCACCGACUCAGUUAAGAAGGCUCGAAGGAUCGCUUCGGCAGAAGAACUUCCGAACGUGAAGACUUGUUCGGUCCGUGGAAUCACUUAUCCGAACGUGAGUUACUUAUCGCAGAAGGUGAUGAGUGAGGUAUCCGUAUCCCAGAGGCGUAGGAGUCCCUCGGCUCGGUCAGCCUUGGCUGCUUACGUGUACUCCAUCGUUUUCAGGAUCCACUUUUCGAAGUAGUCAAAAAGCACGAAAGAUAUUCUGGCGGAAGAGAUCUUUUUUCGAGGAAAAUUUCAACGCAGAGGGGGUUCCCCCGCCCCCUUUUAGCCCCCGAGGGAGGGUCGGGCUUUGCCGAGGCGAGGCCGACCCUUCCUUGAUGACUAAACUUUGCGUGGGUGCGAGGUAUAUGAACAACUUGAAAACAUCUUAAGGGUAGAAGCGACGUAGUUGUUGGAUGUUCCAAGCGUUGUCGUAGACCUCGCCUUGACUGUUGGCCAGCUUGUACGUUCCGGGCUUCAGAACCAUGGCGAUGACGAACGGUCCCUCCCAGGGGGGCGUGAGCUUGUGCCUCCCUCGGGCGUCUUGUCGCAGCCGAAGCACCAGGUCGCCCACCUGGAGGUCUCGGGACCGGACCCCUCGGGCGUGGUAGCGUCGCAGGGACUGCUGGUACCGCGCCGAGUGUAGUAAGGCCUUGUCUCGAGCCUCUUCCAGCUGGUCCAGCGAGUCUUCUCGGCUAGCUUGGUUGCUUUGAUCGCUGUAGGCCCUCAUCCUCGGGGAGCCGUAUUCCAGGUCUGUGGGCAAGACGGCCUCGGCCCUGUAGACUAGGAAGAACGGCGUGAAACCCGUGGCCCGGCUCGGCGUUGUCCUCAGGCUCCAGACCACCGAGGGGAGUUCCUUCAUCCAUCGCUUGCCGAACUUGUUGAGGUCGUUGUAGAUCCGAGGCUUGAGCCCUUGUAGAAUCAUGCCGUUGGCACGCUCUACUUGCCCAUUUGACAUGGGAUGAGCCACGGCGGCCCAGUCCACCCGGAUGUGGUGAUCCUCGCAGAAGUCCAAGAACUUUCUGCCGGUGAACUGGGUGCCGUUGUCGGUGAUUAUGGAGUUUGGGACCCCGAAGCGAUGGAUGAUGUGGGUGAAGAACGCCACCGCCUGCUCGGACCUGAUGCUGUUCAGAGGUCGGACCUCGAUCCACUUGGAGAAUUUGUCGAUGGCGACCAGCAGGUGCGUGUAGCCCCCGGGCGCCUUCUGCAAGGGGCCGACGAGGUCCAGACCCCACACAUCAAAGGGCCAGGUGAUGGGUAUCGUCUGCAGAGUCUGAGCGGGCAAGUGGGUCUGCUUCGCAUAGAAUUGACACCCUUCGCAGGUGCGGACAAUUCUAGUGGCAUCGCCACCGCCAUCGGCCAGUAGAAGCCUUGUCGGAAAGCAUUCCCGACAAGGGCUCGAGGCGCUGCGUGAUGGCCGCAAGCCCCCGAGUGUAUCUCUCGCAGGAGUUCCUGACCUUCGGUGACGGAGAUGCAUCGCUGGAGGAUGCCUGAGGGGCUGCGGUGGUAGAGCUCUUUCUCAUCGCCCAGCAAGACAAACGACUUGGCGCGCCGCGCCACCCGCCGAGCCUCGGCUCGGUCGAGGGGUAGCUCUCCUUGGUGGAGAUAUUGCAGGUACGGGGUCUGCUAGUUUCGAUCAGGCGUGGCCCCGCUUCGCUCCUCCUCGACGCACAGUGCCUCACCCUCGGGGGCCGAGGGUACCUCGGGCUGAACCGAGGUCGCCUCGGGCCGAGCUGAGGGUGCCUCGGGCUGUGCCGGGGGUACCUCGGGCUGGGCCGAGGGUACCUCGGACUGGGCCGAGGGCACCUUAGGCUCGGGCGUGUCGUCGAUCUUGACGGAAGGUUGGUGCAGAUCUCGGGAGAAGACGUCCGAGCACUGCUUCCUAUUUGGGAUCGAGCCCGGAGCCGAUCCGGAUCUGCUUGGAGGCGUCGCCGCUGGGGUCGAGGGGGACGGCCUUAACCGUCUCCACUGGCUCAAAGUUGCUGGCAUGGCGUUUCACGUCUGGCACCUCCUUAGAGAGGCUUUCCAAGUCGGCGAUGAGGGCCUCGGACUCGGCGAGGGCCUCGGCGUACUCCACGCACUCCACGUCGCAUUCGAACGCGUGUUUGUACGUGGGGCCGACGGUGAUGACCCCGUUGGGGCCCGGCAUCUUGAGCUUCAGGUAGGUGUAGUUGGGGACGGCCAUGAACUUCGCGUAGCAUGGCCUUCCCAGUACCGCGUGGUAGGUUCCUCGGAACCCGACCACCUCGAACGUUAGGGUCUCCCUUCGGAAGUUGGAGGGUGUUCCAAAGCAGACGGGAAGGUCGAGUUGUCCGAGGGGCUGGACGCGCUUCCCGGGAAUGAUCCCAUGGAAGGGCGCAGCGCCUGCUCGGACGGAGGACAGAUCGACCCACAGGAGCCCGAGGGUCUCGGCGUAGAUGAUGUUGAGGCUGCUGCCUCCGUCCAUGAGGACCUUGGUGAGACUGGCGUCGCCGAUGACGGGGUCGACGACGAGCGGGUAUUUCCCCGGGCUCGGCACGUGGUCGGGGUGGUCGGCUUGGUCGAAGGUGAUGGGCUUGUCGGACCAGUCUAGGUAGACUGGCGCCGCCACCUUCACCGCGCAGGCCUCCCGGCGCUCUUGCUUGCGGUGCCGAGCCGAGGCAGUCGCGGACCUCGGGGAACUCUCCUGCUUGGUGAUCUUCCUUCUUGUCGUCGUCGCGGGCCCUGCCACCCUCCGCGGGUGGCCCGGCCCUGUGGAAGUGGCGCCGAAGCAUGACGCACUCCUCAAGGGUGUGCUUGACGGGCCCCUGAUGAUAGGGGCACGGCUCCUUGAGCAUCUUGUCGAAGAGGUUGGCACCUCCGGGGGGUUUCCGAGGGUUCUUAUACUCGGCGGCGGCGACAAGGUCCGCGUCGGCGGCGUCGCGUUUCGCUUGCGACUUCUUCUUGCCUUUCUUCUUGGCGCCGGGCUGAGUUGACGCCUCGGGAGCAUCUUCCGAUGGGCUGCCCUGGGGCUGCUUGUCCUUUCGGAAGAUAGCCUCGACCGCCUCCUGGCCGGAGGCGAACUUGGUGGCGAUGUCCAUCAGCUCGCUCGCCCUGGUGGGGGUCUUGUGACCCAACUUGCUCACCAGGUCGCGGCAGGUGGUGCCGGCGAGGAACGCGCCGAUGACAUCCGAGUCGGUGAUGUUGGGCAGCUCGGUGCGCUGCUUCGAGAAUCGCCGGAUGUAGUCCCGGAGAGACUCUCCAGGCUGCUGCCGGCAGCUUCGGAGGUCCCAGGAAUUCCCGGGGCGCACGUACGUGCCCUGGAAAUUGCCGGCGAAGGCUUGGACUAGGUCGUCCCAGUUGGAGAUCUGCCCCGGAGGCAGGUGCUCCAACCGGGCGCGAGCGGUGUCGGAGAGGAACAGGGGGAGGUUGCGGAUGAUGAGGUUGUCGUCGUCCGUUCCACCCAGUUGGCAGGCCAGACGGUAGUCCACGAGCCACAGUUCCGGUCUCGUCUCCCCCGAGUACUUUGUGAUAGUAGUCGGGGGUCGGAACCGGGUCGGGAACGGUGCCCGUCGGAUGGCCCGGCUGAAGGCCUGCGGACCGGGCGGUUCGGGCGAGGGACUCCGAUCCUCCCCGUUGUCGUAGCGUCCCCCACGCCUGGGGUGGUAGCCUCGGCGCACCCUCUCGUCGAGGUGGGCCCGACGGUCGCGGUGAUGGUGCUUGUUGCCGAGGCGGCCCGGGGCCGCAGGCGCGGUGUUGCGCGUGCGCCCGGUGUAGACCGAGGCUUCCCGCAUGAAUUGGGAAGUCGCGGCAUGAGGUUCCGAGGGGUAUCCCUGCCUUCGGGAGGCAGAGCUCUCGGCCCGUCGGACCACGGCGCCUUCCAGGAGAUUCUUGAGUUCCCCCUGGAUUCGCCGGCCCUCGGUGGUUGAUGGCUCCGGCAUCGCGCGGAGAAGCAUCACUGCUGCAGCCAGGUUCUGGCCGACCCCACUAGAUGCGGGUGGCGGCCUGACCCUGACGUCGUCGGCGACGCGGUGCUGGAAGCCCUGGGGCAGAUGACAUAUUUCUCCGGCCGGGGGUUGGCCCGCCCAUGCCUACCCGACGUCCCGGCGGAUCGGCUCAAGCGCUCCUGCUCCCUCGUCGAGCCUGGCCUGCACCCUGCGGAUUUGCUCGAGCUGUGGGUCAUGGCCCCCCGCCUGAACGGGGACCACAGCUAGCUCCCGUGGGAUGUCAACGCGGGGCGUCGGCCUAGGGAGGUCACCGUCCUCCGGCAUGCCGAGAUGAUUGCCUUCGGAGGGACCCCCUAGAUCGACGUGGAAACAUUCGCGGCUUGGGCCGCAGUCCUCGUCGCCGAGGCUGCGGCUACCGUCGGAACAGUCGGAGAGGCAGUAGUCACAUGCGGUCAUGAAGUCCCGCAUGGCACUGGGGUUGCCAAGUCCAGAGAAAUCCCAACAGAUGCUGGGCUCGUCGUCUUCCUCGGACCCAGAGGGCCCGUAGGUCGAGACGCCCGUCAGCCGGUCCCAAGGCGACCGCAUGCGAAACCCUAGAGGGUUUGGACUCGCCUCUACGAGAGCGCCCGCCAAAGCAAGGUCGCUAGGCGGGUUGAGGCUGAAUCCAAAUGACGUGGGAUGGGAGUCGGUCGGUACCUCUUGGUCGACGAGCGGCGAUAAAGUCACGUCGGGGACUGACUGCACCGUCGUCUCAGGUACGAGGGUGACGUCCAGCAAGCUUUCCGCGAGCGUGCUGGCGUCGUCCUCUUGCCCGGGAUUGGCGCGUCGCGGGGAGACGGCGCUUGUCUUCGUCUCAAGCGCGAAGUCGAUACCCGGUGCGCCCCUCGUUGGGGUGCCGGCACUGUCGACUCGCUCGACAGCCGACGAGGCGCUGCCUCCUGCUUGGCCUUGGUCGCCCUGCCUUCCCCUCCGUCGGCGGGGGAAAGGGCAGGAUGAGCUCGAAGGUUGUUCUUCCACCACGCGGGGAAGACGUCAUCGAUUCUGCCGCCGGCGGGCGGGCUGUCGGCCGCCAUUGUCGUUGUCGCGCGACGGUGGAAGGAGUAUCAUGUCGUAGCUACCGUCGAGGGACAUGAACUCAAGACUCCCAAAACGGAGCACCGUCCCGGGUUGGAGAGGUUGCUGGAGACUGCCCAUCUGGAGCUUGACGGGAAGUUGUUUGUCAACACGCACCAGGCCCCUACCUGGCGCGCCAACUGUCGGCGUUUCAAGACCGGGGGGUCCCUGGGCCGACGAGUGAAUGUCGCCGCGUGCCCCAGCCCAGAUGGGUCGAGCGCGAGGGCGAGCGCGAAGGGGGGACAGCGAGGCGGCCGGAGACCGGCGUGAGAGAGGUGGGAAUCCCGCGGCCUUCGUGUUCGUCCCGCGCCUAGGUCGGGUGCGCUUGCAGUAGGGGGUUACAAGCGUCCACGCGGGAGAGGGAGCGAGCGGCCCCAAGCGAGCGCCUGUCUCGUCCUCGUCCCCGCGCGGCCAACCUUCUCUAAGAGGGCCCUGGUCCUUCCUUUUAUAGGCGUAAGGAGAGGAUCCAGGUGUACAAUGGAGGGUGUAGCAGAGUGCUACGUGUCUAGCGGAGGACAGCUAGCGCCCUAAGUACAUGCCGUUGUGGCAGCCGGAGAGAUUUUGGCACCCAGCUGGUGUGAUGUCGUGGCCGUCGGAGGAACGAUGGAGCCUGGCGGAGGGACAGCUGUCGGAGCGGUUGAGUCCUUGCUGAUGUCCUCUUGCUUCCGUAAGGGGGCUGAGAGCCGCCGUCGUCACAGAGUAUGCGGGGCGCCAUCAUUGCCUAUCUGGCGGAGCGAGCCAGAUGGGACACCGGUUUGUUUCCUGCGGCCCGAGUCAGCUCGGGGUAGGGCGAUGAUGGCGCCUCCUGUUGACGUGGCUGGUCUGCGCCCUAGGUUGGGCGAUGUGGAAGCUCCUCCGAAGCCGAGGUCGAGUCUAUCUUCCGUGGCCGAGGUCGAGUCCGAGCCCCUGGGUCGGGCGAGGCGGAGGCCGUCGGCUGAGGCCAGGGCGGAGUCCGAGCCCUGGGGUCGGGCGAAGCGGAGUUCGUCGUCUUCUGGUGCUGAGCCCGAGUCCGAGCCCUGGGUCUGGCAGAGUGGAGUUCGUCGUCUUCUGGGGCUGAGCCCGAGUCCGAGCCCUGGGUCGGGCGAAGCGGAGUUCGCCAUCUUCCGGGACUUAGCCCGAGUCCGAGCCCUGGGUCGGGCGGAACGGAGUUCAUCGUCUUCCGGGACUUAGCCCGAGUCCGAGCCCUGGGUCGGGCGGAGCGGAGUUCGCCAUCUUCCGGGACUUAGCCCGAGUCCGAGCCCUGGGUCGGGCGGAGCGGAGUUCGCCGUCUUCCGGGACUUAGCCCGAGUCCGAGCCCUGGGUCGGGCGAAGCGGAGCUUCCUAUGGUGCCUUCGGCCGGGCCUGACUGCCUGUCAGUCUCACUCUGUCAAGUGGCACCGCAGUCGGAGUGGCGCAGGCGGUGCUGUCCUUCUGUCAGGCCGGUCAGUGACGCGGCGAAGUGACGGCGGUCACUUCGGCUCUGCCGGCUGGGGGGCGCGCGUCAGGAUAAAGGUGUCAGGCCACCUUUGCAUUAAAUGCUCCUGCGAUUUGGUCGGUUGGUGCGGCGAUUUGGUCAGGGUUGCUUCUUAGCGAAGGCAGGGCCUCGGGCGAGCCGGAAAUAUGUUCGCCGUUGGAGGGGGGCCUCGGGCGAGACGGAAAUCCUCCGGGGUCGGCUGCCCUUGUCCGAGGCUAGGCUCGGGCGAGGCGUGAUCGAGUCGCUCGAAUGGACUGAUCCCUGACUUAGUCGCACCCAUCAGGCCUUUGCAGCUUUAUGCUGAUGGGGGUUACCAGCUGAGAAUUAGGAGCCUUGAGGGUACCCCUAAUUAUGGUCCCCGACAAAUGUCUUCUUUGAGGUGUUGCAUCCUCAGAACCUCAGUCCAAUCGACUUCGCAUCCUGUGAACUAUAACACACAAACACUUUGGGAAAUACAUUAGUCCACAGGUUAUGUUGAUCACCAAAUACCAAAACCUAUUGAGCUAAAUAGCUCGGGGUGCAUUUUCCUUAUAGAAACGAAUGUCACAUCUUUAAUAUAUAAUAGGAGUUCUGUACAAAAUAGAUAAAUAAUUAUAUCAUAUGAAGACAACGAUCCAGCAACCAAAGUUGACUGGGAGACGACGGCCAAGUCCUCUCACGAACACAUCAGAGCAUCCUCCCAAUGCCUCAUCCUGCGGUACCUGUUCUUGACCUGUGGGGGUGUGAGACAGCAAGGGUGAGCUCACAUACGUUCAUCGCUCAACAAGUUGUGGGGAAUAAUGUGCAUGAACUCACCAAAGGUGGGAGGUCAUGUGAAGUGUAAGGCUUACCAAAGAGGAUGGUUAAAGCUAAGCAUUGCUUUUAAAGUUGAUCAAAAUUUUAUUAGCAAUUACUAAGUAUAAGUAAAUACCAACCCAAUUAAGUAAGAGAUCAAGACUAAUAACAACACCCGUGACGCAAUGCAUAUGACACAUUGAGUUUAGUUCCAUAAAUUACUCAUGUGAGGGUCUGAGCCACUCAUGACCGUGAGCACGUCUGAUAUACCAAUUUUAUACUCUGCAGAGGUUGCGCAUCUUUGCCCAGAAGUUGUGUUACCCAUUUGCCACGGAGUUGAUCAGACCCCAUACACUUCUACCAAGGAAGCGAGGCAGGGUACCACUACGAGGCCUUUACAAAGUUUCACUAGCUUUAGAAAACCCAUUAAAGUUUCUAGGAAGCGCAAUGCAGGGAACCCCGUCUGACCGCCAUCGGAGCAAAAUCAGCUCGAGAACCUCCCUACACCGACCACUCCCCUACUGCCCUUGCCCCUUUCGGGUAUGGUAGUCCUCCACUAGCUUUCCUAAUUAGUCAGCCAAGGGCGUCCCAUACCACCCUUGUGGUAGCACUGUUUUCCCGGUGGUCGCUCCAUGUUCCAAUUAACAAUAUGAUUCUAUCAUGAACAAUAAUUAAACAACAUCAUAAUUGGAACAUGAACAUAAUAAAACAUUAGCAUCCCAAAACCAGGUAGAGCAAUAGCAAAUCUACCCAAUAAUUCAUUUGUUUGCAAGGUGGGGGAUAAACAAUGCUGGGGAAACCUAUUAGGCCCCAUCAAAUAAACCUGAGCAUGUCACAGUGAUUAAUAUCGAACAUUAUUAGAUAAAAAGGAGUGAUCAAGGGCACAACUUGCCUAGGACUUGAGAUUCCAGGUACCAGGAUCUCGGAACCUAUUCGUAACAAUACAAACAAACAUGGUUAGGCAAAAUUAACAUCACACCAAACAUGAGUACAAACUGUAAAAUAAUAUUCUACGCGUUGUAACGAGAUCGUAGGUUCGAGAACGGGUAAAUUCGGAGCUACCGUUAUAAAGUUAUGAUUUUCUAAAGAUUUAGGAGUGGGGUACAAAAGAAAUUAAUUACACAAUUUUAAUUUAGGUUUCAUAACCAAAAUAAAGUUAUUAGGGGAUAAACAAUAUUAUUAUGGAUCUAGUGCAACUGGAAUGGAUCAAAAAAGGAAUUAAAAUGAGUAAGUUAUGUUCAUUUAUGGGUUUCCAUUCCUAUUUUACACCUACAAAUGAUUAUUAACUACUUCUAUAAUUGUUUAUUUAUUUUAUUCCAGACUUUAGGACGGCGGGCAUAAAUCUUAGAGAACCUAGGGGUAGUUUUGUCAAUUUGCAGGGCAUAGAUGACAUUGAACCAUACAAGCCGUGGACGACGGGUUCAACCCCAAGAAACCCAGGGGUUCUUUUAUAAAUAAACCGCGGCCGAAGAGGUAAGAAUAGAUCUCGGCCAUCCAAUCAAACAUUGUCGGCCCAGAAUAGAUGCAACAUGCUUACCAACCGGUACGCGAUCUCUACCGUAGGAUCGUGGAUCUAGGGUCAUGACACGCAGACACCCAGAGCCGCACUGAUCUAAACCGACGGCCCAGAUCAGAACACAACGCACUGAAGCGUUAACUUUUAAUCUCUACCGUCCACUGCAGAUCAAACGGUCCCUAGUCCUACCCUUUUAAAUCAGUGCACGAUCACAGUCAUACGUUUCGCAACCGAUGGCUCAGAUUCAGCCCACCGUAACAGAUGGCUGGAUCCAACCCGAACCGCCCAUUACGCGAUCGACGAUGGCACAGUCAUCGUCUUUCUUCAGCCCUGCCGAACGACGGAAUAGAGUCCGCACGACCGACACACGCCGGAGUCCCGCCCUGGCAUGACACCGCACCAAUACACCCCUAGAUUAAGGCGAACCGAGUGGGGAAGGACUUACCAGAGGUUUGGCAACGGAGAAUAGAUGUCCACGCACCGCGCAGAUCCGCGGCCAAGCCCGGGCUGCGGCGAGAAAUUACGGGCACCUAGAUGGCUCCCGCACUCCGUGGCUACCACCACCGUGAGCGCGAUACCACAAUGAAGGUCCCGACCCAAUCUAGGCGUCGACUAUCGCACAAACAGGAUUCCCCCCAUGGCAGCUUCCUCCACUACCACUCUGCUUCUUCCGCCCAGCCCAGUGGCGGAGGACGAAAAAAAUUUAGGUAUGGCUCUACACAACUCGACGGCUGGAACCUGGAAGUGGAAGGCGCGUGCUCGGCGCGUGCUGCGCGUGCUCGGGCCGAGCGGACGGCGAGCGGAGGCGCGAAGCUGCUCGCCUUCUCGGGCUGUCGGGCGCUUGGCGGAUGGGCGGACAGCGCGCUGGAGUCGCGGAGCGGCUCGGUCCAAGCCGAGCGGACGGCGGGCGGAGGCCGGAGGCGUGGAGCUGCUCGCCUGCUCCGCUGCUCGGGCCGUCGGGCGAUCGCCGGACGGGCGGACGACGGCCGGAGAACCGUAGCCGCGGCGCAACUCGGGGCCUCGGGCCGAGCAGAUGGCGGACGACAGAUAGAGGCGCAAAGGCGGAGCGGCUCGCCUUCCAGGCGAUGUAGGCUGCUCGUGCCCUCGGCGGACGGGUGGACGGCUCGAGCGCUCGGCGCCUCGGCCGGCUGAGCGGACGGGCGGACGGCGGCGGCCGGCUGAAUAGCUGAGUGAUUAGGGUUUAGAGAAGCGCUGGGCCGGACCUGUUUUUUAUUUUUGGUAUGGCUUGGGCCAUAAUGGGUCCUCCGCCCCUGGCCCAGCCCGAUGGUGCGUUUGGAUAGGUGCUUUCUGGAAUUGGGAGGGGAGGAGAAGCACCGGCCGCACGCUUUUAUGGUCCCACAGGUGUGGAUUUGGCCGGUCCGCAGCAUGCGUGCGGCCGUGCCAUGCUCGGAAUUCUGUUGGGGAAGCAGAUCGCCCAGACGGGGGCGGCCCAUAGUCAGCGACAGAUGCGUGCAGUAAAUCACUGGUCGGGCGGGCCCAUGUGUUGGCGCCACCUUUGGCUCACGACGUUGUAGAGGGACUGGCCCGUGGGUCCCACAGGUAGCGACUCGUCCGAACGCGCGCGCGGGAGAGUAAGAGGCUGGCGAUCCCGGGCCCACGCGACGAAGCAACAAGGAUUCUGACGCACACCCAUGUGUGAGUCGGCUAACCAGUGGGGGCCACACGCUAGCGAUUCAAUGACCGUCCGGAUGGGUAUGCAUAACAACAGCCCCGAGAAACAGAGUCGAGCGCACACGACGAGGGCGACUGACCAGUAGUGCCCUCAUAUAGUCAUAUCGGCGCCCUCGCCAUAGCUAGGCCGUGAGAGUUGGUUUGCACGUUCAGGAGUUGGGCCACUAGGGGGAUUGGGCCCAAGUCGAGGUUCAUUUUCCUUUUCUUUUUUUCCAUUUCUUCUCUAAUUCCAAAUUUAAGGAUUCAAACUCACUUUUAAAUUCUUGGUUCAAAUUUCAGAUGUCUCAAUAUUGAAUACCAUCCUAGAGUGAAUAUUAAUCCUACUAGUUUUAAUAUUAUUUGUUCGCCUCCCAUUUUCAAAUUCUAGAAGUAGUCAAUGACCAUUACAAUUUCUUUCCUCAUUUUCUCUUUUAUGUUUUCAUUUAAAAUUUUGAGGUCAAAUUUAAAUUAUGAUUCUUUUGUUUUUCAAUAGAAUGUAUCGCAACGACAUUAUUAGCAAGAGAUAUACCUUUCUUUAUUUCUUUAUUGGUUACUUAAUUAAUUUAAUAUUAUUAAUUGAUUAUGAAAAGGAAAAAGGGUCCUAAUAAAUUCCCUAAGGUUUUAACAAUUCUUGAAAUACUAUCAUAAAUACAUCUAUUUUGUUAAUUUUAUUAUUUAUUUUCUACCAAUUUUGGGCUUUACAAAUCCUACCCCCAUAAAAGAAAUCUUGUCCUCGAGAUUAGUAAGAAGAAGGAUGUAUCCCAAUUUCGCCGCAAAACAUAUGCACAAACAAAAGUCUUAGCAUGAUGCACCACUCGUUAGUAAAACAUAGGGUGAAUAGACCUUAUUAUUAUUCCUAAAAUAGUAAAUACUAGCUACUAACUAAAGUAUUAUUUACGUCUUACAAAUAGUGCUCUAAUAUAUAUAUAUAUAUAUGUUUAUAUAUUUAUAUUUAUUCUAAUCCUUCUUUUCAUUGCCUUCUUCACCUUCAACCAUCACUUCUUGGUUUUCAGGUUCACCAGGUUCAGCUUCUACUUUGACAUGGUUGACCUGCCCCCGGUUAACGGAUAAGGGCUGACUCUUGCCUCCCGAGGUUUGACCUUGCUUCAUCGGAGCCGGAGUAGUUGUAAUAGCCAAAAAUGUAUACAAUGUGAAUAUAGUUGAUCUCCUUAUUUUAUGUGCCAUAUAUUUAUCAUAACAAGAGCAUACCUAUAAGUAAGAGUGAUUAGUCAAAAUAAAUGUUACUAGAAUGGAAUAUGCAUCAUGCUGAGGUUUUAUUUUGUGUGCAUUAUGUGAAAAUAUAAAAUAAUGUAAAAAGAAAUAUAUUAAAGUCCAAAGUGGAAUUUAAAAUCUAAAAGGAAUUCUAGAAUUUAAGAAAAGAGAAGCACUAAUAAUCACAAAAUGAAUAUUAAAAUAGAUAAAUUUACCCAUACCAUGUCUAAGAUGAGUAUUUAGUGGGAAAACAAAUCUACCAGGAAGUUUGAAUUUGAAUGGAAUUUAGAAUUAUGAAUUUGAAAACUUAGAAAAAGAAAAGAGGAAAGAAAAUAAAAAGAAAAAGGGGCAUAAGGCUUACCUGGGCCCUAGAUUUCAUUCUGGCCCACCCACAUAAACACACUGCGCGGCCCACUGCACCUACACACCGCGCGCGCAGAUGACUGUCAUGCGGGGCCUACCCGUUAGCCUCACACGUCCGUCUCAGGCGCGGAACUUCUCCCACUGAAGUACCGGGCCCGCUUGCCAGUCUCGGUGUUUUCCUGUUUAUCUUCCUGACCCACGCGACGAACGCCUUCUCCGUGAUCCGUGUUGCCGCAUGCGCCCCUCUCGCCAAUCGUUCGCCCGUUCGGCCUCACAGCAUCACUGCCCCGUGGGCCAACCUCGAGAGACCAGCCGUGCACGUCGCGCUUGCGCCGCUGCGACUGGGACCCUCAGGUCAGAGCUCUCUCCCUCACCGCCGCAACGGCCGCGGCCGAUAAGUCUGCCACCACGCGGAAUUGGUGGGUAGCCGCACACCAACCACCCGACCUCACCCAUCCAUAUAACCCUGGCAUCCUGAACCCUCUUCGCCUUUCGUUUCUGUGCCAAACCUUGUCGCCAAGAAGUGAGCUGGGGAGAGAGAGAAAAGUGGGGAGGCGGAAGCAGGGAGUCACGGGGUCCCGUCUCUGAUGCCGUUGGAUGCCCGGGAGCUAGUCGGGGACCUGCACCGAGAGGUUGCGAAGUUGUCCAAAGCGCUAGUUGGUGGAAUCGACGGGCGGUGCAACCUUAAUUACUCACUAGAGUUCUUCUCCACCGUGUCCACGUGGACAGCACCGCGCUCACCUACUUCUCUAGUAAAUUCCUCGCCCCCGACUCUAACUUAAUCCUAGCAUUGAGAUGCGCUAGACGGUUAGGACUUGCGUGGGUGAGAUCAUGAGGUAUGGGAUCACUGGCAAUGGACGCCGCCGCCGUGGGCUGGUUUGUGUCGUCGCGUCGGGGAAGAAAGGAUGUGGGCCAUUGAUCUGUCCACUAACGACCACGAUUAGUUCACACUUAAUGAUUCAGCUUGGGUGGUUCAGGGUCGUCAGAUCGAGAUCGUGCGGGUGGGGCGCAGUCGCGUGGAUGAUGCGCCUGAGCCAUCGAUUUCCAAUCCUACGGUUGGCAUCACAUACUGAUUCGGUAAAACCUAGAUCUAAUCCCAGCCGUAGAAGUAAGACCAUGCGGCUCUAGUCAAAUCAUACUCCUUCGGCCAGGGAAUUUUGUUAAAGAAACCCAGCCAAACAUUGAAAUCAACCCGCGGAUCAUCUCUGGUGUAGCCCGAGUCUUAGGAAAUUUACACCGAAGGCCCUAGUCUUUCUGGAAUUCGACUCGCUAUCUAGAUAAUUGAUAAAACUAGAAAAAUUAUUUAGAAAAUAGUUUUUAGUACACAUUUAAUUGCAGAAACUUGUUAAAUUCAUAGAAAAUUCAUGCUUAGUCCAAAUUGACCCAUUCCAGUGGUAAUAAUUUUGUUUUAAUAUUGUCUACCACUUAGUACAUCUCUUUAGCCAUGAAACUUGAAUUAAAAUUGUUCAUUUGAAUUAAUCUUUUCUAAGUACUUGAUAACUUCAGAAAUUCAUAACUAAAUAAGAAUAACUCCAAAUUUAGUGGUUCUUGUUCCUAUGAUCUCGUUACGCAGCGUAGAAUAUUAUUAUGCAUUCUGAUCUAUUGUUUGGUGUGAUGUUAAUUUUGCUAUACAAUGUAUUUUUGUAUUGAUGCGAGUAGACGAGCCAGCUACUGAGGAUCCUAGUGUUCAGCAGAUAGAAGUUGCUGAGUAGGAGCUCAUUGAAGGCAAGUUGUGCCCUUGAUAACUUCUUUUUACCCAGUCAUGUUCUUAUUAAUCAUAAUGAUCUGCAUAGGCUAAUUUUGAUGGGAUCCAAUAGGUUACCCCAGUUUUGGCUAUCUUUAUACCUUGUUUUACCACUGAAUAUUUUUGGGUAGUACUUGCUAUUGCUUUAUGUGGUUUUGGGUAUGGAGAUACAUUAUUCAUGAUUACACUUUUAUUAUCAGUUUAUUAUUACUGUUCAUGUUAAGAUCAUUAUGUUAAUGAGAACAUGGUGCGACCACCCGGGAAAACAGUGCUACCACAAGGGUAGUAUGGGAUGCCCUUGGCCGAUUAACUAGGAAAGCUAGUGGAUGACUACCUUACUCGAUAGGGGCAAGGGCAGUAGGGGAGUGGUUAGUCUAGGGAGGUCCUUGGGUUGAUUUUGCUGCGAUGGCCGUCAGGCGAGGGAUCCCUGCACUGGAGCUUCCUAUAAACUGUAGUGGGUUUUCUGAAGCUAGUGGAACUUUGUAAAGGCCUCGUAGUGUUACCCUGCCUCACCUCCUCGGUUGAGGUGUAUGGGAUUGGAUGUCUCUUGGCAGAUGGGUAACAUGACUUGUGGGUAAAGAUGCGCAACCUUUACAGAGUGUAAAACUGGUAUACUAGCCGUGCUCACGGUCAUGAGCAGCUCAGACUCUCACAUGAUUAAUUUAUAGAAUUAAAUUCAACUCAUCAUUUGCAUCGCAUUGGGAUUAUUUUAUUAUUAGUUUUGUUUAUUAUUACUAUGGUUUGGUAUUCACUUACACUUAGUAACUGCUAAUAAAAUUUUGACCAACUUAUAAAAGCAAUGCUCAGCUUCAACCUUUAUUUUGUUGAUCAGCCUUACACUUCACAUGAACUCCCACCUUUGGUGAGUUCAUGCACAUUAUUCCCCAAAACUUGUUGAGCUAUGAAUGUAUGUGAGCUCACCCUUGCUGUCUCACACCCCCCACAAGAGAAGAACAAGUGGUGAGACAACAAUGGUGAGCUCACCAUUGCUGUCUCACACCCACCAACGAGGAGUUCGACUUAAUCUAGGUGGCAUCUCCCAGUCAGCUUUGUGGCGCCAGGGAAAUAAGAUUUAGUUUGUUUUAUAUUUAUCAUUUAUUUUGUAAGACUUCCGCUAUGUAAUAAGUAUAUUCUUGAUAAUUAUGACUGUUGGGGGCCUUCGGCUUCCGAAGAUCCUCAAAAACGUGAUUUGACAAUGUUUCUGGAGUAUAAUACAUGAGCAGGUACCUUCGGACACAAACCCUUCGGACAAGUCAAAAUUGAUGUAUGAAGAAACAUAAAGAGAACGAAGGAUGGAAUAGAGCCGAAGCUGUGCGCAAGGAAGCUUCGGCAUGAUGGCAGAAAAGAGGAAACCGACUUAAAGAGGAAAAGACUAUUUAGACCCCGAUAGAUUACUAUAGAGUUAUUAUCAAAAGCAAAGGGCCUAGAUGUAAUUUUACAUGGGCUGCGACGCGUGCCUAUAAAUAGGUGAAUAGUACUCCCGUACUGUUCACGCUGACUUGGCAUUUGCUUUUGCAUCACGCUUGUACUUUUACCUUCUUUCAAGUCAAAGGUAUAUUUGUAACCCAACAUCAUUCCUAUUCUUCUAUAGCAAUAAAAUAAAAAUGAGUUGAUAAUAAUACAUAACUAUUCAUGUUGUCUUUUAUAUUCCACGUAAUUCCCUUUUUCAUUAUGAUAUGUAAUGUUUAUGAAGGUAUGUCCUUCAUAACCUUCGUCCGAAAAUCAUUAUAUCUCAAGGGAAAUAAUGCUUCGAAGGACGAAGGACUUUAAUGUUUAACGUUUUCUGUGUUGCCUUGUUCUUAACUCUUAGCAUUUGAGAACAAGUCCCCAACAUUGGCGCCCACCUCCGGUGAACUCACUUCCACUUUUUGAGUUUCGAACACCUUCGGCAAGCAUCAACCUUUGUCAUGCCGCCAAAUAAAGCUUCAUCGACAGGGGCUGCAGCUCUGCAGCCGCUGGACCCGAACCAGGAGACCCUUUCUCUUCGAGAGGCCCGAAGCUAGAAGAGGAAGGCCACCAGUCCAACGCCCCAGGAGGACGACUUGGACCAAGAGAUCAGGAAUAUGGAGAUGCUCCAUCAGCAAGUACAAAGGAAGAAGGAAAAGAUGGCUCGGCUAACUGAUCUGCAAAGGCAGAUAGAUGAAGCUUCUGAAGAAGUUCGUCAUCUAGCUCAAGAUGAGCAGAACCGAAGGCCUCAGCACAGAGAGCUUCAUCAAGAGGGCUUCUUCAACGAGGAUGACUGGUAUGAGGAUUUCCAUCAUGGAAAUUUUGCUUUUGAUGAUGCUUCUCCUCUGUCAGCAAAACUGCAGGCUACAACUUGGCCCCCGUCUUACAAGCCACCCCAGCUUCCCAUGUACGACGGACACUCAGACCCGAAGCAGUUUUUGAUGAGCUACGAAGCAACCAUAUCUUCGUAUGGUGGCAAUACUGCAGUCAUGGCGAAGUCUUUCGUCAUGGCUGUCAAGAAUGUUGCACAAACCUGGUACUCCUGUCUUCGGCCAGGAACAAUCACGUCAUGGCAGAAGCUGAAGGACAUGCUAAUUACCAGUUUCCAAGGGUUUCAAAUGAAGCCGGUCACCGCUCAAACUUUAUUCCAGUGCACCCAGGAUCACGAAGAAUACCUUCAGGUGUAUGUCCGAAGGUUCUUGCGUUGAGGGCACAGGCACCGAUGGUGCCCAAUGAAAUUGUCAUUGAGGCCAUGAUCAAGGGGCUUCGGCCAGGACCUAUGGCCCAAUACUUCGCCAGGAAACCCCCUCAGACCCUAGAAAAGCUGCUCCAAAAGAUGGAUGAAUACAUCCGCGCCGAUAAUGAUUUUCGUCAGAGAAGAGAGGAAGCUUACAGGUUCUCCGAAAUGACCAGGGGCUUCGGAGGGAGAAUCCACCCAAGACAUGUAAGAUCAAUCCAUUCUACUCAAAAUGAUGAUAGAGGAAGUCAGCAACAGCGGCCACAAUACUCCUCUCAGGCUUCGGGGCAACAACAGAGCUAUCUUCGGCCGCCAGCUCCAAGGGGCAGAGGCGCCAGGGGCUUCGGAGGAAGAUUUGGGGACCAGCCCAGGAAAAUUUAUUUAUUAUGCGGGAAGGACAAGGGCCAUACUACUAGGAUGUGCCAUGUCACCAUCUAGAAACAGAAAGAGAUAGCAGAAGCUGCAGCCCAACAAAGCCAGCCGAAGCAAGUUAUGCAUACUGCUUCAUAUCACUCACCGUACAUUUCAGAGUAUGUGGGUAACCAUCCUGCAGCUUCUGUUGCUUCGGCAAGCCAACCUCAGGCGUCUUGGCAACAGCCUCCACCUCCACCACCAAUGCAACGAGGCCAGCAGCCAGAAGGGAGCCAACACACUCAUCAACAACGAGACUUCAGAGAGGAGUCCGAAGCUCGCACAGUCAACAGUACUGUGCUAGAGUCGAAGCACAUCUACUAGAAGAUAUCCUACCUCGGCAACAGUUCUUGCAUUCGUUUUCAUUUUUCGUUUAAAUAAGGAACAAUCAUUAAAGCUUAAGUUUUUCUUCUCAUUUUCAAAUUCUUGUAACAGCUUCGUUUUUUACCAUAGUGAAAAUAUAUCUUCUCCAUAGAUUUACGGAGUUAGAAAAAUCGCCGAAGCACGAAAGCUCGGUCUUAAGAGCUCGUGAUUACAGAAAGUAUCUCCGAAGAUACAAAAAAGUCGUUCUAUGGGACGCAGUGUAAGUUGCCAAAGUUACAAAAAGUCGUUCCUAAGGGAGUGCAGCGUAAGUUUUCUGCUCAAAAGUCGUUCCAAAGGGAAUGCAGAGCUUACAACGAAAAAUAAACGCUGAUUCCGCUGAAAUAGAAGGCGAAGAAGCUCCUAAGGGAGGCUUACAGCGAAAAAUAAACGCUGAUUCCGCUGAAAUAGAAGGCGAAGAAGCUCCUAAGGGAGGCUUACAGCGAAAAAUAAAUGCUGAUUCCGCCGAAAUAGAAGGCGAAGAAGCUCCUAAGGGAGGCUUGCAGCGAAAAGUCAGCACUUAUCUUUGGCACAAAUAUCAUUUUGCAUAACAUCACAUCAUCACAUCAUUUGCAUAGCAUAACAUCAUACAUCAUAUUGCAUCAAUGACGCAAGAAGGGGGUUCAAUGUUGAUCUUCGGAGAUUGUUUCGAAGAAGCAGUGCCAAGGCACAAAAUAAUUAUUGAAGAAGCAUACCUUCGUCAAACUCUAAAAUGAAAAGACCUAUUGCUUACGAGGCACAAUAUUUUUUACGAGGAUUGGAUGUUUUUAUGAAAUAUGGAUAUUCUUCACGAAGCAUGAAAAGAAGGGAAGGUGUUUUUUCGCCGAAGGCUCAAAAACGAUAUGUACGUAAAGUUUCAUGCAUCGUAAAGAAUUGAGUUACAAGCAGCUCAUAUAUUACAUUCAAGGUUAUAAAAAUAUUACACACUUUGUCCAGCAAAUAUUACAUUCUCAAUGUCUUUACAAUAGCAGCUAAUCUUCUCUUAAGACUACUUCCGCAGCUUCGUUUAGUAGUUGAUCAACAACCUUAUCCAUAAUAGCUUCGACCAUUUUUCUAAUUUCGUCAUCCCCCUUUGCGUUGGGGUCCGCCAAUGGCUCGGCGGGCUCUGGGGGAGAAGAUAGUCCGGCUAUGUUACAAAGUGUAAAUAAGUCCGAAAUCAUAUAAUUACAACAUAAAGUCAAAACUUAGUAGUCAAUACCUAUUCGCCUCUCGAGAUCCGCACUUUUCUCAGCGGCCUCUGCUACAUUUCUAGCGUCGUGAAUACCUUUUUCACUUUUCCUUAUAAUUUGUUGAGCCAUCUCCCGGCCACCAUUUUCCCAGAUGUCGGUGAAAAAUUUACCACCAACCAAGCUUGCUUCAUCCGAGGGGUCUUUUAUAUCUUCAGAAGAUAAAGCGGCCUCGAUUUGUGCCAAGGAUUUCACAUGAUCGCAGCCUCUACUCUCCAAAAUAGUGGCAAUCCCCCUAGCACCCGAGAAGGCACAUAUGUCUCCGCGGCCAUUCAAAACUUCCUCAAAAGCUUCGGCUUCGUGGUUGGUCCAUUCAAUUGGGCCCUCGGAGUCGCCCUUUACGAAAUUUUCCUCGCUUGAAUACGCGCCAACGUUGGCGAAACUAGUUUUUAUUUUCUUAACACACUCUAUAGACUUUUCAUAACACCUUUCCUUGGAUGCACGAAGUUCUUCAACGUUUUUCUCUAAAUGAUUUGUCCAUUGUUCACUGAUUUCUCGUUUAGCUUCUGCAACUGCACAUUUUUCUUUAGCUUCGGCUAGCUGUUUCCGAAGAUCCUCAAUUUCACGCUUCUGGGCCUCAGCUUGAGCUUUGGAAGCAGCUUCGUCUUCUUUUAUUUUAUUCACCAAUGAAUGUAAUAUUUUAUCUUUCUCAAGACCUUCGUUCCUUAGCUCAAUUACUUCGGAACGAAGGUUGUUUAAAGCCAUGGUGCACCCUUCAUCUUCGGCACUUUUUUGCGCUCUGAGGGCAUUGCUGAGAAUAAGGCCCUGCAAAAGGAAUGUGAUAUUAAGAAAUAAACACACGAAUUUUUAACCACACAAAAAGUGUAUUUUCUCACCUUUAAGCUGUUAUAUGCUAAGCUGUCGGCCAAUUCAUCUUUUGACAAAACUGAAAGCCCAUCUUCUAGAGUUGGGAAUCCGAAGUUUUUUGCCAUCUCCCAGCAGACAGAGAUCUCCUUGCCGUCUGGGAGGCAAUACAAGAAGUCUUCUUCUCCGCUGCCAUUGAAUAUCAACGGCCCUUUCGGAUAUUUCAAUUUUUGCGCAUAGAACUGAGCUUCUCGCUUUUCUUUUUCAGUCAGAUUUUUACCCGAAGCAUGGCGUAAGACAUAGUUGGGAGCUUCGGAAGAUGCUUCGGGAAUAGGGAUGGCGGUUUUCUCAGAUAAAAUUUCUUCUACAGAUUCUUUUUCUGUUUCUUUUCCAAUUUCCAUGAAUUCCCUCUUGGCAGGCUCUGAAAGCCCAGUUUCGGUUUCCACUUGGCUUUUGGCAACUUCGGCCUCAAUUUCUGUUUUUGGAGCUUCGACAGCUAUCUUCGAAGUAGAGCUUGAAGAUUUUAUUGUUUCUAGCACAUCUAGCACGUUAACCAUUAUCUUUCUCUUGGGAGUUAUUGUAAGGUCCUUUUGUGCCUUCGGUGUUGGCAUUGGCACCUCAACUCUUGCUGAAGGACUUAAAACUUCCGAUGUCUUUAUCUCUUCAGCCCUCGGUUCUUCCAUUUUUUCAUCUCCGGCAUUGCAGCCAGCUCUUCAAUAUUCUGCAGAUGAGUAGGCUCUUUGGCUUCAGUGGCCGAAGAGGUUUCACCGACAAACUCAGGCACUGUGGUCGGCUCAAUAUAGCGUGGCCGGUGCGUAAGAACUUUCAUCUUUUUUCUCUUCGGCGCUGGCUCACUAGGAGCGGCCGAAGCAACUUCCUUCACAGAAGUCGUACCUUUUCUUUUUUGACCCCGUAUUGGGUAACGGUAGUCAGGAUAGACGAACCCAAUAGCAUCAAAAACUCGGUUGAGUCUUUUCUUCUUCCGGCCUCUGAAGGCCGCAGAUAGUGCAGUAUCUUCUGCCUUCGAAUAUGGCCCAAGCAGUUCAUCGCUUGUAGCUUCAACGCAUUUCAACCAAUCGUCGUCUGGCUCGAUAAAUUGGUCUACGAACCUGAAGGUAUAUUUUAGUCGAACCAGGCCACCUUCAUGUGGGUUGUUGAUGGUUUCCUUCGGCAUUUCCCAGUUAGCUACCAAUGGCCAUAUCCUGUAGGCCAUGUGCUCUUGAACUAAGUCCCUAGUCCCGAUGAAAGAGCAGACUAUGCCGAAGGCCCUCUGGCACUCUUCGGCUGCUUCAUCCAUUUCCACCUUCGGUUUCCGGAGGCCGAAACGCUGCCAGAUAGGGCGCAUGAUGAUAUCUUUAAUAUCUUCUCGUUCCUUCAAAUCGUUGUUCACAUAGAACCAUUCCUUCAUCCAGUCUCCGGGCCAUCUCUUUCGAAAGGUUGGCACGGGACAGCUUGACCCAGAUCGAGCACCGAAGCUAUAGCAGCCAAAAUUGUUAUGAUAUUGUUCUUUACCCCAGGGUUUCGUCUCAUAUAAUAGCUCAUGCAUAUUGCAGAAACUUUUUGCAUUUGGCUCCAAACCUUGGCUCUUCACGGCCCAUACAAAGAUUCCCAUCCUUAUGAUUGCUUCGGGAGUAAUUUGAUGAAGGCAGAUUUCAAAUAUCUUCAAAACUUCAACCACGAAACUGCUUAGAGGAAACCGAAGCCCAGCCUUGAAGAAGCUUCGGAAGAUCACGACUUCAUUUUCCUCGAGAGUAGGACAAGUUUUCUCUCCUUUGUCAGCCCUCACAAUAGACAAAUCCCGAAAAUAUCUACCUCUCAUAUUGGCAAGAUGGCUUUGUUUAAUGGUUGAUUUUCCAAAAACGGCAUGGCUUGGCCGCCAGGGUCGAUCUUCCGAGUCUUCCCCCCCACUUUCGGCAUCAUAACUGUCACUAUCACCAGUAUCUUCAGAUAAACCUUCCAAAAUUUCCCUUGUAAUCUUUUCUGUAUUUGUCUUUGAUAUUGAUUCAAGAAAGCCAAGAUUCUUUUCCUCAAGAAGGCUCAGCUUUGUUUUAGCAACAGCUUUCUUAUCUUCAGACAUCUUCGGAAACGCUAAAAACCGCUUUUAAAGCCGAAGCUUAAAAAACUUACAAAUUAAGCAAGUCUUGUUGCGCAGGAGCUAAAAACUGUGUAAGCAAGAGCAGAUGGCAAAGAAAGCGUACCAAAUGACAUUGUGGUGUACUCUUAUUUAUACAUCUGGCGCAUUGAGAAUAGGAGGGCCCCGCUUGACAUUGACUGUUGCUAUUCUAGCAAGAGGAAGGUGUUUUUCGGACCUUCGGCUUAGGGCCUUCGUCCAUAUCGCAAUCUGAAUUUAUUAUCCUAACAAAUUAAUAUUGCGAGGGGCUACUGUUGGGGGCCUUCGGCUUCCGAAGGUCCUCAAAAAUGUGAUUUGACAAUGUUUCUGGAGUAUAAUACAUGAGCAGGUACCUUCGGACAUGAACCCUUCGGACAAGUCAAAAUUGUUGUAUGAAGAAACACAAAGAGAAUGAAGGAUGGAACAGAGCCGAAGCUGUGUGCAAGGAAGCUUCGGCAUGAUGGCAGAAAAGAGAAAACCGACUUAAAGAGGAAAAGACUAUUUAGACCCUGAUAGAUUACUAUAGAGUUAUUUCAAAAGCAAAGGGCCUGGAUGUAAUUUUACAUGGGCUGCGACCCGUGCCUAUAAAUAGGUGAACAGUACUCCCAUACUGUUCACGCUGACUUGGCAUUUGCUUUUGCAUCACGCUUGUACUUUUACCUUCUUUCAAGUCAAAGGUAUAUUUGUAACCCAACAUCAUUCAUAUUCUUCUAUAGCAAUAAAAUAAAAAUGAGUUGAUAAUAAUACAUAACCAUUCAUGUUGUCUUUUAUAUUCCACGUAAUUCCCUUUUUCAUUAUGAUAUGUAAUCACUACACGACGGUUCACUUACAGCGACCUACGGUUGGUUGCUAAAACGGCUUUCAGCGACCUACGGUUGGUUGCUAAAAACUUUUAGCGACCCAUAAGGAUGGUCGCUGUAAGUGCCAUCGCUAAAGGCUUUAGCGACCGACAUCUUUUUAGCGACCGACCGUCCGUUGCUAAUAUUGUAUAUUUAGCGACCAACUGUGGGUUGCUGUACUAUAGAUUUAGCAACCAACCGUAAGUCGACAUACUAUACAUUUAGCAACCAACAAAAAGUCGCCCUUUUUAAAGUUGUUAUUAAUAAUAAUAUACAUUUAAUUAAGCACCACAAAUCACAUAUUUUUAUACACAAAUCAUAAAGACAUACACAGUUAAUCAUUAUACCACAGUCAUAGAUCCAUCACAUAAACACAAAAGCACCACAAUUAUAUAUUCACAAAAGCAUCACAAUUAUAAUAUCAUUCACAAUUAGACCAUUUACAGAUAGCUAGCUAGAUCAUUCACAAAAGCUCCAGAGAUGAUCAUUCACAAAAUAUCUUGUACCAGAAGUUACAAAAUAGCAAAGAUCAGCCACCCCAUCUCAUUUUUCAUCUAACAAAAUGGAGGUACACGCUAUUAGUGACGACAGUUCUUGUGUUGCAGAUCCAGAGCCUUGCCAUCUUAUUCUUCCCAGGCCAUCAACCAGAUAUAUGUAUCUGCAGUUCAAGAGUACACCUACCUUAUAUUGACAACAAAAACUACUUUUAGUAUUUAUGAAAUGACCAAAGAGAGUAUUUAUGAAAAAACUACCUUAAUUAAUGAUUGUUAGAUUUCCUCAUCGCCUUAAGAAAUGCUCGUCUCAUAGGAAUCAACGAUAAUACCCAAGAAUCUAUAAAUGAGACCUAGAACAUAACAUUAAAGCAUCUUAGCCAUUAUCAAUGAUGUAAAAAGGCAAAAAAAUGGAUAAUGAAUUGUACGGUUACAGGGUAACAUCAUUGCCGUCCAAUAUUUUCUUUCCUUUACUCUCAAAAAAUUGUCAGUGGAACUUGAUCCAACAAUAACAUGCAUGUUCUUGGCAGCACCGAAAGCAUCCAGGACCCCAGUACUUGAGAGCUGCGAGGUCAUAGGCACGAGCAGCUGCCUCCUCGCUGUCAUACGCCCCUGGAGAUCAUGCACAAUUGACAAAUUAAUCCCCCCGGCUUUAAGACAAGGACGCAGAUCACGGCAUGAUCUGGCAACAAGUAACAUGAAACGAAAUCUGGCAACCAAGAGAUAUAUUAGAGAGCAGAGGGCUUGCUGUGGGAGUGGGACUUACCCAGGUAGACUAUUGAGGUGAUGCAGCCAGCAGUAGAUCACAGGCACAUGUAGAUCACCGGCACCAAGGGGACCACCAUCGCCAAAGAUUGAAGAAAAAAAGGAGAUAAACAAAGCCUGAUCAGUAUGUCAGCCUUAAAGAAAUUCGGCGCACUUUCAACGAGAAAAAAAGGGAUCGAUGUACUGUGGUACUGGGCAGAUGCAUCAGGAAUUCAGCAUCCUUGCAUAGGACACAAAGGACCUCAAUUGGGUUCCUAGUAUUGGGUUUUGUUUAUGGUCGUAGUACCACCAUUGCUGCUUAAUCCUCUUAUUAAGAUUUAAGACCGGUUUUGUUCCUAUUUUGGGAGAGAAUACCGAACAGGAUGAAAACGGAUGGAUGGAUUCUUGAUGAUGAUGAUACUCGGAAAGAAGUAGCAGCUCACAGUACACACCUUGCUUGCCUUUCUUCUUGUUGUGGAGCGCGGCCAGGCAGUGCUUGUCCCAGAGAUGCGCCUCGAACCUGCCCGUCCACCUAUGCCUGCGUUGAGACAGCACCUGGGCGGCGAACGCUCCCUUUUGCGGCCUAGGGCAGGUGGCGACGACCGUGUACCCUUGGGGCGGGGAAAGGGCAAGCCGGUCGGGGUCGGACUUGCGCGCGGCUCUAGGCGUCGAGUCUUCGGCGUGAGUCGCAGGGGCGCUGCUCCUGGCGGACGGAUGGAGAGGCGGGGCGGGGGCUUAGGAGAGGGAGCAGGGUAGUGGCGGCUAGGGUUGGGGGCAUGGCCGGUUUCAUGGGCCUUGGUGGCCAGCUAGGUUAGGUUAGGUUAGUUUUUUUUUCUAAUUCCUUUCUAAUUUCAAAAUAUAAAUUUAAAUAACCAUAAAAUUUAUAACAAUUAACCCAAAACUAUUUAUAAAUAAAAUAUUUAUUUUUGGGACUAAUAAUUAUAUUAUUAAUUUACUAGGAUUUUCAUUUAACAAGAAACGUUUAUUAAAUAUCCAAAAAAUCAAUUAUAAGCAAUCAAAAAUCAUUCCAAAGGUAAAUAAAUAACAAGCACUUUUUUAAAAAAAAUUGAUUACCAUAAAUAUCAUUAUUAACUAAAUGUAUUAUCAUAUAAGCACAAAGAACAUAGUUGCAUAUUAUAGUCAUGUCCAUACAUAAACAAACCAUGAAAUAAACAUACAAGCAAUAUAAAAAAGAAAUAAAUCACCACGCAAAUUAGCGAUCAAUUUAGCGAUCAAUGUUUACUUGUUUUAAUUAAUUUUUAGUCACUAACAUCUACAGGUACGUUCAGGCUAUAAGAUUUGAUAGUGAUCCUUGCUCUAUAGCGACCCACCGCUAGUCCCCCACGACAUCUAUAGCGACCAACCAUAAGUUGUUAAAUUUCUAGACUUUUAGCGACCAACCGACCGUUGCUACAAAAGGAUUUAGCGAUUGACCGUCGGUCCCUAACCUUUAGCAACCAAUAGUUGGUACCUAAUAAGGGUCGCUAAAGGUCAACCAUCGUGUUGUGAAUGUUUAUGAAGGUAUGUCCUUCAUAACCUUCGUCCGAAAAUCAUUAUAUCUCAAGGGAAAUAAUGCUUCGAAGGACGAAGGACUUUAAUGUUUAACGUUUUCUGUGUUGCCUUGUUCUUAACUCUUAGCAUUUGAGAACAAGUCCGCAACAAUGGCAUUUAUCUCUAUGCACUUUGUUAUUAUGUGUGUUGUUCUUCCUUGGCGCACAUAUGAGAUGCACCCGGCUUUAUUCCUUAAAUCUGGGUGUGACAGAAGUGGUAUCAGAGCAAUGUUGACUGGAGGACGAAACCUAGAUAGAAAUGGACAAAACCCUUACCUACUUACCUUACUCUGAUUCUUUCUACACUUUUCUUGAUCCUAUCUCACGUUCUACUGUUCUACUCUGAUUACUCUUAUCUUUUCUACUCUGAGACAAGGAGGAUUUCACACUUUGGAAUCCUACAUCCAUGACACUCUAAAGAGAUAGGAGACCCAAGACAAAAUUUAAAAAUUAUUUUCACUACUAAAAUGUUGGUUGAUUGUUCUGAUGAUAAAUGCCUGAUUUGCUUCUUUGAUUGAUUGAAACAUUAUAGAUGGGCAUCUUAGCAUGUACCUCCAUAAGGUAACGUAUUAGCUCUAGUAGGUAACACAUUAAUCUACUUAGCUAAUAAAUCCCCCAAAGUAACAUGAUUCGUAAUUACUUACCUUGUCUACAAUUCUUUCUUACCAUAUAUUUCUAACUCAGAUGGUCAAUACCAGGAAGGGUGGUGGAAUUGAUCUACCCCCCAAUCGACACAGCCGGAGGAUAUAUAGACAAUCACAACAACAAGAAGAAGAGAUGAAUCCUCCCAAUCCUCCACCAGCCGGAGCUGACCCAGCUGUUGCAGCCCAGAUGCAGAUAAUGCAACAGAUGACAGAUACUAUGGUGGACAUGCACGCGCAGAUGCGGCCGGAACGCCAAGAGAUGCGCCAGGAGAGAGAGAGGAGAUGCGCUAGGAGAGGAGGGUGCAACAGCAGCAAGCACCACAACCACCACCACCACUUCCACCCCGGGACAAGCAUCGAGAAUUUAUGAGCCACAAGCCACCUACCUUCUCCAGUUCACUAGAUCCACUGCAUGUUGAUGAUUGGUUGAAGUCAGUUGAGAAGAUGCUAAACAUCGCCCAAUGUCAGACUGGGAGAAGGUUCUCUACGCUUCAGGUCGUCUGACUGGUCCUGCUACUGACUGGUGGGAUUCUUAUGUUGCUGCCCAUUAUGCUGCUGACACUAUUACUUGGGAUGAAUUCACCACUCAAUUCAGAAACUACCACAUUCCUGUUGGGUUGAUGAAGAUUAAAAAGAACGAAUUUCUAUCAUUGAAGCAAGGCAACAUGUUAGUCACGAGUAUCGUGACAAGUUCAUUCAGCUAUCGAGAUAUGCUCCUGAUGAGGUGGGUGAUGAUGAAAGAAAGCAAGAACACUUCACAAAAGGACUUAAUGGGCCACUACAUUACGCACUGGUUGCUCACACAUUUCCAUCAUUCCAGAGGCUGCUUGAUAAAGCUCUAGCUAUUGAACACAAGUGUGUUCAACUGGGAGAUUUGAAGAGGAAGGCCAUUGCCCAGGGGCAGGGUAGCAGCAGUGUUUGUCCUUGCUACGUUCCGCCUCAGGGUACCCCAGCUCGUCCCGGAGGAGGACCACGUCCAGCUCAGUAUGCUCCACAGGGGAUUCCGCAGACACCCCACACUUGUCAGGCUACCCCCAUUGGCACCCCGGCGAGGCCUACAGGGCAGAAGGUUGGCCCUACAUGCUUCAAGUGCAGUCAGAUUGGGCACUAUGCUAAUGCUUGUCCGGUGGGGAAUUCCAGUGCACCAGCUCAGAACAAGCAACAGACUCCUGGCAAGGGAUUCUCUAUUGCCAGGGUUAAUCAGGUCAGCGCUGAGGCUACUGCUGAAGGAGCUGACAUCGCACUUGGUAUGUUUUAUAUUAAUGCAAUUACUACAACAAUAUUAUUUGAUUCUGGUGCUACACAUUCAUUCAUGUCUGCUCGAUAUGCCAACACAAAUGAGUUACCACUGAAAAAUAUGAAAACACCAAUGCUAGUAUUUACACCUAAAGGGCCUGUUGAGGCAAAUCAUAUGACACAUAAAUUGACAUUGACAAUUAUGGGAAGAGAAUUCUGGGCUACCACUAUAAUAUUAGAGGCAAACAGUAUAGAUCUGAUCCUUGGUAUUUCAUGGCUAAGAAAGGCAAAGGCCAUUAUACAAUGUGGUAGGGGUACUGUAGAACUCACCAGCCCUAAAGGAGAAAGGUUUCAAGUUGAAAUUGCAGUAACUACCUCUACCAGACCUACGACAUUCUUCAUAGAUGUGGAGUUUGUUGGAGAUAACAUCCGUGUGGUUAGGGAUUUUCCAGAUGUCUUUCUGGAGGAGUUACCAGGGAUGCCACCGGAGAGGGAAGUUGAGUUUGUCAUUGAUCUCUUACCUGGGACUGCUCCUAUUUCUAAACGGCCAUACAGGAUGUCCGUAGAAGAGUUACAAGAGCUUAAGAAGUAGUUAACGGAGUUGCAAGAGGCAGGGUACAUUCGUCCGAGUUCCUCACCUUGGGGAGCACCAAUAUGUUUGUAUAGAAGAAGGAUGGUUCACAACGGAUGUGUGUGGACUAUAGAUCACUUAAUGAUGUCACCAUUAAGAACAAGUACCCGUUACCUCGUAUUGAUGACUUAUUUGAUCAGAUGAGAGGUGCUAAGGUGUUCUCUAAGAUUGACCUCAGGUCGGUCUACCAUCAAAUGAAGAUUAGGCCAUCUGAUAUUACCAAGAUGGCUUUCUCAACCCGAUAUGGUUUAUAUGAAUUCACAGUCAUGUCGUUUGGCUUAACCAAUGUACCAGCCUACUUCAUGAAUUUGAUGAACAAGGUGUUCAUGGAGUAUCUUGAUAAAUUCGUCGUAGUAUUCUCGAUGACAUUCUUAUUUAUUCCAAGAAUGAUAGUGAGCAUGAGGAGCAUUUGCGGAUGGUGCUACAGAAAUUACGAGAUAAUCAGCUUUAUGCCCAAUUUACCAAGUGUGAUUUCUGGCUUGAUGAAGUACAUUUUCUCGGUCAUAUCAUCUCCAAAGGAGGAAUUGCUGUGGAUCCGGCUAAAGUAACAGCGAUAGUUGAUUGGAAGAUACCAAGUACAGUAUUCGGAGUUUCUUGGGACUCGCAGGCUAUUACCGGCGAUUCAUUGAAGGGUUCUCCAAGAUUGCUAAGCCUAUGACCUCAUUGUUAGAAGGGCUAGGAGUUUAAGUGGACUGUGGAAUGCCAAGAGAGUUUCGACCAAUUGAGAUCUAAAUUGAUGGCAGCCCCAGUGCUGAUUAUGCCAGACCUAUAGAAGAAUUUUGAUAUAUAUUGUGAUGCAAGUCGCCAGGGCCUGGGAUGUGUGCUUAUGCAGGAAGGACACAUCAUUGCCUACGCGUCUCGCCAGUUGCGGAAACAUGAGUUGAAUUACCCCACUCAUGACUUAGAACUGGCAGCCAUUGUGCAUGCUCUCAAGAUCUGGAGACACUAUAUUAUGGGAACCAAGUGCCAAGUCUACACCGAUCACAAGAGCUUAAAAUACAUCUUCACUCAGAAGGAUCUCAACCUUAGGCAACACCGUUGGUUGGAGCUCAUCAAGGAUUAUGACAUAGAAAUUCACUAUCAUCCGGGCAAGGCGAAUCUGGUUGCAAAUGCUUUGAGUCGGAAGGGGCAGGUCCAUGCAGCUAUUGUCACCCAGUUACCCAAUGAGUUAGCAGAAGAUUUUGAGAGGCUCAAUCUAGGGAUAGUUGCUCAUCUAGGGAUAGUUGCUCAAACUGAAGUAAUUACCAUCGAAGUGGAACCUACCUUAGAGCAAGAAAUACAAAAGGGUCAGAUUGGUGAUGCCAAAAUUUAGGAGAUUAAAGAUCCAAUAACUAAAGGUAGAGGCCCAAAUUUCACGGAGGAUGAGCAGGGCACGAUAUGGUUCAAGAACCGGAUUUGCGUUCCAAAUAUCGAUAGUCUUCGAGAAACUAUAUUGAAGGAGGCACAUGACUCAGUUUACUCCAUCCACCCUGGUAGUACUAAGAUGUACCAGGACUUGAAGCAGAAGUAUUGGUGGUAUGGACUAAAGAAGGAUGUUGCUUCACAUGUUGCACUAUGUGAUGUUUGCCAAAUGGUGAAAUCGGAACAUCAAAGACCUGCUGGUUUACUACACCCGCUUAAGAUACCUGAGUGGAAAUGGGAAGAGAUUGGCAUGAACUUCAUUGUGGGUCUACCCCGCACAUCUGCUGGGUAUGACUCAAUAUAGGUGAUUGUGGAUAGGCUAACUAAAGUAGCCCACUUUAUUCCACUGAAUACCAUGUAUUCAAGAGCCAAGCUAGCAGAGUUGUACAUGGCACGGAUUGUCUACCUACAUGGUGUGCCUAAGAAAAUUGUGUCAGACCGGGGGUCACAGUUUACUUCUCGGUAUUGGAAGAAGUUGCACGAGUGCUUGGGUACAAGAUUGAAUUUUAGUUUGGCUUACCAUCCUCAAACUGAUGGGCAGACUGAGAGGACCAACCAAGUGCUAGAGGAUAUGUUAAGAGCUUAUGCUCUUACACAUGGUGGUAGUUGGGAUAAGAGUUUGCCCUAUGCAGAGUUUUCUUACAAUAAUAGCUACCAGGCCAGUUUGAAGAUGUCCCCGUUUGAGGCUUUGUAUGGCAGAAAGUGCAGGACUCCACUGUAUUGGGAUCAAACUGGUGAAAGGCAGUUCUUUGGACCUAAAAUUAUACAAGAGGCAGAACAACAAGUCCACCAAAUUAGGGAGAAUUUGAGAACUGCGCAGUUAAAGCAGAAAAUCUAUGCUGAUACCCGGAGAAGACUGCUAGAGUUUAAGGAGGGUGAUCAUGUAUAUUUGAAGGUGUCAACAAUCUGGGUAUGAUAAGAUUCAAAGUCAAAGGGAAGUUGUCCCCUCGCUUCAUUGGGCCCUUCUUAACCCUAAAGCGAGUGAGAGAGGUUGCAUAUCAACUAGAACUACCUGAUCAUCUUGCGGAUGUACAUGAUGUCUUCCAUGUAUCACAAUUGAAGAAGUGUCUCAGAUUACCUGAAGAGCAGCUACCCAUGGAGGAUCUUAGUGUUCAAGAUGAUGUGACUUAUACAGAAUAUCCUAUCAAGAUUCUUGAUAACUUGACUCGUGUCAUAAGGAGCAAAGUGAUUAAAAUGUGCAAAGUGCAAUGGAGCCACCAUGGAGAAGAUGAUGCUACUUGGGAAAGAGAAGAAGAACUAUGCAUAGACUUUCCCCACCUCUUUCCUAGUUCUACCUAAAUCUCGAGGAUGAGAUUCUUUGUAAGGGGGUAGGAUUUGUAAUACCCAAAAAUGUAUACAUUGAGAAUAUAGUUGAUCUCCCUAUUUUAUGUGCCAUAUAUUUAUCAUAACAAGAGCAUACCUAUAAGUAAGAGUGAUUAGUCAAAAUAAAUGGUACUAAAAUGGUGCCCUGCUAUGUAUCAACUAAUAUAAAAAAUAUUUAUUCUACCUCUAUUGUUGACUCAAGAAGCUCAGUUCCAGUUACAAUCCGGAGCACGACAGUGCUAACAAAACACCAUGAACAGUCCAUUCCAACAAAACUAGAGGAAGAACUUUAUUUGGAGUACCUUUUUUUACUAUGCAGUGAGAAUAACCUACUUCUAUGUAAAUAUAUGACAACAUGGUGUUUGCCAUACAAAUAUUAUGCUAAACUUACAUGUUCCUCUUAAUCCUAGCUACAUUGGAUCAUCUUUUGUUAAUUGUUACUAUGCGACUAUGCACCCUGUUAUGAAAUUAGCUAUUAUAAAUUCUCAAAUGGUGCAGCACUAUGAUAACAUCAUGGUCUGCUAUAGUCUAUGCUAUUUUGGUUGUAAAUUGUAUAGACUAUCUUUAUCUAUAUUUUUUUGUCUUAAAUACUACUCCCUCCGUUUUUUUAUUUGUCGUCUGUUAGUUUAAAUAUGAACUCGGGGGCGAUAAAUAUUCGAAAGCGGAGAUAAUAUUUAAUUAUAUGUGUGCGCUGGCGCGCACAAUUUACUAGUUGAAUCAUGUAACCGUACCAAAAAUUCCCAUAGUUAAGCCAUUGGAAGAGAUUUUUAACUAGUGGAAGUUCACGUAAUUGUAACCAGGACGGACGAACCAAUAAGAAGAAUACAGCUAGCUGGAUAGAGGUUCACGUUUUGAUUAAACUUUAUUAAAUAGUAUCCAUAUUUAUGGUUUCAAGUUAAUUUGUUAGAAAAAUAUAUCUUAUAAAGUAUAAAAUAUUUAUUCGAUAUUAUAAUGUUUUCAUGUGUAAUUGAUUAAACUUAUAAAAUACUUCAUUUCAAAAUAUAAUUCGUUUUUCAAAAUAUAAUUCGUUUGACUUUUUCAACCCUAACUUUAUUCACUCGUUUUAUUCAAAAAUAUCAUGAAUAACUAAAAAAAUUUAAGUCAUAUGUAAAGUAUAUUUGAUAAUAAACAAAACCACAAAAUUUUUUGGAUUAUUUAUAAUUUUUUGAAUAAGACGAAACUUGUGAUAAAAAAGAUAAACAAAUUAUAAAUUAGAACAGAGGUGGUACUAAAAUAUAAUACUACAUUAAAAUCGUAUUUUUUAUGCCGGAGCAUGUACUAUAUAUGCCGGCGGAAUAAACGGAUCCGAUCAAGCUUGCAGCCAUGCAAGCACUAAUAGGAUGUUUGGUUUGAGAAAUGAGCUAGUCCAUCAUCUUCUCACUCCUCACUAUUUUUGUUUGGUUUGUGAAAUGGAAUGAGUUGAUCCAUCACCACCUCAUUCCUCAUAGUUAGUACUAAUAUGAGGAAUAGAGUCAUUCCACCAAAUUUGAGAAAUGAACCCAUGAUGUACCACCUAAAUUUGAUUGUAGUGAUUCCUUAAACCAAACACACUCUAAGAAUUCAAUGGAGUUCACGUGGCCGACAACCUACUUCAAAAUUUAAGCAGGACGAACCAAUACAUGGACGAACGCCCAGGUCAUCCAGGUACUUGAAACCCUUAUUAUCAUAUUUAGGGCCGGCCCGUUCGAUUCUCUUGCAACUGUGCCUUAAAACUCGUACAAUUUUUGUUUAAAAUCUUGGACAACUAGACAAGACCUAAAAGUGCACGGAUACUAAACAAAAUAAAAUAACAUGAUAUCCAAUCAUGCAUACUUAGUCCAUGCAAACAUAUUUGUAUCCGUAAAUUGUAUAGACUGAUUUGGGUACAUGCAGUGGCGUAGACAAAGGGGCGGGCAGGGGCCAUGGCCCCCCUAACAAAAAGAAAAUUUGUUUUGUAGUUAUAUAUGGCUAAAAUAAAAGAGUUACCAUAUAAUAAAUUAAUAUUUAUUAUAUAUUUAGUAUAUAUGUGUUAAUUGUUAUGACUAAUAACUAUUGAAUAUAUUAGGGCUGGGCAUUCGAUUUUUUUUGAAAUUUCGGUUCGGUUUUUCGGUUUUCUAGACAUUAGAAACCAAUCGGUUUUCUAGAAAAUGAAAACCGAGAACUUCGGUUUCGGUUUUUUAUUUCGGUUUUUCAAUAAAAACCGAAUACCAAAUUUAUACUAAAAAGAACACAUACAACAAGUUUAUACGAUAGAUUAUACAUAAUUUUAAAAAAGUAAAAAUUAUAUAGGUACAAAUAUUUAGAGAUACAUCAUACAUCACAUAUAAAUAAGUGAAUAACAAUUUAAUUGGUUCACACAUUUAGUUCACAUAAUCAAAAAAUCAAAUUUUAGAAUUGAUAAAGUUUGGUAUUCGGUUUUUUUGGUAUUUCGGUUCGGUAUACGGUGAAAACCGAUUACGAUACCGAAAACCAAACUUCUGAGAUACAAAAACCGAAACCGAACCGAACUACCAAAAAAACCGAAAUUUCGGUUCGGUACGGUUCGGUUCGGUUUUCGGUUUAUGGUAAAAAAGUGCCCACCCCUAGAAUAUAUACAUAUAUUAUAUUUAUUCACGUUACAACUAUAAUUACAUAUGUGUUGGCCCCCUAAAGAAAAAUCUUGGCUAUGCCACUGGGUACACGGAUGGAAGACUGAUCCAGAUUAGAAUCAAACUCUAUUUCUAUUUAUUUUUGAACUAAAAUUAAUUAAGGGUUCAAACAAAUAGUGAAGAAACAUUUAGAUCGUGAUUCAUUACCACCCUACCUUAGAGCAAGGUUAAUUGUAUAGCACAGAGCAGGCUAUAUUGCCCUGUUACAUAUAGCCAACUAAAAAUCUAGUUAUAUAAGAACCCUCUCAUUGUACAAGCUACACAUUUAAUACUUAGCUCAUAUCUUUUUCUCACAAUCAAUCUUGGAGUUUGUGAGCAACCCACUUCAGCUAGAUAUUAGUGAGCAAACCACUUCCAUUCUCUCUUCAUUUCUCUUUCUUCCACAUCAUCACAAAUCUAAUGUGAUAUCUCUUGCAGCCCGUGAGGGCUCAAUCUGAUAUUUCUCUUGAAGUUGUUGAGCUCUUCCUGCAUGGUCAUCACCCAGUCAGGAUCCUUCAAAGCUUCUUCGACCCUGAAAAGCUCAAUAGAGGAUACAAAGGAGUAAUGCUCACAAAAAUCAGCAACACAAGAUCUAGUGGUUACUCCCUUGUUGAUGUCCCCUAGAACUAUGUCCACCGGUUGAUCGUGUUGUAUGGUGGUGCGAACGCGGGGUUGAGGCGCUUGUGGACCAUCAUCUUCCUCCUUGCCUUCCUCUUCAUGCGCUCCGCCUUGAUCAAUGCCAUCAUCUUGAGGUACUUGUUCCUCAUCUUAAGUAGGGGGUUGUGCCAUUGUUGAGGAAGAGGGUUGAUCUUGCACUAGUGGCUCCUGCGGUCGCACAUCUCCAAUCGCAUAGUUCCUUAGUGUGGUCGUCGAAACCUCCUCAUCAUCUAAGUCAUCAAGAUCAACACGCUCUCUUGCAGAGCCAUUAGUCUCAGCAAAUACAACAACACUAGUGACUUUGACAAGUCCAGAAGAUUUGUAGAAGACCCUAAAUGCUCUUGUAUUUGAAUCAUAACCUAGUAAAAACCCUUCUACAACUUUGGGAGCAAAUUUGGGAUUCCGACCUUUCUUUACUAAAAUGUAACAUUUGCUUCCAAAUACUCAAAAUAAGAAACAUUGGGUUUGUUACCAGUUAGGAGUUCGUAUGCGGUCUUCUUGACGAGGCAUGCAGGUACAACCGAUUUAUGGCAUGGCAAGUUGUGUUCAUAGCUUCCACCCAAAGCCGAUCCGACCUCUUGUAUUCUUCAAGCAUCAUCUUCACCAUGUUGACAAGCGUCCUAUUCUUCUUUUCCACCAUGCAUUUCGUUGUGGUGUGUAGGGGCGGAGAACUUGUGCUUGACGCCUUCCUCCUCAAGGUACUCUUCAACUUGUAGGUUCUUGAACUUUAUGUUGUUGUCACUUGUUAUCUUUUUAAUCCUCAAGUCAAAUUCAUUUUGAGCUCACCUUAAGAAUCGCUUGAGGGUCCCUUGGGAGAAUAGCCAAGUGAAGCGAGUAUAGUCAUCUACCAUAACGUGACCAUACUUACCUCCGCUGAUGCUAAGGUAAGCAACAGGGCCAAAUAGGUCCAUAUGAAGUAGCUCUAGUGGUCUUGAUGUCGUCUUUAUGUUCUUGCUUGGAUAACUUGAACCAACCUACUUUCCUGCUUGCCAAGCUGGACAAGGUAUGUCUUUCUCAAAACAAACAACAGUUAGUGCUAACAUAACUUCUCCCUUUAAAAGUUUAUGAAGAUUCUUCAUUCUAACAUGUGCUAGACGGCGAUGCCACAACCAACCCAUAGCAAUUAUCUUUCGAAAAAUCUACAAACUAAAGCUUGCACCUCUAAUACACCUUUAAAAGCUAAAUGAAUUAUCACAUCUUCUAAAGACAAUAAUGUCUACAUUGGUGCAUAAGCAAUUAUAACCCAUGGUACAAAGCUGACUAACAAAAAGCAGAGUAUGGCCUAGUGAUUCUAGUAGAAAAAACAUUUGAAAUAGAAUCCUCGGUAGUUAUGGCAAUCUUACCCAACCUCUUUAUAUUGCCUUGAUUCCCAUCUCCAAAUAUGCUUUUCUCUUGGUAAUCUUUGUUUUUGACAUAGGAAGAAAACAUCAACUUCUCCCCCGUCAUGUGGUUUGUGCAUCCGCUAUCAAUAAUCAAGCUUGAGCCCCACAUAUGCAUAAAUUUGCAAAAUAAAUUUAGGCUAGGGUCUAGGUACCCAACUAGAGUUGGGUCCUAUCAGGUUAGUCAUAUAUGACUUUGGCACCCAAAUGCAAGUCUUACCAUUCUUGCUUUUGGAUCUCACAUGAGAAGCAACUACUUUACUAGAUUUACAAUAAAGUACAUAGGAUGAAUCAAAUGUACAAUAAGAAAUAGAAGGACCAUAUGAUGCAUUCCUAGCCUUAGACACAUGAGUGGAUCUAACAUGAGAAACAUUGUGCCUACUUCUACCAUGAGCAUCAUAGGCACUAGAAGAAGCAAUCAUGACAUGUGAAGCAUAAACAACAUCAUGAUGCAUAGGAUAAACAACAUGAUCAAUAUAAGCAUCAUGAACAUUUCAAUCAUUUUUAACAUUAGCAUAAAUAUAAACAUGGUUCCUGCUAACAUGAGAAGAAUGAGCACUACUAGCAAUAGGCGCUUUCCAUUUUCCUUACUGAACAUGGGGGGCCUCAUGGCUCUUUUUGCCUUUGGCUCCCUUAUGGAAGCCAAUACCACCCUUAAUGGAGGGAUGUCUACCAAUUGUUUAGGCAUCCCUUAGUCUGUCGCACGUCACAAGCAAGGUUUUAUUUACUAUGGCGGUGACUUAUUGUGGCCGAAUGUUGGGCUCGGGCGAGCCGUUUCGGCUGACACAUAAUUAGGGGGAUUUUUGCUACUUUAUUACAAUGCACUGCCUCAAUAAAAACCUCACCGCUUCGUGAGGAAAAGAUUCGGGCCUGAAUGUUCAGUGCUUAAAUAUUACAUGGGCAUUUGAGGGUGCUUACGAUCGAAGUCGCUUUUACAAAAAACAUCAUGUGCAUUAGCAUUACAUUGUGUAUGAUACACCUAGAAUGCAUCCACCAGGCUAAAAUUUCAACACAAAACAUGUGAUGUGAUGCUUGUGUGAUGGUAUGACCUAGUAAGGGGGCCUUAACAUUAGAUGAGAGAAUCUCUCCAAGGACUAGAAGCAUGUGAGCUUAUGUUGUGGGCACUGAGGAGUGAUCUUACCAAGUUUGGUAAACAUGUUCAAGAAAUAAUUACUUGAAGAAGUUAAGCACUUAAUGUACCCUAGGACACUCAAAACCCCAAAUUGGAGCCCAAAACCCUAAUUAGUGCCCUAUAGGGUGAUUUCAAAUUCUAUGCACUUUUCACCAAAAGUGCCAAAAUCAAAGUAAUAGAGUAACAAACACUAAGCAACUUUUAUAUUUGGAGAUUUCCAUGUUUUGUGUUGAAACUUGGAUUAAUUUGUAAAGGUUCAUAAGCACCUCUAUUCUUGAACCCUGAAAAACAGUGUUGUUGAGUCAACUUUGGGCUCUUAUAUCUCUUAAUCCAUAAGGGAUUUUCUAUAAGUCAUUAUGGCAAAGUUGUAGAGCUACUAUAGUAGUACAAAUUUGAUUAAGUUACCUAGGCCUAGAAUGAGGCGCACCAAUCCUCUGGGACUCAAAUGUGAUACAAUUACUAGUCCCAGGAGGCUAGUAAACACAUUUAUACAUCAGAUGAUUUCAGAUCUGCUUAAACGAGACAAACCUAUAAAGGUGGCAAUCAACUUUAAAAGUUGGUCCACAACUCGGGACAUAUCAUCAGAGUGGGGCUGAAACAGCCCGAUAUACACAGCGAAGCAAAUCAACAGUCCAACAGCCACAUGCAAGCUUGGAAACAUGCGUAACUCUUACCCGAUCAGCGAUCUCCUUCUCUGAAAAAUAUCAAAUAAGCAAGGGUGAGUACUUACGUACUCAGCAGCCCACCUUUACCCACAGAAUGGGGAAAUCAGAUAUAAUGCAUGGAAUAUGUGGAGCUCAGGAUAUUUUGCAGAAAGAGCAAUAUUUGAUGCAGGGUUAUUUUGUAAAACAUUUUUUAUUUUUCAAAGUGCAUCCUCUCCCAAAGGAGCAGGAAGUUUUUCAAUAUAGAACAAAAUCCCCUGGACUAAACCAUCCAGGUAUCUCAGCAGUUUCUCACAGGUUUUCAUUUUCAAAAACAACUACUGGACUUCCCGUCCACCAUAGCUCACAGCUCGACCGUCGGACCUUUUAAAACCACUUUUCAAAAGCAUUUUUGGAAAACAAAACACUAAUUUUCAAAUCCAUGCCAUGACUCAUCCAUAUCCGUGGACGCAGACUAUUCGAAUAGGUUUUUAACUCUGCGCAGAGGUGUACACUUUACCCACUAGUCCGGUUUCUGCAAUCUCACCAUCGUGAGAUUCGAAUGUCGAAACUCUUUCCUUCCUUGCACGUCCUUACCUUAGCGAUUAUACCGGAAGGAACAAGGCCACCACCAUGCCCAAACCAAACAAAACAUUCCCCUUCCUUAUCCUCCCGGUGCUCCCCAGCCGUCGUAAUUGAUAGUCGCCUAGAGGGGGGGGUGAAUAGGGCGAAACUGAAAUUUACAAAUAUAAACACAACUACAAGCCGGGUUAGCGUUAGAAAUAAAACUGAGUCCGCGAGAGAGGGUGGAAAACAAAUCGCAAGCAAAUGAAGAGUGUGACACGCGGAUUUGUUUUACCGAGGUUCGGUUCUCUCAAACCUACUCCCCGUUGAGGAGGCCACAAAGGCCGGGUCUCUUUCAACCCUUCCCUCUCUCAAACGGUCCUUCCGACCGAGUGAGCUUCUCUUCUCAAAUCAAAGUCGGGAACAAAACUUCCCCGCAAGGGCCACCACACAAUUGGUGCCUCUUGCCUUGAUUACAAUGGAGUUUUGAUUUCAAGAACAAGUGAGAAAGAAAAGAAGUAAUCCAAGCGCAAGAGCUCAAAAGAACACGACAAAUCUCUCUCGCUAAUCACUAAAGACUUGUGUGGAGGUGGAGAGGAUUUGAUCUCUUUGGUGUGUCUAGAAUUGAAUGCCUAGCUCUUGUAAGUGGUUGAGAAGUGGAAAACUUGGAUGCAAUGAAUGGUGGGGUGGUUGGGGUAUUUAUAGCCCCAACCACCAAACUUGACCGUUGGUGGAGGCUGUCUGUUCGAUGGCGCACCGGACAGUCCGGUGCACACCGGACAUGUCCGGUGCCCCAGCCACGUCACCAGUGCCGUUGGAAUCUGACCGUUGGAGUUCUGACUUCUGGGCCCGCCUUGAUGUCCGGUGGCACACCGGACAUGUACUGUAGAGUGUCCGGUGCGCCAGCAUGGGCGUGCCUGACCCCUGCGCGUGCUGGCGCGCAAUAAAUGCGCCGCAGGUAGCCGUUGGCGCCUGAAGUAGCCGUUGCCCCGCAGAUGCACCGGACAGUCCGGUGCACACCGGACAGUCCGGUGAAUUAUAGCGGAGCGGCUGGCGUGAAAACCCGAGGCUGGCGAGUUCCUGAGGCCGCUCUUCCUUGGAGCACUGGACAUGUCCGGUGCACACCGGACAGUCCGGUUAAUUAUAGCGGAGUGGCCUCUGGAAAUUUCCGAGAGCGAAGACUAUGGGGUCGGAGUCCUCUGGUGCACCGGACAUGUCCGGUGGCACACCGGACAGUCCGGUGUGCCAGACCAGAGGAACCUUCGGUUGCUCCUUUGCUCUUUUGUUGAACCCAACACUUGGUCUUUUUAUUGGCUAAGUGUGAACCUUUGGCACCUGUAUAACUUAUACACUAGAGCAAACUAGUUAGUCCAAAGAUUUGUGUUGGGCAAUUCAACCACCAAAAUUAUUUAGGAACUAGGUGUAAGCCUAAUUCCCUUUCAAUCUCCCCCUUUUUGGUGAUUGAUGCCAACACAAACCAAAGCAAAUAUAAAAGUGCAUAAUUGAACUAGUUUGCAUAAUGUAAGUGCAAAGGUUGCUUGGAAUUGAGCCAAUAUAAAUACUUACAUGAUGCGCAUGGAUUGUUUCUUUGUUUUUAACAUAUUGGACCACAUUUGCACCACAUGUUUUGUUUUUGCAAAUUCUUUUGUAAAACCUUUUCAAAGUCCUUUUGCAAGAUAGUCAAAGGUAAAUGAAUAAGAUUUUUGCAAAGCAUUUUCAAGAUUUGAAAUUCUCUCCCCUUGUUCCAAAUGCUUUUCUUUUGACUAAACAAAACUCCCCCUCAAAUAAAUUCUCCUCUUAGUGUUCAAGAGGGUUUUAAGACAUCAAUUUUGAAAAUACUACUUGCUCCCCCUUUAGAAACACAAAGAGAUACCAAUCUUGAAAUUUUUCAUCCAAUUGAAAAUCAUUAAAAUUAGGGUGGUGGUGCGGUCCUUUUGCUUUGGGCUCAUACAUAUUUUCUCCCCCUUUGGCAUGAAUCGCCAAAAACGGAAUCAUUAGAGCCCUUUGAAGUACUUUCUCCUCCUUUGGUCAUAAAAUAAAUGAGUGAAGAUUAUACCAACGUUUGGAGAGUGAUGCAGAGCGACGGCGAAGGAUGAGUAGUAGAGUGGAGUGGAAGCCUUUGUCUUCGCCGAAGACUCCAAUUUCCUUUCAAUAUACCUAUGACUUGGUUUGAAAUACACUUGAAAACAUAUUAGUCAUAGCAUAUAAAAGAGACAUGAUCAAAGGUAUACUUGUGUGCUAUGUGUGCAAAUUAGCAAAAGAAGUUCCUAGAAUCAAGAAUAUUGAGCUCAUGCCUAAGUCUGGUAAAAGAUUGUUCAUCAAGUGGCUUGGUAAAAAUAUCGGCUAAUUGAUCUUUAGUAUUAAUGUAUGCAAUUUCGAUAUCCCCCUUUUGUUGGUGAUCCCUAAGAAAAUGAUACCGAAUGGCUAUGUGUUUAGUGCGGCUGUGCUCGACGGGAUUGUCGGCUAUUUUGAUUGCACUCUCAUUAUCACAUAGCAAAGGGACUUUGGUUAAUUUGUAACCGUAGUCCCGCAGGGUUUGCCUCAUCCAAAGCAAUUGCGCGCAACAAUGACCUGCGGCAAUGUACUCGGCUUCGGCGGUUGAAAGAGCGACCGAAUUUUGCUUCUUUGAAGCCCAAGACACCAAGGAUCUUCCCAAGAACUGACAAGUCCCCGAUGUGCUCUUUCUAUUAAUCUUACACCCCGCCCAAUCGGCAUCCGAAUAACCAAUCAAAUCAAAAGUGGAUCCCCGAGGGUACCAAAGCCCAAACAUAGGAGUAUAAGCCAAAUAUCUCAAGAUUCGUUUUACGGCCAUAAGGUGGGAUUCCUUAGGGUCGGAUUGGAAUCUUGCACACAUGCAAACGGAAAGCAUAAUGUCCGGUCGAGAUGCACACAAGUAGAGUAAAGAACCUAUCAUCGACCGAUAUACCUUUUGAUCCACGGACUUACCUCUCGUGUCAAGGUCGAGAUGCCCAUUUGUUCCCAUGGGUGUCUUGAUGGGCUUGGCAUCCUUCAUUCCAAACUUGGUUAGAAUGUCUUGAGUAUACUUUGUUUGGCUAAUGAAGGUGCCCUCUUGGAGUUGCUUGACCUGGAAUCCUAGAAAAUACUUCAACUCCCCCAUCAUCGACAUCUCGAAUUUCUGUGUCAUGAUCCUACUAAAUUCUUCACAUGUAGAUUCGUUAGUAGACCCAAAUAUGAUAUCAUCAACAUAAAUUUGGCAUACGAACAAAUCAUUUGCAAGAGUUUUAGUGAACAAAGUAGGAUCGGCCUUGCCGACUUUGAAGCCAUUAGCAAUAAGGAAAUCUCUAAGGCAUUCAUACCAUGCUCUUGGGGCUUGCUUGAGCCCAUAAAGCGCCUUAGAGAGCCUAUAGACAUGGUUAGGGUACUCACUAUCUUCAAAGGCGAGAGGUUGCUCAACAUAGACCUCUUCCUUGAUUGGUCCAUUGAGGAAGGCACUUUUCACGUCCAUUUGAUAAAGCUUGAAGCCAUGGUAAGUAGCAUAGGCUAAUAAUAUUCGAAUUGACUCAAGCCUAGCAACGGGUGCAUAGGUUUCACCGAAAUCCAAACCUUCGACUUGGGAGUAUCCCUUGGCCACAAGUCGGGCUUUGUUCCUCGUCACCACACCAUGCUCAUCUUGCUUGUUGCGGAAGACCCAUUUGGUUCCUACAACAUUUUGGUUAGGACGUGGAACUAAAUGCCAUACCUCAUUCCUAGUGAAGUUGUUGAGCUCCUCUUGCAUCGCCACCACCCAAUCCGAAUCUUGAAGUGCUUCCUCUACCCUGUGUGGCUCAAUAGAGGAAACAAAAGAGUAAUGCUCACAAAAAUGUGCAACACGAGAUCUAGUGGUUACCCCCUUAUGAAUGUCACCGAGGAUGGUGUUGACGGGGUGAUCUCGUUGGAUUGCUUGGUGGACUCUUGGGUGUGGCGGCCUUUGCUCUUCAUCCUCCUUUUCUUGAUCAUUUGCAUCUCCCCUUGAUCAUUGCCGUCAUCUUGAGGUGGCUCAUUUGCUUGAUCUUCUUCAUCUUGAGCUUCAUCCUCAUUUUGAGUUGGCGGAGAUGCUUGCAUGGAGGAGGAUGGUUGAUCUUGUGCAUUUGGAGGCUCUUCGGAUUCCUUAGGACACACAUCUCCAAUGGACAUGUUCCUUAGCGCGAUGCACAGAGCCUCUUCAUUACCUAUCUAAUCAAGAUCAACUUGCUCUACUUGAGAGCCGUUAAUUUCAUCAAACACAACGUCACAAGAAACUUCAACAAGUCCUGAGGACUUGUUAAAGACUCUAUAUGCCCUUGUGUUUGAGUCAUAUCCUAGUAAAAAGCCUUCUACAGUUUUAGGAGCAAAUUUUGAUUUUCUACCUCUUUUAACCAGAAUAAAGCAUUUGCUACCAAAAACUCUAAAAUAUGAAAUAUUUGGCUUUUUACCGGUUAGGAGUUCAUAUGAUGUCUUCUUGAGGAUUCGGUGUAGAUAUAACCGGUUGAUGGCGUAGCAAGCGGUGUUAACUGCCUCGGCCCAAAACCGAUCCGGUGUCUUGUACUCAUCAAGCAUGGUUCUUGCCAUGUCCAAUAGAGUUCGAUUCUUCCUCUCCACUACACCAUUUUGUUGUGGGGUGUAGGGAGAAGAGAACUCAUGCUUGAUGCCCUCCUCCUCAAGGAAGCCUUCAGUUUGAGAGUUCUUGAACUCCGUUCCGUUGUCGCUUCUAAUUUUCUUGAUCCUUAAGCCGAACUCAUUUUGAGCCCGUCUCAAGAAUCCCUUUAAGGUCUCUUGGGUUUGAGAUUUUUCCUGCAAAAAGAACACCCAAGUGAAGCGAGAAUAAUCAUCCACAAUAACUAGACAGUACUUACUCCCGCCGAUGCUUAUGUAAGCGAUCGGGCCGAAUAGGUCCAUGUGUAGGAGCUCUAGUGGCCUGUCACUAGUCAUGAUGUUCUUGUGUGGAUGAUGAGUGCCAACUUGCUUCCCGGCUUGGCAUGCGCUACAAAUCAUGUCUUUCUCAAAAUGAACAUUUGUUAGUCCUAAAAUGUGCUCUCCCUUUAGAAGCUUAUGAAGAUUCUUCAUUCCAACAUGGGCUAGUCGGCGGUGCCAAAGCCAACCCAAGUUAGUCUUAGCAACCAAGCAAGUGUCGAGUUCAGCUCUAUUAAAAUCUACCAAGUAUAGCUGACCCUCUAACACUCCCUUGAAUGCUAUUGAAUCAUCACUUCUUCUAAAGACAGUAACACCUACAUCAGUAAAUAGACAGUUGUAGCCCAUUUGACAUAAUUGGGAUACGGAAAGCAAAUUGUAAUCUAAAGAAUCUACAAGAAAAACAUUGGAAAUAGUAUGGUCAGGUGAUAUAGCAAUUUUACCCAAUCCUUUGACCAAACCUUGAUUUCCAUCCCCGAAUGUGAUAGCUCGUUGGGGAUCUUGGUUUUUCUCAUAUGAGGAGAACAUCUUCUUCUCCCCUGUCAUGUGGUUUGUGCACCCGCUAUCGAGUAUCCAACUUGAGCCCCCGGAUGCAUAAACCUACAGAACAAUUUUAGUUCUUGACUUUAGGUACCCAAACGGUUUUGGGUCCUUUGGCAUUAGAAACAAGAACUUUGGGUACCCAAACACAAGUCUUUGAUCCCUUGUGUUUGCCUCCAACAAACUUGGCAACUACCUUGCCGGAUUUGUUAGUCAAAACAUAAGAUGCAUCAAAAGUCUUAAAUGAAAUGGCAUGUUCAUUUGAUGCAUUAGGAAUUUUCUUCUUAGGCAACUUAGCACGGUUUGGUUGCCUAGAGCUAGAUGUCUCACCCUUAUACAUAAAAGCAUGAUUAGGGCCAGAGUGAGACUUCCUAGAGUGAAUUUUCCUAAUUUUGUCCUCGGGAUAACCGGCAGGGUAUAAAAUGUAACCCUCGUUAUCCUGAGGCAUGGGAGACUUACCCUUAACAAAGUUAGACAAGUUCUUAGGAGGGGCAUUAAGUUUGACAUUGUCUCCCCUUUGGAAGCCAAUGCCAUCCUUGAUGCCAGGGCGUCUCCCAUUAUAGAGCAUACUUCUAGCAAAUUUAAAUUUUUCAUUUUCUAAGUUAUGCUCGGCAAUUUUAGCAUCUAAUAAUGCUAUAUGAUCAUUUUGUUGUUUAAUUAAGACCAUGUGAUCAUGAAUAGCAUUAACAUCAAUAUCUCUACAUCUAGUACAAAUAGAAAUAUGCUCAACAUUAGAUGUAGAUGGUUUGCAAGAAUUAAGUUCAACAAUCUUAGCGCGCAAGAUAUCAUUUUUAUCUCUAAGAUCGGAAAUUGUAACAUUGCAGACAUCUAGUUCUUUAGCCUUAGCAAUUAAUUUUUCAUUUUCUACUCUAAGGCUAGCAAGAGAAAUGUUCAAUUCUUCAAUCCUAGCAAGCAAAUCAUCAUUAUUAUCUCUAGGAUUGGGAAUCGAAACAUUACAAACAUGUGAAUCAACCUUAGCAUUUAAACUAGCAUUUUCAUUCCUAAGGUUGUCAAUCAUCUCACGGCAAGUGCUUAGCUCACUAGAUAGUUUUUGACAUUUUUCUACUUCUAGAGCAUAAGCAUUUUUAACCUUAACAUGUUUUUUAUUUUCCUUGAUUAGGAAGUCCUCUUGGGAGUCCAAGAGAUCAUCCUUCUCAUGGAUGGCACUAAUUAGUUCAUUUAAUUUUUCCUUUUGUUCCAUGUUAAGGUUGGCAAAAAGGGUACGCAAAUUAUCUUCCUCAUUACUAGCAUUAUCCUCAUCACUAGAGGUUUCAUAUUUAGUGGAGGAUCUUGAUUUUACCUUCUUUUUGCCGUCCUUUGCCAUGAGGCAUUUGUGGCCGACGUUGGGGAAGAGAAGUCCUUUGGUGACGGCGAUGUUGGCGGCGUCCUCGUCGUCGGAGGAGUCGCUAGAGCUUUCGUCGGAGUCCCACUCCCGACAAACAUGGGCAUCGCCGCCCUUCUUCUUGUAGUACCUCUUCUUCUCCUUUCUUCUCCCCUUCUUGUCGUCGCCCCUGUCACUGUCACUUGAUAAUGGACAUUUAGCUAUAAAGUGACCGGGCUUACCACACUUGUAGCAAACCUUCUUGGAGCGGGACUUGUAAUCUUUCCCUCUCCUUUGUUUGAGGAUCUGGCGAAAGCUCUUGAUGACGAGUGCCAUUUCCUCAUUGUCGAGCUUGGAGGCGUCGAUUGGUUGUCGACUUGGUGUAGACUCCUCCUUCUUUUCUUCCGUCGCCUUGAAUGCGACGGGUUGAGCUUCCGACGUGGAGGGAUCAUCAAGCUCGUUGAUCUUCCUCGAGCCUUCGAUCAUGCACUCAAAACUUACAAAAUUCCCGAUAACUUCCUCGGGGGUCAUUUUAGUAUAUCUAGGAUUACCACGAAUUAAUUGAACUUGAGUGGGGUUAAGGAAAAUGAGAGAUCUUAGAAUAACCUUAACCAUUUCGUGGUCGUCCCACUUCUUGCUCCCGAGGUUGCGCACUUGGUUCACCAAGGUCUUGAGCCGGUUGUACAUGUGUUGUGGCUCUUCCCCUUUGCGAAGCCGGAACCGACCAAGCUCCCCCUCGAUCGUUUCCCGCUUGGUGAUCUUUGUGAGCUCAUCUCCCUCGUGCGCGGUUUUGAGCACAUCCCAAACCUCCUUGGCGCUCUUCAACCCUUGAACUUUGUUAUACUCCUCUCUACUUAAAGAGGCGAGGAGUAUUGUUGUUGCUUGAGAGUUGAAGUGCUCGAUUUGGGCCACCUCAUCCUCAUCAUAGUCUUCAUCCCCUACGGACGGUACCUGUGCACCAAACUCAACAACAUCCCAUAUACUUUUGUGGAGCGAGGUUAGAUGAAAUCGCAUUAAAUCACUCCACCUAGCGUAAUCUUCACCAUCAAAAGUUGGUGGUUUGCCUAAUGGGACGGAAAGUAAAGGUGUAUGUUUAGAAAUGCGAGGGUAGCGUAGGGGGAUCUUACUAUACUUCUUGCGCUCUUGGCGCUUAGAAGUGACGGAUGCCGCGUCGGAGCCGGAGGUGGAUGUUGAUGAAGUGUCGGUCUCGUAAUAGACCACUUUCCUCAUCCUCUUGUGCUUGUCCCCACUCCGAUGCGGCUUGUGAGAAGAAGAUUUCUCCUUCUUCUCUUUGUGGUGAGAAGAAGAUUUCUUCUCCUUCCCUUUGUUGGAGGAGCUCUUCUUCUUCUCCUUCCUCUUGGUGCGGGACUCUUUCGAUGAAGUGCUCCCAUGGCUUAUAGUGGGCUUUUCGCCGGUCUCCAUCUCCUUCUUGGCGUGAUCUCCCGACAUCACUUCGAGCGGUUAGGCUCUAAUGAAGCAUCGAGCUUUGAUACCAAUUGAUAGUCGCCUAGAGGGGGGUUGAAUAGGGCGAAACUGAAAUUUACAAAUAUAAACACAACUACAAGCCGGGUUAGCGUUAGAAAUAAAACCGAGUCCGCGAGAGAGGGUGGAAAACAAAUCGCAAGCAAAUGAAGAGUGUGACACGCGGAUUUGUUUUACCGAGGUUCGGUUCUCUCAAACCUACUCCCCGUUGAGGAGGCCACAAAGGCCGGGUCUCUUUCAACCCUUCCCUCUCUCAAACGGUCCUUCCGACCGAGUGAGCUUCUCUUCUCAAAUCAAAGUCGGGAACAAAACUUCCCCGCAAGGGCCACCACACAAUUGGUGCCUCUUGCCUUGAUUACAAUGGAGUUUUGAUUUCAAGAACAAGUGAGAAAGAAAAGAAGUAAUCCAAGCGCAAGAGCUCAAAAGAACACGACAAAUCUCUCUCGCUAAUCACUAAAGACUUGUGUGGAGGUGGAGAGGAUUUGAUCUCUUUGGUGUGUCUAGAAUUGAAUGCCUAGCUCUUGUAAGUGGUUGAGAAGUGGAAAACUUGGAUGCAAUGAAUGGUGGGGUGGUUGGGGUAUUUAUAGCCCCAACCACCAAACUUGACCGUUGGUGGAGGCUGUCUGUUCGAUGGCGCACCGGACAGUCCGGUGCACACCGGACAUGUCCGGUGCCCCAGCCACGUCACCAGUGCCGUUGGAAUCUGAUCGUUGGAGUUCUGACUUCUGGGCCCGCCUUGAUGUCCGGUGGCACACCGGACAUGUACUGUAGAGUGUCCGGUGCGCCAGCAUGGGCGUGCCUGACCCCUGCGCGUGCUGGCGCGCAAUAAAUGCGCCGCAGGUAGCCGUUGGCGCCUGAAGUAGUCGUUGCCCCGCAGAUGCACCGGACAGUCCGGUGCACACCGGACAGUCCGGUGAAUUAUAGCGGAGCGGCUGGCGUGAAAACCCGAGGCUGGCGAGUUCCUGAGGCCGCUCUUCCUUGGAGCACCGGACAUGUCCGGUGCACACCGGACAGUCCGGUUAAUUAUAGCGGAGUGGCCUCUGGAAAUUUCCGAGAGCGAAGACUAUGGGGUCGGAGUCCUCUGGUGCACCGGACAUGUCCGGUGGCACACCGGACAGUCCGGUGUGCCAGACCAGAGGAACCUUCGGUUGCUCCUUUGCUCUUUUGUUGAACCCAACACUUGGUCUUUUUAUUGGCUAAGUGUGAACCUUUGGCACCUGUAUAACUUAUACACUAGAGCAAACUAGUUAGUCCAAAGAUUUGUGUUGGGCAAUUCAACCACCAAAAUUAUUUAGGAACUAGGUGUAAGCCUAAUUCCCUUUCAGUAAUCCUGGGGUUCGGACCGUGCAAGUUCAGAUAAAGCGACUGCCCAUAUAGUCUCGAGUGGUUGUACUUGAUAAGAGUAUAGGUAAGGAGUGAUGACAAACCGGUCCUUAGGCGAGAGGGACAAUCCUUCAUGCUCACACCUAACCUGGCUGAGCCAACACCUUAGGCCCUCCCAAACCAGGGAGUCCCUGAUCAUCCCACUCAAGGGUGAUAAGGGUGACAACCCUUCAUCAUACCCAUUUUGAAAAACAUUUUCUUUUCAAAACUCACACCUUUUCUCAAAUCAUUUGCAACAAAUAUGUCAAGGAGUAUAAAUAUGAAUUGCGGCAAUGUUCUAAGGCUGGGUGGCCAUAAUAACUUGUCUCUUAGCAGCAAAUCAUAUCAUGCAUAAAAUAAUAGGAUGAGGGUUGUGGUUGAAAAAGCAUAGGUAAUUUAUGCAUCAAAGAGAUCAAGUGAGCUUGCCGUGCUUAACCGGCGAAAGGGUGAGAGCUCGCAGAACUGGCUUGUGGCUCCACCGCCUGGCAUAGACUUGCAGAUCUGGCCUUCACGAGACGACACGAACGCUCCGAUAACUAUGCAACAUGAACAAGCAAACAUACGAACCAGCAAGUAUAUCAACAAAUAUUUAGUAUAGUGGUCAGAAUGGCGAUAUAUGGAUGGGUAGAGUCUUGAGUAGAAUCUGUGUCAUGUGGUGCUGUGAUAUUACUAGUGGUGGAGUGGAGGUGCUUAACAGGAGGGUGGAUUGGAGGCGAAGCGACACUAUGCGCGUAGCCGGCAGAGCGGGGUAACUGAGUGGGUGGGGUGUUUGCCUUGGCUGAGGGUGUUGAGUGUGUGGAGAGGGAGAGGGUAGUUGGGUGUAUUUAUAGCUAGAUACCAGUGGUUUAGUACAGUAGAGUUCACUGUUGGUGAGAAUAGUGGCGAAUGAAUCAUCUGACUUAGUCUGAACAGGGAAAUUAUAGGUAGAAUAUGGGACAAGAUUAUUUUGGAAGUUUUCUGGAAUAUAGACCAUGCUUAAGGGAUGACAUGGUCGGAUAGAGAAUAAUUUGAUAAGAAUUUAAAACAAGAAUUAUUGGAAUAUGAGUUUGGAAGUCUGGUUCGAAAGAAUCUCAAAGUUAAGCGUGCUCAACUUGGAGAAAAUCUGGGAUGGGUGACCAGACAGAAGUUCUUACUGGAAGGAAAAUCACAGUCACCGGAGUUCGUAUGACUGGAAUAUUGGUCUAGCAGGUCUUAGGUGAGCUGGACAGCAUGAUGGAUGAGCAAUUGAAAUUUGGGGUGAUCGGAUGAUCGAUGAAUAGUAACGAUGAAUAGUGAUGAUGAAAUAGUAGCGAUAAAUAUCAUUGAUGGAUAGUAAUGACGAUAAAUAGUAAUGGUGAAUAGUAACAAUAAAUAGUAACGGUAAAUAGUAAUGGUGAAUAGUGAUGGUGAAUAGUAAUGGUGAAUAGUCGUAUGCACGAACGAUGAAUAGGGACUAUGAACGAACGAUGAAUAGGGACUAUGAACGAUGAAUAGGGACUAUGAAGUAAUGAUGAACGAUGAAUAGUGACUAUGAACGAACGAUGGACGAUGAAUAGAAACUAUGAACGAACGGACGAACGAACGGAAUUUCGGCAGCAUAACGACUAAACAAAGAUUAUUUGGACGAACGGACGGACGAACGAUCAAACGAUCGGACGAACGAACCAUGAAUGAACGGAAGAAACGAUCGAACGAUCAGACGAACGAACAAGCAAACUAAGAACAGGUGGACGAACGAUCGAUGAACGACCGAACGAUCCUUGUGCUAGUGAUGUGCUUGUGUGGGAGUUGGAGUGGGGCAUGUGGGGGGGAGAGUUGCCAUGAAAUGGCUUGGGGUGGCUUGAGAGGAGGCCCUUGCCCCUCUAUUUAUAGGCUAGGUGGGGGGAUUAGGGGGAGGAGGCGAGGAUUAGUGGGAGGAUGCGGGGAUUAGUGGGAGAUAAGCAUGUAUUAGUCUUGUAUAAAUGAAAUUAGCUUGUAGAGCUCACUGUAUGACACCAGAGGCAUACGUAUAUGUAUGAGCAUGAGGAAAAUUAUGAGAAAAUAUUUGUAGAGACUUUAAAAAUGAUUCUAAAGGUAUUUCUGAGGAGGAAAAUAUUUGGAGAAUUAUCGGUAGAAUAUUUAGGCAGUAUUUCUGUAAAGAACUUGAGGGGGAUCACUGAGGAAAUAUUUGUAGGAUAUUUUGAGAAGAAUAUAGACCACUAUAUUUUAUUUGUUGAGAUCAACUCGCAAACAAACAUUUUGAAAUGAAAUUUAAAAUUCAUUUUGAAUUUAGAGCGAGUUUAGGAAAAAUUCAAGAUUUGAAUUUUGGGGUGCUACAUUGAACCAUAUGAAACCUAGUGCAAAACACAUCUAAAGUGAGGCUAACAGGUUCCUGAAUUUCAGAUUUGGAACAGUUACCUGAACACUGAAAUUUAGUGCUUUGUACUUGGUGUGAAGCCCUUUUUGUGACUAGUCUAGGGAGUUUAAGGCUGUGAGUUAUAUAGACAAAUUAGAGACCAUAAGAUGGUGAUUAAUAGUGUGUUUGGUUUGAGGAAUGAAGUGAUCCAUCUUCUUCUCACUCCUCACUUUUUUUAUUUGGUUUGUGGAAUAGAAUGGGUUGAUCCAUCACCACCUCAUUCCUCAUAAGCUAAUAAUUAGUAUAUACAUAAGGAGUGGGUUGAUUCCACCAAAAUUGAUGGAAUAAAAUUAUGAUGCAUCACCUCAUGAAGCAUAGAGUGACUCCACAAACCAAACACACCAUAAAUGUUCUUAAGGGUGUGCUUGAUCUUGUGCAAAAGCUACAGAAAUUGUUGCUCAAAGUUGUGCUGUCAGGAUGGUGUUAACUGAAUAUUGUCCAGUGUAACCGAGUCUGAGUGUUGUAUGUUGGCUCAACUUUGGAACCUCCUUGAGCCUACUCUGUGUAAUUAAGAGCCAUGUUUAUGUAGCAAAGUUGGAGACUAAGUAUAAAUGGACAAAUUUCUCUAUGGAGGCUUGUCAUGGUACCACACAAAUCUAGGAGUGCCCAAACUGUCUCUGUUAGGAGUGGAUGCAGAUUUCGGGUAAUAGCUGCAGAUUGAAUUCAGAAAGCUCAAAUGGUACCAGUCUAAGUUAGUCGACUUUUGGACAACAUAACUUGGGUAGUAUGUUGUUUGGGUCCUAGAUCUCUACAGUAACCUUGAAGAGCUUUGGUUAGUGAUCAAAGUUUGUUAACAAGGAGAGAUCUGUCUUUAGCAGGAAUAGGGAGAAAGAGGGGCUAUACAUAGCAGGUUCAGUCAGCAAGGAGGUUUAUAGUGAUCUGAAAUAUCUACAACAGAUCUUUUCUCCUUGUCGUGUUUCACUUUUGUGCAAAGACUGAGAUAAAGAUGGGAAAUUGCAGGGGUGUUCAGAACUUUAGCUACCACUAAAACAUCUAAAGUUUGGAAUGGAAAAUAUCUACCCUAGUGAAACUUUAUCUGCUUGGCCUCUACCGUGGCGAACUCCACCAUUCCACUGCCCUGCUGUACUCAAGGGGGCUGGCGUGGAUCUUCGAAAUAGAGCCACGGACCACUACUCAUGUAGUAGAAUGACACCUCCAGGAUCUCCUUCGCUGUAAUCCCUUUGAACCCAGUCACUGCUUGAUCUUUUCCCUGUCCAUAUAAGAGCAACCGGGGGGAGAGGGGAAUCUUUGUCAUUUUCAAGCCAAGCCAAGGUCACCGUGGGUCAUUAUGGCUCACAUCUGUGCAACAUUCACUUUCCCAAAUUACACUAAGGCCCUGUUUGUUUCGUUGGAAUUGAAUUCCAUUUUAAUAAUUAUAAUUUAGACAAAACUAAUUAAGUUUAUAUAUUUAUAAAUGUAAUAUAUUUGUAUAUUAUUCUAAAUUAUAUGAGAGAGAUAGUUAUAUACAAUAUUUAUAUUAUAGCAAAGUAAGUAGAAUAGUGUGCUAUAAGUUGUACAUCGGAAACAUAGCAUAUAAAUUUAUAGAAUCAAUUUCCAUCUCUCACCCUAUGAAUUUGAGAUAGGCUUAUAUAAUAAUUUUAGAAAGUGGUGGAAUGUCACAUUCUAAAAAAUUAGCCUAUUACAUUAGUAAGAUUCCAAUUCCCCAAAAUGAAAGGAAACAAACGGGCCCUAAAGGCUUACCCAAGUUUCUUGCUUGGUGCUUCUGCGAGCCAGGUGACCACGUCGCCGACAUAUCAACCUCACGUGGUCAAGCGAGCACAGUAUGGUUCAAUGCCUCUGGUCUAGCGUUCCAGUGUCCAUGUUUAUUGGUGAAGCUCACCGAAGUGGCUGUUUGGCCAUUACUGUUAUAGUUAGUGUUGGUCCUUAUUCUCGAAUGCUAUACAUCAAGAACAAAGCAACACAAUUGUUAAUGAUUAGAGACCUUCGUCUUUAGAAGCAUUAUAUCCUUUGAGAUAUAAUGAUCUUCAAACGAAGGUCAUGAAUGACAUACCUUCAUCAUCUCAACAAACAAAUAUAAGCAAAAGUACAUGAAAUACAAAGGAAUGCAAAUAAUGGUGAUAUAUUAGUAAAUUAUUUGUGUUCUCAUUUUAUAAACAUGAAUACAUAUCCAUAAUAUUUAUAUUACAUUGAUACCUUCGGCUUGCCAGAAGUUGAAAAUGCGAGAGUGACGCAAGAGCGAUUACAAUCCAGUGUGAACAGUACGUUGUUACUGUUAAUCUAUUUAUAGGCUCGAGACGCAGCCCAGACAAAAUUACAUUCAUGUCCCUGACAUUUACUGUUAAUCUUAAGGUGAUCUGUCAAGGACUAAGUAGUCUUUUCCCCUUUAAGUCGGUUUCAUCUUCCGCCUCCGUCAUUAUACUAAGCCGAAGCUCCUUUAGCCACAGCUUUGGCAUCUGUUCAUUCUGCCUUCGGGUUGUAUUUCCAUACCACACAUACCUUCAUCCCAAAGCCAAAGCCUCAUGUAACAGUCUAUGUUACAUUGAAAAACAUAUUAGUCACGUUUUUAAGGACCUUCGGAAGAGAAAGGCCCCCAACAGUAGCACCUCGCCAUAUUAAUUUGUUUCUUUGUAACAAAUUUAGACUGUGACAUGAACGAAGGCCUUUAGCCGAAGGUCCAAAAAAACAACUUCCCUUCUCUAGAAUAGUGAAAGACACUGACAUGUAGGGCCCACCAAGUUGUGAGGCGCUGGGCAUAUAAAUAUGGACUCGCAUUGAUAGCAUUUGAUGUGCCAUUUUAGCUGGUUGCGCUAUUUUAAACAUUCUGAAUUCUCUUGUUCUGCCGAGUUUUAAUUGAGUUUUAAGCUUCGACAAUUGUGCAACUGUUGUCUAAAUGGCCGAAGAGAAGAAGAUUGAUGACCCUGCAUUGGUCGGGUUUUAUGAAGCUAUGGAGAAGACAAAUACAGAGAAAAACACCAAUGAAAUGUUGGCUAGGUUAUCUGAGGAUUCCGGCGAUAGUGAAAAUUUUGACUUGGAAAGUGGAAAUGAAGAUGUCGAAGAUCGACCCUGGCGGCCGAGUCAUACCAUCUUUGGAAAAUCAACCAUCAAGCAGAGUCAGAUUGAUUCUAUGAAAGGAAGGUAUUUCUGUGAUAUUUCGAUUGUGAGGGCUGGAGGAGAUAACACUGCCCCUGUACCCGAGGUAGACGAAGUUAUUGUCUACAGGAGCUUCAUGAAGGCAGGACUUCGGUUUUCGUUGAGUAAUUUUUUAGUUGAAAUUCUAAAGACUUUUGAGAUUUACUGUAACACCCUGGGAUCCACAAACACCCCGAGAUGCUACAGGACUUCACUACCAACAGCCGAACACUAAGCAAAAUAAAAUUUGGCAGCGCCUCCUUUGUAAUUAUAAGCAUCACAGAAGCACAAGAAAUAUAUCAAUACAAAAUGAAUCAUACUAGUAUUAUAUAAUUCUCAUCAAGGACAAUUAAACACGAAUGAACCAACUUAUGCCUACAUCAUACUCUAAAGUAUGAACCUCAAAAGUCAAUAACCCAAGCUAAUUAUUUGGUUCUUUAAGCAAUGUGUGCAACGUGCCGCUACUUUCCACUCCCCUUGAUAAGCAUCAAGCACCUGCAUUGUCACACCCGGGCUUUAAGGAACAAAGCCGGGUGCAUCUCAUACAUGCGCCAAAGAAGACAACAUAUAAUAACAGAGUGUAUAGAGAUAAAUGCCACAAUAAAAUCAGAGUACUUAUUACAUAGCGGUAGUCUUACAAAAUAAAAGACGAAUAUAGCAGGAACUAAAAUCUAUCCUUGGCGCCAGAAAGCUGAAUGGGAGACGCCACCUAGAUCAAGUCGAAAGCCUCAGUGUUAGGCGGCUCCUCUUCGACCACCUGUUCUUCUCCUGUGGGGGGUGUGAGACAACAAGAGUGAGCUCACACAUGUUCAUCGCUCAACAAGUUGUGGGGAAUAAUGAGGCACGAACUCACCAAAGGUGGGAGUUCAUGUGAAGUGUAAGGCUAAUCAAUAGAGUAAUGGUUGAAGCUGAGCAUUGCUUUUAUAAGUUGGUCAAAGUUUUAUUAGCAGUUACAAAGUGUAAGUAAAUACCAAACCAUUAUAAUAAUAAGUAAAAGUAGUAAUAAAAUAAUCCCACAUGCAAUGAAAUGACAAAUUAAGUUUAAGUUACAUAAAUUAAUCAUGUGAGUGUCCGAGCCGCUCAUGAACGUGAGCACGGCUAGUAUACCAGUUUUACACUCUGCAGAGGUUGCACAUCUUUACCCACAAGUCGUGUUACCCAUUUGCCACGGAGUUGAUCAGACCUCAUACACCUCUACCAAGGAAGCGAAGCAGGGUACCACUACGAGGCCUUUACAAAGUUCCACUAGCUUCAGAAAACCCGCUACAGUUUAUAGGAAGCUCCAGUGCAGGAAUCUCUCGCCUGACCGCCAUCGCAGCAAAAUCAACCGAAGGACCUCCCUACACUGACCACUCCCCUACUGCCCUUGCCCCUUUCGGGUAAGGUAGUCAUCCACUAGCUUUCCUAGUUAAUCAGCCAAGGGCGUCCCAUUAAACCCUUGUGGUAGCACUGUUUUCCUGGGUGGUUCUCCAUAUUCCCAUUAAGAUAAUGAUCUUAUCAUGAAAGUAAAUAAUAAACAGAUAAUAAAGAGUAUAACAAUGAGUGAUGAAUAUCUCUAUACCCAAAUCCACAUAAAAGCAAUAGCAUGUACUACCCAAAAAUUUAGUAGUAAAACCAGUGGUGAAACAAGGUAUAAAGAUAGUCAAAAGCUAGGGUAACCUAUUGGUUCCCAUCAAAAUUAACCUAUGUAGAUCAUUAUGAUUAAUAAGAACAUGACUGGGUAAAAAGGAAGUGAUCAAGGGCACAACUUGCCUUCAAUGAGCUCCUGCUCAGCAGUCUCUACCAGCUGAACCUCAGGAUCCACAGUAGCUUGCUCGUCUACUCGCAUCAACACAAUACAUACAUAGUAUAGCAGAAAUUAACAUCACACCAACCAUGUAUAUAAAAUGCACAAUAAAAAUCUACACAUUAAAAUAAGAUCCUAGGAAUAGGAAUUAUUAAUUUUGGAUUUAUAGGUUUUAUGAUAUGAAUUUCUUAAGGUUUUAUGUAUUUAAUACAAGAUUAAGUGAUAGAUAAAUUUUAAAUUGUGUCUUUCAUGCCAAAACAGAGGCACUAAUGGGUAAACAAUAAUAUUAUAAAAUUAUAGAAAUUGGAAUGGAUCAAUUUGGACUAAAAAUGGAUUUUCUAUGCAUUUUACAAGUUCUAGCAUUUAUUUAUAUAUUAAAAUCCAUUUACAAUUUAAUUUUAUCUAAUUCUAACCUUUUCUGGACUAGGCGCCAAUAACUGGAAAAUGCAGGGGUCUCGGUGCAGUUCUUCCUAAGACUCAGAUCUCAGCCACCAGGACGGCAGGUUGUUUCUCUAAAAUUAUAAGGGGUUUUCUGCAAAGUAGUACGGUGAAGGGGUAUCGGCCGAGUACGGCCGUCCGAUUAGAAACGAACGGCACCGAUUAGAUUCGGCACAUGCCAAACCUAUGAGUAAUCCAAACCGUCUGAUCGGAGAUCCGUGGCCCGGAUUAAAUUUUACCAUGGUCCCUUCGCGUCCCUCCGAUCGGGAUCCAAUGGCGCAGGGACAUCUGACCGAAACGCUACUGGUGUUACGAUCCUAACCGUCGAUCGCUCAUCCCACGACCAAAAACCCUUUCCCCCAACUCUGUUGAGAUAACGGCGGCGCACAGGAUUGCCCGCGGCGGUGCCAUCGCCGGUGCUGCUUGAUUCCGCCAUCCACGCCCCCAUUCACUAAUUGGACCAGUGCUACUGCAUUACUAGCCCACGGCAGAGCUGUGGGAGAAGUUCUCACCGGCAAUGGACAGGGCGAAGAGGCUGGUCCGCGGUGGUCGGAUGCCGCGCGGAGACGGAGAGCUCCCCUGGACGCGGUAGUUGACGUCGUCGGUCACCAAUGUGCUCCAAGAAGGGCGGGUUAGGACGAGCAGCCCGCGCCACAGCACCACGGUCUCAACACCCCUUUCUCCCUCGGAUCAACCCGGCAAUUCACAGACUCUCUCUCUCUCUCCCUCGCGAUUCUAAUGGCAGAUGGGGAGUUUGGCUACUGGACGCAUAGCCUGCGGCGCACGAACUCCCCCGGGUCUUAUAGAGCUUGCCCAGUCCAAUCUUUUUCCGAAGGAAUAGCGACAUUAGUUUGGUCAGCGGGGAUUUCGCACGGCAGGCACGCGGGUAGCGUAUUCACUCGCCGCCACGACCGAGAAGAAGGAGACCGAGGCGCUUAGUGCCUGGUCGAUGGGCCCCGCAAAUCAGCGAGGUGAGUGGGCGGCGUGGGUGUGCUUCGAGCCUGACGGUCGGGCCCCACUUGUCUGGCGUGUGUGCGCGGAUGUGGUAAAUUGGGCCGUGCAGGUGACUUUGGGAAUGGGCCGAGCUGUAGGAUUUUGGGCCCAGGCGCAUUCUUCCCUUCUUUAUUCUUUUUAUGUCUUCUUUUUUUUCUUUUUUGUUUUUGAUUUCAAAUUUGGAUUUUAAAUUUGGUGAUGAGAUUCCUCAAUGAACAAAGUGUACCAAAUUCUAAUUUUGGAGUAAAUAAUUAAAUUCUUAUUUAUAUAUUUUAUUUUAACUCAUUUGUUUAGUGUUGUUUCCUCUUUUCUCAAUUUUCUAGAAUUCCCUUUUUAAUCUUAAAUUCCCACUUAGGUACUAAUAUAUUUCUCUUUAUUUUAUUUUUGUAUUGCCAUAGAAUGCACAUAAAAUAAAGUUCAGCAUGAUGCACAAUUUAGUGACACAUCUUUUAUUAUUUAUUGUUUUUGUUAAUAUAGUGUUCACAUAUGAUGGUAAAUAAAUGCAUCACACACAUAUAAACAAAGGAAAAUAAUUUUUCUCUCCUUUUAUAUUAUCUCUUACAAAUUGGGUAUUACAAAUCCUACCCCCUUAACAAGAAUCUCGUCCUCAAGAUUUAGGAAUGACUAGGGAAAAUAUGGGGAAAAUUUAUGUGAAGCUCUUCUUCUCUCUCCCAAGUUGCUUCAUCUUCUCCAUGGUGACUCCAUUGCACUUUGCACAUCUUUAUCACCUUAUUUCUUGUAACUCGAGUCAAAGUAUCAAGAAUCUUGGUAGGAUAUUCUGCAUAAGUCAGGUCAUCUUGAACACUAAGGUCCUCCAUUGGUAGCUGCUCCUCAGGUACCCUGAGGCACUUCUUUAGUUGGGAUACAUGGAAUACAUCAUGUACAUCUGUCAGGUGAUCGGGUAGUUCUAGUUGAUAUGCAACUCCUCCCACUCGCUUUAAGAUCAAGAAGGGUCCAAUGAAGCGAGGGGACAACUUUCCUUUAACUUUAAAUCUUCUCAUACCCCGGAUUGGUGACACAUUCAGAUACACGUGAUCACCCUCCUUAAACUCCAAUAUUCUUCUCCGGGUAUCAGCAUAGCUCUUCUGCGUUGAUUGUGCAAUUCUCAAAUUCUCUCUUAUCAUUCGCACUUGUUCUUCUGCCUCUUGAAUAAGUUCAGGCCCAAAGAACUGUCUUUCUCCAGUCUGAUCCCAAUAUAGAGGAGUCCUGCAUUUUCUGCUAUAUAGAGCCUAAAACAGUGACGUCUUCAAACUGGCCUGGUAGCUAUUAUUAUACGAGAACUCCGCAUAUGGUAAGCUCUUAUCCCAACUUCCACCAUGUUUAAGAGCACAAGCUCUUAACAUAUCCUCCAGCACUUGGUUAGUCCUCUCUGUCUGCACAUCGGUCUGAGGAUGGUAGGCCGAACUAAAAUUCAAUUGUGUAUCCAAGCUCUCAUGCAACUACUUCCAAAACCGAGAAGUAAACUGUGAUCCUCGAUCAGACAUGAUCUUCUUAGGCACUCCAUGUAGACAAACUAUCCGAGUCAUAUACAAUUCUGCUAGCUUGGCUCUCGUGUAAUUAGUCCUCACUGGUAUAAAAUGAGCCACUUUUGUCAAUCUGUCCACAAUCACCCAAAUAGAGUCAUACCCUGCCGGAGUGCGGGGUAGUCCAACAAUGAAAUCCAUACCAAUUUCUUCCCAUUUCCACUCGGGUAUCUUCAAUGGGUGCAAUAGUCCAGCUGGUCUUUGAUGUUCGGCCUUGACUCUUUGACACACAUCACACUUAGCCACUUGUGCAGCAACAUCUCUUUUCAAUCCAUACCACCGGUACUUUUGCUUCAAAUCUUGAUACAUCUUAGUGCUACCAGGGUGGAUAGAGUAAUCAGAAUCAUGGGCUUCUUUCAAUAUAGUCUCAUGAAGGCUAUCAAUCUCCGGAACACAUAUCCGAUCCUUAAACCAUACAGUGCCUUGCUCAUCCUCCGUGAAUUCUGGACCUCUAUCUUCCGUAAUCAGAUCCUUAAUCUCUUGAAUUUUUGCAUCACCCACUUGACCUUUACGAAUUUCUUGCUCCAAGGUAAGUUCCAAUUCAAUGGUAACUCCUUCCGUAUGUGUAACAAUUCCUAGGUUGAGUCUCUCAAAAUCUUUUACUCAUUCAUCGGGUAGUUGGACAACAAUAGCGGAGUGAACGUGCUCCUUCCGACUCAAGGCAUUUGCAACCAAAUUCGCCUUGCCCGGGUGAUAGUGAAUCCCCAAAUCAUAAUCCUUAAUGAGCUCCAGCCUCUUGUAAUUCCGUUAACUGCUUCUUCAGUUCCUUUAACUCUUCCACAGACAUCCUGUAUGGCCGUUUAGAAAUAGGAGCAGUCCCAGGUAAGAGAUCAAUGACAAACUCCACUUCCCUAUCUGGUGGCAUCCCUGGUAACUCCUCUGGAAAGACAUCCGGAAAAUCUCUAACCACUCGGAUAUUGUCACCAACAAACUCCUCAGCUAUAAAGUACAUCGCACGUCUGGAAGUGGUGGUUACUGCAAUUUGAACUUGAAAUCUUUCUCCUUUAGGGCUGGUGAGUUCUACAGUACCCCUACCACAUGCUAUAAUGGCCUUUGCCUUUCUUAACCAUGACAUACCAAGGAUUAGAUCUAUACUGCUUGUCUCUAAUAUUAUAGCAGUAGCUUCAAAUUCUCUUCCCAUAAUUGUUAAUGUCAAUCUACAUGUCAUUUGAUUGGCCUCAAUAGGCCCUUUAGGUGUGAUUACUAUCAUUGGUUUUCUCAUAUUUAGCAGUGGUAUCUCAUUUGUGUUGGCAUAUCGAAUAGACAUGAAUGAAUGUGUAGCACCAGAAUCAAAUAAUAUGGUUGCAGGAAUGGCAUUAAUGUAAAACAUACCAAGCACAAUGGCAGCACCAUCAGGAGUAGCAUCAACGCUGACUUGAUUAACUCUGGCAAUAGAGUACCCCUUGCCAGGAGUAUAUUACUUGUUCUUAGCUGGUGUACCAGAAUUUCCCACCGGACAAGCAUUAGCAUAGUGCCCAAUCUGACUGCACUUGAAGCAUGUAGGGCCGGUCUUCUGUCCUGUAGGCCUCGUCGGGGUGCCAGUGGGGGCAGCCUGACAAGUGGGAGGUGUCCGUGGAGACCCCUGAGGUGCAUACUAAGCUGGGCGUGAUCCUCCUCCUGGAUGAGUAGGUGUACCCUGUGGCGGAACAUAGUGAGGACGAACACUGCUGCUACCCUGCCCCUGUGAGAUAGCCUUCCUCUUCAAGUCUCCUAGUUGAACACACUUGUGUUCAAUAGCAAGAGCCUUAUCCAACAGUCUCUGAAAUGAUGGAAAUGUGUGUGCAACCAGUGCAUACUGUAGGGGUCCAUUAAGUCCUUCAAUAAAGUGCUCCUGCUUCCUCUCAUCCUCAGCAACUUCAUCUGGAGCAUAUCUGAAGAGUUGGAUGAACUUAUCGCGGUACUCGCUGACAGACAUGUUGCCUUGCUUCAAUGACAGAAACUCUUUCUUCUUGAUCUUCAUCAAUCCAGCUGGAAUGUGGUAGUUUCUGAACUAUGUACUGAAUUCUGCCCAAGUAAUAGUGUCAGCAGCAUCAUGGGCAGCAACAUAAGAAUCCCACCAGUUAGUAGCAGGACCUAUCAGACGACCAGAGGCAUAAAGAACCAUCUCCCGGUCAGAGCAUUGGGUGAUGUUGAGCAUCUUUUCAAUUGACUUCAACCAAUCAUCAGCAUCUAGUAGGUCUGGCAAACCGGCGAAGGUCGGUGGCUUAUGGCUCAUAAAUUCCUGGUGCUUAUCACGAGGUGGAACUGGUGGUGGUGGUGGAGGCAGUGGUGCUUGUUGUUGUUGCUGUUGUUGUGCCCUUCUCUCCUAGCGUAUCUCUUCUCGUUCUUAGCGCAGCUCCCGGCGUAUCUCCUCUCUCUCUCUCCUGGUGCAUCUCCUGGCGUUCCUGCUGCAUCUGCGUACACAUAUUUGCCAUAGUGUCCGCCAUCUGUUGCAUCAUCCUCAUCUGAGCUGCAACCAUUGGGUCAACUCCGCCUGGUGGAAGCGGUGGUGGGGGAUCCAUCUCUACUUGUUUGUGGCUAUGGUUGUCUAAAUAUCCUCCGAGUGUGUCGAUUGGGAGGUAGAUCAAUUCCACCACCUUUCCUGGUAUUAACCAUCUGAGUUAGAAACAUAUGGUAAGAGAAAAUAGUAGACAAGGCAGGUGAUUACGAAUCAAGUUAUUUUGGGGGAUUUAUGAGCUAAGCAGAUUAAUGUUUUACCUACCAUAGCUAAUUCAUUACCUUAUGGUGGUACAUACUAAGAUGCCCGUUUAUACUAUUUCAAUCAAUCAAAGAAGCAAAUCAGGCAUUUAUCAUCAGGACAAUCAACCAACAUUUUUAAAAAGAGAAAACAGUUUUAUUUUCGUCUUAGGUUCCCUAUCUCUUAGGAAGGUCAUAAAUGUAGGAUUCAAGGUGUGAAAUCCAUCUUGUCUCAGAGUAGAGAAGGUAAGAAUAAUCAGAGUAGAACAGUAGAAGGUGAGAUAGGAUCAAGAUAAGUAUAGAAAGAAUCAGAGUAAGGUAAGUAGGUAAGGGUUUGUCCACUUCUAUCUAGGUUUCGUCCUACAGUCAACAUUUCCUCUGAUACCACUUCUGUCACACCCGGGCUUUAAGGAACAAAGCCGGGUGCAUCUCAUACAUGCACCAAAGAAGACAACAUAUAUAAUAACAGAGUGUAUAGAGAUAAAUGUCACAAUAAAAUCAGAGUACUUAUAACAUAGCUGUAGUCUUACAAAAUAAAAGAAGAAUAUAGCAGGAACUAAAAUCAAUCCUUGGCGCCAGAAAGCUGACUGGGAGACGCCACCUAGAUCAAGUCGAAAGCCUCAGUGUUAGGCGGCUCCUCUUGGACCACCUGUUCUUCUCCUGUGGAGGGUGAGACAGCAAGAGUGAGCUCACACAUGUUCAUCGCUCAACAAGUUGUGGGGAAUAAUGUGGCACGAACUCACCAAAGGUGGAAGUUCAUGUGAAGUGUAAGGCUAAUCAACAGAGUAAAGGUUGAAGCUGAGCAUUGCUUUUAUAAGUUGGUCAAAGUUUUAUUAGUAGUUACUAAGUGUAAGUAAAUACCAAACCAUUAUAAUAAUAAGUAAAAGUAGUAAUAAAAUAAUCCCAGAUGCAAUGAAAUGACAAAUUAAGUUUAAGUUCUAUAAAUUAAUCAUGUGAGUGUCCGAGCCGCUCAUGACCGUGAGCACGGCUAGUAUACCAGUUUUACACUCUGCAGAGGUUGCACAUCUUUACCCACAAGUCGUGUUACCCAUUUGCCACGGAGUUGAUCAGAUCCCAUACACCUCUACCAAGGAAGCGAGGCAGGGUACCACUACGAGGCCUUUACAAAGUUCCACUAGCUUUAGAAAACCCGCUACAGUUUAUAAGAAGCUCCAGUGCAGGAAUCCCUCGGCUGACCGCCAUCGCAGCAAAAUCAACCGAAGGACCUCCCUACACUGACCACUCCCCUACUGCCCUUGCCCCUUUCGGGUAAGGUAGUCAUCCACUAGCUUUCCUAGUUAAUAAGCCAAGGGCGUCCCAUUAAACCCUUGUGGUAGCACUGUUUUUCCGGGUGGUUCUCCAUGUUCCCAUUAACAUAAUGAUCUUAUCAUGACAAUAAAUAAUAAACAGAUAAUAAAGAGUAUAACAAUGAGUGAUGAAUAUCUCUAUCCCAAAGCCACAUAAAGCAAUAGCAUGUACUACCCAAAAAUUUAGUAGUAAAACCAGUGGUGAAACAAGGUAUAAAGAUAGUCAAAAGCUAGGGUAAGCUAUUGGGUCCCAUCAAAAUUAACCUAUGAAGAUCAUUAUGACUAAUAAGAACAUAACUGGGUAAAAAGGAAGUGACCAAGGGCACAACUUGCCUUCAACGAGCUCUUGCUUAGCAGUCUCUACCAGCUGAUCCUCAGGAUCCACAGUAGCUUGCUCGUCUACUCGAAUCAACACAAUACAUACAUAGUAUAGAAGAAAUUAACAUCACACCAAACAUGUAAAUAAAAUGCACAAUAAAAAUCUACACAUUAAAAUAAGAUCCUAGGAACAGGAAUUAUUAAUUUUGGAUUUAUAGGUUUUAAGAUAUGAAUUUCUGAAGGUUUUAUGUAUUUAAUACAAGAUUAAGUGAUAGAUAAAUUUUAAAUUGUGUCUUUCAUGCCAAAACAGAGGCACUAAUGGGUAAACAAUAAUAUUAUAAAAUUAUAGAAAUUGGAAUGGAUCAAUUUGGACUAAAAAUGGAUUUUCGAUGCAUUUUACAAGUUCUAGCAUUUAUUUAUAUAUUAAAAAUCCAAUUACAAUUUAAUUUUCUCUAAUUCUAACCUUCUCUGGACUGGGCGCCAAUAACUGGAAAACGCAGGGGUCUCGGUGCAGUUCUUCCUAAGACUCAGAUCUCAGCCACCAGGACGGCGGGUUGUUUCUCUAAAUUUAUAAGGGGUUUUCUGCAAAGUAGUACGGUGAAGGGGUAUCGGCCGAGUUCGGUCGUCCGAUUAGAAACGAACGGUGCCGAUUAGAUCCGACACAUGCCAAACCUGCGAAUAAUCCAAACCGUCUGAUCGGAGAUCCGUGGCCCGGAUUAAAUUUUACCAUGGUCCCUUCGCGUCCCUCCAAUCGAGAUCCAAUGGCGCAGGGACAUCUGACCAAAACGAUACUGGUGUUACAAUCCUAACCGUCGAUCGCUCAUCCCUCGGCCAAAAACCCUUUCCCCCAACUUUAUUGAGACAACGACGGCGCACAGGAUUGCCCGCGGUGGUGCCAUCGCCGGCGCUGCUUGAUUCCGCCAUCCAUGCCCCCAUUCACUAAUUGGACCCGUGCUACUGCAUUACUAGCCCACGGCGGAGCUGUGGGAGAAGUUCUCACCGGCAAUUGAUAGGGCGAAGAGGCUGGUCCGCGGUGGUCGCAUUCCGCGCGGCAACGGAGAGCUCCCCUGGAUGCGGUAAUUGACGGCGUCGAUCACCAAUGUGCUCAAAGAGUGGCGGGUGAGGACGAGCAUCCCGCGCCAGAGCACCACGUUCUCAGCACCCCCUUUCUCCCUCGGAUCAACCCGGCAAUUCAGGGACUCUCUCUCUCUCCCUCGCGAUUCUGAUGGCAGACGGGGAGUAUGGCUACUGGACGCAUAGCCCGCGACGCACGAACUCCCCCGGGUCUUAUAGAGCUUGCUCAGUCCAAUCCUUUUCCGGAGGAAUAGCGGCGUUAGUUCGGUUAGCGGGGAUUUCCCGCGGCAGGCACGCGGGUAGCAAAUUCACUCGUCGCCGCGACCAAGAAGGAGACCUGGGCGCUUGGUGCCUAGUCGACGGGCCCCGCAAAUCAGCGAGGUGAGUGGGCGGCGUGGGUGUGCUUCGAGCCUAACGGUCGGGCCCCACUUGUCUGGCAUGUGUGCUCGGGUGUGGUAAAUUGGGCCGUGCAGGUGACUUUGGGAAUGGGCCGAGCUGUAGGAUUUUGGGCCCAGGCGCAUUCUUCCCUUCUUUAUUCUUUUUCUGUUUUCUUUGUUUUUCCUUUUUGUUUUUGAAUUCAAAUUUGGAUUUUAAAUUUGGUGAUGAGAUUCCUCAAUGAACAAAGUGUACCAAAUUCUAAUUUUGGAGUAAAUAAUUACAUUAUUGUUUAGUGUUGUUUCAACUUUUCUCAAUUUUCUAGAAUUCCCUUUUAAAUCUUAAAUUCCCACUUAGGUACUAAUAUAUUUCUCUUUAUUUUAAAUCUUAAAUCUUAAGUUCAGCAUGAUGCACAAUUUAGUGACACAUCUUUUAUUAUUUAUUGUUUUUUAAUAUAGUGUUCACAUAUGAUGGUAAAUAGAUGCAUCACACACAUAUAAAUAAAGGAAAAUAAUUUUUCUCUCCUUUUAUAUUAUCUUUUACAAAUUGGGUAUUACAUGCAUUGAGUAAUGCAAGAGUGAGAUGAAACAUCUCAGCAAGCAAAUUGUUUUGUUGAGAUAUUUAAACCAUAAGAUGAAUUAAUCAACAUUUUACAGGAAUCACAAUUAAGAACAGAAAUAAUUGUAGAUAUAAAACUCAAUAUUCCCAAUAUAACCAAUACCAUCUCAUUUCCUUGAGCAACCACAAUAGUUUGUAUAACACUUCCCUGCGUCAAUAAUAUCUGCAAAUAUCACUUCAAUGAAUGCAUGUGAAUGAAAUGCAUAUGUCUUAUGCCUUCAUACCUCUGAGGCUAUGAAGUCGCAUCGUAACCCUCCUCGGGCAACGUACGAUGCUAAGUUGUACCGGUACGGUCGGACCAUAGGUCACGACAAAACUACAUAUGCAAAUGAAUCAUGCAAUGCAUAUGGCAUGCAACAUUUAUCAAUAUACUUCACUUCCUUCCAUACAAUACAAACCUCAAAUAAUACUUCACCUUCCUUCAGAUACAAUACAAACCUCAAAUAAUACUUCACCUUCUUUCAGAGGUGUGAAUUAAUCUCAUGGAUCAUACUCGAACCAUAAUCAUCAUCAAUAUAUGAUUGAGCAUCAAUAUAAUACAAUGAAGUAAAGCAUCAUCAUAGAGUUCAAUUAUGAAAGAAUUCAAUAAUUAUGAAUAUUAGAGUGUAUGCGAUAAAAGUAACAAGUCAAAACGGUAGCAACCACUGUUGCAUUCACUUGCCUUCAUCGAAUAAGAAAAAUGUACUAGGCAUGAUCCGGAGUGUAGCCACCUGCUGCGGGGCAUAAAACUUAGUACAAAUAUUUCACAAACAUUUGCCAACAAUCAACAAAUCGCUCCUACACUUGAAACCAAGACCCUGAACCACAUGUCAAACAGCAGCAGCGCUGUUUGUUAAUUUUGUAUCUUUAAAUUUAUAACAGUAGUGAUAUCAAACAAAUACUCUAGGAGUAUCUACACAAAAUACAAUACAACUUAGCUAUUCAAUGGAUAAUUAAAUUUUGCCAUCUAUAAGUUCUAAAACAUCUGACAAGAUAACUGACUGAAUCUGUUUCAGAUAGCAGCAUAGUUAACUUCAAAAUUUGAUAUCUCCCAAACUACACAACCGAAAAUUAUGAAAUUCUGCUGGAAGUAAGUACCUUUAUCUCUCUACAAAAGUCUCCAUAGCUGGAAGAGCCAAUUCGGCCGUUUACUAGAUGAAAUCCACUAGUGAACAGACCCACACAUUAUUGCCAGGCAAACAGAAACAACCACAGUAAAACAAACAUAACUAAAGUUUAAAAAUUCAUAUGAAUACACUCUUUAUCCAUCUGGAAAGCUUAUGAAAUUAUCUACAACCUUUCUUACAAACCCAAGGUUUAAUUAUGUUGAUACAAUUGCCUAAAUCUUAAGAGAACAGAUUCUGCACAAAAUUAUGAGACUGAAAAACGACUAAAAUCAUAUUGAAAUAACUCUCAGAUCUGAUGUUCGAUUGACGUGUUCUUCGCGGCCACGGAAAGAUCUACAAAUUAGCUACGACUCAUAUAUAGACUUUUUAUUUUUUUGAGACAACUAAGACCACGAAAAACUGGCAUGAACAGAAACUAUUGAAUCUUCCAUUCUACAGAAAUUAAAUUCGAGAUGAAAAUCUAACCCCACAUCUAAUCCAACCUCUAAUCCUUUAAUCCCCAUGAUCCAAAACCUCCAAAAACACUUAAUUACAGGGAGGAACAUGGAUCUCAUUCUUACCUAGGGUUUCCUCAAGAAAAUCUGCAAGAAGAGAUGGGGAUAGAACAUCUCCUCGGUCAUCUCUUCCUCUUCAAUCCAACUUGCUCCUUCUCUUCUCGAUCCUUGCUGCAUGGAGGAGAUCUAGAGGGAGGAGGAAGCAAUGGAAAUGGUAGAGGGCGGCUGCAAAUGGGGAGGAGAGGAAGAGGGAGGGGGCGGCCAAAGGGGUGAAAAGGGUGGGGGCGGCUGCAACAAUUGGGGAGAAGGAGAGUGGGUCGGCUAGGGUUGGGGAGGAGAGGGGGGCUCCCAUCAUCGAAUCGAGAUCAAUGGCCCAAACUCGCUCUCCCAUCUAAGCUCCCGAGGGUGUGGAAAAAUGCGAAAAGAUCUACUGUUUCCCUGAUGAAUGCCUCCUGAAACUCCAAACCCCAAUGCCACAGAACAUGAAAGAAAAGAGAAAAAGAAAUUUAACUUCUUUUCAGAAAAUUGGGGUAUCACACUCUACCCCCCUUAAAAAGAAUUCGUCCUCAAAUUUGACCACUCCAAGCAAAGCAUCCAAGGUACCUCAUAUGGCACCACCAUUCAAAACAUGGGUCCAUUAUUGGUCUUAAUUAACACAAGAUCUUCUAACUCGGACUAAUUGUCUAAGGAAACUACACAACCUGAUAUCAAGCAUGAAACAACAUGCAAUGAAGCUCAAAGCAAGUCAUAGAUGCAAUCAACACUACGGUUUCACACCAUCGAAUUUGGAUGCAGCUAUACAUCAACAUUAAUGUAUUAAAACAACACUCUUUUAUGAAGGGGUAAUAUGCACUAAGCACAACCCUUACCAACUUCAACAAUUCAUUCUAAUUCAAUGGUGAAACAUCCACACCAGAUGAAUGUAUAAGAAGAUCAAACACCUCACCUCAAAGCACCACAAAACAAGUAAUUCUAUUGAAACAAAACUUCUAAUCUUCCUAAACCAUGUUCUUCCCAUCAUGAAAAGGUAAUCAUGUAAUCUCACAUUCUUUGCACCCCACAAAAGGGAGAAAGUCUACAGAACUAAUGGAGCAAUAAAGCUGACAAGAAGCCAAUAACAUUCUGCGCGGCACACUUCAUCGAAGAAAUGCCAAAAACUCCACAAAGAGCACUUACAGCACAACAACAACACAAUACUUGCUUAACCAAUGUCACUAUACUUCAUCCAACAACUCAACUAAGAAAAAUAUCCAAACUAGUAAGGUUAACCUACACAUAAUAUAAAUCUUCAUCUACUGUAGUUCAGAAACUUACAUUUCAUUCUAUCAUACGAUGCACUUAACGUACCAGACAUAAAGGGUCAAUAAUAACCCCGUAAUCCUUCACACAUUUGAUAAACAUCUCAAGCUGAUGUAAAAACCACAUCAUUUAGGAAUAGGUGCCAACUCUAGGCUAGGCAAUGAAUUGAUUCAAACCAAUAGAUAAGUGGUCAAACAAUGUUUCCACAAGCAUGCAUCGGGGAGAGAACCAUCAGAUCCUCAACGUAUUAAUACAUAAUCAAUGGAUCAAGAAAAUCAAAGAUUUAUUCUACAAAUAGCAUGACUAACAUGCAACCACUUUAAACCACAUCUAGGCUUUGUGACUACUAAAACACACGAUAGAAGAGAGACAUGUAAGCCACUCUGUCUAUGUAAAUACUUCCCCCAAAAUCCAUAUAAAAGUACUAAUAUUCGUUUCUUUCAGAACUGGUUUCUCGAUAUAAACAAUCAUUCUUUGCAAAGAUAGUUGGAGCUAUCCACCAACCGCUCAACAACUUAAAUUCAAAUUGAUGGUUACCUUGUAACCCAAAACACGCAAUUCACACUCCUCUUAGAAACAUCCUCCAUCAAGCAUAUAUAACAAUAUUAUUGUAAUAAAACUCAACCAUGAAAAACAUGGUGAAAACAACAUAGGCGUACUUGUAUAUCACAAGCAUAAUAACAACUUCAAACUCAGAAAAGACCAGUGAUAUCAAUCGCAUUAAUAAAACAAUAUCAAAAUUUAGAAAUGAAUUAUAUCAGGCAUUAAGCCAUAAACAACUUACCACAUCACCAUAAAGGAAUAGGGAGGGUGAAAUUAUUGUCAUCUGCACUUCAAAGACAUUAACAUAUAUCAAAGAUAUUUGAACCCAUGCCCUUCCUAUAUGUGCAUGUGUGCAAUUUCAGGUUCAAUUUACCUAGAAUCUAAACCCUAAGCUUUGUUACCAAUUGUAACACCCUGGGAUCCACAAACACCCUGAGAUGCUACUGGACAUCACUACCAACAGCCGAACACUAAGGAAAAUAAAAUUUAGCAGCGCCUCCUUUGUAAUUAUAAGCACCGCAAAAGCACAAGAGAUAUAUCAAUACAAAAUGAAUCAUACUAGUAUUAUAUAAUUCUCAUCAAGGACAAUUAACCACAAAUGAACCAGCUUAUGCCUACAUCAUACUCUAGUGUAUGAACCUAAAAAGUCAAUAACCCAAGCUAAUUAUUUGGUUCUUUAAGCAAUGUGUGCAACGUGCCACUACUUCCCACUCCCCUUGAUAAGCAUCAAGCACCUGCAUUGAGUAAUGCAAGAGUGAGAUGAAACAUCUCAGCAAGCAAAUUGUUUUGACGAGAUAUUUAAACCACAAGAUGAAUUAAUCAACAUUUUACAGGAAUCACAAUUAAGAAAAGAAAUACUUGUAGAUAUAGAACUCAAUAGUCCCAAUAUAACCAAUACCAUCUCAUUUCCUCGAGCAACCACAAUAGUUUGUAUAACACUUCCCUACGUCAACAAUAUCUACAAAUAUCACUUCAAUGAAUGCAUGUGAAUGCAAUGCAUAUGUCCUCUGCCUUCAUACCUCUAAGGGUAUGAAGCUGCAUCGUACCCCUCCUCGGGCAACGUACGAUGCUAAGUUGUACCGGUACGGUCGGACCAUAGGUCACGACAACACUUCAUAUGCAAAUGAAUCAUGAAAUGAAUAUGGCAUGCAGCAUUUAUCAAUAUACUUCACUUCCUUCACAUACAAUACAAACCUCAAUAAUACUUCAUCUUCCUUCAGAUACAAUACAAACCUCAAAUAAUACUUCACCUUCCUUCAGAUACAAUACAAACCUCAAAUAAUACUUCACCUUCCUUUAGAGGUGUGAAUUAAUCUCAUGGAUCAUACUAGAACCAUAAUCAUCAUCAAUAUAUGAUUGAGCAUCAAUAUAAUACAAUCAAGUAAAGCAUCAUCAUAGAGUUCAAUUAUGAAAGAAUCCAAUAAUUCUGAAUAUUAGAGUGUAGGCGAUAAAAGUAACAAGUCAAAACGGUAGCAACCACUGCUGCAUUCACUUGCCUUAAUCGAAUAAGAAAAAUGUACUAGGCAUGAUCCGGAGUGUAGCCACCUGCGGCGGGGCAUAAAACUUAGUACAAAUAUUUCACAAACAUUUGCCAACAAUCAACAAAUCGCUCCUACACUUGAAACGAAGACUCGGUGGAAAGACUUCCACCCUGAACCACAAGCCAAACAGUAGCAACGCUGUUUGUUAAUUUUGUAUCUUUAAAAUUAUAACAGUGGUGAUAUCAAACAAAUACUCUAGGAGUAUCUACACAAAAUACUCUACAACUUCGGUAUUCAAUGGAUAAUUAAGUUUUGCCAUCUAUAAGUUCUAAAACAUCUGACAAGAUAACUGACUGAAUCUGUUUCAGAUAGCAGCAUAGUUAACUUCAAAAUUUGAUAUCUCCCAAACUACACAACCAAAAAUUAUGAACUUCUGCUGGAAGUAAGAACUUUUAUUCCUCUACAAAACUCUCCAUAGUUGGAAGAGUCAAUUCGGCCAUUUACUAGAUGAAAUCCACCAGUGAACAGACCCGCUCAUUUUUGCCAGGCAAACAGAAACAGCCACAGUAAAACAAACAUAACUGAAGUUUAAAAACUUCAUAUGAAUACACUCUUUAUCAAUCUGGAAAGCUUAUGAAAUUAUCUAAAACUUUUCUUACAAACCCAAGGUUUAAUUCUAUUGAUAAAAUUUCCUAAAUCUUUAGAGAACAGAUUCCGCACAGAAUUAUGAGACUGAAAAACGGCUAUAAUCAAACUGCAAUAACUCUCAGAGCUGAUGUCCGAUUGAGGUGUUCUUUGCUGCCACGGAAAGAUCUAUAAAAUAUCUACGACUCAUAUAUAGACUUUUUAUUUUUCUGAGGCAACUAAGACCAUAGAAAACUGGCAUGAACAGAAACUGUCGAAUCUGCCAUUCUGCAGAAAUUAAAUUCGAGAUCAAAAUCUAACCCCACAUCUAAUCCAACCUCUAAUCCUUUAAUACCCAUGAUCCAAAACCUCCAAAAACACUUAAUUAUAGGGAGGAACAUGGAUCUCAUCCUUACCUAGGGUUUCCCCAAGAAAAUCUGCAAGAAGAGAUGGGGAUAGAACAUCUCCUUGGUCCUCUCUUCCUCUUCAAUCCUACUUGCUCCUUCUCUUCUCGAUCCUUGCUGCGUGGAGGAGAUCUAGAGGGAGGAGGAAGCAAUAGAGAGGGUAGAGGGUGGCUGCAAAUGGGGAGGAGAGGAAGUGGGAGGGGGGCGGCCAAAGGGGUGAAAAGGGUGGGGGCGGCUGCAACAAUUGGGGAGAAGGAGAGGGGGUUGGCUAGGGUUGGGGAGGAGAGGGGGGCUCCCAUCAUCGGAUCGAGAUUAAUGGCCCAAACUCGCUCUCCCAUCUGAGCUCUCGACCCUAGCAGAAAAAAUGCCAAAAGAUCUACUGUUUUCCUGAGGAAUGCCUCCUAAAACUCCAAACCCCAAUGCCACAGAACAUGAAAGAAAAAAGAAAAAGAAAUUUAACUUCUUUUCAGAAAAUUGGGGUAUCACAUUUACCUUCAUCAGAUUACCCCUGAAGCUAUCAUCAAAAUGGGGAUUUUCAUCGGGGUCAUGAGGAGCCAGGGACUAGAGCCGAGUGCAAAAUGCUUCUGUAACAUGCAUGAGCUGUCCUAUGAGACGAAGGCUACUGGCAAAGAACAAUAUCAUAAUAAUUUUGGUUGUUACGGCUUCGUGCCUCGCUCUGAUGUGAGCUAUCCAGUCCCGAGAUUUCGGAAGAGGUGGCCAGGAGCCUGGAUGGAAGAGUGGUUUUAUGUAAAGAGCAACUUAGUUGAAAGAGAAGAUAUAAAGGGGAUCAUCCAACACCCUAUUUGGUCCCGCUUCGGCAUCAGAAGGCUAGCCACUGCUCUUGGAAAUGAAACUGAAGCUGCUAGAAGGCCUUUAACACUGUAUGCACUUUUAUUGGCACAAGAGACUUAGUCCAAGAGCAUAUUGCUUAUAGAGUGUGGCAUCUUGUAAGCGACUGGGAGAUGCCGAAAGAAGCUGCUGCCGGGUCCAGUCAAGGCGGCUUGGUUUAUCUGAAAUACACCUUCAGAUACAGAGAUCAAUUUGAUGAGCCGAACGAUGACUGGUUGAAUUGUGUUGAGGAAACUAGUGAUGAAUUGCUUGGGGCCUACACAAGGGCCGAAGAUGAUGCCAUGACAUUAGCCUUCGGAGGACGAGGCAAGAGAAGAUUAAACAGAGUUUUUGAUGUAAUUGGUUUUGUAUACCCAGACUAUUGCUAUCCCUCGCGCAAGCAGGGAAAGAAAAGGAAGGUUGCUACUUCGGCAAUUUCUACUACGCUGAAGUGAAAAAAGAUUAAAGUUUUGACACACCAGCCCAGGUACAUUGAAACGGCCAGAGUGCCGAAGCUUGCAGAGGGGCCUUCUUCCGUUGCUGAGCCAGAGUUCCCUGUUCCUACUGAAGCCACAACGGGAUCAGCCGAAGACCUAAUUCCAAAGACAGCAGCAGAGCAGUCAAAAGCCCAAAUAGCCAAUGUACCGAAGCGUCCUGACGAAGCUAGGGCAAAAACGACCGAAGAGCUAGAAUUAAGGAAAUCAGCAGAGGUAUCAAAAAUUCCUGCAGUAACUCCAAAGAGGAGGAGAAUGGCCAGCGUACUAGACGCUGUUAUGGAGUCAACAAAGGUAUCAACUCCUGCCUCUAUAGAAGUGCCCAGCACAAGUGGGAAAAAUAUAAAGGAGACCGUCGAAGCUGUUACAGCUCGUGUUGAAGCUAAAGUUGGGCCCUCAGUUCCCGCAGAAAUAAGGUCUACGGGAACUGUUGAAAAGAAUACUGAUCAAUAACCUUCGGAUACUACAAAAGCUCCGUUAUUGUUAGAAAAAGGGAGAAGCAAGAAAGACUCUGAAUCCCCUGCCCCUGAUGCCUCUAAUGAGGGAUUGGCUUUAUAGUGUGUCAUGCGGCGGGGAAGAAGCUAUCAGGGGAACAUAUUGCCGAAGCUAUGCAUUAUUCUAAGGAUCUGAAGUAUCUCCCAGGAUCCUUGGUGUUUAAUGGUAUUGAUGAAGAUGAUUUUCUAUACUGUCUUCUAGACAACAAGGAAAUAUAUGUUUGCCGGGAGAUGGCCAAAAAUAUAGGAUUCCCGAAGCUAGAACUUGGCCUAUCUGCAAUGACGAAAGAUGACCUUGCGGACAGCCUUGCUUAUAACAGCUUAAAUGUAUGUACUCUUUGAUUCACGAAGUAAGUUAUGUUUAUUGGUUUUCUCUUUGCUUUUAUGUUCUCACACGUAUUUUCUGUUAUUAGGGCUUAAUUCUUGGUAAAGCUUUAAGAGCCCAAAAAGAGGCCGAAGAUGAAGGCUGUGCAAUUGCACUUGGAAACCUUCGGUCAGAGGUUAUCAGACUGAGGAAUGAAGACCUAGAAAAGGAUAAAAUUUUGUUCUCCUUGGUCGACAGGCUCAAAAGCAACGAAGCAAAGCUUAAUGCACAAUCUGAAGCUCAUAAAGCCAAAGUUGAAGACCUUCGGAAAAAGCUUGUCGAAGCUAAUGAAAAUUUUGAACUUGCAAAGGCUAAGCAAGAGAUAAGUGAAUGGACAAGCACGAGGCUAGAAAAGAAUGUGGAGGAGCAUCGUGAAUCCAAGGAAAGAUGUUAUGAGAAAUCGUUGAAUUGCGCCAAGAAACUGAAAGACAACUUUGCAAAGGUGGGUGCAUACUCAUCGGAGCAAAAGUUUAUUAGAGGCGAUCUUGAAGGAGUUAUUGAAUGGAUCGGCGAAGAAGGUGAAGCUUUUGAAGAAAUUCUUAGUGACCGUGGAGAUUGUUGCGCUUCGCCGGUGCCCGAGGGGUUGCAGCGGUUCUGGAGAAAAAUGGCUGUGAACACGUUAAGGCUACAACCCAGCCGUCUUCUCCAUAGACAACGCUAAGUAGCCUUCGGCCGAAGCUACUUUGAUAGGCGGAAAAUUCUAUUCCGAUGUUUGGAUGAAGGGUGGCCGCGAGAUAGCCGACAAGGCUAUAAGGAAAAAUGAAAAAGAAUCUCAUGAGGCCUGAGAAGAAGCCAAGCGAGCCGAAGAGGCUGCUGAGCGCGCAAGGCGUAUAGGUAUUAUUAGUGAAUUUUAGCUUCGGUGUUUGUUUCUGGCUUCGGAUUAACAACUUGUUUUUACUACAGCUGAACUUUCACCACGACCUGAGCCAUAUGAUCCCGAGGCCGAUCCGGCCAUGAAGGCAGCACUAGAAACGAUAAGGAUUGCCGAAGAAGCCGUUGACGAAGCUGUCAACAAACUCCUGAAUGAAGCUACCGAGAAGAUAUUGAAAGAGGACUAAAUUCUUGUGUACUAAGAAAUGUAAUAUUCGUGUAUGAGUCAAACUUGGAAUAUUUGUAUGUAUAUUAAUGUAAUAUAUUUUUUUGCGAUGUAUGAAAUCUGUGUACAUACCUAUUUUUGAGCCUUCGGCUAAAAAACGCCUUCCCUUCUUUUCAUGCUACGCAAAGGAAAAAAUCACCCCUUUCUUAUGUCAUAGCUGUUAUAUAAUAUUAUUGUCGACAAAGAUUCUCUUGGCAUGUAAAACUAUAAUUAUCGAAGGUACACUUCGUGCUUCAGCACAUUGUUCCAUUCGUCGCAUAUUUUGAAAGAAACGUCUUUGACUCUUCCACAAUAUUGUUACCGAUGCAACAUGAUGUAUGAUGUAAUGCUAUGCGAAAAGAUGCGAUGAAUGAUGCAGCAUGAUGUUUAUGCCGAAUACACAUACCCACAUGGAAACAUGCCUAGACUCUGCAUCCCCUUAGGAAUGACUUUUGAGUCUCUUCACCUUCUAUUUCGGUGGCAUUUAAGCUCUGCAUCCCCUUAGGAACGACUUUUGAGCUUCUUCACCUUCUAUUUCGGUGGUAUUUAAGCUCUGCAUUCCCUUAGGAACGACUUUUGAGCUUCUUCACCAUCUAUUUCGGUGGUAUUUAAGCUCUGCAUUCCCUUAGGAACGUCUUUUAAGCUUCGGAACUUACUUUGCGCUCCCUUAGGAACGACUUUGUAGCUUCGAGACUUACUCUACGCUCCCUUAGGAACGACUUUGUAGCUUCGGGACUUACUCUGCGCUCCCUUAGGAAUGACUUUGUAGCUUCAGAAGCAUUGUUGGGGGGUUGCAUUCUACACUCGUUGGUGUGACCACAAUAUUAUUACAUCAAAUUAGAGAUUAAACCUCCAUGAACUGUUUUUCAUGCAAGAAAAUAAAAUGACAGACAAAAUCGAAGAUACACCAGGUUAGGAUAUUCUUUAGUAAAUGUGCUUCAACUGGGGCAUAGUGCUGUUGACUGUGCGAGCUUCGGACUCCUCUCGAAGGUCGCGCUGUUGCUGAACAUGGUGGUGCCCUUCUGGCUGUUGAUUGUGAACCAGAGUAGGUGCUAGCGGUGGUGGUGGUGGCAACUGGGCACAGGAUGCUUGAGAAUGGCUUGUCGAAGCGACAGAGGCCGUAGGCUGUUGAUUGCCUACAUACUCUGGGACGUAGGGAGAGUAGCAUGAAGCGGUAUGUAGAACCUGCUUCGGCUAAUUCUGUCGUGCUUCAGCUUCGGCAAUUUCUUUCUGCUUCUAAAUUGUAACCUGGCAUGUCCUUAUGGUAUGCCCCUUGUCUUCGACACAGAACAAACAAAACAGUCUCCUGGGCUGAUCUCCAUAUAUUCCUCUGAAGCUUCUGCCACCUCUGCCUCUUGGAGCUGGAGGCCUGAAAGAACUUUGUUGCGCCCCUGAUGAUUGAGAGUUGUGUUGUUGCAUUUGGGUAUGACUCCCCCUACUGUCGCUUGCACUAAAAUUAUGAAUCGACCUAACAUGCCUAAAGUGGAAUCUUCCUCCGAAGCCCCUGGCCAACUCAGAGUAUCUGAAGGCUUCUUCCCUUCUUUGCCGAAAAUCAUUAUCGGCUCUGAUGUACUCAUCCAUUUUCUGGACAAGCUUCUCCAAGGUUUGCGGUGGCUUCCUUGCGAAGUAUUGCGCCAUAGGUCCUGGCCGUAGCCCCUUGAUCAUGGCCUCAAUGAUGAUCUCAUUGGGCAAUGUAGGUGCUUGAGCUCUCAGUUGCAAGAACCUUCGGACAUACGCCUGCAAGUACUCCUUCUGGUCCUGCGUACACUGAAAGAGAGCAUGGGCAGUGAUCGGCGUCGUUUGAAAACCCUAAAAUCUAGUCACAAACAUAUCCUUUAGCUUCUACCAUGACGUAAUUGUCCCUGGCCGAAGAGAGGAGUACCAAGUUUGAGCCACACUUUUGACUGCCAUGACGAAGGACUUCGCCAUGACUGCAGUAUUGCCCCCAUAUGAGAAUAUGGUUGCAUCGUAGCUCAUCAGGAAUUGCUUCGGGUCUGAGUGUCCGUCAUACAUGGGGAGCUGAGGUGGCUUGUUUGACGGCGGCCACGGGGUAGCCUGCAUUUCUGCUGCCAAGGGAGAAGCAUCAUCAAAAGCAAAAUUGCCAAAAUUAAAGUCACCAUACCAUUCAUCAUCAUUGAAUGAGCUUUCUUGGCAAAGCUCCCUGUGUUGGGGCCUUCGGUCUUGGUCAUCUUGAGUGAGGUGACACAUUUCUUUAGCAGCUUCGUCGAUCUUCUUCUGAAGGUCGGUGAGCCGAAGCAUCUUUUCCCUCUUCCUUUGCACCUGUUGAUGGAUAGCCUCCAAAUCCCUGAUUUCUUGAUCUAGCUCCUCCUCCUGAGAUGUUGGGCUAGUAGCCUUCCUCUUCUGGCUCCUAGCUCUCGUAGCGUCUCCUGAUUAGUGUCCAGUGGCUGUAGGGCAGCCCCUGGCACCGUUGUCUUCUCCGGCGGCAUUGCGAAAGUCGAUGCUUGCCGAAGGUGGUCGAUUGAGUUCACCGGAGGUGGGUGCCAGUGUUGGUCCUUGUUCUUGAAUGCUAUACAUCAAGAACAAAGCAACACAAUUGUUAAUUAUUAGAGACCUUCGUCCUUCGUAGCAUUAUCUCCUUUGGGAUAUAAUGAUCUUCAGACAAAGGUCAUGAAGGACAUACCUUCAUCAUCUCAACAAACAAAUAUAAGCAAAAGUACAUGAAAUACAAAGGAAUGCAAAUAAUGAUGAUAUAUCAGUAAAUUAUUUGCGUUCUCAUUUUAUAAACAUGAAUAAAUAUCCACAAUAUUUAUAUUACAUUGAUACCUUCGGCUUGCUAGAAGGUGAAAAUGCGAGAGUGACGCAAGAGUGAUUACAAUCCAGCGUGAACAGUACGGUGUUACUGUUCAUCUAUUUAUAGGCUUGGGACGCAGCCCGGACAAAAUUACAAUCAUUUCCCUGACAUUUACUGUUAAUCUUAAGGUGAGCUAUCAAGGACUCAGCAGUCUUUUCCCCUUUAAGUCGGUUUCAUCUUAUGUCUUCGUCAUUAUACUAAGCUGAAGCUCCUUUAGCCACAGCUUUGGCGUCCGUUCAUUCUGCCUUCGGGUUGUAUUUCAAUACCACACAUACCUUCAUUCCAAAGUGGAAGCCUCUUGUAAUAGUCUAUGUUACACUGAAAAACAUAUUAGUCACGUUUUUGAGAACCUUCGGAAGAGGAAGGCCCCCAACAGUUAGAUUGGAAUGCGAGCUCGACGUCACAUAUUGUCUCCGUGAACUGCCCCGGUGUCGACCGACCAAUUUCCAUCGGUCCUAAGUCGGCUCAUACAAGCAUCGGGUUUUCCAUGACCUACUAGUGCUCCCCGUUCUCUUCAUUUGAGCUCCAUGGUGUUGUUGCCUCGCGAACAGGCGCCGUGGACCCGGAACCCCAUCAUGGUCAUGGGUGGGUCAGAGCAGUGCUUGUGAACUAAAUACAUGCCAUGAGAUCAUUCGAUUUAGGUCAGGGUUACGUUUAGUGAAAGGGUGCUCAGGCUUCACACUGCCGCGACCGGGGUUUUAAUUUCGUCGGCGCCACUGGCAAUGGUCGGCGACGGGAUUUGUGAAGAUGAAAGAAGCAGAGGGAGUGGAAGAAAAAUUGUUUGAACAACCAAGGGUCUUGGCGCAAAUCUGCAAGCGCGAGCGCAGACGUGCACAAUAUCUGCGUGGGCUUCGGCGAGUAGGGUCGAAUUCGACCUGGUACUAUUCAUAUUUUUGUUCUUUUCUUUUUAGUGGUAGCUUGUGAAAUCCAUUAAAAAUAGUAGAAAAUUGAUAAAAUCAUGGGACCAAUUUUAUUAAACUCCUAAAAUCAUGUAGUAUUUAAUAAAAAUAAUUCCAAGAUUUUUAUUUCAAACCAUACAUUAUGUAGUAUUCAAUGGUACUUAAGUGAGGCCUUUCAGAAUUUUAGAAAUAGUUUAAUAAUCCCAAAAAUCAUAAAACUUUUUUGGUAGACUUAACAUGUUUGUUAUAUACUUUGAGUAAUGUUUCAUUUUGUUUGGACACUGUUUGACUAGGAAAUCAGUAAUAAGUCCAAAGGAUUAACCAUUUUUAAUACCAAGUAAGUUAGAGGUAGUUUUGUAAAUAAAAUUGAACUUAGUAAACUUACCAUCACUUGUUAGCCUAAGGAGGUUAGUUAAGCUAAUCUUAAAAGGGUAUCUAGCUAGAAAGUUUUAAUGGCUGAUAAACACCGUGAAUGAAAGUUGUAUUCAAGGCACUACUUACUAUCUUCUUGUUAUGAAUUUGCAUAUCCAUGACAUAGCAUAAACAUUCAUAUAUAUGUAUUAUUGCGUAUAGAGCACAAAGAAGAAACUAUAGUAGAAGAAGAGGUUGUUUCUCCAACCAAGAAUCCUCUCGUGGAAAAUAACUUUUACUUUGACAUCUGUGGUGAGGAAGCAGAUACUUCUACAACACAAGGCAAGCCCCGGUGCAUUUAUUUUUCCUUGUAUUUUAAAGUUUUAGCAACUUUGGAUGUUGCAUUAGGUGAUAGGAAUUGUGUGAUAAACUAUUGAUGCAUUUCCUUCCUUAGGAAAUUGAAUUCCAUUCCUUGUUACCUGAUUUAUUCAAACAAGUUUAAUGAUUCUUAGCCUUGCUUUAGAAAACAAAAUGUUUUGUUUUAAAAAGGUGAUGCUUCACACUGGGAUGGGAAUUUUUACAAAGGAAAGACUUAUGAUGGUGAAUGCAUCAUGACUGUGAUGGAUUCAACAUCUGAAAAGAGUACCUCUGUAGGGUGCCAAACUUUGGGUUAUAAGCGAUAAAGAUGAGACCAGGCGGGUGACUUGCACGAGAAGGAGGUCUUGGUGUAGUGUCUCCGUCUGAGUCAUUUAAGGACUGAGUCAAUGCAGGCUUGAUUAUCAAGGACCUUUUAACUGGCUACAUGCGUCAUCAUGGGUAAGCUUUCCCUCGGACGGACCAAUACCAGAAUAGCUCGCCCGCACUAGGCAUGGGAGAUGGUGAGGGUAGCGUGUGCCCUCCAUGGCAAGAGGCUGGACGGUGGAGUAACUGUACUCUCGGGUAGCGGGAACCCGUUCUGGUCUUGAGAAACCCGGGUGCGAGUUGACAUAUGCAACGGUUAAAUGCUACAUAUGUCUUGUGGUUGGAGAUCCCCAGCUAGGUAUUAGUCGAUUCGGAUCGUUGUUACUUCUCGGACAUGAAGACUUGGUCACUGACCUAUACCGUAGUGACAAGUAAACUCACAGCAUGAUAAAAGAUGGCUAGUGUAGGCGAAUUUUUUGAUCUAGAUUAGGGAACAAAUCUAGAUUUAGGAAAUUACUUAAUUUGAAAAGUAAAAUGAAUCCAUAAGGACCAACUUCAGUAAGCUUUGUGCAAACUGGGUCAUUGGUUCUUACUAAACCUUACCUUGACUCCUAAAGGCCAGCAUAUCCUUGAGAAUCUUUUCUUUUAGUAGGGUAAGACUUGCGAAAGUACACUCCAUACUUAGGUUUUUCGAACCCAUGUUGUUAUAGGUGAUGACACUACAGAUUUUUGCUGCUUCUGUUCUAAGAUCGUCCCGAAGCAGGAGGAUGAAAAUUAAAUAAAACUUAUGGAAGGUGCCUAUCUUUUGGUGAUGUAAUAAGUACAAGCACUCAAACCUAUAUAUUGUAAUAAUGGCUCUUUCUAUAUUGUACCUGUGAAUGUAAAUUAAGUUAUUGUAACUCUUUCCGCUUUUACUCCGAUGGUAUGAAAUGUCUGUGAUAUGGGAUGAACACUCUUAGGAGAUGUGAAGGAGAUACAGGAAUUAGGUCCUGUCGAGAUAUUGGGUGCACCUGCAUGACUGUCUAAGGUCCUUGGGACAAGGACAUCUGUAGGUGGGCCUAAUAUCUUGGGAGGUUCUGUGACAAGCUGUGGUUAAUAUGUACACGUGCUUUGCUGGUCCACCUAUAGGCGUUUGGUGCUGUCUUCCUUAAAACGAUGUAGGGCCCCUCCCAUUUGGUUCAAGCAUCCCUCUUGCUUCUACUCGCGGUGUGCGGAUGAGGACUAGCUCACCUUCAUCAAACUCUUUGGCUUUGAUGGACUUGUUUCUCCAAGUCUUGGUUGCUUCUUGAUAUCUGGCGAUUGUGUUAAGGGCCUUAGCCCUGUAGUCUUUGAGCAAGUCUUUGUUCACGGAUUCGUUGGUCUCCGGUGUUAAGCUGUUUUCCACUCAUGGGGAUUUAAAUUUGAGCUCUUGUGACGUCAUUGCCUCCACACCGUACAUCAGCUUGCAAUGUGUGAAGCCUGUGCAUCUAGUCUCAAUUAUGUUUGGUCCCCAAAUGACUUCGGGAAGUUGUUUGGGCCAGUUACCCUUCGCGUCUUCAUGUAGCCUUUUCUUGACUGUCAUGAAUUUUUUGUUUGCUCUUUCUUUGUGCCAUUGCACUAGGGAUGAUAUACAGAGGCGAAGUAGACUUUGGUUCCAACUAAUGCACAGAAAUCUCGGAAUUGUUGGGUAUCAAACUGUUUGUCGUUGUCCAUGGUUAUUUCGGAGGGAACUUCGAUCUGCAUAUGAUGUUCUGACAGAAGAUUUUUUGGGUUGUAUUUGACUUUAUAAAGGAGGCUGCCUUCACUUUUCUCCAUCUAGUGCAGUACUCUACUACGACAAAAGCAUACUUCAAGUUCCCUUGAGCUGUUGGUACGAGUUCAAUGAUGUAUAUGCCCCAACACAGCAGCGGCCAUGUGUGGCCAAUUAACUUGGAUUUCUGUGAGAGCCCCCCUUUGCUUGGAGAAAACAUCUGGCAGGCUCCACUGUUUUGGGCGAUAUUUUGGACAUACCUAACAAUUUCGGGCCAAAAGAAACCAAGCCACAAGAUCCUUGAAGCGAGGGCCCUAGGGCCGACGUGUCAUCCGGAGAUCCCUUGAUGGACUUUAGCCAGCAGCUCUCUGCCUUCAUGCUUGGUGAUUCAUUUGAGAAGGGCUGGACAAUUCCGUGCAUGUAUGAGUUGUCUUCGACAACUGUGUAUUGGCUACUUCUAUAUGCAAGCCUGGAUUCUUCCGAAAGGUCCGCUGGGUGGUAGUGCCCUUGUAGGUAAGAUAUUAUCUGGACCCUCUAGUCCUCUUGGCAAAAAAUGUUGACUAGUAUUACUUCUAGGUCUAGCUAUCUUAGAAAGGGUGUCUCGAUGACCUGGUAGAACACAUCGAAAGGUAGAGGAUCUCCUCUUGAAGCGGCCUUCGCUAGCACAUUUGCUUCCUCAUUUCUUGAGUGGUUAAAGUGCGGGACUAUGAAUCCUCAAAAUUGCCUUUUGGGACUUCGCCUGCCUGACAGAUAUUGUAGCAGGACCGGCUCCCGUGCUGCACAAUCUUUCUCAAUCUGGCCCACAACUAUUCUAGAGUUUGUCUUGAUGAUACAGGUUUGAACUCCACAAUGUUGUUUGUGCAUUUGCCGAAGUCAUUUGUGAAGUUGAGAUGAGCACCGUAUCUAGAUCUAUGAGUAUUGCUAAGACUCUAGCCCCAAAAUGAUCCUAGGCUCCAUCGCAAUGAAUGACCCAGGUAGUUUCAUUGGUUGGUGGCGAAGGGGUGAAAGUCCUGGUCCAAUCAACGAGAAGUCUGCUAGGACUUGCGACUUGAUGGCACUCCUGAACUCGAAAGUCAAGUGAUACCCUAACAAUUUCAUGGCCUAUUUUCCUAUUUGGGCGAAGCCUCAGGGUUGUUGUGUAUGUCAGAUAGACUUUGCUCUAUUAAUACCUUGAUUUUAUGGGCCUCAAAGUAUUGUCUUAGCUUUCUUGAUGCCAUGACCACAACAUAGGCGAUUUUUUCCAUUUCUGACAUGUGGGUCUUCAACUUAGUGAGGACUAUAGAGAAAAUAUACUUAGGAAUGAAUGAGUUUGCCUUCGGCUUGCUUUUCCUGGACAAGGACUACGCUCACUGCACGAUGGGAGGCCGAUAAAUAGAGUAGCAACUCAACUCCUGGGAUCGAACUAGAUAGGGUGGCCAGCUCUGACAAAUAUGAUUUGAGAUUCUCGAAUGUUCUUGCUUGUUCUGGCCCCCAGGUUAAGUCUUUUGCACCUCGCAUGACUUUCAUGAACGAAACACUGCACUCCGCUGACUUUGAAAUAAACCUAUUCAAGGCUCAAUGCGGCCUGUCAGCUUCUGAACUUCUUUUACUAUUUAUGGCGGGUGCAUUUCUGCAAUGGCCUUGAUUUUAUCAGGGUUUUAUUUAAUGCCUCUUCUUGUAACUAGAUAACCCAAGAUGCGCUGGUCUGGAUUUAGCCGGAAUCUAGCUUCUCUCAUAUUGGCAAAGGUCUCCGCCAGGUCUGCAAGGUGAUCUGCUUUGUUUUUGCUCGUGAUGACUGUCACACCCGGAUUUAAGGACAAAUCAAGAUGCAUCACACAUGUGUGCCAUGAUCAAGUCUCACACAUAUGGUGACUCAGUGUACAGAAAACAAUGUCACAUCUUUAUUACUUAAUACAAUUUUUGUACAAAAUAACUUAGAUAAAAUACACCAUAUGACGACAAUGAUCCCUUGCAACCAUAGUUGACUGGGAGACGACGACCUAGGUCUCUCCAAACUCAUCUUCAUGGUCCUCCUCUGGUGGUAGAUGCUCUUGACCUAGUGUGACUAUAGCAAGGGUGAGCUCCCAUAGGGUCGUCGCUCAAAAAGUCUAGGAAAAAAGUGUAGUAUAAGGCUUACCAAGGAUAACAGUUAAGGCUUAGCAUUGCCUUUAAUUUUGUUGGUCAAAAUUUUAUUAGCAAUUACUAAGUAUAAGUAAAUACCAUCCCAAUUAAAUACUGGACUAAUAUUGAAAUUCCCGCAAUGCAAUGCAUGGCAGGUUAAGUUUAUUUCCAUAAGUUACUCAUGUGAGGGUCCGAGCUACUCAUGACCGUGAGCGCAGCUGAUAUACCAGUUUUACAAGCUGCAGAGGUUGCACAUCUUUACCCACAAGACGUGUUACCUUUUCGCGUCGGGUUGAUCGGAACCUUAUACACUUCCAAGGUGAGUUAGCCAGGGCACACUGAGAGGCCUUUACAAAGUUCCAUUAGCUUGAGAAACCACGCUAUGGUUUCAGGAAAAAGGGGGGCAUAGACUUUUUUCCAAGGUCUAUAACCCCAUCCCAGUAAUUAUUGCCAGCACUAUGCUCUGCAGUGAUUCACUCUCCGCUUGCCCUUUCAGGUAAGGUAAGCUCUCGCUAGCUUUUCUAAUUAAUUGGCCAAGGCUGUCCCAUUCCACCCUUGUGGUAGCACUGUUGUCUCGGGUGGUUGCUCCAUGUUCCAAUUAACAAAAUGAUCUUGACAUGCAUAAGUAACUAGCAAUAAUAAACCAUAAUGGAACAUGAUCAUAAAUCAUAAGUGACAUUAGUCCCAAAACAAUGUAGAGCAAUAGCAAGACUACCCAAUAAUUCAUUUGUAUGCAAGGUGUAGGGUAAACAAGAUUAGGUAACUUAUUAGGUCCCAUCAAUUUAACCUAACAAUGCAAGAAUGACGAGAAUAUAAGAGUAAAUAUUAUUAUUAUUAGGUCAAAGAAUGUGAUCAAGACACAAGUUGUCUUUACUUGCAAAUCCAACUACUCAGGUACUUCCCCAAAGUUAGGCUUCAGAUUCCUCGUCGUAACCUCGCUUUUAUUCAUAGCAAAACAUACAUAUAUACAAAAUAAUGAAUAAAAAUAACAUUACAUCAAUUAUGAAAACAAACCACACAAUAAUAUUCUAUGUGUUGCUACAAGAUCGUAGGUUCGAGAACCACUAAAUAAAAGUUAAAACGAAGAAGUUAUGGGUAAAACAAGAAUUUUUUUGGUGCAAUAGAUCUAACAAAUGAGAUCUAACAUAUGGGAUCUAAUAGAUAGGAUCUAAUAGAUAGGAACUAAUAGAUGGGUUUUAACAGAUAGAAUCUAAUAGAUAAGAUCUAUUGUGGGUACCUUCUUUCCCUAUUUAUUUUCAUAAAGCGAAGGCACCACCUAGGUGUGCUGCUCUUCAUGCCGAGGGAGGGGGAGGGUCUUCAAUGUACGUGGUGGGGGGUGGCUUGGGGCACGUGCGGGCAAAGGGGUAGUGGCUUGUUGCAGCUUGUCGUACGGCCGGAUUGGAGAAAAAAUGUUGCGAGAUUAAUGUUUCGGGGAAGAAAAUCACAUGCUAUAAUAUGUGAUAAACGAAGAAAUAUAGAGAAGGGCAAUAGAGGGCUCACCGAAGAAGAAGGUCCUCGCCGGAGUUGAUGAGGAACUCGAACUUCGACGAAUGUUUGCGAGAGUUGUAGAUUGAAUUUGGAAAAACGAUUUCAUGUUCUGGGAUAGGCUUAUCUAGGGGAAGCAAGUCAUGUAUUUAUAGGGGUGGUUUGAGUUUAUCCAAAAUCUAAAUAAAUUCAAAUUUUAAAGAUUUUCUAUUUUUAGAAAAUACUGAAAAUCAAUUUUAAUGUCGAAAAAUGUCCAGAUUGCUCUAAAAAUUCUAGAAAUGUUUUGGCAUCUAAUGAACUCAAUAAUAAUAUUUGGAGAUUUUAAAAUGAUGUUUAAGUACCUCAAAUAAAUAUAUUUUUCUUUUCGGAAAUAGAAAAAAUAAUCAGAUAAAUAUGAAAAUUUAACGGAGACUUCUACGAUAUAUAUUAACAUGUUUCAAAUAACCUUUUGCACUCAGAAACACUAUGCAACAACAUGAAUGCAACACACUCAGUUCAACCUUAUGAUUCAUUUUAAUUUGAUUUAUAAAAAUUAUAUAUUUAAAACUAUAAUUUGUGAUUCUAAACCACUCAAAUCUUAACAAAUUAAACUAAACCUUGAAAAAAAUAUUGGUUCAAAAAAUUACGGUGUUACAACAAUGUUGUCGUGGACGUAGGUGAAUCUAUUUCGGCCAACUUGGUCUUUAAGGAUGGACCUAGUGAGACAGGAGAAUGUGGAUCUAGCUUUCUUGAAGCCUUCGGGCUCAUGAAGUAGUAGGUGCCGAAGGGUGUGAUGAAAUUGGCAUUUGCCUUGUCCUCUUUACUGAGAUAUAUUUGGUGGUAACUAGAAAAAUAGUCGAGCAGGGACAUGACCUCGUAGCCUAAUGCAGAAUUGACAAUUUUGUCGAUGCAAAGGAGGGGAACUCAUCUUUAGUGCAGGCUUUGUUUAGAUUGGUGAAGUCGAUACACAUGUGCCAUUCACCAUUCUUAUUUUUGACCAUAACAACAUUUUCAAGCCUAGUGGGGUAGUCGAUUGGUUCAAUAAAUUUUGUGUCCAAGAGCCGCUAAACUUCAACCUUGGUUGCCUCCGUCUUCUCAUCUGACAUCUUGCGGAGUCUCUAUUUCUUGGGGUGAGCAGAGGCGUUGAUAUGCAGUCUAUGUUCAAUGAUACUUGGGUUGACCCCAACCAGGUCAGAUGAUGAACGAGCGAAGACAUCUUUAUUCUUGCGCAGGCAGUCUAGCAAGCUGGCAUCGUCCUACAGAGCUAGGCCUUCGCCAAUAAAUAUUGCAUGAUUGGGGAGAGAAGUAUUGAGUGGUACUUUCUUGGCCCCCUCGUCACUUCGGAUGGGGUUUUGGUGCCUAUUAGUCUUGGCUGGCGGCUCUGGAGUGUGAUGACUCCGUGGGGUCCUAGGAUCUUCAUCCACAAGUAUAAUCCAUGGAUUGCUGCUUUGAAGGCAUUAAUGACCCCCUUCCUAGGAUUGCAUUAUGCGGAUACACCAUGUCAAUGACGUCGAAGGUGGUCUGUUUUGUCCGCGCGUUUGGGCCAGCAGCAAAGGAUAGUGGUAGGACUAUUUUUUGAGAGGUAGGUGGCCUUAAUUUCGAAUCCGAACAGAGGAUUAUCUACUAGCUGCAACUAUUUUGGAUUGAUGCCCAUCCCGUCGAAGGUGUGGAGGAAUAUAAUGUCGGCCUGGCUGCCGUUAUGUUUCAACUGACGAUCAUUGCGUCGGUGUGUGGGGCGUUUCAGAGGGGGAAAUGUGACCAAUUUAUAUGGACGACUGCCCCAUUAACGAUGACAUGGUUGACACUUCUGUAGUAUUCUCUUCUCUGCGUUUUGGUGUCGAAGUUUACACUGAAGCCUCCACUGAUCACAUUGAUAAUGCCGUGAAUCGAAGGUUGACGUAAUCGUAUUCCUCUUUGGGUGGCGGAGGGGUAGUUGCCUUUGGUGGUGUGCUAGUUGAGGGGGUGGUGGGAGUUGUAGUCUUUCUGGGUGGUGAGGUAGGGACUGGUAAUUUUAUUGAUAUUGUGGUAGGGUUGGUAUCUUUCUUGAUAUGACUGGUGGAGGGGGUGGAGGGGGUAGUUAUGAUUUCUUGCCUUCGGUUGCUGAUCUUGGUGACCCUCACAUUCUUUCGGCCUCCAUCCUAUCAUUGGUUUCCUUGGUGGCGCGGCAGUCCCUAGUUGAAUGAUCAACAUCCUCGCCGUGGAAGACAAGGUAAGGUCUGUGAGUGGGGCCACGGCUAUGCCCCUUGCCUCUUGGUGCUCUACCAUCCUCCUUGAUUGUUGAUUGUGAUCAUAGUUGCGUGGGCGUAACACCCUGAAUUUUUGGGUAUAAAAAAUUUCUUUGCUCUAUACUCAAAAUUCAGGUGUUACCCUUUCCUUACUUCGCUUUUCUUUUCCAUUUAUUAAAACAAUAGAGAGUUAUUUUGUUCUAUGUUGGCGUGAGCCCUAUAAAUGCCUUGGUUGUUGCAUUCAUGCCAUUGCAUAGUGUUUCCAAGUGCAAGAAGUGUUUGAAACAUGUUAAGAUGCCUUGUAGAAGUUUCCCGUAAUUUUUCAUAUUUUCUAAAUAUUUUUUCUAUUUUCCAAAAUUCAAAAUAUAUUUAUUUGAGGUACUUCAGAACAUUUUCAAAAGUUCUAAAUAUGUUUUUGAGUUCAUUGGGAGCCAAAUCAUGUCUAGGAAAUUUCCUAGAAUUUUUAGAGCCUUCGAGAUAUUUUUCGGAUAUUAAAAACGAUUUCAGUAUUUUCUGAAAUUACUUUUAAUUUUAAAAAUGGGAUAAUUACAAAAAUAAAAUAUCUUCAAACCCUAGCAAUGUAUAUAUAUAUGCCUGGAAUCCUCUCGUCGAGCCCUUUAUGAAUUUCGAAACCCAAUCCCCAGUCUAGAUCCGAAACUCCCAAAAUUGCUUACCGAUGUUCGAGACGGUUCCAACUCCUGCGAUAACUUCGGUGAGCAAUUAAUUUCGAUUCGUACAUUGUAGGUGGAAUCCGAGGGUGUAGCUUCGUUCGUCUCGUCGAGAGCUUUGUCCCGGUGGCUUCGAUUCAUCGAUCCGACUGACGGUUCGUCGCAAAUCGGCGUUUUACUCUUCGGCUCAGGUGAUGUCUUCUUUCCCGGUGACUGUUCUCCAUUGCUACCCAUGAAAGUUCUUCGUUUUCUUCCUCCAUAGGUGUCCCUCCUCCCCUAUAGCCCCUCUCCUUCACAUCCAACGUGACAGCGGUCUCCACCCACUUCCCCACACCAACCUUUCUCUCUCUUUCCCCCUCCCCCCGCGCCCUUCCCCCUACGCGUGCCGGCCAUGGCCGCUGCUCGGCGCGGCGGCGCGACCCCGUGCUGACCCCUCCCUCGGCUGAGCUCACGUCCCCCCACGACCCCAACCCCCAUGGAGGCUGUACGAGAGAGAAGGGAAGUGGAGGGAGGAAAAAGCCCAGUUUUGCAAAAAAAGCCCUCAAAAGAUGGUUUAAAUAAUGUAUAAUUUUCUAAGUCUGGGCAUUUUUAUUUGCUAGCCCUCAGAGCCUAUAGUUAAUUUCACAUAGACCCCUGUAAUUUUAAACGACCAUAUCUUCCACGUUUUAAAUCAUUUUUAAUUGUUCAAGUUGUGUUAGGUUCAUAUUAACGAUGUCCAUGCGUUAAAAAUAUUGUUCCAUCAUUUCACAUGAUUUAAAUAAUUUAUUAAAUAUUUGUUAACUUAUAUUUUGAAUUUAGCUUUCGAUUAAAAAUUAAUUUAUAGUUUUAACUUACACUUUAUAAAUAUCUGUUAAUGUGAUCAAUGUUAACUCACAUACCUUGAAUUAAUACUUGUUUGAUAUAAAUGCGUCAUCUAUUUAGUAUUUCUCGCGUGUCGCACGUCGCUGUUUGCGCACAUCGUCGUUUGCACGCGUUGUCGUUCGCACGUCGUUCUGCUAUUUGCAAGCUCCACUGCCGCUGUUCGCGUGUUGUUCGCGUGUUGUUUCACGUGUGUCCACCGUGACAUCUGUGUGUUGUCACGCGAUGUUUCACACGUGUCGCGUGCCGUCAGCUGUUGUUUCGCGUGUGUUGUGGGCGCGGUCUGCGCUCGUUGUUAAGCUGUUCGUUUAUAAUUACUCAUGUCAGUUAAUUAGCUAUUUGUCUAAUCAACAACUGUUAAAAUAGUAAGUCAAUCAAAACUAAGUAGUAGUAUUAAUUUACAUUUAAUAAAGAUAAAUUAAUAUUAGUAGUAUUAAUUUACAUUUAAUAAAGAUAAAUUAAUAUAAUUAUGUCGAAUUAAGUAUUCUAAUUAAUACUUGCUUAGUGUAAACACGUUAACUUCUCGACCGUAGCUCCGACUAUCGCAUUUCUUUUCCUCACGUGACAUAGUAGCGAGCUCCGUUUCAUAUAUAUAUAUAUAUAUAUAUAUAUAUAUAUAUAUAUAUAUAUAUAUAUAUAUAUAUAUAUAUAUAUAUAUAUAUAUAUAUAUAUAUAUGUGUGUGUGUGUGUGUGUGUAUGUGUGUGUGUGUGUUUGCUUGUGCAUGUUCGUCUUAGCUUCGCGUUUCCGAGCUUCGGUGAACCGACGAUCAAGCCUUGCCGACCAAGUGAUCAAGCUCCUCGAGUUCUAAAAAGUUGAAGACCCUAAGCAUCUGUUUGGUGAAGGCAAAUGUCCUCUGACCUAUUUAUGUCCUAUUCACAUGAUAAUUCAUUUCCCUGCAUUACAUAAUUGAAACCUAAGGAUUGACUAGCUUUCUAUUUACCUUCUCCUUGAUUACCUUUUGGGUUAUUAUGGUUAGCUUUAUGCUAGUGCUCUAAUUUAAUCAAUGAACAUGACGAGAUACAUUUAUGAUACUACGAUCUUAUUCUGGAUAUGAUGUUGAACUUGUGGUACUUUAGGGGACUUGGGUUGUUUCCUGAGUACCUCUCCGUAAGGACCUGUUCGUUGAGAGACCACCCAGGAAAACAGUGCAACCAUAAGUGUGGUAUGGGACGCCCUUAACUGGUUAAUUGGAGGAACCUGGGGUUGUAGUUUGCUUUGUCGUUGUGCCGUCAAUGGGGGCUAGGGCAUAGUGCUUGCUCUGCUAAGGGUGGGUGCUAGUUUUGUUAGUCACCCACCUUAGGGAGGAGAACUGUGUUUGUACGAUUGGCAAAACCUAACGAGCAGCUACACACUAGGAGAAUCUUUGUAAAGGCUACGUAGUGAAACCUUGCCAACUCACCAUGGUAGUGUUUGAGGGUUUGAUCGACCCAAGGCAAAAAGGGAAUCACGACUCAUGGGUAAAGUGUGCGACCUCUACAGAGGAAUGAAACUGAUAUAUUAGUUGUGCUCACGGUUAAGAGCGGCCUUGGGAUCCUCUUUGAUUAGAGAUACAGAUGGUUCGAGAUACAAUGGUUACGAAUGAUGAUGAUGGUUCUAUUAAUGAUGUUUCUAACUAUGGAUUCUGGUAUUUCCUCUAUGAGGAAGUACUCUUUGGGAUAAUAACUCGAGAUUGAUAAUAAAACUUGGCUUAUAUUAAUGAAUAAAACUUGACAAAGUAAAAGCAACCUGCUUUGAGCCUAACUCCACAUAAAGCUAGUCCACCUCAGCCAAACGGGACAUUUGCUGAGUACGGUUAUGUGUACUCGCCCUUGUUUUCACAAACACCAGGUUGCCUUUGGUGCAAUCUAUGCUUAGGUAAAGGAGAAGAAGAAGGUUUCGAGACGGAUCUCCUUGAGUUCCAGAACUUCUACGAGUUCGAGGAUUAGGCUAACGACCUCCCCCAGUCAGUUGCAUGUGCUGGGUUUAUUUACGUUGGCUAUAUUUCUAUUAUGUGUACUUUGAUUUAUAAAAUGUAAAUGACUCUAGUUUGUAAUAUUAUUACUUACUCUUUAUUAAUGUUCGAAGCAUUGUGCUAUGAUGACUCAUUUAUGUAAUAACUGUGUACAUGAAUUUCUUAUCCUGACAUGUACAUGGUUCGCAUUUGGUUUACCUUCCAAAACCGGGUGUGAUAGAGGGGGUCAUCAAGAUGGUGGUGGUGAUUGAUGUUGUUUACUUGCUGGUUUGGCAACGAAAGCUAUUGUCCCCGUGACCAUGUUUCGGAGUCCUAGGUGUGAGGGAGUUGUUUUGACGGGUAUUCCUGCUGGUCUGCCCUUGGUACUUUCUCUUGUGAUCUGACAGCUCUUUCCUUCUGCUUUCAAGGACAAUUGCCUUGUUCAACAAAGUCUGGAAGUUGGGGAAGCUGUGGCUCUAUAAUUGGUAGUUCAAGGGUCCAAUCAAGCCUUCUAAGAAACGUUCUUAGUGCUUCUCGUCAGUGUCCACUUCCUCUGGGGCGUAACGUGAAAGCUGGGUGAAGAGAUCACAGUACUCACUAACAGUCAUGUUUCCUUGAGUGAGGGAAAGGAACUCCUUCUUCUUGAGCUUCAUUAUUCUCGAGGGAAUAUGAUGAGCAUGGAAGUUCACUUGGAACUCCUGCCAGGUUAUGGCAUCAGCAUUGGCAUGUGCCUCGGUGAAGGCAUCCCACCAAUCGGACGUGGCUCCUUCGAGUCUUCCUAAAGCGUACAAGACCUUCUCUUGGUCAUUGCAUUGGGUGAUGUCCAAAUUCUUCCCAAUGACCUUAAGCCAGUCAUCGUCAUCCAAAGGGUCUACUGCAUGAGAGAAAGCGGGCGGGUGAUGACUCAUGAAGUCCCAGUCCUUGGGGUGCGUGUUAGUGUUGUUGUUUGUACUAUUGGUUCUGUUGAUUUUGCUGAAUCUGCUGCACCAAAGCUAUGAGUCCUUGCAGAAGUUGCAUCUGCAAUGCGAUGAAUUGAUCCAUAGUGGGGUUGGGUGGUGGUGGUGGCAACUGCUGACCACGCUGGUUCUGAUGGUUAUUGGGACAUGAUCGAGUGUUCACCAUCUGGUUGGUUAGAAAGUGCAAUCCCGGGGUAAGCGAGGAGUAGAAAAGAUUCUAGGUGGAAUAGCUUAUUAUUAAUGUUAUAUUUUUAUGCUCUUAUGGCCAUCAUUCCAUAAGACCAUUGCACUCAAGCAAAAAUCCAAAUCAAACAUUUCAGAUAACACCAUCACAUGGUUGUUAUUAUUAAUAGUGUAAUAAUAUAAAGGUGUUUUCGUCUAAUGCGAAAACUAACUUAUUACAACAUAAUUGAAGAAUCUAAAGCAGCCUGGUGAUGGAUCCUGGUUCUCCAUAGCGGAUCCUCUUGCAGGGAGGGGAUAACGCCAUGGCAGGGACUUGAACUUCAGGGGAUUCCUUCCAUCAAGCUGAGCUUCCAGGGCUGCGAUCCUUGCGUGUGCAUCCUCCAGCUCCAUGUGUACCCUAGACAGGUCUAGGGUAGCACUAUCCAGGUUGGUGUUAAGACCUGCCACCACAUCAGCUAGGGUGUUGAGGCGAUCUUCUCCAGCUCCACCUGUAACAAUGCUGGUCUGGCUUUCUCAAGGAAUACAUAGAGGAAGAUGCAUGUACUUCGUGUUUUGCAGCAGCUGCCAGUAGGUGUGGCUGAGGGACCACAGAGUUCGCUUAGCAGCAUUGCUGACCAAAGCAACGUCGGUGGAUAGCGGCGUCAGAGACUCAUGAGCUGACAGAGUCCUGAACCCUCUAUCACCUGCAUCCAUCACCCUGACAUGAAUGCGAGUGAUGUAGUAGCAAUCCCGAGGAGGCUCGUACACUCGCCUUGUCUCAUACAGGGGUCGGACGUAGGUUCCCAACGCAAGCAGAACAUCCUGCAGCAGGUUAGGGAAAUGCCCUGCCUCGAACAUUGAGGUAUAAUGUUCAGUGACAGGCCAUAACCCCACGUAGUGGUCCUGCUGUUCUUCGUUGGCCUCCUCGUUGAUGUUUUCCUCAUCUUCUUCUUCUUCGUCAUCUUCAUUAUCGUCACCAGAGUCGUCCGGGUGGUCGCCUCUGGGACCUGGGGCUUGGACUGCUGGUGCUGGCGGUGCUGAAGCUGACGAUCCAGCUGCGAAGGCUAGUGACUCUGCCAACGGGGUGGGCGCAGGCAGAAAGUCCUCCGAGCUGUCCUCCAGAAUGACUCCGUUCUCCACCCGAAUGCGAGGGAGAUCCACAGGGAUUUCCUCGACUACCACUGGGUAGACAGGAACUUGUCGUGGCAGAGGGAUGUAAUUGGUGUUGAUCCGAGUGGUUUGAAUGAUACGAACCAUCUACAAGAGAAAUUGUCACCUCAGUUGAAUUUUAAAGAGAUAAGGUUAAUAAAAUAAUUUUGUAAGAACAAAAUUAGCAUGUUUUGAACAAACUAGGCUUUCCAUUUCUAACUAGUCUAAUGACCUAGAGUCAGCAUGGCUUUGAUACCACUUUUGUCACAUCCGGUUCUGGGGGCAAAAUCGAAUGCAUAACAUAUGUGGGCCAGGAACCAUUUUCCACACAUAUGUUGACGUCACAAGUGUAAUAUAUCAAAAGACAAUGCAAUAAAGGUGUAAAAGGGAGUAGAGUAGCUUUAUUACAUCAUUUGGAUCAUAGUAUCUUAAACAAGUAUCAUAAUCAAAGUACGGCGGAAUUAAACAUGGACACUCUUCCACAGGAAGGUGACUGGCACAUCAUUAGACUCAAAACUCAUCAACGUCAUCUGUGAAGUCUUCGUCAUCACCCUCUGAUCAAAAUAUUAGCAAGGGUGAGCUCACUUAUGGUCGGGGCUCAGCAAGUGGGGGAAAUUAAUGCAAGUUAACAAGGUAGGCUAUGGAUAAGCGGUAAGCAUUUUAGUUGGUCAAUAUUUUAUUAGCAACACUUGUCUUACUAAUAGGUGUGUAUCCCAAAUAUCCCAAUUAAUCAAAGGUAUAAGAUUAUAUCAAAAGCACUUAAGUGAAAUCACUUAAGCAAACCAUUGGUAGAUCCUGAGAUCACGAUUUAUUUUCCAUCUUUAAGUUGAAUUAUCAUGUGAGGGUCCAGGUUGCUCUUAACCGUGAGCAUGGCUGACAUAUCAGUUUUACAUUCUACAGAGGUGGUACAACUUUACCCACAAGCCAUGUAUCCCAUCUAGCCUGGGUAUAUCGGACCCGUAAAAACUGUCGAGGUGAAUGGCUAGCGAUCCAUUAUGAGGCUUUCACAAAAUAUCCUUAGUACAAAGCCACCCGCUAAGGUUUCCACGUCAGUAUUGAUGGCCCUCUUGGUGAGGUAACUUAGCCAAGACUACCACCCCAUGUUAACAUGAGCUUCCACCAAACUAGUGUCGUCCCCUCUUGCCCAUCUUUCAGGUAGGGUUGCUAAGCACUAAGUCUAUAGAGCUAAUUACCAAAGCCAGAGCCAUUAUAGAACUCGUGGUUGCACUGUUAUCCUGGGUGGUCACUCCAUGUUCCAUUUAACACAAAUGUUCUUGUUUAACCAUCGGGUUAACAUCAUAAUAAAACUUCAUUUCCGGAACAUAGUAUAAUUAAAAGUGUGACAUCAUAUUUAUCAAGUUGAGCAGUAGCAAAAUUUGCUAAGCAUAGUAUUUAUCCGAGGGUAAUUCAAGGAAUAGGGUUGGUAAUUAUAGGAAAUCCUUAUUUAGGCAAAUCCCAUCAAAUUAUGCAAUAUAUCCAUAAAGUAAACAUUAUUAUAUGCAUUAUUUGGGUACAAAUAGAAAUGCAGAGGGAGAAUCCACUUGCCUUGCACGAAAGUGUCCUAUGGGUCGUCCUCGAACGUGUUUGGUUUGUCUACCUCACAGUCAACUUCUAUAUUCGAUCUGCGUAUCGUACAUACAAAAGAAUACGUACGCCAAAUAAAUAAACAUACACCAUUACAUUGGUAAUCAUUCACCAUUACAUACACAUUCAUACAUCACACAACUGUACUCAUAAAUAUGUCUCCAGCAUAAAUAUUUAUUAAUCCACUAUGACUUCUACUUUGAGUUAUCAUCAGUGAAAAUAUGAGUAUGUGACUAUGACGCUAGUUUAUCUAGUAUAAUAUAGAUAAAAAUUUCUUAACAAACUAUACGAAAAAUAAUUGUUAAUUAUUUUCUUUAUUACUAAUAUUAAACUUUUGGGUUUUAUACUUUUCUUCCUAGAUAGAUAUUUUACGUAUAUCUAAAAAUGUUUAUUUCUAAAUUACCUAACAUUAAUAUUCCAAGAGUUAAUGUAGAGUACUAAUUGGACUUUAGUAAUAUAAUCAUGACGAUUUGGACAUAAAGAAAUAUUUUACUAAUUCUAAGUAAUUAAGUGCUAUACAUAUGAAUACAUUUAUCAUGACUAGUAAAACCUAUAUUUUAAUCUGACCGAAAAUAUGUGGCCUAUUAUUUCUUACACUUUCUUAUAUCAAUAAGAUUAUACUUAAAUUGCUACUAACAAAUAUCGUUCCAUGUGCCUAAGCGAGGUUAAUCGUAAACGUUUCUAGUAUGUAAAUCACCAAGUUAGUGAAUAGUGAUAUUAUUUAUUUUUGAAAUAUAAAUAAUACAGCUGUCCAAAAUAUUGUUGCAGGGGCUAGUUCACAAUUACACGUAUACUUUGGGGUCUCUUUCCAAUAGUUUCUAAACUGAAAAUCUCGGAAUUAAUUUUAUACAAAACCAGGGGCUAAAAUGAAAAAUAUGCUUCUUUUACCUUGAGCUUUUGCUCAUGCGCAGGAAUGGAGCUCGACGGGGGGAGGGGUUUGGCCGGGCAGGGGCUUGGCUUGGGGGCUCGGCGGGGGGCGCAAGGACGAGCGCAGACCGUCCGGCUGGGGUGCGGACGACGGGGCACGGUCGACGGAGCUCCGGCGAGCGGCGAGGCGGCUCAGGCACAGUCGACGGCGAGCAAGGGAAAGAGGAAAGCGUGAGAGAGAGAGAGAGAGAUAGCUCGGGGAGGGAGAGAGGAGGGAGCUCGUUCUUUUAUAGAGCGAGAGUGGAGAGGAGAGGGCGCCGGGGAGGAACGGCCAGCCUUCAACACCAUCAGUGGCGUCGUUUCUCUCCAUUGAUUGGAGAGGGAAUUAGGGGAGGGAGAGGAAACGGCGGCGUCGGUUUCUAGCGUGGGAGGCGGAUGGGCACAGAUGCUGAGGAGCGGGCGCGGGAGCACGGCUCGGCCGAGCGCGCGGCACGAGCCCAGGGCCAGCGGCGGCGGCGCGGAAGGGAGAAGGAGAGGAGGGGCCACGGGGCCCUGACGGGUGGGUCCCACCGGUUAGUGAGUGAGAGGGGGAAAUGGGGGCGCGACUGAUGGGCCCCAAAUGGGCCGGUUUGGCCAGCUAGGGUUAGGGUUAGGUUUUCUUUCUUUUUUUCAUUUUCUUUUCUUUUCCACUUCAAAAUAUAAAUAAAUAUAUAUUUAAAUAAUUAAAAAAUCAUAAUAAUUAUACCAAAGUAUUUAUAACUAAAAUAUUUAUUUUUGACCAAUAUUUCAAUAUUAAUUAAUUAGAUUUUCAAUAUAAAAGAAAUUCUACUAAACAAUCCAUAAAUCAAAUAUAAGCAAACAAAAUUACUCUAAAUGCAAAUAAAAAUCAAAUACUUGAAAGAAAAAAAAUCCAUUACCAUAUUUACCAUUAAUAAUAUAAAUGCAUUAUAUUUAGUUGAUGGUUUUGGUAGUGUUAUAGCAUCCCCAAGUCGCCCGAUAGCCGAUCGACGGCUAGAUUUCGUUGCUAUGAAUAGGUAUCCCAAAGUUCUAAUCAGAGCCGAUCAACCCGAGAUCAACGGUUUCUGAUCAUUCACCCAAACUCGCCAUCGAAUACGGCGACGCCGCCCGACUACGCCCGGUGGGGGUCAUCUGAGUUACCUCGAUACAGCACCCGCUGACUUGAUGCCUAAAACGACCGACAAUGCGUUUAGUAGGACUCGCCGAACACGAGGGUCGAUGACUCACCGGCGAGGGCGAGGUGGCGAAGCCGGUCCUCGGCGGAGGAUCAAGCCGCAGCAAUGGAGUCGCACCGGCGAGCAAUUGCCCAAACGCCGACGGUCCAAUGGAUAAAUUGAUGGUCGUCGAAGCUCCCCGAAUCUAUGGCGCUGCCCCAGAAUACCCCUCUAACGCCCGAGCGCCCACAAAGCAUGUGUUGGCCAGUGAUGGAUUUCCUGUCCCUCUCUCUCCCCUGCGCUACCCCUCUCCGGUCCUUCUUUCUCGAUGGCAUUUGGGUGGGCUGGAGAACAAGCCCAUCGGUCAAGACAAGCCAAGGAGGUCCAUAUAUAUGCAGCACCUGCCGAGGAAAACGACAUGGCCAAGUCCCAUGGUGAGCUGCGCUCGUCACGGUGUUCAUUCGCAACGGUCCCUGAUAUGGAUGAGUCCGACGUGGCGGACCGACCAGCAGCAACCCAAGGCGAGCCAAGGAAGGUGCGCCUAGUCAGCGGGGCCCCCACGUUAGUGAGAAAGCGAGCAGCGCGUGCGGCUGAGUGGAAGCCUGGCGAGCGGGUCCCGCAAGGCAGAUACGUAGACGGUGGUGGGAGUUUGGGCUAGGCGGCUAUGGCGGAGGAUGGAAAUGGGCCGAGGAAAAAGGGAUUAAGCCCAGGUUAGUUUAGGUGACCCUUUUCUUUGUCCUUUUCCUUAUUCCAUUUUUUCCUAUUUCAAUUUCAAAUCAAACACAAGCUUGAAUUUCAAACCUUUAAUUUCUUUAAAUGCACAAAUAGAACUCCAAAAUGAUGUGCACUAAUUAUAUUAAUCUAUUUAUUUAGUUACUUUAUUAUUAUUAUUAUUUUAUUUAGGUAAUGUUUUGAACAUGAAAUACACACACCACAUUUAUUACAUAGAAUAUUAUUUUGGGUGUGUCAUCAAUUUCAAGGUAGAUCCCAAAGUUCAUAUUCCUUUAUUUUGAUAGAAAACAUUUUUCAAAUGCCUAAUCUUUAUUAGGAUAUGUUUUAUCUAAUAUUAUUCUAUUAUGAUCAUUUACUUUAGAAAGGGUGAGUUCUAAAGUUCAUUUAUUUAUCAAGGAUACUUAUUUUUAUGAUUAUUUUUCAGGAUUUCCUUAACUCGCAAGUUAAGAUUUUGGGUGUUACAAUAGCGAUUAAUGUAGAAGAAUCAUAUCCAAUUUAAGUAAGAAGAUAUACAUCACAUAUCAUUGGAUUGAUUUUCUUUUUAUGUUAGAUUACACAUUCCAUAGAGAAACUCAUUCUCUUGAUGUGAGACUACUUAAGUCACUUAGACAAAAGCAUUAGUCUUACGAUUCUAGUCAUAAAGAGAAAUUCCCUUUUAUAAGUGUCCUAAGGAUUUAAAUUCCUUAUAUGACACCUUAUUCUUUUAAGAGCUUCGAAUAUUUCUGUUUAUGUUCAGAACAUGGCAACAAUAUGAUAAUUAACGUAAAACAUGCCAUGAGCUACUUACAAAAAUUUAAAGCAUGUAGAUCGCCAUAAUAUAGAAAUGAUGAAAAUGCAAUCUACCAUAUGAGAGGAACUUUCUCCAAAGAAUGGUGACAUAAUUUAACAACAUUCUUAAGUGCUUCCUUUUUCUAUGUGACUACACAAGACAUAAGAGAAAUGAUAAUUGAAGAUACUUGCACUUAAAGACAUAAGUGUUACCAUCCUUUGGCUUUCCUGCAUGUUGUAGGGUUUUCUUGAUUUUCCACAAAGCAUAGACCUACAACAUCAAUAUUGUUGGGGGCCUUCUUCUGCCGAAGGUCCUCAAAAACAUAAUUAACCAUUUUGAAUUCAGCAUAAGCUAUUACAGGAAGGUUUGUCUUCAAGAUACAAGCCUCUUCCUCAUGAUGAAGGCAUAUGAGAUGAAGACAGAUCUAAAGAUGAUAAGAGUAAACAUCAAAGCUAUCGCCAAAUGGACAGCUUCGGCUCAUGGCAGAGAUGAAGUAUGUUGAUAAUGUCGACCGAAGGGGAAAACUACUUAGUCCUUAAUGACUUGUAUUGCGAUCAUACGUGAAUAUUGAGGACAUAAAUAUACUUUUACCUGGGCUGCGUCCUGUGCCUAUAAAUAGAUGAACAGUAGCACAAUACUAUUCAUGCUGAAUUGUUAUCACUCUCUCUCGUCCUCACCUUCGAGCAAGCCGAAGGUAUCAAUGUAAUAUGAAUUAUGUUGAUAUUGAUUCAUGUUUUUAUAGAAUGCAAAUAUGAAUGGAUUAACCAGAUAUAGUUAUUUCCUUUAUCUCUUUGUAUUCUUGUUUACAUAUUGAAUGAUGAAGGCAUGCCCUUCAUGACCUUCGUCCGACGAACAUUAUACCCAAGGAGAGAUAAUGCUUCGGAAGACGAAGGUCUCUAAUAAUUAACAAUUGUGUUGCCUUGUUCUUGAUUCACAGCAUCUAAGAACAAGUGACCAACAAAUAUCUUGCUCGAGAUGAUAUGAAUUUUAGAUAUAAUAAUUCAAAAUAACUUUGGGUCAAUCUUAGAGAUAUAAAUUAUUGUAAGAUUGAUAGCUUGAGUUAAUAAGAAUUGAUUUCACCCGCUCAAGCACCUCCAAAGCUUCAUAUCAUCUCCUUUCCCCUGCAAAGCUUGUCAAUCAAAUUUUGGUCCCCAUCUUUUGAUGGGCCCAUCAAGGUUAGUCAACAUGGAUCUUGGAACCGAAAUUUUCUUUGUGCUAGCACUUGGUGAACUCAUUACCUUUCUAGCACAAGUUGCAAUUUUGGGUUGCCUAGUUACAUAUGAAUCAAUUGACAAGCUAGGAGCGGAAUAAUUACCAAUGGGACAAUCCUUACAUAGAUGUCCCUUUCUUCAACAUAUGUAGCAAAGGCGAUCUUCAUGUUUUAAAGAUUUCUUAUUUCUUGUCUCUUGCUUGCUACAUGGUUAGUAAAUGUUUUCUUUUCUCAAACUAUGCAUUUUUAUUUUACAUAGGGACACAAUUUAAUCAUAUGUCCCGUCUUAGAGCAUCUAAAACAUUUUCUAUCAUCCUUGUUAAUAACCAAGCCAUUUUCUUUAAUAUAUGGUCAUGACCUAAUCAAGUGCCCCUAUUCAAAGCAUUCACUACACUUCUUAUUUUUCUUAGUGUGAAGUGUGACUUGAUCAUUACCUCGGAUGUUACCUUGGAUGGAGGCAUGAUUGAGACUUUUGGUAGAGGUAUUGAUUUUCUUCUUUUGUUCCUUCCUCUUGACAUUCCUCGUGUCCAUGACAUUUUCUUCGAGGGAUUUUGUGCAUGCUAAGGUUAUUCCCGCCUCAAGCUUCUUCACCAUGUCAUCACGGUUAUCUUGAGAAGGUUGAGCAAUGCACUUCCCUUUCAGUUGUGUCAAGCUCGUUCUUAGCCUCUCAUUCUCUUCUUUGAGCUCUUGAUAUACAAUAUCAUCUAUUCCUGGAAAUUCUAGCUCAAGGAAGGAUUUGCUUGCUGGCGAGCAAUUAGCACAUGACAAUAUAGUUUCAAUUUGAACACAUGUGCAAGCUUGAGGUUGUUGAGAUUUUACGUUUUCUAUCACAACCUCAUGAGCAAUAUUUAACAUGAUAUGAUCACCCGUAAGAUUUUCAUGAGAACAUAGAAGCAUAGCUUGUUUUUCUUGAAAAGCUAGAUUUUCAAUUUUUAGCCUUUCAAUUUGGUCCUUAAGCAGGGUAUUCCUAUUUACUAAUUGAGCAAUACAUGAUAAGGAAUUGUCUUGCUCAAUUGAAAUAGUUUCAUACCUUUGGACCAAGUCAACAUGAGAGCACUCUAGCUCCUCAUGUUCUUUAGUCAACUCUUCCAAGCUUUGGAUUUUUGUGAUGAGGACAUCUUCUAGCUUGUGAAGAGCUUCACUUUGCUCUCUCGCUCUUUUUAAAAGUUUGAGCAUGACCGCCUUAUCUUCUAGGCUUAGAUGAGCGUAGAGUUGCAUGAAGCUUCUUUCAUCCUCCUCAUCCUCAUUUGUGCUUCCUCUAUCAUUUUUAUUAGCGACACAACAUAUGUGGGAAUCGAAAUGGGAAGACAAACCUUUUGGAGAGGUGGAUUCAUCAUUUUCUACUUCUUCCUUUAAAGGGUUAGUGUCAUAAGGACUAGAGGAAGUAGAAGCAUCAUAUGAACUAACAUGUUUGGACUCAUCAAAUUUAUCUUUAAUUCUAUUCCAAAUAUCAUGCGCAUCAUGAAUAGGUUCAUCAUAUCUAAUUAUGAAGGCAUGAUAAUCUUCUUUGCUAAGAGAAUAAAGCGUCCCAAUCCUUUGGGACUCAAAUGUGAUACAAUUACUAGUCCCAGGAGGCUAGUAAACACAUUCAUUUCUUCAAAUAGUAUAGAGUCUCAAAUAAUAGUUAUUACAAUACCAAGAUACAAGCUCUAGCGUGCCUGGAAACAUAGCACAGUGGAAGAUCACCUAGCCCAAGCCACAGACAGACUGGGUGCAGACACAACCCUCUUCUAGUCGAAUAUAGCAGAAAAGAAGUCUUCAGCUGCUGAAAAACAUAAUAAAAUCUGGGUGAAUACACUAGGUAUUCCGCAAGGCCAUCCCGCCCGUAAAGAGAGAGGGACCUAUACAGUACAUGCUUGGUAUGGUGGAGUUGAAGUCGCUCUUUUCUUUUUCAGAGAAAGGCAAUACUUUGUCGUUUUACCCAAAAGAGAGGAGUAGCACAUUUUCACACUCAACCACCACUGAGCUUCCCGCUCCCGUGGUAUUACUUUUAUUUCCAAAACCACCCACACACUUUCCCUUCUUACGAAGCUUAAAAACACUAAUUGUCAUACCACACCAGACUCGUCCAUACCAGUGGACAUGGACUACCCGAAUAGGUUUCAAACUCUACACAGAGGUGCACACUUUACCCACUAGUCCGGCUCUGUGGUCUCAUGGCCAAUGAGACCUGAAUUCGAAUCUCUUUCCUUCCUUGCACAUCCUUACCAUAACGAUUAUAUCGGAAGGAGUCAGGUCACCUCCAUGCCCAAACCGGACAAAACAUUCCCCUUCCUUAUCCUCUCGGUGCUCUCCGGCCAUCAUAACCCUGGGGUUUGGACCGUACAAGUUCAGAUUGAGUGACUACCCAUACAGUCUCGAGUGGUUGUACUUGUCAUGAGUACAGGUAGUGAACGGUGACAAACCGGUCCUUAUAUGAGGGGACAAUCCUUCCUGCUCACACCUAACCCGGCUGAGCCAACACCUUAGGCCCUCCCCUAAACCAGAGAGUCCAUGAUCAUCCCUCUCGGUUGGUGAUAAGCGUGAAUACCCUCCAUCAUACACCUUUUGAAAACAUUUCUCUUUUUAGAAAAACCAUUGCCUCAACCCACAUUUUGUACCCAAAAGAGAUCCUUUAAUGCAGGCCAUCACUUGUCUCACAAUGCAUAUAAUCCAACCCAUAUUCCCGGCUUAGGAAGUGGUAGAAAGAGUAGGUAAUUUAUGCAUCAAGGGAAGAAUGGACUUACCUUCGUCGAAGUUCUCUUGACACGAAAGAUCUAUUUCCGGGAGGUCGGGCUCUUGCCCUUCUUCCGGAGGGUCGGAUCCCUCUUCGCCUAGCAGAAAUAGGCAAUAAACAAUACAUCAAACAUUGUUGUCUAAUAAGGUGUGUCAAGGUAUAUGUGUUAUUAUUUUGUGACCUAGAGAAUAUUUGGACUAUUUUUGGUGCAUAAUAUAUCAAUAUAUAUACAUAUAUAAGAAAAUAGGGAAAGGAAAAAGAGAAAAGGAAAAAGGGAAAGGAUUCUCGGUUAGCUGGGCCGGGGGGGGGGGGGGAUUUCGGCCCUGCGCGAGCGCGGGGACGCGGCGCCGCGGGCGAGCUGGCCCAAACGACCCACGAGGAGGGGAGACGGCGUGCACAGACGCUGUGAGCGCGGGCCCAUGCGCCAGAGAGAGGAGGAGGGUCGACGGCGUCGGGCGGUCUGAUGGGGGAGGGGGCGAACCGGCUGGUUUUGGGAAAAACCAACGGCCGACGAGGUUCCACGGUGGUUCUCCACCGUGGUUCUGGUUCUGGUUGGUCGGGGAGGUGGCAUAGCAUGGGCAGGGGUAGGGGGUCUCGGUGGUGAGGUCAAUUUGGCCGGCGGACACUCGGGAUGGCCGAUCCACGGCGAGGUGGCGGGCUCCCGCGGCGGUGAGGUUGCCGGUGAUGCUUAUGGGGUUGAAUAGGUGAGGGAGGAGGGUGCAUUAUGCUCUCAGAAAGGUGGUGAAGCUUGUGAACUACACUAAUUUGAUUCUAAGCCACCGGAGAGGGGAGGGGGAAGCUCACCGGAGAGAAGGGAGGCGACGGCGCCGAGCUCGAUUGGGUCCAGGGAAGGGGAGAGGGAGUGGCCGAGGCUGGUGCAGGGAGAUGAGGGGCUCGGGCGGUCCUUUUAUAGGCGGCUGGAGAGGGGGGAGGAGGAGGCCGUCGGGCACCAGCGAGACGCGCUAGGGCGGCGAUAAUGGUGGCACAAUGGUGGCGACGGGACGGCUCGAUGCAGGCGGUGGCGAGUGGUCACCCGGUAACAGUGCGCGGGGACGCAAGGCGCCAAAUCUUGCUGGUGAGCGAGUAAUGGCGAGGACACGGGGCGGGCGGUGGCUGGCGAUGAUCGCGUCAAUGCCCGAUCAUGGGUGAGGGAGAAGGGGCUGACGAGCGGGGCCCGCCUGCCAGAGGAAGAGCGAGUGCGAGGGAGAGGGGGCGGGCGUGGCUGAUGGAUGGGGCCGGCCGAUCAACGGGGGAGAGGAGAGCGUGGCACAAGCGUGGUUGCUCGGGCGAAUGGGCUGCAUGGGCCCCGAGUGGAGGAGAAUGCGGCGCGCGGGAGAGAGAGGGAGGGAAGCUUGGGCCGGAUCCAGCCCAGCCGAGAGGGGAGGGGAGGAUUUUCCUUUUUUUCUUUUUCUAUUUAUUUUCUAUUUUCUUUUCCUUAAUCCCUUUUCCCCUUUAAACAAAUAUUCAUUUAUAUUUCCUAGGUGCCAAAAUGAAAUACUCUAUGUGAAGUGCCACUACCAAUCAUGGUGUAUGCAUAUGAUGAAUAAAAUGCUUCAAGAGAUGAGGUCUUAGGGACUAAAUAAUGGGGGGUUUAGGGGUUUGGGGUUUCUAACUUUGGGAUCAAAACUGGGAUGUUACAGACCUACCCCACUUAAAAGAAUCUCGCCCUCGAGAUUCAGGCUGGGUUUGAGAAAAGAUAAGGGUAUUCCUUCCUCAAUGAGUCCUCACUCUCCCAGGUGGCCUCCUCUUCUCCUUCUCUGCUCCACUGGACUUUAUAGGGCCAUACUUCUGAGAUUCGGGUCUUUCAAAUGGCUGAAUCGAGAAUCUUCACUGGCUUUUCUUGGUACUACAGAUCCUUCUGAAUCUGAACUGACUCCUCUGCGAUGUGACUCUCUGGUACUUUUAAGCAUUUUCGGAGCUGAGAUACAUGAAAUACAUUAUGGAUAUCUAACAUGGACUUUGGUAACUAAAGGCGGUAAGCUGCUGGCCCUAUUCUACCGAUGAUAGGAUAGGGGCCAACGAAUCGCGGAGCUAGCUUCCCUUUUGAUUGGAAUCUUUUGACUCCACGCAUUGGGGAGACCUUGAGGUAGACAAAAUCUCCUUCCUCAAAACUAAGUUCUCUCCUUCUGUUGUCUGCGUAACUCUUUUGUCGACUCUGGGCUUCGAGUAGUCUCUUGCGGAAUAGGGCAACUUUCUCUUCUCCCUCCUUGAUGAAGGUAGGUCCUUCUAGGGUCAUUUCCCCUAUGUUUUACCACAUCAGAGAGGUUUGGCACCUCCUUCCAUACAGGGCUUCAAAAGGUGACAUCUUGAUGUUGGCCUGGUAAAAGUUGUUGUACGAGAAUUCUCCAUACGGCAAACUAGACUCCCAGUUUCUGUCGAAGGUCAGCACACAGGCUCUCAACAAAUCUUCGAGGACUUUGUUAACUCUUUUUGUCUAUCCAUCUGACUGGGGGUGGUAGGCGGUGCUGAAGUCUAGCUUGGUGCCAUAGCUUGCUGAAGGCUCAACCAAAAUUUUGAGGUGAAUUGUGUUCCCAUAUCUGACACUAUUCUUCGUGGAAUGCCAUGAAGUCUGACUAUUUCUUUGAGAUAUAUCCAGGCGAGGGUGGCUCCUCCGAAGGUAGUCUUCACUAGAAUGAUGUGAGCUACCUUGGUAAGACAGUCAAUUAUAACCCAGAUAGAAUUGUUCCCUUUUUGGGUUCGGGGCAGUUUGAUUACGAAAUCCAUGCCUAUUCUUCCCACUUCCAUUUGGGUACUGGGAGGGGUUGCAGUAUGCCUGCAGGCCUCUGAUGUUCUGCCUUAGUUCGUUGACAAGUAUCACACUGGGCCACAUACUGAGCUAUCUCCUUUUUCAUUCCUCGCCACCAGUAUCUGGUCUUGAGGUCUAUGUACAUCUUGGUAGAGAUGUACUUUAGACUCUUGUGAUCUGUGAAUAUUUGACAUUUGUUUCCAAUCAGGUAGUGUCUCCAUAUUUAAAGAGCAUGCACUAUGGCUGCUAAUUCCAAAUCAUGGGUUGGAUAAUUCUGUUCAUGAGGCUUGAGUAGGAAAGAUGCAUAGGCGAUGACUCUCUCAUUCUGCAUAAGUAUGCAUCCAAAACCUUGUCUUGUAGCAUCACAGAAGAUGACGAAGCUUUGGUGGAUGUCUGGCAGUGUCAAUACUGGCGCGGUCGUGAGUUUCUUCUUUAUGACUUGGAAACUUUCUGCACACUUUAGGGUCGACACAAACUUAUUGUCUUUCUUGAGGAGUUCGAUCAUGGGUCUUGCAAUGCUGGAGAAUCCUUUGAUAAAACAGCGGUAAUAUCCCACCAUUCCCAAGAAGCUUCGAACUUCACUAACGUUGGAUGGUUGCUUCCAUUUGGAUACUACUUCUACCUUGGACGGAUCCACUUCUAUCCCUUCUGCUGUCAAGAUAUGCCCGAGGAAGGCUAUAUUUUCUAACCAAAAUUCGCAUUUGUUGAGUGUUGGGGGCCUUCGUCUUCCGAAGGUCCUCAAAAACACGACUAACAUGUUUCCCAAGUAUAAUAUAUGUACAGGAACCUUCGGGGGAUGAAAUUAUACAUGAUAUGAAGAGCGCGGUUCGAGAGAAGGAUGAACCAGUGCCGAAGCUGCCCGUGAAGAAGCUCCGGCUUAGCGAUGGAAAAAGAAACCGACUUAAAGGGAAAAAGGUUGUCUAGUCCUCGAUAGGUUUCCCUAAGUCAAUAGUAAAUAUUGAGGGCAUGGAUGUAAUUCUACACAGGCUGCGUCCUGUGCCUAUAAAUAGAUGAUUAGUGACACCGUACUGUUCACUCUAACUUGUAUUCACUCGCACGUCAUACCAGGAUUUAUACCUUCUGUCAAGCCGAAGGUAUAAACAUAAUUCAAUUUUUUUUCAUGUUUAUUCAUGAUAAUAUAAUAAAAAUGUCCUGAUGUUGUCAUAUGAUUAUUCAUGUUACUUUUUCAUGUUUCAUAUGCUUCUACUUUCAUUAUUAUAUGCUGAAAUGAUGAAGGUACGUCCUUCAUGACCUUCGUCUAAAGAUCAUUGAAUCCUAAAGGAGAUAAUGCUUCGAAGGACGAAGGUCUUUAACCAUUGACAUUCUGUGUUGCCUUGUUCUUAAUUCAUAGCAUUUGAGAACAAGUCCCCAACAUUGGCGCCCACCUCUGGUGAACUCAUUCGACCACCUUCGGCAAGCUGUGACCUUCGUCAUGCCGCCGAAGAAAGCUUCGUCAGGACCAGGGGCUGCACUGCAGCCACUAGACGUCAACCAGGACACUCUACACGAAGCCAGAACUCAGAAAAGGAAGGCUACUAGUCCGACACCACAGGAGGAAGAGUUGGACUAAGAGAUCAGGGACCUCGAAGCUAUUCACCAACAGGUCCAGAGGAAAAGGGAGAAGAUGCUUCGUCUCGCCGAUCUACAGAAGAAGAUCGAUGAGGCCGCUGAAGAAAUGUGUCAUCUCACUCAAGAUGACCAGGACCCAAGGCCUCAACACUGGGAGCUUCGUCAAGAUGGCUCAUUCAACGAAGAUGAGUGGUACGAUGACUUUCAUCAUGGUAACUUUACUUUUGAUGAUGUUUCUCCCCUGGCAGCAGAAUUGCAGGCUAUCCCAUGGCCACAAUCCUACAAGCCACCCUAGUUGCCCAUCUAUGAUGGGCACUCAGACCGAAAGCAAUUCUUCAUGAGCUAUGAGGCAACAAUAUCCUCAUAUGCAGGCAAUGCUGCUGUCAUGGCAAUGUCCUUCGUCAUGGCAGUCCAAGUUUGGCUCAGACAUGGUACUCUUCUCUCCGGCCAGGGACAAUCACAUCAUGGUAGAAGCUUAAGGACAUGUUGGUUACAAGUUUUCAAGAUUUUCAGUCGAAGCCAGUUACCGCUCAGGCCUUGUUCCAGUGCACACAAGACCAUGAGGAGUACCUUCAGGCGUAUGUCCGAAGGUUCUUGCGUCUGAGAGCACAAGCGCCAACGGUGCCCAAUGAAAUCGUCAUUGAGACCAUGAUCAAGGGUCUUCGGCCAGGACCUACGGCUCAAUACUUUGCCAGGAAACCCACUUAGACUCUGGAGAAGCUGCUUCAAAAAAUGGAUGAGUACAUCCAGGCCGAUAAUGAUUUUCGCCAAAGAAGGGAGGAAGCUUUCAGGUUUUCUGAGAUGACUAGGGGCUUCGGAGGAAGAAUCCACCCUAGGCAUGUUAGAUCAAUUCACAACUCUAGUUAGAGUCAUGACAAAGGAAGCCAGUUCCAAAGGCUACAACACAGCUCAUAGUCUUCAGGGCAGUAGCAAAGCUCCUUCCGGCCACCAGCUCCAAGGAGCAGAGGUGGUAGGGGCUUCGGAGGAAGAUAUGGGGAUCAGCCCAGGAAAAUUUAUUGCUUAUUCUGUGGUGAAUACAAGGGCCACACUACAAGAACGUGCCAGAUUACCAUUUAGAAGCAAAAAGAGAUUGCCGAAACAGAAGCCCGACAGAACCAGACGAAGCAGGUUUUACAUACUGCUUCGUGCUACUCUCCCUACAUACCAGAAUAUGUGGGCAAUCAACCUGCAGCUUCUGUUGCUUCGGCAAGCCAUUCACAAGCUUCCUAGCCUCAGCUUCCACUGCCACCACCAUUACCACCUACUCAUACCCAAAGCCAGCAGCCAGGAGGGUGCCAGCACCCCCAACAGCAACGCGAUUUCAGGGAGGAGUCCGAAGCUCGUACAGUUAACAGCACUGUACCAGAAUCGAAGCACAUAUACUGAGGAAUAUCCUACUUCUGAAGUACUUUUAUCUUUUAUGCCAUUUUACUUUUUGUACGAGAAACAAGUAAUGAAAAACUCAGUUUCAAUUUCUUGUAAUAAUUCUGCCUACAUCAGAAUGAAACAUAUCUUCUUCAUAAAUUUAUGAAGCUUGAAAGACGAAUCUUAAAGGAACGAAAUAGUUUUCGAAGCUCAAAAGUCGUUCCUAUGGGAGUUGAAAGCCGAAAUUGAUGAAGCUACAAAAAGUCGUUCCUAAGGGAGCGCAGCGUAAGUUUUCUGCUCAAAAGUCGUUCCUAAGGGAAUGUAGAGCCAAAAUUGACGAAGCUAUAAAAAGUCAUUCCUAAGGGAGCACAGCGUAAGUUUUCUGCUCAAAAGUCGUUCCAAAGGGAAUGCAAAGCCAAAUACCGCCGAAAUAUAAGGCGAAGAAGUUCAAAAGUCGUUCCUAAGGGGAUGCAGAACUUAUAUCGCCAAAAUAUAAGGCGAAAAAGUUCAAAGUCAUUCCUAAGGGGAUGCAGAACUUAUACCACCAAAAUAGAAGGUGAAGAAGCUCAAAAGUCAUUCGUAAGGGGAUGCAGAGCUUAGACUCAACAGAUGUUCCUAAGGGGAUGCAGUCUUCUGUGUACUAGUGUGGGCGUAUGUGUGGGUGUUAAAGCAUCAUCAUAUUGCAUCAUAUCAUCUCAUCAUCCAUCAUAGCAUCACAUCAUACAUCAUACCGCAUCAACAGAAAGACCGGAUACGAAGCAAACCCUUGGAAAUACUUCGAUUGAAUGAAAAUAUGCUAAGGCACGAAGCAAGCUUCGGGUGACAAUUCUAUCAGAUCUGCCCUAUAAGGGGUUUCCUUGUUUACGAAGCAUGAAAAGAAGGGAAGGUGUUUUUCCGCUGAAGGCUCAAAAAGCGGUAUGUGUGUACUUUUCAUGCAUCGCAAAGAAAUAAAUUACAACAAUUUACAUAUUCGAUUCAAUGUUACAUACACCAAAUGUUAUAUAGUUUUGUUACAGUAGAAGCUUAAUCUUCCUUUCAUUGUUCCAUACAUCAAGCAUUUCAAAAUAUUAUUACAAUAAAAUCUAUUCUUAUCUAAGGACUUUUUCUGCAACUUCGUUCAAAAGCUUAUCGACGACUUCAUCGAUAAUGGAGUUAGCCAUGCUUAUAAUAUCCAGUGCUUCCUUCAUUUCUGGACCAGCUAGGGGAUUGUAAGGCUCCGAUGGCGGGGAUAGUUCAGCUGAAGUAGGUAAACUGAUUAGUCCGAAGCCGCAAAGCAAGUACCGAAACCAAAAAAUCAAAAAAACAAUACCUAUACGUCUCUCGCGUUCAACAGCCUCUUCAACUCGCUUUGCUUCUGCCCGGGCGUCGUGGGUGUCUUUUUCAUUUUUCUUUAUAAUUUCGCUGGCUAGCUCUCGGCCACCGUUCACCCAGACAUCGGAAUAAAACUUCCCGCCCAUUAAGGUUGCUUCGGCUGAAGGAUCCUUCGUAUCAACUAUGGAGAAGGCAGCUUUGGCCUGGGCUAAAGCCUUAACAUGAUCACAUCCGGCCUUCUCCAGAAUAGCUGCGAUUCCUCGAGCGCCGGAGAAAACACAAAUAUCCCCGUGAUCAUCCAAUAUUUCAUCGAAAGCUUCGGCUUCUCCACUUAUCCAUUCAACAACGCCCUCGGGGUCACCCCAGAUAAAAUUUUCUUCAGAAGAGUAGGCGCCCAAUUUGGCGAAGCUAGUUUUUAAUUUCUUCAUGUAAUCCAAGGAUUUCUCAAAACACUUUUCCUUGGAUUUGCGAAGUUCUUCGACAUUUUUAUCUAGCUUAUUUUUCCAGUAUUCACUGAUCUCUUGGUUAGCCUGUGCGAGCGCGCACAUCUCAUUAGCUUCGGCCAGUUGUCUCCGAAGGUCUUCAACCUCAGCUUUUUGGGCUUCGGCCUGAGCAUUGUAUUUAGUUUCGUCUUCUUUUAUUUUAUUCACCAAUGAAGUUAAAAACUUGUCUUUCUCUAGAUCUUCAUUUCUUAGCUCAAUCACCUCUAAGCGAAGGUUGUUGAGAUCUAUUGUACAACCUUCGUCUUUGGCGCUUUUUUGUGCCCUCAAGGCAUUACUAAUAAUUAAGCCCUGCAAGAAAAAGAAAUAAUUAAGUAUAGCAAUGAAAUGUUUCAUUUCCAAACUUUAAAAAUUAACUUCUAUACCUUUAUACUGUUAUAUGCAAGGCUAUCAGCAAGAUCAUUCUUCGACAUAGCCGAAAGGCCUUCUUCAAGCUUUGGAAAUCCCAUACUUUUUGCUAUCUCCCGGCAAACGGAUAUUUCUGUGUUGUACGGGAGACAGUACAUGAGAUCAUCUUCAUUAGUACCAUUAAACACUAAGGCCCCCUUCGGAUAUUUUAGUUUUUGGGCAUAGUGUCUGGCUUCCAAGACUUCUUCUUUGGAUAAUUUUUUCCCCGAAGCAUGUCGAAAAAUAUAAUCAACAUCUUCGACUGAAGCUUCGGGGGCAGAAGAUUUUGCUUUUUCUGUCAUACAUUGCCCUGCUGCCAUGUCGGUAUCUGAAGUUUGUUGAUCAGUCUUGUCCUCAGGCACGACAACCUUCGUCUUAAUGGGCACUGUAGGCUCAGCUUCGGCUUCAACCGGCCCUUAGCAAUUUCGAUAACUUUCUUAAUAGGAGCAGGGGUCAAGGGCCUUGUAGACUCCAUAACAGCAUCUAGCAUGCUGGCCGUCCUCCUCCUCUUGGGAGUUGCAGCACGAGCUUUUUGCAUCUUCGGCAAAUUUGCCUCUGCUAAUGGGCUCAGAAUUUCUGGCAUUUUUACUGUUUUUCCACCUGUGGCUCUUCGGCCUUAUCAUCCUUAGCUUCGGCUGGCCCGACUGUAGGCACCUUCAGCAUUACAAUCGGCUCUUCAACGCUUUGCACAAUCGGAGUAGCUUGUCUUGCUUCGGCAGUUGAAGAGGCCCCUUCACCAAAUUCAGGCACUACGGCCGGUUCAAUAUAUCAUGCCCGGUGGGUCAGAACCUUCACUUUUUUGCCCUUCGGCACAGAUGUGGUGGCCGAAGCGACAGUCUUUCUCUUUUUUCCUUGCCCUCGUAGCGAUAGUCAGGGUAUACGAAGCCAAUCGCAUCAAAUACCCUAUUCAAUCUUUUCUUCCCCCGGCCCCCAAAGGCUGCGGACAAGGCAUCAUCUUCAGCCCUGGAAUAUGUCCCCAGCAGCUCGUCACUGGUAGCUUCAAUACAUUUCAACCAGUCAUCAUCUGGCUCAUCAAACUUCUCCAUAAAUCUGAAGGUAUACUUCAAUCGGACUAGGCCACCUUCACUAGUUUCGGCAGCAGUAUCCUUCGGCAUUUCCCAGUUCUCCACAAGUGGCCAUACCCUAAAGGCUAUGUGCUCUUGAAUUAAAUCGCUCGUGCCAAUGAUGGCGCACACAGUACUAAAGUCCUUCUGACAUGCUUCAACAUCGCUAUCAAUAUCCACCUUCGGCCUUCGGAGGCCGAAGAGAGACCAGAUGGGGCACUGGACAAUUUCCUUGAUGUCUUCUCUUUUAAUUAAAUCAUUUUUAACGUAAAACCACUCCUCCAUCCAGGCCCUGGGCCAUCUUUUUCGGAAUGUUGGCACCGGGUGGCUUGCAUUAGAAAGGGCAAUGAACCCGUAACAACCAAAGUUGUUGUGGUAUUGUUCUUUGCCGAUAGCCUUCGUCUCAUAUAAAAGCUCAUGCAUGUUGCAGAAGCACUUCGCGCUCGGCUCCAGCCCCUAGCUACUUACAGCCCAGACAAAUAUCCCCAUUCUGAUUAUAGCUUUGGGGGUAAUCUGAUGGAGAAAGAUUUGGAAUAUCUUUAAUACCUCGACCACAAAUUUACUAAGCGGGAACCGAAGGCCUGCCUUCAAGAAGCUUUGGUAUAUAAGAACUUCGUUUUCCUCUGGAGCAGGGGCAGUACCGUCUCCUCCAAUUCUGACAAUAGACAUGUCACAAAAAUAUCUCCCCCUCAUGGCGUCAAUAUGACUUUGCUUGAUAGUCGAUUUUCUGAAGAUAGUAUGGCUUGGCUGCCACGACCGAUCCUCAGAAUCUUCAUCCCCACUCUCUAUGUCAUAACUAUCACUGUCAUCAGAAUCUUUAGACAAACCCUCCAUGAUUUCCUUAGUAAUUUUCUCAGUAUUCGUUUUGGCCAUCGACUCAUAAAACCCAGCGAUGAAAGGAUCCGCAACCUUCUUCUCUUCAUACAGCUUCUUCUCCUCGGUUAUUUUCUUCUCUUCAGUCAUCUUCUUCUCCCCACUCAUCUUCUUCUCCUCAAAUUUGGACCAAGCACGCCUUUAAGCUGAAGCUCUAAAAGCUCGAGAAUCAGACGAGAACUAUUGAGCAAGAGCUAGAAAUCUGAGAAAAUAACGCGAAAAGCAGAAAUAGCGUAUCAAAUGUUGAUGCUGUGGGUUCAUAUUUAUACGCCUAGUGCUUUGCAACUUGGCGGGCCCCGUCUGUCAUUGACUGUCGCUAUUCUAGCGAAGGGAAGGUGUUUUUUGGACCUUCGGCUUAAGGCCUUCGUUCACAUCGCUGUCUAAAUUCGUUGUUAUGACAAAUUAAUACUGCGAGGGACUACUGUUGGGGGCCUUCUUCUUCCGAAGGUCCUCAAAAACACGACUAACAUGUUUCCCAAGUAUAAUAUAUGUACAGGAACCUUCGGGGGAUGAAAUUAUACAUGAUAUGAAGAGCGCAGUUCGAGAGAAGGAUGAACCAGUGCCGAAGCUGCCCGUGAAGAAGCUUUGGCUUAGCGAUGGAAAAAGAAACCGACUUAAAGGGAGAAAGGAUGUCUAAUCCUCGAUAGGUUUCCCUAAGUCAGUAGUAGAUGUCGAGGGCAUGGAUGUAACUCUACACAGGUUGCGUCCUGUGCCUAUAAAUAGAUGAACAGUGACAUCGUACUGUUCACGCUGACUUGUAUUCACUCGCACGUCAUACCUAGAUUUAUGCCUUCUGUCAAGCCGAAGGUAUAAACACAAUUCAAUAUUGUUCAUGUUUAUUCAUGAUAAUAUAAUAAAAAUGUCCUGAUGUUGUCAUAUGAUUAUUCAUGUUACUUUUUCAUGUUUCAUAUGCUUCAACUUCAUUAUUAUAUGCUGAAAUGAUGAAGGUACGUCCUUCAUGACCUUCGUCUAAAGAUCAUUAUAUCCUAAAGGAGAUAAUGCUUCGAAGGACGAAGGUCUUUAACCAUGACAUUCUUUGUUGCCUUGUUCUUAAUUCAUAGCAUUUGAUAACAAGUCCCCAACACUGAGCUUGGCAUAGAGUUGAUGCGCUCUGAGUCUUCCGAGGAUAAUCCAGAGGUGAUGCUCAUGAUCCUCACGACUCUUGGAGUAGACAAGGAUGUCGUCAAUAAAGACUACAACAAACUUAUCCAACUCUUUCAUAAACACCUUAUUCAUAAGAUUCAUGAAGAAGGCAGGUGCGUUGGUUAGUCCAAAGGGCAUUACUGUAAAUUCGUACUGACCAUGCCGGGUGACAAAUGAUGUCUUCUGAAUGUUAGCUUCCUUGAUUCUCAACUGGUCAUAUCCUGACCUUAGAUCAAUCUUGGAGAAAUACUUGGCCCCUUGAAGUUGGUCAAAAAGGUCAUCAAUCCAGGGUAGUGGAUACUUGUUCUUGAUUGUAACCUCAUUUAAGGAUCGGUAAUCAAUGCACAUUCUCAUGCUCCCAUCCUUCUUGGUGACAAACAAUACUGGUGCUCCCCAAGGAGAUGAACUAGGACGAAUAUACCCUUUCUGUUGAAGUUCUGCGAUUUGAAGCUUUAGCUCUGCCAAUUCUGUGGGAGCCAUGCGGUAUGGUCUCUUUGUGAUUGGUGCGAUGCCUGGGAGGAGAUCAAUGUAGAAUUCUACCUCUCUUUCCAGAGGCAUUCCUAACAACUCUUCCGGAAACACAUCCAUGAAUUCUUCUAUCAAAGAUAUACUUUCUGCUGCUAGGCUAAACACCAUUGGAUCUUGGGUUGGUGGCUGAACUUUACACGAAACUGAUUUUCUUUGGUGGUCAGUAAGAAGAAUAGUCUUAUCCAUGCAGCUUAUGAUGCCAUUGUGCUUGGUCAAUCAAUCCAUUCCUAGGAUCACCUCAAUUCUGUGGUAUUGUAGUACGGCUAAGUCCGCCAAGAAUACUACCCCACUUAAAAGAAUUCUGACUUGGGAGCAUUUGAGGUGGCAUAGAAGGUCUGACCCUAGGGUUCGGGUGACCAAGGGGAUUUCUAAAGAUGCAGUGGGAAUGCCAUGCUUUUCCACAAAACUAGUGGCGAUGAAAUAAUGGGAUGCUCCAGAAUCAAAAAGUACAGCAGCGGUGGUAAAUUCAACUAGGAACUCACCGAGCACUACUCCAGGGGCUUGUUGAGCUUCUUGGGCUUCGACGUGAUUCACUCGAGCCCUACCGUGAAACUUGGUCUUUCUUAGCUGGCUGUUGGUGGAGGGUGCCUUGGAGGCGGGUGCUGAAAGAUUCUUGGGGCCAUUCACUGAGUUGGAGUAGGCAGGUACGGAUGUCUUCAAUUGAGGACAAUUAUUCUUGUAGUGACUGGGGUCUCCAUAGUGCCAACAAGCAUUGGUUGGAGGUUGGCUGCUUGCAACAGAUGGAGUGUGGAGGGAAGUUUGACCAGGCUGGUUGAAACGUGAUGGAGCGGACCCUGUUGGCUUGCUGAAGUUUGACCCUUUGGGAGGGAAUCCAACAGAUCGAACUCUCUGGUGCCUGUCCUACUGCUAAGCUCGGAGGACUUGAAAUUUUCUCUUGAGGUGACCUUUUUCUUCUUCUCGUGCUCUUUCCACCUGGAUGGCCUUGUUCGAGAGGUGCGAGAAACUGAGGAAGUAUUGGCUGGCAAGGAUGGUCUUGUGGCGGAAUCGCACGAAUUAUUCUAGCUUAAGUGCCCAAGUCACGCCUUAGAGGCAGCAACACACUUAAAUCGGAAUAGUCCGUCAGUCCCUCAGAUCUAGUCUGAUAAAGCCACUUCCCCGGGAUCAAAUACCACUAGCUCACUCGAAGGUGAGUCAUAGAGUGAAAACAAUAAAGCAGGAAACCACAAAUUAAAGUACUAGAGCUAUUACAUAAAUCAGAGUUUUUAAGCAAAUGGAAACAAGUUCAUAAUUUAAAAUGCAGUGUAUAGUCGAUAACAUCGAAGGCUGAGGAACAGGGCAAGGCCUAGCCCACUACUCCUCCUGCUCCUCUCCUGCCGGAGUAGCAUCCCAUUCGACUGUCCAACCCGGUGGCAGGGUGGAAGGCAAAGUCACACCAUAAACCAUGUCCUAAAGCAUACCUGCAAAAAUUGUGCCACAAGCAAGGCUGAGUAUACUAAUACUCUGCUAGACUUACCUGGUGUGAGGAGUCUACUCCUCUACCUCUAGACCAUGGAGCUGUUUGGCUGAGGGGUUUAGUUUGCCAAAAGCACUAGCUGAGUCUAAAAUUAAUUUUAGUUUUUCCAGUUCUAGCAUCAUUAAUUUAACUAAGUUCGAUCCUUCUAAGCAUACAUGGUAGCAAUCUUUAGUACAAUCAACAUGUUAUCUCAAGUAAAACCUCAUUUCACUUCUUACUCAAUGCAGUACAAGGGGUCAAGCAGUCUUGUUAGCUGUGAGAAGCAGAAGAUCCGAAUCGAGUUUUUAAACCUUGCAAGGUAAACCUAAACACACGACAUGUAGGGGCACUUCGUCCCCACACAUAUCAAUCGUCCACAUCGAUUCCUCGUUCGCGGCCAGGGCUCACCGCCUUGGCAUAUAAUGCUCCACUGACCCCGGCUGCCGCCAUGCAGUGACCGCACUUGUACCACCAUAGCUAGCAUGGGAGACCCAGUCUCAGGACAAGUGAGGGGGAAAGUCCACGCCCGGCUUCACUCAGGUACUAGGUUUACCGGUUACCAUAUUUCUCGACAUGUGUUUAGUACUUUCAAACACUUGACUUAGGUAUCCAUACAUUAAUCCUUAAUUCCAUUUCCGUCUCAUGGACAAGGCAUCCACCCUAGAUCCAAGUCCAUAGACCAUCCUAGAUCCCGUUAUCAAGAUGAAUACAUUCAAUUCCUGACCUCGCGUGAGUGCUAGAAAAUCACUCGACUUCUACCGAGAUCCUAAUUAGCAAAGUAGCUACUCGACCUAGCAUACUAGUAUCCAUCUCAAAAAGGAAUCCUGAGUUCAUGCAACUAAGGGUUUCAAGCAACUCUUACACUUAAGUGCACAUUACAAGCCUACAAACAUUAAGUGUAGUAAAGUAGCAUAUAUAAAUUGGUUAUGCAUAAAACACGGGCUUGCCUUCAAAUGCUGGGGCUGCGGGGAGAUCCUAUGUGGGAGGCUCGGGAGUUGGCUCCUGGUCUUCCUCGUGGAUAGCUCCUUACUCGGGAAUGAGAACGUACUCUUUGUCAGCGAGGUUGCAAUCUAAUGAAUGCAAUGAGUGAGAUAUAUGUAUGCCAUGAUAUGCAAUGUGGUAGUAAUAGGAAUGAUUAAAUUGAUGAAGUAAGUUUCAAUCUUACUAUGGGAAUUCUAGUGGUAUACUUAGCCAAUUUAGGGUCAAGUAUGGUUAAGGUAAAUGGUGAGAUUAUUUUAGUGAUCCCCUGAUUUCCUUUUAGUGUCUUAGUGAAAGUUUAUUAUGAUCCUUGCUGAAUUCAUUGGGGUGAGAUUCAUUAUCCUUACUAAUUCUCUCUUCUCUUUUUCUCUUAUGCUUUUAAGGUGGGCUUGAACUACAAUAUAGCUUUAUAAAUUCCCAAAUAUUCUGUAAAAAAUACAGUAGCUUCUCACUGGCGUAUAACUCUCAGUCUCAAAAAUGUAGGCUUAAAAUGUCAAGGGUUCUCUCUAUACAAAAAUAUUAAGUUUUAGGGUAGACAGGGUGCUUUGAACUACAACUCUCUUCUAAUAGUAGAUUAUUCUCUAAGGCUUAUUUUUGCUGGCAUGUAGGUGCAAUAAUAUGAUUUUGUACCAAGUUUUAGCCACUGAUACCUAUUGGUCAUUUUACUGUGAUUUUCUAAAGUUUUUGGCCAAAGGGGUGCUUUCUACUACCAUUAUACUUGAAAAAUGUCAAACAACAGAUUUCUAAUUUUUUUCGUAUCUUCUUCUUUGUGUAAGAGCAAUCAUUCUAGAAUUUGGCAACUUUUUGCUUAGGGGAGAGGGUGGUAGAAAUUCUUGGAAUAUAUGGUCUUUUUCAUGGGGUAGGGGGUAAUGUGUGUUACCUUGCAUUUUUACUUGAGUUUUAUAUUUUUCUCUGGUGGUUUACCUCAUAAGUAAUUGGGUGAAAAUUUGUUUGCCCACUGUUGCACAAUUUUAGGCUUCCUCAUGAUUUAAUUAGAACAUGGGCCAAAUCCAAGUUUUAAUUGUUCAACUCAUUUAUUGUGAUGGGUUGGGGUGUCUAUUAUUUUUGUAGUGGUGUUCUAGCAGUUAGGAGUCUACUGAAAUUUCUUUACCAUUUUUGCAGUGGUUCUUAUAUUUUUAAUCAUGUUCCCCUUGUUUUCUUAGUGCCUAAUAAAAUAAUAAACCUUGGAUUAGCUCUAGACUAGGGUUCUCUGUAUUUUUCCUACGUUCUUCAUCAUUUAAGUAUACUAGGAAAAAUAUGUUCAUCCUCUGUUUAUUAUUUUCCAUUGCCUUUCUUAAUUUUCUAAGUUUUGGACAGAAUUAGUUUUUCAUGGAUAAUCUUGAGUUAUUCUUGUAUACUGGGAUACUUAGUAUUUUUAAACAAUGUGUAUGUUGGGUAUGUAUCUCUACAAAUUUUCUUAAGCCUAGUAUAGAAGUAUUUCUAUUUUUCUCUAAAUUAAUAAGGUUUGGGCAGUUUCCUUAUUUAAUUCAAAACUCUAAAAUUUAGUACAGAAAAUAUGGGGUUCAGUAUUUUUGUCUGAUAGUUCAUAAUGUCUGGAAUCUAGCAAAAUUGGUUUGACUAAUUUUGGAUGAGUAUUUCUCAAGUUAUGCAUUUAAUUGAUUUACUGCUGAUUUAAGGAAUUUGAAAUUAGAAUUGAAAAGGAAAUCCACUUUGAUCUGGGGUCCCUGUCAUUUUCUUCCUAGUUUUCCUUACAAACAGGCCCUCGGGUUCCUAUUGCACUGAGUCUCUGACAGCGCAGAAAACCCCCUGGGGUAACCAUAAAUCUAACCCGCGAUCCUUCCUUUAUUUAAACAGUGCCCGCGGCGGAGGAAAGGGCGGAGGGGCUUACCGGCGGCGAGAUAGCUCCGGUGAGGUGUCUAGGGAGGUCAGGGAGGUGACCGUGGUCACGUCAAGGUGCGGGUCAGCGUCAGAGAUGGCCAGAGUCGGCGGGUCCUCGUGCGCAGGCGGGGGAGUUCGUCGGCGGUGAGUGUUCCGGCCUGCUCACGGCGAGAUAGAUCAAUUGGUUGGCUCGGCAAGCUUUACCAAGGGACGCAGAGGCGGUAUACGGGAGGAAUUGGAAAAUGGCGCAGUGACUUACCCGGUCCACGUUCGCUGGUGAGCGGAAGAAGUCCGGCGAGGGUGAUUCGGGGUUUCCGGUGAGGUUGCGCUGGGUUUGAGGGCUCGAGGAGAUUCACGGGCCUCUGGCAAAGCUAAUCGAACUGCUUGCGUAGAAUGGGAGCGGCUGGGUGAGCUGACCACGGUGGCCCAAGCCAUGAUUCCAUGUUUUUCAUGGUCUUUUUACCAAUUUCCCCUUUUUCACUUAAUUGGCUUAAUUAGGGUUAUUCUAGGGUUUGGGUAUUUUCCUCACUUUGAGGUGCAUGAUAUGGUUAAGGUGUGAUCCUUGAGAUGAAAAAGACUUAAUUAAAUCUUUGCUCCUCAAGUUUGGUGUCUUUUGCUCAAUUUGAUUCACAUGAGAUAAUGGCCUUGAUGUUUACUGAAAAGAAACCCUAAGUAACACCUGGGUGUUACAACCUUCCCCCUUAAAGGAAUCUUGUCCCGAGAUUCGAGUCGGAGUCCUCCAGGGUGAAGAGAAGGUGUUGGGGACUUGUUCUCAAAUGCUAUGAAUCAAGAACAAGGCAACAUAAAAUGUUAAAUAUCAAAGCCCUUUGUCCUUCAAAUCAUUAUUUCCCUUCGGAUAUAACGAAUCUAGGACGAAGGUCUUGAAGGACAUACCUUCAAGAUCAUGAUAAAAGAUGGAGAACAUUCAUACAAAAUACAGAAAGUAACAUAAUUUCUGUAAACAUUAUUAUUAAUCUAUUUCCAUUUAUAUUACUUAUGUAAACAAUGGUAAAUUACAAAUGUACCUUCGGCUUGAAGGAAUAAGAAUACAGGCGUGACGCAAAAGUGAAUGCCAAGUCAGCGUGAACAGUACGGGAGUACUGUUGACCUAUUUAUAGGCACAGGUCACAGCCCAUGCAAAAUUACAUUGAUGCCCUUUACAUUUAUCAAUAACUCUAUAGUAAUUCUUCGAGGUCUAAUUUGGCUUUUCAUCUUUAAGUCGGUUUCCCCUUCCCGCUGUUAUGCCGAAGCUCUUCUGCACAUAGCUUCGCGAUCGUCUUAUCCUUCGUCGUGAUUGCCGUCCCAGUUUAGCUUCGUCUUAACCAUGCUCUUGUAUGCUCGCAAUCUGACUUCGAAGGUACCUGUUCACAUAUUUUUCUUGGAAAACAUAGUCAAAUUACAUUUUUGAGGACCUUCGGAAGCUGAAGGCCCCCAACAGUAGCCCCUCGCAAUAUUAAUUUGCUGUAAAGAUAAGUUUAUAUUGCGAUAUGGACGAAGGCUAUGGGCCGAAGGUCCGAAAAAACACCUUCCUUUUGCUAGAAUAGCAACAGUCAUUGACAAGAGGGACCCUCCAGUUUUCGACAUACUGGGUGUAUAAAUAAGAACUCAUCCCGAGUUUAUUUGGCACGCUCUCUUGCCAACUGUUCUUGCUCAACCAUCUUUUAGCCUGCGCGCGACAACACUUGCUUGGUUUUUUAAAAUUUUAAGCUUCGGUUUCGGGAGUACUUUCUCAGCGCUUGCGGAGAUGUCUGAAGAUAAGAAAGCCGUUGCUGAGACGAAGCUGAGCCUUUCUGAGGAGAUGCAUCUCGGCUUUCUUCAGUCAAUAGCAAAGACCAAUACGGAGAAGAUCACUAGGGAAACCUUGGAGGGUUUAUCUGAAGAUACAGGUGACAGUGACAGUUAUGAUGUAGAAAGUGGGGGUGAAAACUCCAAAGAUCGACCGUGGCGACCAAGUCACACAGUCUUCGGCAAGUCGAGCAUUAAGCAGAGUCAUCUUGAUACCAUGAAGGGAAGGUAUUUUCGAGACAUGUCUAUUGUGAGGGCGGAUAUUGGGGAUAAAAUUGUGCCUACUCCCGAAGAAGAUGAAGUCGUGGUAUUCCGAAGCUUCUUGAAAGCUGGACUAAGAUUUCCCUUAAGCAGUUUUGUUGUGGAAUUACUGAAGGUUUUUGAAGUCUACCUUCACCAACUCACUCCUGAAUCAAUCAUAAGGAUGAAUAUCUUCGUGUGGGCCACGAGAAGCCAAGGCUUGGAACCUGAUGCAAAAAGUUUCUGCAACAUACAUGAAUUGUUAUACGAGACAAAACCCUGGGGUAAGGAACAGUAUCAUAACAACUUUGGCUGCUACAGCUUCGGCUCCCGAUCUGGGUCAAGCUGCCCAGUGCCGACCUUUCAAAAGAGAUGGCCUAGCGACUGGAUGACGGAAUGGUUUUACGUGAAGAAUGACUUGAAAUCACGAGAAGAUAUAAAGAAGAUUAUUAUGUGUCCUAUCUGGCAACGCUUCGGCCUAUGGAGGCCGAAGGUGGAAAUGAAUGAAGCAGCCGAAGAAUGCCAGAGAGCCUUCGGAGUUGUUUGCUCUUUUAUUGGGACGAGGGAUUUGGUCCAAGAGCACAUUGCCUUCAGAGUAUGGCCGCUUGUGGAAAAAUGGGAAAUGCCGUAGGAGACCAUUAAAGAGACUGACGAAGGUGGACUAGUCAGGCUGAAGUACACAUUUAAGUUCAGAGAUAAGUUUGUUGAGCCAGAUGACGACUGGCUAAGAAGCAUUGAAACUGUAAGUGAUGAAUUGCUUGGGGUAUAUUCGAAGGCCGAAGACACUGCAUUGUCAGCGGCCUUCGGAGGCCGAAAAAAGAAAAGACUCAACCGAGUAUUUGAUGCAAUUGGUUUUGUCUACCCCGACUACCGCUAUCCAGCGCGGGGGCAAAAAAGAAAAGGCACAACUUCUGCGAAAGAAACUGCUUCAGCCGCUCCUAGCGAGCCAGCGCCGAAGAGAAAAAGGGUAAAGGUGCUCACACACCGGCCACGCUAUAUUGAACCAGCCACGGUGCCUGAGUUCGCCGGUGAGACCUCUUCGGCCACCGAAGCUAAAGAACCAACCCUGCUGCCAGAAAUCAAAGAGUUGGCCGGAUUGCCAGUAACAGAAAAGAUGGAAGAACCAAGGACUGAAGAAGCAAAGACAUCAGCUGAGGGAGUAAAAAUAUCAGAAAUUUUAAGUCCUUCAGGAGAAAUUGAAGUAGCAGAAAUUAAAAAGGGGCCAACAGUGACCCCGAAAAGAAAAAGAAUGGUUAAUGUGUUAGAUGUUUUGGAGACAAUUAAAUCUUCAAGCAUAACUCCAAAGAAGACCGCUGAAACUUCUGAAGCGUCUGCUGAAGCAUCUGUUGUUGAAGCUUCGAAGCAACAUACUAGAACUAAAGCCGGGCCUUCAGAGCCAACCAAGGUAAAACCUUUGGAAACAGAAGAAACGGAAAUUGCAAAGGCAACCGAAAAAAUGAAAAUGUCAGAGCCAAUUUUGGUUGAAGAAAUUGAUACUGCUGCCCCCGAAGCACCUUCCAGAAUAUACGAUUAUAUCGUUCGACAUGCUUCGGGGAAAAAAUUAUCCGAAGAAGAAGUUUUUGAAGCUAAUCACUAUGCAAAAGAAUUGAAAUAUCCGAAGGGGGCACUAGUGUUCAAUGGGACAAACAAAGAUGACUUCCUAUACUGCCUCCCAGACAACAAAGAAUUAUCCGUCUGUCGGGAGAUGGCUAGAAGUAUGGGGUUUCCGAAGCUUGAAGCUGGACUCUGUGCUAUGACGAAGGAUGAUCUUGCAGAUAGUCUUGCAUAUAAUAGCCUGAAGGUAUGAGAACUGGUGUUUGGAAAUUUUAUAAUUUGCAAAUCAUUAUUUUAUUCUUAUACCAACUCUUUUUCAAAUAGGGUUUAAUACUAAGCAACACGUUGAGAGCGCAAAAGAAUGCCGAAGACGAGAGCUAUGAUAUUGCUUUCAACAACCUACGAUCAGAGGUUAUUAAGCUGAGAAACGAAGCUCUGGAAAAGGAUAAAAUUCUACUUACAUUGGUGGACGAGAUAAAAGAGGACGAAGCUGCCUCAAAGGCCCAGGCUGAAGCCCAGAAACGCGAAAUUAAAGAUCUUCAGAAAUAGCUAGCUAGAGCUAAAGAAGAAGGUAUACUUGAAGAGACAAAACAAGAGCUUAGUGAUCAAUGGGCCGAUCAUUUAGAAAUAAAUGUUAAAGAGCUUCGUGCAUCCCAGAGAAGAUGCUAUGUCAAAUCCAUAGAGUGUGUUAAGAAGAUAAAAUCUAGCUUCGCCAAUGUUGGCGCAUUCUCUAGCGAAGAGAAUUUCUCAAGGGGCAAUCCCGAAGGUCCGAUUGAAUGGAUCAGUCACGAAGCUGAGGCCUUCGAGGAAAUAAUGAAUAGCCGCGGAGACAUAUGUGCUUUUUCGGGUGCUAGAGGAAUUGCUACUGUUUUGGAGGGGAAAGGUUGCGAGCAUGUAAAAUCCUUAGCGCAAUCCGAAGCUACUUUGUCCUCCGAAGACAUUAAAGACCCCUCAGCCGAAGCAAGCAUGAUCGGCGGAAAAUUUUUCACCGAUAUUUGGGACAACGGUGGACGAGAAAUGGCUCAAGAAAUUAUUCAAAAGAGCGAAAAAGGCAUUCACGAUGCUAGAAAAAUAACAGAGGCUGCUGAGAAAAGUACAGAGCCCGAAGGGCAAAUAGGUACUAAUUAGUGAUAAUUGGCUUUUCGCUGUAAUCUUUUGAUUUUGAACUUGUUCACGGCUUGUAAUAAUAUAUCCGUACCUUUUCUUUUCUCAGAACCUGCUGAGCUAGCCCUAAGCCCUCAGACAAAGGGGGAUGACAAAAUUAGACAAAUGGCAGAAGCCAUCAUGGAUAGAGUUGUUGAUCAACUUUUAAAUGAAGCUGCAGAAGUAGUCUUAAAAGAAGAUUAAAUGCUACUGUAAAAAACAUUUAGUUUGUAAUAUUUGUCAAAAAUCGUGUAACAUUGUGUAACAUAUUAGCUGUUUAUAACUCCAUUUUUGACGAUGCAUGAAACAUCAUACACAUACCAUUUUUGAGCCUUAGGCGAAAAAACACCUUCCCUUCUUUUCAUGCUUCGUAAAAAUCAAUAAUCAAUCCUUGUAAAAUCAAUAACCAAUAGAUCCUUUCAUUUCGGUAAUUGAUGAAGGUAUAACUCUUCAGCGGCUAUUUCUUGUGCCUUGUCAGUAAUUCUUUAAAACCAUCUUCGGCCAUCAAUAUCAAAACCCUCCCUUCUUGCAUUGUUGAUGCACUAUGAUGUAUGAUGUUAUGCUAUGCGAAUGAUGUAAAUGAUGUAAUGUUGUGCAAAAUGAUAUCUGCCGAAGAUUGAUGAAAUCAACGUUUAUUUUUCGUUGUAAGCCUCCCUUAGGAGCUUCUUCGCCUUUUACUUCAGCGGAAUCAGCAUUUAUUUUUCGCUGUAAGCCUCCCUUAGGAGCUUCUUCGCCUUUUACUUUCAGCGGAAUCAGCGUUUAUUUUUCGCUGUAAGCCUCCCUUAGGAGCUUCUUCGCCUUUUACUUUCAGCGGAAUCAGCGCUUAUUUUUCGCUGUAGGCUCAGAAAACUUACACUGCGCUCCCUUAGGAACGGCUUUUUGUCGCUUCGAAUAAAUUGUACUUUGUUCCUUAGAACAAGUUUUUGACAACUUUAAAAAUCCUGCUUGCCAACAUAAAUUCUCAUGCUUCAGUAGCUUAGGCCUAUGGAGAAGAUAUAUUUUUAUUACAGAAAAAAGCGAAACUAUUACAAAAAAUUGAAAGGCGAUAAAAGACAUUAAAACUACCCUUAAUUGUUCCUUAUUAAAAAGAAAGUAAUAGUGAAUAUGAAAAUGCGAAAGAGCUGCUGCUGAGGUAGGAUAUUUGUCAGUAAAUGUGCUUCGACUCUGGCACAGUGCUAUUGACUGUGCGAGCUUCGGACUCCUCUCUGAAGUCCCGCUGAAGGUUGACGCGCUGACUCCCUUCUGGCUGCUGACCUCUUUGUGUUGGUGGUGGCGGUGGAGGCUGCUGCCAAGAUGCUUGGGGUUGGCUUGCCGAAGCAACAGAAGCUGCAGGGUGGUUGCCUACAUAUUCUGGAAUAUAAGGCGAAUGAUACGAAGCAAUAUGCAUGACCUGCUUCGGCUGACUUUGUUGCGCUGCUGCUUCUGCUUUCUCCUUCUGCUUCUAGAUGGUAACGUGGCACAUCCUGGUGGUAUGGCCCUUGUCUUCACCACAGAAUAGGCAGUAAAUUUUUCUUGGCUGAUCUCCAAACCUUCCCCCGAAGCCCCUGGCGCCUCUGCCCCUUGGCGCUGACGGCCGAAAAGAACUUUGCUGCUGCCCCGAAGCUUGUGAAGAGUAUUGUGGCCUUUGCUGCUGGCUCCCUCGAUCAUCACUUUGAGUAGAGUUAUGAAUUGACCUAACGUGCCUCGGGUGAAAUCUUCCUCCGAAGCCCCUGGUCAUUUCAGAGAACCUGAAUGCUUCCUCCCUUCUUUGGCGGAAGUCAUUGUCAGCUCGAAUGUAUUCGUCCAUCUUCUGGAGCAGCUUCUCCAACGUUUGUGGUGGCUUCCUAGCAAAGUACUGCGCUGAAGGUCCCGGCCGAAGCCCCUUAAUCAUGGCCUCAAUGACAAUUUCAUUGGGCACUAUUGGCGCCUGUGCCCUCAGACGCAGAAACCUUCGGACAUACGCCUGAAGGUAUUCUUCGUGAUCCUGAGUACACUGGAAUAGAGCCUGGGCGGUGACUGGCUUUGUCUGAAAUCCUUGGAAGCUGGUUAUCAACAUAUCCUUCAGCUUUUGCCAUGAGGUGAUUGUCCCUGGCCGCAGAGAAGAGUACCAAGUCUGAGCGACACUCUUGACGGCCAUGACAAAAGACUUUGCCAUGACUGCCGUAUUGCCACCAUACGAAGAUAUGGUUGCCUCAUAGCUCAUCAAGAAUUGCUUCGGGUCUGAAUGACCGUCAUACAUGGGGAGCUGAGGUGGCUUGUAAGACUGGGGCCAUGGUGUAGCCUGUAAUUCUGUUUACAAAGGAGAAGCAUCAUCAAAAGCAAAAUUUCCAUGAUGGAAAUCUUCAUACCAGUCUUCCUCAUUGUAGAAACCCUCCUGAUGGAGCUCCCUGCGCUGAGGCCUUCGGCUCUGGUCAUCUUGAACAAGAUGACGAACCUCUUCCGACGCUUCGUCUAUCUGCCUCUGAAGGUCAGCUAGACGGGCCAUCUUCUCCUUCUUCCGUUGAACCUGUUGCUGAAGCAUUUCCAGGUUUUGGAUUUCCUGGUCCAAAUCGUCCUCCGGAGGCGGUGGACUGGUAGCCUUCCUCUUUUGACUUCGGGCCUCCCUGAGAGAAAGGACGUCCUGAUUGGGAUCCAGCGGCUGUAGAGUACCAGCCCCUGUCGCUGAAGCUUUUUUCGGCGGCAUGACGAAGGUGAUGCUUGCCGAAAGUGUUCAAAACUCAAAAAAUGGAAGUGAGUUCACCGGAGGUGGGCGCCAAUGUUGGGGACUUGUUCUCAAAUGCUAUGAAUCAAGAACAAGGCAACAUAAAAUGUUAAAUAUCAAAGCCCUUCGUCCUUCAAAUCAUUAUUUCCCUUCGGAUAUAACGAAUCUAGGACGAAGGUCUUGAAGGACAUACCUUCAAGAUCAUGAUAAAAGAUGGAGAACAUUCAUACAAAAUACAGAAAAUAACAUAAUUUCUGUAAACAUUAUUAUUAAUCUAUUUCCAUUUAUAUUACUUAUGUAAACAAUGGUAAAUUACAAAUGUACCUUCGGCUUGAAGGAAUGAGAAUACAGACGUGACGCAAAAGUGAAUGCCAAGUCAGCGUGAACAGUACGGGAGUACUGUUGACCUAUUUAUAGGCACGGGUCACAGCCCAUGCAAAAUUACAUUGAUGCCCUUUACAUUUAUCAAUAACUCUAUAGUAAUUCUUCGAGGUCUAAUUUGGCUUUUCAUCUUUAAGUCGGUUUCCCCUUCCCGCCGUUAUGCCGAAGCUCUUCUGCACAUAGCUUCGCGAUCAUCUUAUCCUUCGUCGUGAUUGCCGUCCCAGUUUAGCUUCGUAUUAACCAUGCUCUUGUAUGCUCGCAAUCUGACUUCGAAGGUACCUGUUCACAUAUUUUUCUUGGAAAACAUAGUCAAAUUACAUUUUUGAGGACCUUCGAAAGCCGAAGGCCCCCAACAGAAGGUUAUGGCUUGCUUGAAUUUUGUGGGUUCGUUUAUUAAGGUCCUUGUCACACCUGGUUUUAGAAGGCAAACCGAAUGCGAACCAUGUACGUGCCAGGAUCAGCAAUUCACGUACACAAAAGUUACAUAACUGGACAUCAUCACACAGUGCUCAAAUAAUGACAUAAAAGAGGGUAUAAUAGUCAAUUACAUCAUGAUGUCCGAGACAUCCACAUAUUCUUUAACAACAAUCAAAGCGUGAAAAAGAAACGUAGAUACACACGGCCUACACAGGCAGCCGACUGGGGGUUUGCCGCUAACCCACGCCUAGAACUCAUCGUACGCUUGGAACUCCAGGAAGUCCUCCUCCACGACUUCAUCUUCACCUGAGCAGUGGUUGCAACGCUGACAACCUGGGGGGGGGGGGGGGGUUGGUGUGUAAAGCAAGGGUGAGUACACAUCAACAUACUCAGCAAAAUGUCCCGUUUGGCUGUAGUGGACUAGCUUUAUGUGGAGUUAAGUCAAGCAGUUGCUUUUAGUUGGUCAGGUUAUUAUUUACUAGUAGAAAGCCAGGUUUUAGCAUUAACCCACGUUGUUAACCCGAUGUAUCCUUUCCAAACGGAAAGAAUACCACUUACCAGUACCAUAGUCAUAAUCAUAACCAUCAUCCUCAUCACCACCUGUAAACCAAACAUCUCUGAUCAAGUAUCUCUAAUCAAUGGAGCUCCCUUGGCCACUCAUAACCGCGAGCAUGGCUGGUAUAUCAGUUUCAUAACACUCUGCAGAGGUUGCGCACUUUACCCACAAACCGUGAUUCCCUCUUGCCUCGGGCCGAUCAAAUCCUUAAACACUACCAAGGUGAAUAGGCAAGGUCUCACUAUGUAGCCUUUACAAAGAUUUCCUGGGGCUGUAGCCGCCCGUUAGGUUUCCUAAAUGCACCGAACUCUUCCCCAAGGGGCGAACCAACCUUGGCAGAGCGAGCCGCAUACACCGAGCCCCAUUAACGGCACGACGGCGAAGCGAACUACACCCCAGUUCCUCUAAUUACUCAGCUAAGGGCGUCCCACUCCACCCUCAUGGUUGCACUGUUUUCCCGAGCGGUCAUCCAACGAACAGGUCCUUACGGAGAGGCACUCGAGAAACAGCUUGAGUCCCCUUAAGGGCCACAAGUACCAUCAUCAUAAACAAAAGGGAAAACAACGUAUCAUAGAUAAUCUCAUCAUGUUCAUUGAUUAAUGUGAAGCGCUAGCAUAAUGCUAAACUGAAAUAACCCAACCAAAAUAGGUAAACAAGGACAAGAUAGACAAAAGCUAGUCAAUCCUUAGGUAUAAAUGUGUAAAUGCGGGAAGUGAAUUAUAAGGAUUAAUAGGACAUAGAUGGGUCAAGGGACACUUGCCUUCACCAACCAGCUGCUGCUCAGGGUCUUCACCUACAACUCCUUCGGACCCCGCCAACUGACCGUUAUCUAUACGAGUUCAAACAUACAUUCCACACAUUUAAUACAAAAGAACAGUACACUAUACAAUGGAAUGCAAUAAAUAAACAGACGUUCGACGCAGGGCUCACACUUACGACUAAGCGAGAAAGAGAAAGUAACGGUCGAGGCUACGGUCGAAGAGCGAUCACGUCACACGAUUAUAAAUUAAAACACUCAUUUAAACAGAAUGGUAUUAAUUUAGCCAUUAUGUUAAGCAUAAGGUAAAGUCAUGUUCCAUAUUUAAUUAUAUGAACAGAUUAAGAUAGAUUAAAAGGAUUGUCGCGCGGCGAGACACGCGACACAACACUUAAAUUGAAUUAAUAAAUAAACGACUCGUCGCGCGACGGAGCGCGCAACGAGACACUUGCACUUAAUUAUAAAGAGACGUUAAGCAUCGCGCGACGAAAUGCACGACGGCAUACGUCAACUGAACUGAAUUUUAAACAAAAUGUCGCGCGACGAAGCUCGUGACCCAGAUCACUAAUAAAGAUGAAUUUAAAAUGAAUCGUCGCGUGACGAAGCGCGCGACACAGCACAUCGACUAAACUAAAAUUGAAAAGGGGUAAAGCUGAAAGUCGAACGCCGCACAACUACAAUUGCGAGCGCGAAUACGCUGUGCGCGCACCGGGGGCACGCGAGGCCACGCCGGAGCAUGCGACAGCGCCGCGCAGGGCGCACGGUUGUCGAAACGCGAGGCACGGGGCUGUGCGGGACGCGGCGCGGGGCCGAGCGCGCGGAACGCGGACGCCGGGGCACGGGGCCGUGGGGCCAGACGCGCGGGACGCGGGCGCGGGGGCGAGCCGCAGGGAGCGCACGGGGCCGCGGGCGAGCAGGGCCGCCGGGCGCGAGGCCGCGGGGCGAGCGAGGCCGCCGGGGGGCACGGGCGCGGGGCCGCGAGGCCGGGCGAGCCGCCGGGGGAGGGGAGCACGCGGGGGCAGGGGGGUCGCCGGGGAGGGCACGCGAGCCGCCGGGGAGGGGCGUGGGGCUCGCGGGCGCGGGGGGCCGAGCGCCGGGGCGCGGGGAGGGGCACAGGGCGAGCUGCCGCCAGAACGAGGGCGCGUAGGGACCACGGGCUAGGCCGCCACCGUCGGAACGCGGGCGCGUAGGGUCCACGGGCGAGGCCGCCGCCUCCACCGCCGGGGAGCGGAGGGGCAUGGGGGCUGCGGGCGCGGGGGCCGCAGGCGAGGCCGCCGGGGCGGGGAGGGGUGCGGGGCGAGCUGCCGCCAGGGCGCGGACGUGCGAGGCCGUGGGCGCACGGGCGCGCAGGGGACGCGCGCAUGUGAAAAGGAAGGGGAGGGGGAGCAGGAGAGGGAGAGGGAGAGGGGAGCUCACCUCGGGGUCCAAAUCCGGUGAUCACCGUCUCCAAAACCUAGGGCACCACGGGGAGAGAGAGAGAGAUGGGACAGAAAGAGGUUACUGUGCGGGAGAAAUCAAAUGAGAGAAAGAGACCAAGGGAGGGGGGCGCAUGGGGUGGGCACGAGCGCUAGGGGCGCGUGGGCCGAGCUGGGCCACGCUAGGUCGGGCUGGGCUGGGCCGCACCGCGGGUCAAAACCCCGUGGCACGCACAACCACAGAUCGGAAUUCAAUCCGCGAAGCAAAAUCCGAAAUGGAACUAAGCAACGCACGCGAUUAAGCACGAAAUCAGACAAAGAAAUAUGAUUCGGCAUGAUGUAACACUCAUGUCAACUUACGUUUUGUUUACACUCGAUCUGGACACUAGUCGCUAUACUGCUUUGAAAUUGGGAAGAAGGAGCGAAACAGGAAUAGAAAAGAGAGUAACGCCUGAAUUUGGGGAGUAAAAAGAAGAAAAAAUUCUACCCCCAAAUUCAGGGCGUUACAAACCUAUCCCCCUUAAAAGAAUCUCGCCCUCGAGAUUCAAGGUUGGCUAGCAAAGAGUUCAGGAUACUUGGCCAUCAAAUCAUCUUCACGCUCCCAGGUUGCUUCUUCCUUAGAGUGGUGACUCCAUCUGACUUUGCACAUUCUGAUAGUCUUCCUCCGGGUGACUCUGUCUGCAGUCUCAAGAAUCUGCGCUGGCUUCUCUAUAUAGGUCAAGUCCUCCUGGACCUCCAGACCUUCCACUGGCAACUGCUCUUCUGGCACACACAGACACUUCUUCAACUGAGACACAUGAAAGACAUCAUGCACUGCAGACAAGCCUUCUGGCAUACUGAGCUGAUAGGCCACUUCUCCACGCCUUGCGAGAAUCUGAUACGGACCAACAUAGCGGGGCGCUAGCUUGCCUCUGACUCCGAAUCUUCUGACUCCUCUUAUCGGUGACACUUUCAAAUAGACGAAGUCUCCGACUUCGAAACUCAGCUCUCUUCUUCUCGUGUCUUCAUAGCUUCGCUGCCUUGAUUGCGCUAUCUUCAGGUUCUCCUGAACCAUCUUGAUGUUCUCUUCAGAUUUGAGCAGAAUGUCUGGCCCGAACACUUGCUUUUCUCCAGGCUAAUCCCAUCGCAACGGAGUUCUGCAACUUCUCCCAUAAAGCGCCUAAAAUGGUGACAUCUUCAAGCUGGACUGGUAACUGUUGUUAUAGGAGAACUCUGCAUAAGGUAAUCUCUUGUCCCACCCGGACUGAUCUUGCAACGCACAAGCUCUCAACAUAUCUUCGAGGAUUUGAUUAGUUCUUUCGGUCUGACCAUCUGUCUGUGGAUGAUAAGCUAAACUGAAAUUCAGAUGUGUACCCAAGGCUUCAUGCAACUGCUGCCAGAAAUGAGAGGUGAACUGUGUUGCUCUGUAUGACGCUAUCUUCUUUGGCACACCAUGAAGACAAACGAUCCGGGACAUGUACAACUCUUCCAAUGCAGCACUGCUGUAGUUGGUCUUGACAGGUAUGAAGUGGGCUGACUUGGUUAAGUGGUCCACUACUACCCAAAUGGAAUCGUAGCCGGCUCGAGUGCGAGGCAAUUCGACUAUGAAGUCUAUUCCGAUUUCAUCCCAUUUCCACUGAGGAAUUCACAACGGUUGGAACAAUCUAGCUGGCCUCUGAUGUUCUGCAAUGAUCCUUUGACAACUAUCACAUAUAGCCACAUGCUCUGCGAUCUCCCUUUUCAUUCCGUACCACCAGAAUUUCUUCUUCAGAUCCUGAUACAUCUUCUCACUUCCAGGAUGUAUCGAAUAAGCUGAUUCAUGAGCUUCCUUGAGGAUCAACUCCCGAAUGGACUGGACAUUGGGAACACACAAGCGGACUUUGAACCAUAUCACACCUUCUCCAUCUUCCCGAAAAUCUUUGCCUUUGCCCUCUAGAAUCAGCUGCCGAAUUUCACUGAUCUUCUCAUCAUUCUUCUGUGCUUCUUUGAUUUCUCGCUCUAGGGUAGGCUCUAACUCAACUGUUACUGCUCGCGUAUUGUUCAGAAAUCCGAGGCUCAACCUGUCAAACUCUUUGGCCAGCUCAAAAGGCAUUGGAUGAGCGUCCAUCAGGUUGACUUGACUCUUCCUGCUCAACGCAUCUGCCACUACGUUCGCUUUGCCUGGAUUGUAAUGAAUCUCCAAUUCAUAGUCCUUGAUCAACUCUAACCAUCUUCGUUGCCUCAUAUUCAGCUCUGACUAAGUGAAUAUGUACUUCAGACUCUUGUGGUUUGUGUAAACAUCACAUUUCUGCCCAUACAGAUAGUGCCUCCAUGUCUUCAGUGCAUGAACCACUGCUGCCAACUCUAGGUCAUGGAUUGGAUAAUUCUUCUCAUGAACCUUCAGCUGUCGGGACGAGUAAGCCACAACUCUUCCCUCUUGCAUCAACACACAUCCCAAACCAGUGUAACAAGCAUCGCAAUACAUCGAGAAGGGCUUGUGCACAUCAGGCAAGACUAGGACAGGUGAUGUAGUCAACUUCUCUUUCAGUGCUUCAAAGGCUUCUUGGCAUUUCUGGGUCCACUUGAACUCAACCUUGUUGCCUAGCAAAGCGGUCAUUGGUUUCGCAAUCUUCGAAAACCCUUCGAUGAAUAGCCGAUAAUAUCCGGCCAUUCCAAUAAAGCUCUUGAUUCCUCGAGCAUCUGUUGGCGCUUUCCAGUUCAGAAUGUCUGCCACUUUCUUCGGAUCCACAACCAAUCCAUCUUUGUUAAUUAUCUGACCUAAGAACAGGACUUCAUUGAUCCAAAACUCGCACUUACUCAACUUUGCAUACAACUGGUGCUCUCGCAAUCUCUGCAAACCAUCUUCAAAUGAUUCACAUGCUCUUCUUCACUUUGAGAAUAUAUCAGAAUAUCAUCAAUAAAUACCACCACAAACUUGUCAAGAUAAUCCAUGAAUACACUGUUCAUCAGAUUCAUGAAGAAGGCUAGUGCAUUUGUUAGGCUAAAAGACAUCACAGUGAACUCAUACAACCCAUACUUGAUAAUGAAUGUCGUCUUCAGAAUGUCUGAAGGUCGAAUCUUGAGCUGGUGAUAACCCGACCAUAGAUCUAUCUUUGAGAACAGGCUGGCUCCUCUCAACUGGUCGAACAAAUCUUAUAUUCUGGGCAAGGGGUACUUGUUCUUGAUCGUGACCUCAUUCAGAGCUCGAUAAUCGAUACACAUUCUUCUGGGGCCAUCUUUCUUCUCCACGAAUAGGACAGGGGCGGCCCAAGGUGAGGUGCUUGGUCAGAUGUAACCUUUCUCUGACAGCUCAUCGAUCUGCUUCUUGAGUUCAACUAACUCUGGUCCAGAUACUCUGUAAGCUCUUUUAGAAAUGGGGGCGGUGCCAGGAAGAAGCUCUAUAGCAAACUCAACUUUCCGCUCAGGUGGCAUACCUGGUAAGACUUCCGGAAACACAUCUAGAAAUUCUAACACAACCUUGAUAAUCUCGAGUGGAUAUGCUUCACUGCUAUCAACAGCCAUCUGAUAACAACUUCCUUUCUUUGGCUCAAGCGAGACUAACUCGGUCACCACUUCCUCUCCUAGUGGAGACAUCAACUUGAUUGUCCUCUUAUCACAACUGAUAACUGCUUGAUACUUAUCUAGCCAAUUCAUCCCUAGGAUGACAUCUAUUCCCUGAGUACCCAUUACUAUGAGGUUAGCGGGAAAUGCUAUCCCCCUUAUUUCCACACUUACAUUCAAGCAAAUGCUAUCGGCUCGAAUUCUACCACCGGCUGAGUCAAUUUGGAUGGGGGUUGACAUGGUAGUGAUUGGAAGAUUAUGUGCUUCUACCCAAGAUGUAGUAAUAAAUGAAUGCGAGUCGACUAGAGACAUACCUACUGUCAUGCCGGGGGUUUCCUGAAAUGCUUUAGCCUCCAAGUGAUUCAGUCUCCCAUGAUUAUAGCGUGGCUGAGAGCGGUUGCCUGCUCCAGGCUGAGACACAUUCUGCUUUGCUGGGGCACUGGGCCUGACUGCUGCUGGGCUGCCUUCUUCGGAUAUUGCAUCACCCAAUGGCCUUGCUCUCCACAAUGGAAACAUGCUCUGCUUCCACCUUGAACUGGUGCUGCCUGACUGCUCUGGUUGGUUGCUAGGGCGGGAAGACGAGGUGCUUGCCGAUUCUGCCUCUGGAACUGACCUCCUCCUGACUGAUUGUUCUGGCGAUUUUGCUGCAGGUGCUGGGGGUACUGCCUCUGAAACUACUGCUGCUGAGGUGUACGCUGGUUCUGCCUGAAAUGCUGAGGUGAGUUGCCUGAGAAACGAGGACGAUUGCUGCUUCCAGGCUGAGGUCCACUGAUCUUACGCUUGCGAUCCUCCAUCUCCUUGCGCUUCUUCUCUAUCAUGAUCGCUCUGUCGAUCAGGUGCUGAAAUGUGGGGAAGGUAUGAUUCAUCAGAUGAUACUGUAGAGGGUCGACUAAGCCUCUCAGGAAGCGAUACUGCCUCUUGGCAUCUGUGUUGACAUCCUCAGGAGCAUAGCGAGACAGCUGCAUAAACUUGUCUUGGUACUCACUGACAGACAUAUGCCCUUGCUUGAGUGCCAGGAACUCCUCCUUCUUCACUAUCAUCAGGCCUGCAGGAACAUGGUACUGACGGAAAUUGCCUCUGAAUUCCUCCCAGGUAAUAGUGUAGGGGUUAGCAUGGGUGGCGAAAUAAGACUCCCACCAAGACUUAGCUGCUCCUCUCAACAGACGGGGACCAUACAUAACUUUCUCCCUGUCGUCACACUGAGCGGUGUGCAACUCCCGCUCCAUAGUGCGCAGCCAAUCUUCAGCAUCCAUGGGGUCAGAAGAAUGAGUGAACGUUGGGGGAUGACCUCUCAUGAAUUCAGCACGCUUGUUCCUGGGCAUCUGAGGCAUCUGAGGCUGAGGUGGUGGCUGCUACUGCUGCUGAAUGGCAGCUAGAGUCUGACCGAUGGCUUGAACUGCCUGAGUCUGCAUCAAGAACAUCUACUCGAUCGUCAUCGGGGGCGGGGGUGGCAGUUGCUGUUGAUGGGGUGCCUCAUCCUGCUGAGCUAGCCGCUCCUGCUGAGCACGCCUUCCUCCUCUGCGCCUGUUUUCUGACAUCUGCAUAAUGCAACCACACAUCAGAACUGAUCUUGCAACUUGCAACAUAAGAAAAGAGUAUAGAAUUCUUCCACCAUACUGAACAGAUGAACAUCUUCACUGACUUCCAAUACAAACCAACACAACUUCUCAGAUAAAGAGGAAAGUAGAACAAAAGGGCUUUCCAACUAAGUAACUAAUUUUAUUAAUACUUAACAGGUAAACCAAAGUGCAGGGGAUACCUACACCCUGGCGACAGUCAUUACAAAGAUCCAAAUCCAACAUAGUUCAUCAUGACAAACAUAAAGGCACAGGAUAAGCAAACUACCCUGUCUAACUAAGACUAACUAAGAGUAAGACUGAUGCUAAGACUAUAGCUUCUAUGUAUAUAUUUUCGUAUUAAUUACAAGAUCUUACGCUGAUGAUCUAUGGUUCUAAAUUUAUCUUGGUCCUGCAGUCGGGGUCGCCAUAAGUUUGGUGUCCACGCUAAGGUGAGCGGUACGGGUGCUGAGUCCUGACGGGAGCGGGGGAGCCAUCCUCCAGGUGACGAUGCUCCUCGCGCUCAGCCUGCAGUUGGGCGAUCUCAGCACAAGCCCUACUCAGCUCAUCUAAUGCAUGGUCCAGCUCCAUGUUUAGCACGGCGGCUAGGUUGACUAUGCUGCUCAACCUAGGAUUGUCCUCACCAACAGGUGAGACAACCACGCCUCCUGUGCUGCCAGAUGGACGGUGGGGGUAAUACUUCAGGUUGAGACCGUCAGCAACCCCACCGAGCACUGAGCAGUAGUGUGAAAGCGCACGCCGUGCGACAUCUUGCAUGGCCGCCUUAGCUGAGUCCCGCUCAGAGAUAGAAUAGUGCUCUGAGCAAACCUCCGCACCCUAGAGACUGUUCUCCGGACGGCGCACUAAGCAGGUCGCCUCCCAGCGGUCCGGGUAAACCCCGCGACUGUGCUGGAAGACCACGCAGCGAUACUCGAUAGACCAAGUAUGCCGGUCAAGUGCCCGACGUAGCAGGGUGUCGAGCGCAUCGUGGAAGUGACACCCGCGAGCAGCGUCGCGAGUGAUGGGUCGAGCAACCCAUCCUUCCAACUCCUACUCCUCAGUAAGGUCGGUGUCGUGGCUCGAGCUGCUGUCGCCACCUCCGUCGUCUGGGUCUCCUCCAGCAGCUAUUCCAGCGGCUGGGGCGCUCAGUGGUGGUGCAGGGGGCGCCUCCAGCGGGAGCAUAGGGGAGUAGCUCCUCAUAGACUCUAUGUCCUGCUGAAGCGAGAAAGAAGAGUCCUGCUGCUCCAGCUCCUAUCGUCGACGCUCCUGCUCCUCGUGCAGGCGGUGGUGCAGCCUCUCCAAGUGGCUAGACUGACCAGUCACUGGACGACGAAGCGGACGCUCCGUGAGACGAGAGGGUAAGAAGGGGAUGACAGACUUUCGUGCAGUGUGUCUAAGGCGAGCCAUCUACAGAAGACACCGUAAGCAUAAGAGUGAGAACAUAACUAAUAUGACCAGCAAGUAGACCAUAAAUAAAUGAGGAAUUAGAAUAAAACAAAAUUUUCAGCAAGGUAUAAUAAUAUAUAGUAGAACAUAGUUUUGGUCGAUAUGACCAACUUUUGAAGGGAUAACAAAGUCAAGGUGAUAAUAGGGUCUAUAAUCCUUAGAACGACCAUUCUAUUCUAGGUUAGCGGUCCUAUAGUCAACCUGGCUUUGAUACCACCUAUGUCACACCCGGUUUUAGAAGGCAAACCGAAUGCGAACGAUGUACGUGCCAGGAUCAGCAAUUCACGUACACAACAGUUACAUAACUGGACAUCAUCACAAAGUGCUCAAAUAAUGACAUAAAAGAGGGUUUAAUAGUCGAUUACAUCAUGAUGUCCGAGACAUCCACAUAGUCUUUAACAACAAUCAAAGUGUGGAAAAGAAACGUAGAUACACAUGGCCUACACAGGCAGCCGACUCGGGGUUUGUCGCUAACCCACGCCUAGAACUCAUCGUACGCUUGGAACUCCUGGAAGUCCUCCUCCAUGACUUCAUCUUCACCUGAGCAGAGGUUGCAACGCUGACAACCUGGGGGGGGGGGUUGUUGUGUAAAGCAAGGGUGAGUACACAUCAACAUACUCAGCAAAAUGUCCCGUUUCACUGUAGUGGACUAGCUUUAUGUGGAGUUAAGUCAAGCAGUUGCUUUUAGUUGGUCAGGUUAUUAUUUACUAGUAGAAAGCUAGGUUUUAGCAUUAACCCAUGUUGUUAACCCGAUGUAUCCUUUCCAAACGGAAAGAAUACCACUUACCAGUACCAUAGUCAUAAUCAUAACCAUCAUCCUCAUCACCACCUGUAAACCAAACAUCUCUGAUCAAGUAUCUCUAAUCAAUGUAGCUCCCUUGGCCGCUCAUAACCGCGACCAUGGCUGAUAUAUCAGUUUCAUAACACUCUGUAGAGGUUGCGCACUUUACCCACAAGCCAUGAUUCCCUCUUGCCUCGGGAUGAUCAAACCCUUAAACACUACCAAGGUGAAUAGGCAGGGUCUAACUACGUAGCCUUUACAAAGAUUUCCUGGGGCUGUAGCCGCCCAUUAGGUUUCCUAAAUGCACCGAACUCCUCCCCAAGGGGCGAACCAACCUUGGCAGAGCGAGCCGCAUACACCGAGCCCCAUUAGAGGCACGACGGUGAAGCAAACUACACCAGUUCCUCUAAUUACUCAGCUAAGGGCGUCCCACUCCACCGUCAUGGUUGCACUGUUUUCCCGGGCGGUCAUCCAACGAACAGGUCCUUACGGAGAGGCACUCAAGAAACAGCUCGAGUCCCCUAAAGGUCCACAAGUACCAUCAUCAUAAUCAAAAGGGAAAAUAGCGUACCAUAGAUAAUCUCAUCAUGUUCAUUGAUUAAUGUGAAGCGCUAGCAUAAUGCUAAACUGAAAUAACCCAACCAAAAUAGGUAAACAAGGACAAGAUAGACAAAAGCUAGUCAAUCCUUAGGUAUAAAUGUGUAAAUGCGGGAAGUAAAUUAUAAGGAUUAAUAGGACAUAGAUGGGUCAAGGGACACUUGCCUUCACCAACCAGCUGCUGCUCAGGGUCUUCACCUGCAACUCCUUCGGACUCCGCCAACUGACCGUUAUCUAUACGAGUUCAAACAUACAUUCCACACAUUUAAUACAAAAGAACAGUACACCAUACAAUGGAAUGCAAUAAAUAAACAGACGUUCGACGCAGGGCUCACACUUACGACUUAGCGAGAAAGAGAAAGUAACGGUCGAGACUAUGGUCGAAGAGCGAUCACGUCACACGAUUAUAAUUUAAAACACUCGUUUAAAUAGAAUGGUAUUAAUUUGGCCAUUGCGUUAAGCAUAAGGUAAAGUCAUGUUCCAUAUUUAAUUAUUAUGAACAGAUUAAGAUAGAUUAAAAGGAUUCUCGCGUGGCGAGACGCGCGACACAGCACUUAAAUUGAAUUAAGAAAUAAACGACUCAUCACGCGACGGAGCGCGCAACGAGACACUUACACUUAAUUAUAAAGAGACGUUAAGCGUCGCGUGACGAAACGCACGACGGCAUACGUCAACUGAACUGAAUUUUAAACAAAACGUCGCGCGACGAAGCGCGCGACACAGAUCAUUAAUAAAGAUGAAUUUAAAAUGAAUUGUCGCGCGACGAAGCGUGCGACACAACACAUCGACUAAACUAAAAUUGAAAAAGGAGUAAAGCUGAAAGUCGAACGCCGCGCAACUGCAGUUGCUCGUGCGAAUACGCAGUGCGCGCACCGGGGGCACGCGAGGCCACGCUGGGGCACGCGACAGGGCCACCUGGGCGCACGGCUGCCGGGACACGAGGCACGGGGGCGCGUGGGACGCGGCGCGGGGCCGAGCGCGCGAAACGCGGACGCCGGGGCACGGGGCCACGGGGUCGGGCGCGCGAGACGUGGGCACGGGUGCGAGCCGCAGUGGGCAGGUGGGGCCGCGGGCGCGCGGGGCUAUGGGCGAGCAGGACCGUCAAGCGCGAGGCCGCGAGGCCGGGCGAGCCGCUGGGUGAGGGGAGCGCGCGGGGGCAGGGGGUCACCGAGGAGGGCGUGCGAGCCGCCGGGGAGGGCACGGCCGCUAGGGAGGGGCGCGACGGGGCGUGGGGCGAGCCGCCGCCGCCGGAACACGGGCGCGCAGGGGCCAUGGGCGUGGGGGCCGCAGGCGAGGCCGCCACCGCCGGGGCACGAAGGGGCGUGGGGGCCGCGGGCGCUGGGGCCGCAGGCGAUGCCGACGGGGCGAGCCGCCGCCAGGGAGCGGACGCGCGGGCGCACAGGGGACGUGCAGGGAACGCGCACAGGGGAAAAGGAAGGGGAGGGGGAGGAGGAGAGAGAGAGGGAGAGGGAGAGGGAGAGGGGAGGGGAGCUCACCUCGGGGUCCAAAUCCGGCGAUCACCGUCUCCAAAACCUAGGGCACCACGGGGAGAGAGAGAUGGGAGAGAGAGAGGUUACUGCGCGGGAGAAAUCAAAUGGGAGAAAGAGACCAGGGGAGGGGGUGCGCAUGGGGGCCAGGGGCGCGCGGGCCGAGCUGGGCCACGCCAGGUCGGGCUGGGCUGGGUCGGGUCAGGCUGGGCUGGGCCGCACCGCGGGUCAAAACCCCGUGGCACGCACAACCACAGAUCGGAAUUCAAUCUGCGAAGCAAAAUCCGAAACGGAACUAAGCAACGCACGCGAUUAAGCACGAAAUCAGACAAAAAAAUAUGAUUCGGCAUGAUGCAACACUCAUGUCAACUUAGAUUUUGUUUACACUCGAUCUGGACACCAGUCACUAUACUGCUUCGAAAUUGGGAAGAAGGAGCGAAAUAGGAAAAGAAAAGAGAGUAACGCCUGAAUUUGGUGAGUAAAAAGAAGAAAAAAUUCUACCUCCAAAUUCAGGGCGUUAUAGCCCUCUAGUAGACUGCUCUUCGAAUGUCACCCUCUUUGCAACUUCAAAAGGAAGUCCUUUUUGGUUUAGUUUUACAACUAACUCAUUUUAUGUUAAGGUCAUUCUUCUUACAUUUAGAUUCAAAGGGCGGGGGAGGGGCUGGGUAUGGUUACGUACUGAUUCCCUUAGGUAGACAAUCGGGGAAGUUCGAACGUAGAAAUUCCUCAGUCUCCCAAGUAGCUUCUUCCUCUGAGUGAUUGCUCCAUUGGAUCUUAUACAUUUUGAUCGACUUAGCUCGAGUUGAUCUUUAUUUGCAAUCCAGAACCUUGGAAGGGUACUCUUGAUAUGAUAGAUCUGGCUCUAUCUCUACUUCUGGUUCUGUCAUGAUCUCGGUUGGCAAUCGAACACAUUUCUUCAAUUGGGAUACAUGGAACACAUUGUGGAUGGCAGACAUUUUUGGAGGUAGCUUCAAUUUGUAUGCCACAGGUCCACAUGUUCACACCCGGUUUUGGAAGGUAAACCGAAUGCGAACCAUGUACAUGCCAGGAUCAGAACUCACGUACUCAGCGAUUACAUAAUUGGACAUCAUCACACAAUGCUCGAAUUAGAUAACGGAAGGGUACUUAAUUACAUCAAGAUGUUCAAGACAUCCACAGAGUCUAAUACAUAUCCAUAGUGUUUAACAUUAACAUAAAAGUGCGGAGUAACGAAACGUAGAAGAUAAGCCUACACAGGCAGCUGACUAGGGGUUUGCCACUAAAGUAAACUAGAACUCGUCGUAGUCCUGGAACUCCUCAAAGUCCUCCAUGUUGCCAACAUCUCCUCCUGAGCAAUGAGUACAGUGGGGACAACCUGGGGUGGGGUGGUUUGUAAAGCAUGGGUGAGUACACAUCAACAUACUCAGCAAAUGUCCCGUUUGGCAAAAGUGGACUAGCUGUAUGUGGAGUUAAGGUUAAGCAUUUUCUUUUAGUUGGUCAAGUUUUAUUACUAUAAGUAGAGCCAAAUUUUAGUAAUAACCUAGUUAUUAUCCAGAGGCACUCCUUCCAAGAGGAAAUACCGGAGAUCAGAUUUAUAACCAUCAUUGUUAUACAUCAUCAUAAAAGUAACCAAAGUUCUUCUAAUCAAAGAGGAUCCCAAGGCUACUCUUAACCGUGAGCACAGCUGAUAUACCAGUUUCUAACACUCUGCAGAGGUCGCACACUUUACCCACAAGCCGUGAUUCCCAUGUUGCCCGGGGUUCUAGCCUCCCCACUGAUCACUACCAAGGUGACCUAGCAGGGUCUCACUAUGUAGCCUUUACAAAGAUUUCCCAGAGGUCAUAGUCGCCCGUUAGGUUUCUCAAGUUUGAUAAACAUAGUACAUCCCCCCAGAGGAAGGGUGACUAACAAAACCAAAUCAAAGAACCUUUAUGUUGGGGACUUGUUCUCAAAUGCUAUGAGUUAAGAACAAGGCAACACAAAAUGUUAAUGAUUAAUGCCCUUCGUCCUUCGAAACAUUAUUUCCUUUAGGAUAUAAUGAUCUUGAGACGAAGGUCAUGAAGGACGUACCUUCAUCAUCGUAGUAUAUGUUAAUGAAAGAAGAAGAAUAUGAAAUACGAGAGACGACAUGGAUAAUCAUAUGACAUUAUUCAUAUAUUCGUAUAUUUCUAUUAUGUCAUCAUGAAUGAACGUGAACAAUAUUGAAUUACAUUUGUACCUCUGGCUUGACAGAAGGCAAGGCGUGACGCAUGAGCGAGUACAAGUCAGCGUGAACAGUACGGGGGUACUGUUCACCUAUUUAUAGGCACGGGACGUAGCCCGGUUAAAAUUACAAUUAUGUCCUUGAUAACUAGUUACAAUCAUGACACAAAUUAUCAUGGACUGAUCGGUCAUUUCCUCUUUAAGUCGGUGCAGCCCUUCAUCUCAAGGCGUGCCACUAUGCCGAAGCUCCUUGGAUAGUAGCUUCGAUGUGUACCUUCGCGAUGUGUUUGAUUAUACGCUGAUCUUUCGAAGGUGUUUCUUCUUAAAUGACCUUCGGCAACGAAGCAGGCCCCCAACAGUAGCCCCUUCGCGGUGCUAGAUCAUUUUUCGUAACGAGCUUGAUCCGUGAAAAAUUUUCAAGGCUUCGGAAUUCCGAAAGUCUGAAAAACACCUUCCCUGAGCUCGUUGCCGAGAAACGAUUAAAGUAUUUCGGGCGAGAGGUGGGCCACCACGCAGCGGGGUAGUGGUCCACCGUUCAGCGGGUGCGGGUGACUGUUCGGCGGGUGCGGGCGACUUGGCGAUUCACCUUCCCACCUGCAGCACUAUAUAAACAGACGAGUAGGUGUGUAGUUACCACAACAUUCAUUGCCAUUGCACUGUUAUGCUGUUGAAAAAUUUAACCAUAGCCGAAGCUUUUUCACCGCAUUCUCAAGUGAACUGUCACUUUAAAUUAGCUUCGUCAAAAGAGGGAGCAUCGUCAAAACUGUAAAAAACAUCAGCUUAGUAAAAACCACAAAAAGAUCCAUCAGAUGGCUAGAGUACGCGCGACUGCGAGGGUGACCCGUGAAGGAGAAGAGACUGAGGCUACCGAGACAGCUCCGAUUUCCGAAGUCAUGAGACAAUCGGGCUUAGUUGUGACGGAGGGAGCCAUUGAAGAAGGUGCACCUACUGCCAAAGCUGAACAAGAUGAUGUUGAGGAAGAAAAUGUUGAUGAAGAAUAAGAGGAUUAUAGCAUUAUGAUCCCAUCAAAACCUAGCAACUUGGAUUUUGAAAAAUCUACUGUAUCUAAAGCCGACGUGCCCAUGAUGAUGAAACUGGGCUACUUCGAAGAAGCUGAAAAGAAGCUUAUUCGCUUUACCGGAGAAGAAACCACUCCAACACCGAAGGAUGACGAAGUAGUAGUUUUGAAAAGCUUUUUCAGAGCAGGAUUACGGUUUCCGCUGAAAGAGAUGAUUGGAGAAGUUAUGGAUAAUUAUGAAAUCUAUCUUCAUCAGCUGACCCCUAACGCUAUCGUUAGGCUCAGCAUCUUCAUCUGGGCCCUUCGAAGCCAAGGAAUGGACCCAAAUGCUGAAGCUUUCUGCCGAGUGCAUGAAUUGCAUUACCAAACGAAGGCCAGAGAAGACGGGCUACAUGAAAAUUUCGGUUAUUAUAACUUCACGUAUCGCAAGGAUACGAAGGCUUCGGUCCUCAGCUAUCACACCAAGUGGCCAACUGGCUGGAAGAGUGAGUGGUUUUAUAUUAAGGCUGAUGAGAAGAAAAGAGGGAAACUAAUGACGAUGGUGAUGAGCCCACUGUCCUUAAGCUUCAGGAUGACCAGACCCUUGUGCAACAUGAAGCCAGGGUCAGCAUGUCCGCUGGCCAUAGCAGAAUUCAGAGUGGUGGCUGAACAAAUCAACACUAGGGAUCUAGUGCAAGAAUACCUGGCCAACAGGGUAUCUCCAACGUUGAAUGGAUGAAGUAUGCCGAAGCUAAAAUGAACAAAGAAGAAGAAUGAACUUGUUCGAUUACCCUAUCAUUUCAAGUUUGAGAAACAGUUCAAAGAGCCCUGCCAAGAAUGGCUGGAGAUGAUUGAGACUGUGUGUAAUGAGAUCUUAGGCAAAUACCAGAAAAGAAGAUCAACUAAUGACUGCAGCCUUCGGCACCUGACCAAAAUGAAGGUUGAAUCGGGUAAUGGACGCUUUAAACUUUGAAUACCCUGAUUAUGAGCGACUCAGCAAGGGUGCCGAAGGGACAAAGAGAAAAAGGGUUGUCAGUGUUCUGAGCAGGCAAGCUGCUAGAAUGUUGAAAGAGGACGAAAAAUCUCUGAAGAAGAGAAAACCAAGUCCUGAACCGAAGGUGGCGACUUCGAAGAAGAGACAGGCUGCAACUUCGGAGCCGAAGGUAGCUGAGAUAGAAGAGGAAACUCCUUCAACGCCUUCUGCUGCUGAAGUAGAAGAAAUUUUAAAGGUAAUGACUGAAUCCUUACCUAUCAAGCUGCUAAGUCCUUUGGGGCCGCAUCUGACGAAGCUUUUAUAGAAGAAGGACGAGCCUUCGACAACAAAAAAGGCGGUGAGCCUAAAAAGCGAAGAAUUGUUACUGUUAUGCAAGCUAUUGAGGAAACACCGUUGCAAGCCUCAGCAUCAAAGAUGACACCAGCUGCUGAAGCAGAUACUUCUACCGAAGCUGGGGCCACCGAAGCUACUAAUCUGGAGAGUACAUUAUCUGCUAUUAAUAAUGUGCUCUUGGAUUUGGCCGCAGAGGAGACUGCUGUGGCUACAGAAGAAGCCCUGACCGUAGUGCCUGAGAAAGGGAAAGAAAUUGCUGAAGAUACUUCGGAAGAAAAAGGCUUCAGCUUUCAAAAUCUAGUUGGUCAAGAAUUAUCCAAGGCCGAGAAGGAGGAGCUGCAGGAGUAUGCUAUAUCCUGUGGCUACCAACCCGGAGCCAUGCUCUUUGGUGGAAUCAACGAAGAAGCCUUAGGAUGCAUUCGAGACCGCACCGGUGUGAAGAUUAUCAGCGCUCUAUCGAAGAGUGUUGGUUUUUUGAAGCUUGAAGCUGACAUUAGCAGCUAUCGACGACAACAUAUUUUCGACAGCUUAUUCUAUUCUAAUUUUAAGGUAAAGUUUUUUCCUUAGCUUUUUAAUCUUUUGUGAUGAAGCAAAGAUUUCUGAUGAAGGCUAUUUUGCACAGAGUAUGCUGCUAAGCAAAACCCUGAGAAUGCAACAAGACCUCGAAGAUAAGAAGAAUGAGGUUAUAAUCGAGGGCUUGGAAAAUAAAAUCAAAGAUCAUGAAGCUUCUCUAGGAAAGAAAGACUUCCUUCUUCAGACAAUGGAGGGUUCAUUGGCAGAAGCCCAAGACGAAGUUGCUAGAUUAAAUGACGAACUCCUCCGAAAAUUAGAAAACUUUGAGCAAGAAAGGAAAAGUUUUGAUGCAAGGCUUGGAGCCGAAGUCGAAAAAAAUUCAAAAUUGCAAGAAUCCCUAAAAGAGCUUCGGAAUGCUUGCUUAAACUUCGGCAACCGCUGCGUGCAACGGCUAAGGCAGGUCUUUAACUCAGUGGGAGCCAGCUCUGAGAAAUUUGAACCCUCGGUUGAAGACUUGCCCAGCACCUUCGAGCAUAUUGAAAGCGAAGUUGAGGCGCUUGACGAAGUUAUAGCUGGGCACGGCGACUUCUGUGCCCUGCUAGCUUCUCGCGGCACAGCUGUAGCUUUUAUGAAGGUUGGUUGCACGCACAGAAAGAUUGUAAACAGGCCGAACUUCAGUCUAUCAACAGCGGACUUAGCUGAUAUCCCCAGCCUAGCCCGAAGUAUUGGGAAUAGAUUUAUAACACAAAUUUGGAUGAAGGGUGGGCGGGACUUAUCUGGUGACGAAGCUCGAAGUCAUCUUAAGCCGGUAUUAAACUUGUACAUGUUGCUUACCUUCUCCUGAGAUUACUUUUUACCUUAUACUGCUUUGUUGUGUAUAGGAUGACGAUGCCGAAGGUCAAUAAUCCAAAGCUUGACGGAGACUGAUGAAGCCGCUGCACAAAGCUUUAGAGACAUUUGAAUUAUCUUUGUAAAAGAUAUUGUAAUUUAGAAAUCAAACUUUACUCUGUAAAUUUGUCCAUACCUUGUAAUAUAUUUUUACCUUUUCAUCCGUGUGUGAAUUGCUUUGAUGUGGUUGAAACUUGUAUUUUUUGAGCCGAAGGCGAAAAACACCUUCCCUUCUUUUCGUACACAAUGAAGCAUAUCUUUGCUUCUUUAUACUCAUCGAAGCAUUGUCAUCGAAGUCGAAGCAUCUGUUUGUACUCUAUGUUAUGAUGAUGAUGAUCCUACGAAUGUCUACAUGAAUGUGUAUGAAUGCAAUGAAUGAUGUGAUGUAAUGUGCAAAUGAAUGUCCAAACACACGCACACGAAGCCACACCCAUACUUCGCAUCCCCUUAAGAACGUCUUUUGAGUCUUAAGCUCUGCAUCCCCUUAGGAACGUAUUUUGAGCUUCUUCACCUUCUAUUUCGGUGGUAUAAGUUCUGCAUCCCCUUAGAAACGUCUUUUGAACUUCUUCGCCUUCUAUUUCGGCGAUAUAAGUUCUGCAUCCCCUUAGGAACGACUUUUGAACUUCUUCUCCUUAUAUUUCGGUGGUAUUUGGCUCUGCAUUCCCUUAGGAAUGACUUUUGAGCAGAAAACUUACGCUGCGCUCCCUUAGGAACGACUUUUUGUGGCUUCGUCGUGCUCUGCAUCCCCUUGGGGACGACUUUUGAGCUUUUCCCUGCUUUUCCUCUUUUUUCCUCUGCACUCGAUGGUGCAUGCUCAGAUUUUACAUUUUACAUCCUUUUGGGGGAUUUGGCUCUCGUGGAGCUAAAUAAGAAAGGAAAAAUUACAAGCUAUGGCCUACAAGCUAUGGCCCCAUUAAAAACCUUUCUCCCCCUUUAGAAAGGAAAAGGGUGCCAUAGAAAAAAUGAAAAAAGAUUGCAUCAAAUUACACAUAAUAUCGCCGAAGCUCAUCCGCAUUCCAAGAUCUGGGUAUUGUCGUUGUCGUCCAUAUCCUUCAAUCUAUAAGAACCGGGCCUCGACGAAGAUACCACCAGAAAAGGUCCUUCCCACUUCAGCUGUAAUUUUUCCACUGUGUCUGGAUUGGUUACUCUCUGAAGCACCAAAUGCCCUGGCUUGAUAUUUUUCAAUCGAGCUUUUUUGUCACGCCAUUUUAUUGUUUUGGCUUGAUAUUUGUUGAUGUUCUCUACAGCCUGAAGUCUGGUCCCCUCUAUGGUAUCUUUUGCUACGUGAUAAUCAUCUUCGUCUUCUGUCAAAGCUACUGUUCUUAUUGAUCCUGCUUUAGCUUCUUCUGGAGUUAUAGCUUUGUCACCAAACAAUAGUUUGAAUGGUGUAAAUUCUGUUGAUCUUGACGUGGUUGUAUUGUAGCUCCACACCACUUUAAUCAAUUCUUCUGGCCACUUUCCUCUGGGCUUAUUGAAGAUUAGCUUCAUUAUUCUUGUCAUAAUAAUGUCAUUUGCUCUUUCUACCAAUCCAUUUGAUUCUGGGUGCCUUACUGAUGCAAAAUGGAUCUUCGUGCCAAUUUGGUCACAGAAAUCUUUGAACGUUUCGGCAUCAAACUAUGUUCCAUUGUCCACAGUUAUGGCCUUCGGCACGCCGAAGCGACAAACAAUAUUCUGCUAGAAGAAUUUUUGGACUGUGGCCGAAGUUAUUGAAGCCAAAGGCUUUGCUUCAAUCUACUUAGAAAAAUAUUCUACAAUCACCACAACAUACUUCAAAUUACAUUGUGCCGGUGGAAGUGGACCUAAUAAAUCUAGGCCCCAUCUUUGAAUGACCAAGUAGGCUGUAUCAGCUGCGUGAGAGACGAAGGUUGCUUCUGAUCUCUUACACAUUUUUGACAAUUCUCGCACUUUUGAACUAGCUCUGCUGCAUCCGUAGCUGCCUUCGGCCAAUAAAAUCCUUGUCUAAACACUUUUCCCAGCAAGGGCCUAGACCUAAUGUGAAAUCCACACAGACCUGCAUGUAUCUCCUUCAUUAACUCUAUACCUUCGGUUCUAGAUAAACACUUGAGGAGUGGAGAACGUAUGUGACACCUCAGGUGUCUAUUUCGCGUUAUGUCGGGAGAUUUAUCCUAAUCUCGGAUGCUCAGGGAAAAUUUCUAUUUCUCGCUCGCUUGUGUCUCUGAUUAUCCAGACUAUUCAUUCUUAUUUCACUGAAUUCGGAGUUAUUCAGUCUCAAAGAAGGCCAAAUUUGGAGCCUGUUAAAAUUUUUAUUCUCGACGCAAACGCAAACUCGAAAAUCAUUCUCAAUUUAUAAAUCUCGUCUAAAGCUCAUUUACUCGGACUCUCAAUGGAUGUUAUUCAAUCCGUGUCCGAAUCAGAUUUCUCGACUUCAGUCUGUGUCCAAAUAUUUUAUCCGGGUCGGUAUUCUCAAGCGGAAUUUCUAAUGUGUCAGUUUCGAAAUAAAUUUUACCCAGCCCGACUUGCUAAUGCUUGUAGCCGAUCUGAAUCCGAAAACGUAAAAUCAAAACCCACACAAAAUGGCCAACCUAAAUUCAUGACAACAGUUUUUUUGUGAGCCACGAAUAAAAAUGGGGCGUAAUUUUAAAGUUUUGACAUGAACAAAAGCGACUAUAAAUUUUCAAUGGAGUAGCUCACAUGGUUUAAUUUAAAUCCAAACAACCGGUUUCUAAUUCAAAAAUAAGGUCAAAUUUUUUCUAAAUAGGGUUCGAGAAAUUUUAGUUGGGCGAUUCGAUUCGAAGUUCGGCCAAACAUUUUAGAUUUUAUGUUCAUCGUAGCUGGAGUGGUUCAAAACAAAAUUUGUGCACGCUAGCCUCGCUGGCGGUCUCGACCGCUGGCAUGUCAUCGCCCGCCAUGGCCUAUGGCUGGCCACCAAUUUCUGCGCCAAUAGCCCACGUCGCCCAACUUGACCAAUGUGUGGUCGUCCAGUCCCUGGGCCAAUGGGUGAUGUGGUUUCCUCCUAGCCAAUCACCCUGCUGCAGCCACCCUUUAAGCGUCGCUCCUCUCUGUUCCUUAGCGUAGAAACAUCUCCCUGUCUUCUUCCUCCCUCUACCGAGCCCCAUCCAAGACAGCUCUUCCACUGCUCUCUCACGCCAGUAGCAGGAUGCGCAGAGCCUUUCCUCCCCAUGCUGGACGCUGAGCUCCCCUCCGAUCUGGUUCAGCGCAGGGAGCAGCAGCUUCUCCUCUCCUCUAUGGGCGCGCAACCCCUUCCCCUUGGCUUCACCUCCCUCGGCGGCGCCCUUCUUCCCCAAGAGCAGGGAGCAGCCGCUCCCAUCUCCCUGCAGCUCGACCUGUGGAGCACAGGAUGCUGGCUAGGGGAACCAGCAGCUGAAGCCCCUCUCUGCUCUCGCCUCUUCCUUGGCCGCCAAGUCCAGCCACGACGCCCUUCCUCCAUUCACUUCCGUGGCGCUCGGCGCUCCUGCCCCAAGUCUGGCUGGAGCUUGCCUCCCCCAUGGCCACCAACCAUUCUGCCCCCUGCCCCUGGUGCGCUGGGCGCCUAGUGCUCCGACCUCGAUGACCACCCUCCUCUCUGCUCAAGCGAUGCUAGGGACGUGCCGCAGACCUUCGCUCCCAGCGCCGCGCCCUUGCCUCCAUCAACACCGAGACCCCGGUAGCGCCUGCCGUGGUGGUCGCAGGUCUCUGCUCCUUCCCCAAGCUCGCCCUCAUCUCCUAGGUCACCGCUUUCCUCUCCCUGCCCCACCUUGUCGGAUUCUGCUCGCUUGCGUGCUUGCCGGCAUGUUCGGGCGCGGCCCUGCAGAUUCCUCAUGGGUACCUCCUCGAACUCCUCCACACUGGUUGUGGACGGCAUUGGUAUCCCUCUGCUCCAGCAGCGUUGCGGCGCCCCGAGCUCCUCCUCCGCGUGCGGCCAUGGCCGGGGUCAGUCUCAUCCGACAACGCCAUGACUUCCACUCCGCUCUGUGGCGAGCAGCUCCUGCACCAUCCAUGCUCGUCGUGUGUUUGAGAGUUCGCGCGCAAGUCUCUGCGUGGUGGCCGUGUCGCUGCAAGCUUGUGCCACGCACCCGGGCAUCGUGUCGCACCAAAUAGCAGCAGCAACACACCCUCAAGCCUCGCAUUGAACCUACUCGACGAAAAUCGCAGCAAGCUGCGUGUCGUUAGUCCCUACAGCAACACCAUUCUUCACUUCGCGUCAUACAUUGCAUAGCCUUCAUCGCUGCGCAUUGUCCGGAUCGGCGCAGCAGCCCUCCCGUUCAUUCUCCAAUCCCCUCGUCGUGUGUCAUCGCUCUCGUGCUUGCUGCGCAGCCCAUCCUCGUCGUCAUCGAAACCCUUGGUGAGCCCCUCGCUAGUACCCCACUAUUUUUUGGAUCUCGGAUGCUUGAUAAAAUGUUUGAACCACUGGGUGUUUUUAAUUGCAGCUAGAUGUUGUCGCUGCGCCUCGCACAACGCAUGAUUCGGUGAAGCACCUAAACCGUGGACGCAUGCGCAACUCCACUCGGGUUUCGACCAGGUUGUUCGCUUUAGAAAAAUUGUGAUUUCGUUUUAUUUACGAUUCAGUCGAUGGCGUGAUUAUAUGUGUGUGAAAGUAUAAUUAUAUGAAUGUACGCGUGUAGAGAAGAAAAUGAAAUAGAAGAGAACUCGAAUGUUUUUAUAUUUUGAUAAAAAAAAUAUGUGAUGCGUUGUUUGAUGCGAAAACUAAGUUACAAAAUGUGGAUUAUGUUUUGGGAAAUGUAUCAAUAUGUGUUUAUGAGAAAAGUGUAAUUGUUUUAUGCAAUGUGAUGGGAUUCAUGAUUAUAUCGGGAGUAUAUUUAUUGAUGUGACGAGUAGUUUAGAAAAUGCUAGUUCGCGUGGAUGAUGUAUUGUUAAGACAUGAGUGUCGGAGUUCAUAUAUUAGUGGUUACGCUAAGAUGAUCGAAGUGUCUCGAGUCACGCCCCAAUAUGGUUGUAUGCGAGACGGGGUUAUGCGCAUGAUGAGUUUAGUAAAAAUCCACCGGUGUCACUGAUGUUAAGUUGAGGUUUAUUUGCGCGUGGAAAGUAAUAAUGUGUUUAAUACUUAGAACUCUUAGUCAAUAGUAGAAAUUGUUUUGGCUUAUAUAGAGAGGUGGUGACUUGCCAAAGUAGUCAUCGCUUUCUCUAUAUUCAUAAGUCGAGUCGAGACGAUGCGUAGUAUGCGUUCGUUAAAUUAUGCUUCGCAUAUAAUGUGUGAUUGUGCUCACGAUUUGGAGCAGACACUUCAAGUAAGUAAAGUAGGUUUGUGAUACAAGUGUGUAAUGGAGUUAGUUGUUUUAGGAUAAUUAUUGAAAUACUCGGUUCAUAUGAUAAACAUGUAUGCGUUCAUAAUUUGGGAAGUAAAUGCAUGGUGAUUGUGGAUUGGAGAUUAGUGGUUUACGGUUCAUAUGAUUUGGUCGAAGUGCGAAUAUACACGUAAAUACGUAUGUUUAUAAAAAUGUUGUAGUGUAUGUUGUGUCUCGGAUUGCGAUAAUAAUGGGCUAGCCGACGUGUAUGUUGUUUAGCGGGCUAUGUCGUUGCUCCAGUUAGCCGACCUGUCAGAUGGUUUGGUUAAUCAUGUAAUAGCCAUAAAUUGCUUGUUGUAGUCCAAAUACGCAUGGUUAUGGUCGUGGGUAAAAUUAGUGGUGCUCAUGUGAUGUCUAAUUUAAAAUGCAAAUUAUUGUGUGAAGAGCGCAUCGAUAAACACAUUUAUACCGGGUUUGAUUAUUAUGGUGAAUACGUUGUUGAUGGUGUAUGGUAAUUCUAGUGCACGAAAUAACUCGUAUAAAAUUAGUAAGUCUACUAAUUGAUCCUAAUAUGAUUGUUUUAACUCUAACAGAUUGUAAAGUGUUAGAAUGGUUCAAGUCUCUAGAACGCGGCAAUUUUUGAAGUAAAUAGGAGCUGAAUUUUAUUAGUUGCUGUUUUGGGCUGCACGCACUGUUUUCGUCGUGCUGUUUGUUUGAUGAAUUAAAUUAUGUUUUCUGUAGAAAAGUCCUAUAAAAGAGUUGUAGAUAACUUUAUUAUCUUACUUGUGUUAAAAUUUGACAGCCAUAAGUCUGAUCGUUUAAAAGUUAUGCUUUUCACAAAUUCAGUAACUGAAUCUGUCCAAUUUCUGUACAGAUUUUAGAGACUGAAUUGUUUGCUUAAGUUACUGUUACAAUCUAUUCAUGGUCGUUAUAAGAAAGUUGUAGAUUCUUUUCUUAUCUUGCUUGUGUUAAAAUUUUAUAACCUUAGGCCUGAUAGUUCAAGAGUUAUGAAUUUUACAAAACAGUUGCUGUGUUCUGUCCACUGUCAGAACAGAUUUCGAAAACUGAAUUGUUUGAUUUAGUUAAACAUAGAAUCGCUUCUUGGUGAUUAUAAAAGUUAUGUAGUACUUUUGCCAAGCUUUCCAAAAAGUCUUGGAUCACUCUUUUGGUGAUCUAAAGAUUAAGUUAUGGAUGUUUAUGGUGUGAAGACUGAAUCUGUCCAGUUCUGGACAGCAAAAUCUUCAUAGUGUAUUUUACCCUUGAUACAUAUUAAACCAGCCAGGGAUGUUUAUAAAUAAUUGGUAGAACAUUUAAUUAUCUUUCCAGAAAGUCUAGGAUCACUUUGUUUGGAUGUCUGAAUCUUAAGUUGUGAAUUUUUGAAGUUGCAAGUCUAAAUCUGUCCAAACCUGGACAGAGCUGUUAUUUUUACACAAUUUGACCUUGCUAAGAGUCUAAUCAUGCUGAGGUAAAAAUACCAAAGUUGUAGAGCACUUUUUAAGCUUUUCAGAAAGUCCUAGUUUGAUAUUUUUGGAUCAAUAAUUGAAGAGUUAUGGUUAAAACAAGUAACUGUUGUGCUGCUGUCCUAAAAAUCUACAUGUGCUCAUUUAAUUGUUAGUUCACCCUUUUGGCUAAAAAUGUUUGGUUAGCUCUUAAUUAAUGUAGACUUGCCAUGGCUAAGUUUGAGAUAACAUAUGUGUCCUAAUUUUGUUAUGUUUGGUGGAUUGCUCUACUCUGUUGUGUUUGGCUCGAGUCGGCUGUUUCCUCAUUUUGAUUUUGGUUGAACACGCAGUAAUGACAAUGUAACCAAUAUGAUUAAGCCUAAGUAUAGAAGUGACUAGUGCACGUCUCGCUAAAUUAGUAAACUAAAUUGGUUAAGAUCUAAUAAGUGUUUGCCUUGUGAAUGAUUGUAAAACCCGAUUAAGUAACUAUUCCUUUUUAACUAAGUCUGUCUAUGUGUAAGUCAUCGUAAAUUUAUGUGUACUUAACUAGUUUCAUAAUAAGUAGCCAAUGAACGAUUAAAAUGAAUGUGAUAAAUGCUUGCACGUGUGAUGCCGUGUUGUGCUGGUCAAUUCUAGAAAGUAUUUGUCGUCUUUCUAAUGGUAUUGAUUACGUAUGAUCGAUGAAGUGUAGAUAGCUAAUACUAGCAUAUGGUUGUUUACGGUGUCUUACAAUUUAAUGUUUAGUUCGCCACUGUCUUUGAAAAUCUUGUGCUACUUUCAUUAUAUUCAUAAAUAUGCAUCUUGCAUCUUAUUUAGGACCGAGAGAUGAUAAUCGUGCAAGUGAUAUGGUUCCAACAACAAGAUGCAGUUGGUGGAUGACCUGAAGAAUGAUGGACUUAACUAGUGGAUGCUCGCCAAGCGAGUAUCCCCCAGCAAACACUAUCUAAGUGUUGAAUUCCAGGCAAGCCUCGGUUUUAUGCAUAACCGUUUAUAUAUGCUAUUUUACUACACUUAAUGUUUGUAGGCUUGUACCGUGCACUUAAGUGUAAGAGUUGCCUGAAACCCUAGUUGCAUGAACUCAGGAUUCUUUUGAGAUGGAUAUAGUAUGCUAGGUCGAGUAGCUGCUAUGCUAAAUCAGGAUCUCGGUAGAAGUCGAGUGAUUUUUCUAGCACUCGCGCGAGGUCAGAAAUUGGUUGUAUCCAUUUUGAUAACAGAAUGAUGAUGGUCUGUGGACACGGAUCCAUGGGGAUGCACUGUCUACAAGACGAAAUUGGAAUAAGGAUUAACGUGCGGAUACCUGUGUCAAGCGUUUGAAUGUACUAAACACAUGUCGGGAAAUAUGGUAACCGGUAAGCCUAGUACCUGAGUGAAGCCGGGCGCGGACUUUACCCCUCGCUUGUCCUGAGACUGGGUCUCCCAUUCUAGAUAUGGUGGGUACAAGUGCGACCACUGCAUGGCGGCGGCCGGGGUCAGUGGAGCAUUGUAGGACAAGGCGGUGAGGCCUGGCCGCGAACGGGGAAUCGAUGGGGACGGUUGACGUGUGUGGGGAUGGAGUGCCCCUACAUGUCGUGUGUUUAGGUUUACCUUGCAUGGUUAAAACUCGAUUCGAAUCGUCUGCUUCUCACAGCUAAUGAGACUACUUUAUCCAUUGUACUGCAUUGAGUAAUAAGUGGAAAUGAGAUACUGGCAAAAUAUGUUGAUUGAUAUAAUGCUUGAUACCAUGUAUGAAUAGACAAGUUCUCACCUAGUCUAAAAUUAUUAUUCUAGAACUUGAAAAUCUAAAACUUGAUUUUAGACUCAGCUAGUGCUUUUGGCAAACCAAACCCUUCAGCCAAACAACUUCAUGGUCUAGAGGUAGAGGAGUAGACUCCUCACACCGGGUAAGUCUAGCUGAGUAUUAGUAUACUCAGCCUUGCUGUGGCAUAAUUUUUGCAGGUACCUCCUUGAUUUGGUUGAUGGUGUGACUUGGCCUCCAUCCCUGCCACCGGGAUAGACGGUCGAGUGGGUUAUUGCUUCCGCAGGAGAGGACCAUGAGGAGUAGCGUGGCCAGGCUUUGCCAUGUUACUUGGUUUUCUCCGUUAGAUAUUCUGCCGCAUUAAAAAUUUAUGGUUAUUAUUUCUGAAACUCCGAUAAUGUAAUUACUACUGAUACUUAUUAAAUUUGUGGUAUUAUGCUUUAUUGUAUUUCUCUGUGCCUCACCUUCGAGUGAGCUAGUGGUAUUCGAUCCUGGAUAAGUGGCUUUAUCAGACUAGAUCCGAGGGACUGAUGGGUUAUUCUGAUUUAAGUGUGUUGCUGCCUUUAAGGGUGCGACUUGGGCACUUAAGCUGGAAUAAUUCGGGCGGUUCCGCCACAACAGACUCCAUGUUUGUAUAAUUCCCGCUCUAUUAUCACAUACAGCCUUGUCCUUGCUUCCAUUCUCUUAUUAUAAACUUCGUCAUCCGAAAGACAAUUACCUUGAAGGAAAGAUAUAAUUUCAGUCCUCCAAUGUUCACUAUGUACAGGGGAAAUUGCAAGCACUGCUCUCUGCAUAAGUUCAACCAAAGGUGCUUUUAUUGUCUCAAAAAAUACUUCCAGAGGUUGAGGGAGCCCCUGUGCCGCUGAUUUGGCUAACAGAUCUGCAUGCUCAUUUUCUCCUCUUGGAAUAUUCUUGACGGAAAAACCUUCGAAAGAAGCCUUCAACCUUCGAACUGUAUCCAAAUAUUUUUCAUGCUUCGGAUCUCUUGCCUUACUACUUUUGUCUAUAUGACUAGAAAUGACUUGAGAGUCAGUUUUAAGGAUGGCCCUUCUUAUUCCCAUUGCCUUUAACUUCCGAAGCCCCAACAGAAGUGCUUCAUAUUUAGCAAUAUUAUUUGUACAACUGAAGUCAAGCCUUUCUGCAUAACAUGUUCUGACUUUAGAAGGCGCAACUAGGACAGCAGCCGCUCCUUCACCAAAGGUUCCCCAGGAACCAUCGUAAAACACUGUCCAAGCUUCGGCGUCUUUAUUUGUUUCUUCGUCCUGAGCCCCUGGCGUCCAAUCAGCAAUGAAGUCUGCUAACACCUGGGAAUUAAUUGAGGAUCUAUGUACAUAGUUAAUACUGAAUUCGUUAAGCUCCGUAGCCCAUUUUCCAAUCCUUCCACUAGCUUCUCUGUUCCUCAUUAUGUCCUUUAGAGGCUGUGAUGAAGGAACAAUUAUGUGAUAUGCUUGAAAAUAAUGCCAAAGCUUCCUGGAGGCCAUUAACCCAGCAUACAACACCUUCUCCAAUCCUAUAUAAUUUUUCUUUGAUAAACUUAAAACUUCGGAGAUGAAGUACACUAGAGCCUGCUUUUUGAUUUGGCCAUCUAGCUUCUCCUGUACAAGAGCCGCACUAACUGCAGAGUGCGAAGCUGCCACAUAUAAGAGUAAUGGAGCCCCUGGUGAAGGUGGAGUUAGUGUUGUUAGAUCGAUCAAGUAUUGCUUCAACUCUUCGAAAGCUUUUUGCUGAGCCGGACCCCAUUGAAAAACUUCGGCUGACUUCAGUAUUUCAAAGAAUGGCAAAUUUCUUUCUACUGAUCUGGAUAUGAAUCUGUUUAAUGAUGCUAGUCUUCCUGCCAGCUGUUGGGCCCCCUUCUUUGUGCUUGGUGGCUCCAUCCGAAGGAUAGCUUCAAUCUUGCUCAGGUUGGCUUCAAUUCCCUUCGUUGAUACCAAACAGCCAAGGAACUUGCCCUUCUUCACCCCAAAAACACACUUUUCUGGAUUUAACAUCAGGUCAGCUUGCCUGAAAUUGGCAAAUGUCUAUUGCAAUUCAGCAAUGUGAUUUUCUUGCUUCGUGCUUUUCACUAUGAUAUCAUCAACAUAGGUCAGUACAUUCCUGCCUAUUUGAAAAUGAAGGACCUUGGCUGUCAUUCUGCUGAAGUUUCCUCCAGCAUUCUUGAGCCCCUCAGGCAUCCAAAGGUAGCAAUAGGUGCAACUGGGAGUUAUGAAGCUAGUCUUUAGCUUGUCUUCUUCUUCAUCCAAAUUUGAUGAUAGCCUGAGUAACAAUCUAGUAGACUCAUGAGCUCUGAAGAAGCUGCUGCAUCUACUAGAGAGUCUAUUCUUGGCAAUGGGAACUCAUCCUUUGGGCAUGCCUUGUUGAGAUAUGUGAAAUCAAUACACAUUCUCCAUUUACCAUUGGCUUUCUUCACCAUAACAAUGUUGGCUAGCCAUUCUGGGUAUUUCACCUCUCUAAUGACACUGGCACUAAGAAGUCUCUUUACUUCAUUCCGAGCACCUUCAGCUUUGUCUUUAGACAUCUUCCGAAGCCUUUGUUUUCUUGGCCUGAAGGAUGGAUCCACAUUGAGUGAAUGUUCAAUAACAUCUCUGUUGACACCACAGAGAUCUUUGGCUGACCAAGCAAAGACAUCUUUGUUGUUGAAUAAAAAUCUUAGCAAAGUCUUCUCUUGCUCAUCAGAUAACUGAGACCCUUUGUUCUGUUAUAUCUUGACAUAGAAGCAUAGGCUUCGGCUGAUCCGCUGAAGUAGCAUUCUCUCUUUUGUUUUUGUACUGCUGACAGGCUUUAGCUCCAUCUAUGUUACAGAUUGCCUUUGAAUCUAUCCAAUUCCCUUCGGCCCUUCUGGCAGCUUCUUGACUCCCAUGGACAACAAUGGGCCCUUGUUCCGAAGGUAUCUUCAUGCAUAAAUAUGCUAGAUGAAGUAUUUCUUCGAAGGCAUUAAGUGUUCCUCGACCAAUGAUUGCAUUGUAAGGGUACUCCGUGUCAACAAUGUCAAAGAUAACCUGUUCAGUCCUUGUGUUGUGGACAUAGUCGAAGGUAACUGACAUUGUGAUUUUACCAAGUGCGACAAUCUGCCUUCCUCCGAAGCCACAAAGAGGGUGUGUAGCAUCAUGAAUCUUGUCUUCUAGCUCUUGCAUCUGUCUGAAGGCCUUAGCAAAUAUGAUAUCCGCUGCACUGCCUAUGUCAACCAGAACAUUAUGGACCAGAAAUCCCUUGAUGACACAAGAUAUGAUCAUAGCAUCAUUGUGAGGGUAAUCUUUGAGCUGAAGGUCCUCCUGGGAGAAGGUGAUUGGGAUGUGGGACCAUUUGGACUUGAUGAAGGGUCCCUGCACCCUAACAUGUUGCACCCUUCUCUACGCUUCCUUCUUCUGCUUCUUGUUAGCCGGCUCUGAACUUGAACCGCCUGUUAUCGGGAGCACUAGCUUCGUAGCCGAAGGUGCUACGACUUGGUUGUUGAACGAAGCCAUCAGCUCAAAAGUGGAAGUGAGUUCACCAGAGGUGGGCGCCAAUGUUGGGGACUUGUUCUCAAAUGCUAUGAGUUAAGAACAAGGCAACACAAAAUGUUAAUGAUUAAUACCCUUCGUCCUUCGAAGCAUUAUUUCCUUUAGGAUAUAAUGAUCUUCAGAAGAAGGUCAUGAAGGACAUACUUUCAUCAUCGUAGUAUGUGUUAAUGAAAGAAGAAGCAUAUGAAAUAUGAGAGACAACAUGGAUAAUCAUAUGACAUUAUUCAUAUAUUCGUAUAUUUCUAUUAUGUCAUCAUGAAUGAAUGUGAACAAUAUUGAAUUACAUUUGUACCUUCGGCUUGACAGAAGGCAAAAGUCCAAGCGUGACGCAUGAGCGAGUACAAGUUAGCGUGAACAGUAUGGGGGUACUGUUCACCUAUUUUUAGGCACGAGACGUAGCCCCAUAAAAAUUACAUUUAUGUCCUUGAUAACUAGUUACAAUCAUGACAUAAAUUAUCAUGGACUGAUCGGUCAUUUCCUCUUUAAGUUGGUGCAGCCCUUCGUCUCAAGGCGUGCCACUAUGACGAAGCUCCUCGGAUAGUAGCUUCGAUGUGUACCUUCACGCUGUGUUUGAUUAUACGCUGAUCUUUCGAAGGUGUUUCUUCUUAAAGGACCUUCAGCGAUGAAGCAGGCCCCCAACACUCUACAACCAGCCUCGGCAGAGCAAGUAUUGUGCCCGAACCCCAUUGACGGCCCCACGGCGAAGCCAACUACUCCUUUGGUUCCUCUAAUUCAUCAGCUAAGGGCGUCCCAUUCCACCCUCAUGGUUGCACUGUUAUCCCGGGUUGUCACUCCCCAAACAGGUCCUUACGGAGAGGUACUCAAGAAACAGCCUGAGCCCCCUAAAAUAAUCACAAGAACCUCAUCGGGAUAACAUCAUCGUAUCAUGAAUAAUCACAUCAUGUUCAUUGAUUAAGGUAAAGCAAUGGCAUAAGCUAACCAUGAUUACCCAAAAGGUAAACAAGGGUAAGGUAAAUACAGACUAGUCAAUCCUUAAGUUUCAAUAAUGUAAUGCGGGGCAGUGAAUUUAAAGUAAAGUAGGACAUGAUUGGUCUGAGGACAAUUGCCUUCACCGGGUUGUUGCUCAAAGGGAUCUUCGGCAACACACUCAGGAACCACAGGCUGCUCGUUGUCUAAAUAAAGCGAUCAUACAUUCAAUACAUUUGGAAAGUACAAAUGAACAUCACAUCAAACAUGUACAAACAUUGGAACACAACUCAAAAAAGGAAGUAUUAAAUAAAGGAGAAUGAGAUCAAGUUAUAAAAUGGACUAAUCUUAAUUGGGGAUUGAUUAAUCUCUAAGUGUUGGAACAUAGCUCAAAAAGUAAUGUAGUAAUUAAACAAAGAAAAGAUUAAAUUAUAAGAUGAACUACUCUCAUUUAGGAAUUUGAUUAUCCUUUAUGUGUUAUCCAUAAUUACAUAACCUAAUUCUACUCAUUUCAUUGAGACCUAAAAGUUAAACCAGAGGUGAAUUCAUGUAGUACAUAUUAUUAAUCUCACAUGAUUAAAUAUACUUUAACUCCUAGGAUUCUCCUUUUAUUUAUGUCAUUAAAUGAAUAAAUCAACAUAUACUUUAAUCCUAUAUUCUAAGUGUAAAAUUAAAGUAUACAGACUAUGGCAGGUCAUAUUUUAUUUGAACAGAGAAAAAGUUUAUGAACAUUUUGCAAUUUGAACCACUAAAUUUGGAGUUCAUAUGAAAAAGAUAUGAAAUAAACAAGUUUUCAAGUUUGAAAUAUGAAAUUAGGGCUAAAUCUAUGAUUAAAUAAAAGUACAGGGGGCUAUUCAAAAUAAACCAGGAACUGCGCGUUAAAAUAGAAGACGGCGGGUUGAUUUCCUAAAACCAGGGGGUCUCUUAAGCAAAACUUACACGCGAAGGGGUAUGGGGUAACUUCAACCGUUGGAUCAGAGAUUAACGGCCAGGAUUUGAUCACGUGGGCGCGGGCGCGUGGACGUGGCUGACAGGCAGGGCCAGGGCGUUAGUGAGCCUGGGCGGGCUAGCCAGAUGGGCCUAGAGGCAGAGACACAGGUGAGGGGGAAGAGAGAGAGGCGGCUGGAUCUGGAUUGGAGGGCUGCGAUCAGAUCCGCUCUGGUUAAAUCUAAACCACCCGAUCUCGGACGGACGCCCGAGAUCUAACGGCCAGGGGCAGACACAGGCGAGGUGGCGCCGCUCGGUCCCAUGGCGAGAGUUCGCCGGAGAUGAGGGGGCUGGCCACGGCGGGGCUCCAGAGGCUUGGGGGCUAGUUCGGGUGUGCUCAGUGCGGUCUGGCGCACUCGACCAUGGGUAUCACACCGGCGCGGAAGCACCAGAAGGCCCUGCACACGGCGAGGCAGGCUAACGGCGGCGCGGGAUAGCUCCUGCGAGCAAUCGCGCGAGCAACAUAGCAGCAAUGACCAAAUUAAGGGUGCGAGCGGGUUGCUCACCUUGAGGGGAGGCGCUGGAGUCACGGGGCAACGGCGGAGGCGCAAGGAAGCGACAGGGCGACGGCGGCAGGGCUUCGGCUACACAAGAAUUGCUCCGGUGAGCGCGGACAGGACGAACCAGAGAGGGGAAGGACACACCGAAGGGUGUCUCGAGCAGCUGACGGCGAGGUGGAACUCACCGUGGCACGGGACGGGGCACAGACGCGACGGUGACCACAGAACGGGUAGCAGUCGAUGACGGGCGAUGAUGGAGCUCUCUGCUCGCGCGAACAGAGCGAGAAAGAGGGCGAGGGGUUUGGCAGAAGGCGCAAAUGAGCGAGGGGAGGUGGGCGAGCAGGGCGCGGGGCUCAAACGGGGCACGGGCGCGAGGAUGUGGCUGAAGAACGCGCGGUCAUGGGCGCGUCCACGGUGGGGAGAUCAUGGGCAAGAGGUUAGGGACGGCGGGACAAAGAGAGAGAGGGCGCGGGGUGGGGGGGAAAGAACGGCGCCAACAGCUCGGUCCCAUAGCGCAGCGAGAGAGAGAGGGGGGGAGUUAGCGCGCUCGGGUUGGCGCCGAUAGGCGGGGCCCGCCUGUCAAGCACCGAGGGCGCGCAGGCGCGGGCGCGCGCGUGCGGGCUGGUCUUAGUGGGCUGGUUUGGGCCCAAAUGGCUUUUCCUUUUUUUCCUAGAAUUUCUAGUUUCUUUUCUAUUUAUUUUCUCUAAGGUUUUCAAUUCAAAUUCCAAUCAAGUUUCAAAUUCAAAUCAAAUCAAAUAUGUGCAACAAUUCAAAGAAUAUUUAGGCUCAAUAUGAUGCAACAUUCCAUGACUCAUAUGGUUUUGCCAAAAUAAAAUAAAUAAUCCCUUACUAAUCAAGCUAAUUCUACAAAAAGAAAAGCAGAGAGAGAGCAACUAGAGAGAGAGAGAGAAAAAAAGUAACACAUGAAUUUGGAUGAUACUGAGAAAUAAAUUUUAUACCCCCAAAUUCAGGGUGUUACAGACCUAUCCCCCUUAAAAGAAUCUCGCCCUCGAGAUUCAGGGCUAGCUAGCAAAGCGUUCAGGGUACUUGGCUCUCAGAUCAUCUUCUCUUUCCUAGGUUGCUUCUUCUUCUGAGUGAUGGCCCCAUUUGACUUUGCACAUCCUGAUGGUGUUCCUCCGAGUGACCCGAUCUGCUGUCUCCAGAAUCUGGGUUGGCUUCUCAAUGUACGUCAGAUCCUCUUGAACUUCAAGGUCUUCCGUUGGCAACUGCUCUUCUGGUACUCGCAAGCAUUUCUUCAAUUGAAACACGUGAAACACAUCGUGCACUGCAGACAGUUUCUCUGGUAAGCUAAGUUGAUAAGCCACUUCUCCACAUCUUGCUUGAAUCUGAUACGGCCCGAUAUAGCGAAGUGCUAGCUUGCCUUUGACUCCAAACCUUUUGGUUCCUCUGAUGGGUGACACUUUCAAGUAGACGUAGUCUCCCAAUUCAAAACUAAGUUCCCUUCUUCUGGUGUCAGCAUAGCUUCGCUGUCUGGACUACGCUUCCUUCAGAUUUUCCCGGACCAUCCUGAUAUUCUCUUUGGCUUCAAGCAAAAUCUCUGGACCGAACACCUGUCUUUCACCAGGUUGGUCCCAAUGCAAUGGAGUUCGGCAAUUCCUCCCAUAAAGCACUUCGAAUGGUGACAUCUUCAGACUGGCCUGAUAGCUAUUGUUGUAUGAGAAUUCUGCAUACGGUAGCCUCUUGUCCCAACCUAAUUUGUCUUGCAAAGCACAAGCUCUCAACAUACUCUCAGUCUGACCAUCUGUAUGCGGGUGAUAAGCUGAACUGAAUAAAAGUGUGUACCCAAAGCUUCAUGUAGCUGCUGCUAGAAGUUAGAGGUAAACUGGGUGCCUCUGGCCGAUACUAUCUUAUUUGGAAUACCAUGCAAGCACACAAUCCGAGACAUAUAUAAUUCUACCAACACUGCACUGUUAUAGGUGGUCGUGACUGGUAUGAAAUGGGCCACCUUUGUUAAAUGGUCCACUACUACCCAGAUGGAGUCAUAACCAGCUCGAGUGCGAGGUAGCCCAACUAUAAAGUCCAUCCCAAUCUCAUCCCAUUUCCACUGAGGAAUCUACAACGACUGCAACAAACCUGCGGGUCUUUGAUGUUCUGCCUUGAUCCUCUGACAACUGUCGCAUCUGGCCACAUACUCUGCUAUCUCUCUUUUCAUACCAUACCACCAGAAUCACUUCUUCAGGUCUUGGUACAUUUUCUCUCUUCCAGGGUGUAUAGAAUAUGCGGUCUCAUGAGCUUCCUUAAGAAUCAGUUCUAGGAUUGAUUUGAUGUCGGGAACGCACAACCUAUCCUUGAACCAUACCACUCCUUCUGCAUCUUCACGGAAAUCUGGGCCUUUCCCAUCGAUGAUUAGCUGUCGGAUCUUGUUGAUCUUCUCAUCAUCCUUCUGACCUUUCCUGAUAUCUUGCUCCAGGGUGGGUUCCAAGUCAAUUGUCACUCCUUGAGUGUUGUUCAGAAAUCCGAGACUUAGCCUAUCGAAUUCCUUUGCUGGCUCGAAUGGCAUCGGGUGAGAGGCCAACAUAUUGACUUGACUCUUUCUGCUAAGAGCAUCUGCAACCACAUUUGCUUUGCUUGGAUGAUAAUGAAUCUCCAGCUCAAAGUCUUUGAUCAAUUCUAGCCAUCUUCGUUGCCUCAUGUUUAACUCUGACUGAGUGAAUAUGUACUUGAGGCUCUUGUGGUCGGUGUAGAUAUCACACUUCUGCCCAUAAAGAUAAUGUCUCCAGGUCUUCAAUGCAUGAACCACUACAGCUAGCUCCAAAUCAUGAGUGGGGUAAUUCUUCUCAUGAACUUUCAAUUGUCGGGACGAGUAUGUCACUACUUUCCCUUCCUGCAUUAACACACAUCCCAGUCCGGUGUACGAAGCAUCACAAUAUACUGAAAAUGGCUUGUGAACAUCUGGCAAAACCAAUACCGGUUCUGUUGUCAACUUCUGCUUCAACAUCUCAAAUGAUUCUUGGCACGCUGAGGUCCACUUGAACUCAACCUUCUUUGCUAGCAGGGCUGUCAUUGGUCUGGCAAUCUUGGAGAAACCUUUAAUGAAACGACGAUAAUAACUGGCCAUUCCAAUGAAACUCUUAAUUCCUUGGACAUCUUUUGGUGCUUUCCAGUCUAGAAUUGCCGCUACCUUCUUUGGAUCCACAGCUAGUCCAUCUUGGUUUAUAAUAUGACCCAAGAACAGAACUUUGCUGAUCCAGAACUCGCACUUGCUAAGCUUGGCAUAAAACUGGCAAUAUCGCAACCUCUGAAGUACAUUCCUCAAAUGUUCCUCAUGAUCUUGCUCAUUCUGGGAAUAUAUGAGAAUAUCAUCAAUAAACACUACUACGAACUUGUCGAGGUAGUCCAUGAACACACUGUUCAUCAGAUACAUGAAGUAAGCUGACGCGUUCGUCAGUCUGAAUGACAUAACCAUGAACUCAUAUAGUCCAUACUUGGUGAUGAAUGUUGUCUUCGGUAUAUCUGCGGGUCGGAUUCUGAGCUGAUGGUAACCUGACCUCAGAUCUACCUUUGAGAACACACUGGCUCCUCUUAACUGAUCAAAUAGGUCUUCAAUUUGAGGCAGAGGAUACUUGUUCUUGACAGUGACUUCAUUCAAAGCUCUGUAAUCGAUGCACAUCCUCUUCGUACCAUCCUUCUUCUCCACAAAUAGUACUGGGGCUGCCCAAGGUGAGGUACUUGGUCUGAUAUAACCUUUCUCCAACAACUCAUCAAUUUGCUUCUUGAGUUCCACCAACUCUGGUCCAGACACUCGAUAGGCUCUCUUGGAAAUAGGGGCAGUGCCUUGGAUAAGCUCUAUGGCAAAUUCAACUUUCCUUUCAAGUGGCAUGCUUGGUAACUCCUUAGGGAAUACAUCGGGGAAUUCUAACACAAUUCUAAUUGCCUCAAUCGGAUUGGACUCUUUGUCAUCUACUGAUAAAUGGUGACAGGCUCCUUCUUCUAGUUCAGGUAAGUACAGCUUGGUUACUACUUCCUUUCCGGAUGGGGACACCAACUUAACUGUUCUCUUGUCACAACUGACAGUGGCAUGAUUUCUGUGUAGCCAAUUUAUCACUAGGAUGACAUCUAACCCUUGGGUUCCCAUCACUACUAGGCUAGUGGGGAAGUCUAUCCCUUUUAUUUCAAUUCUUAGAUUCAGACAAAUCCUAUUGGACUGAACUUUUCCCCCAACUGAAUUAACCCUUAAAGGUGGGAUCAUUGGUUCUAUGGGGAUGUUAUGUGAUUCUACCCAAGAUACAGAAACAAAAGAAUGAGUGGCACUAGUAUCAAGUAGUACUUUUGCUGGGUAGGAUUUGACUGGACACAUACCUACUGCCACGUCCUGAGGAUCCUGGAUUGCUUUGGCCUCCAGGUGGUUCACCAUUCCAUGGUUGUAGGUCUAACCACGGACUCCUGGUGCUUGCUAUGGUGCUCCUUGUCUUGCUGGGGCAUUGGCUGCUGGCGGUAGCUGAGCUGCUUUCUUGGGACAGUUCUUCGCACAGUGGUUUUGUUCUCCAUAGUAGAAGCAUGCACGACCUCCUACUUGUGCUGGGGCUACUUGGCCAUUCUGGUUGGUUGCUGGGGCAGGAAGACGAGCUGCCUGGUUGUUCUGACACUGGUACUGAUUUCCUCUAGGCUAGGUGUUCUGACGGUACCGCUGCUGCUGCUGAGGAAACUGCCUCUGGUACUGGUGCUGGUGCUAACGCUGAUGCUGGUGCUGGUGCCCUUUCUUGAAUUGUUGUGGUGAGUUGCCUGAGUAGCGGGGACGACUGCUACUCCCAGCCUGAGAUCCUCUGAUCUUGCGCUUCCUAUCCUCCAUCUCCCGACGCUUCCUUUCAGUCAUGAUUGCUUUGUCUAUCAAAUGCUGGAAGGUGGGGAAAGUGUGGUUCGUCAGCUGAUAAUGGAGGGGAUCAACCAAUCCUCUGAGAAAGCGUUACUGCCUCUUAGCAUCCGUGUUAACGUCUUCUGGGGCGUAGUGUGACAGCUGCAAAAACUUAUCCCUGUACUCACUGAUGGACAGGGGACCUUGGUUCAGGUCGAGAAACUCCUUCCUCACUAUCAUCAGUCCUUUGGGCACAUGGUAGCGACAGAAGUUGUCCCUGAACUUCUCCCAAGUAAUGGCCUUAGGGUUGGCAUGGGUGGCGAGGUAAGACUCCCACCAAGACUGUGCUGCUCCCCUCAGCUAUCGGGGACCAUAUAACACCUUUUCAUGGUCGUUGCACUGGGCUGUGUGAAACUCACGCUCCACGGUACACAGCCAAUCUUCUGCAUCCAUGGGAUCAGCAGAGUGGGCAAAGACAGGGGGAUGGCCCCUCAUGAACUCUGCCCACUUGUCUCUAGGCACUGGUGGCAUCUGAACUUGCACUGGAGGUUGAGGUGGGGGUGGGUGCUGCUGCACCUGCUGCAUCGCUGCUAAGGUCUGACCAAUUGCCUGAACUGCCUGAGUUUGCAUCAUGAACAUCUGCUCAACUGUCAUCGAGGGUGGCGGUGGCAACUGGGCUGCAUCCUCCUGGGGUGCUUGUUGUUUCGGCUGAGCACGCCUCGCAACUCUGCGCCUGUUCUCAGACAUCUGUAGAAAUCACACACAUAUCACAUCUAAAUCUACAGUCUUUCAGCAUAAGAAAAGAUAUACGGAAAUCUUCAUAGCACUGAACAAAUGAUCAUCUUCACUGACAACUUCUCAGAUAAAGAGGAAAGUGGAAAUAAAUGGAUUACCCAACUAAAUAACUGACUUUAUUAAUAACUACACCAAGUUGCAGGGGAUACCCACACCUUGAUGACAAUCAUUACAAAGAUCCAACUUCAUUACAUGUCCAUCAUAACAAGCAUUCCAACCUAUGAUAAGCAGACUAACUCUAACCAAGACAGACUAGACUAAGACACUGAAUUAAGCAUUAUUACAGACUCUGACUCCAUCGAUCUAUGGAUCUAAAUCUAUCCUGGUCCUGUAGUCUAGGGUACCAUAGUUGAAGCGACCACGGGGCGAUGAGAAGUAAGGGUGCUGAAUCCCGACAGGGGCGGGAGAACCACCAUCCAGAUAGUGGCGUGCUGCGCACUCAGCACGCAAUUCCGCAACCUCCGCCCAAACCUUGCCCAACUCAUCAAGGGCGUGGUCCAACUCUGUGUCGAGCACGACGGCCAGGUUGACCAUGCUGUUCAGCCUGGGAUUGCCCUCACCAACGGGUGAGACAAUCACACCUCCAGCACUCCCGGUAGCACUACCGAUAGUACUUCACGUCAAGACCGUCAUCUACCCCACUAAACAACGAGCAAUACUGAGAAAGUGCCUGUCGUGCUGCAUCUUGCAUGGCUGCCUCGACAGUAUCCCUCUCAGUGAUAGAAUAGUGCUCUGAGAAGGCCUCUGCACCCCGGAGAUCAUCGUCCGGACGAUGCACCAAGCAAGUAGCCUCCCACUGGUCCGGGUACAACCCGUGACUAUGCUGGUAGACUACACAAUGGUACUCGAUGGACCAAGUGUGUUGGUCGAAGGCCCGACGCAACAGGGUGUCGAGAGCAUCGUGGAAAUGACACCCGCGAGCAGCGUCACGAGUGAUGGGUCUAGCGAUCCACCCCUCCGGCACAGGCUCCUCCGAGCGCUCCGUGUCAUGGCUCGAACUGCCACCGACGUCGUCGUCAUCUCCGUCUCCGUCAGGGUCUCCUCCAGCAGCCGGGAUGCCUAGUGGUGGUGCAGGGGGCAUCUCUGGCUGAGGUGCAGGGGAAGGCGGCCUCUAAGACUCCACCUCCCGCUGAGGCGAGGGGGAAGAGUCCUACUGCUCCUGCUCCUGGCGUAGAUACUCCUGCUCCUCGAGCAGGCGAAGAUGCAGUCUCUCCAGGUGACUGGACUAACCUAACACCGUGCGACGCAGUGGACGCUCCGCUAGGCGAGAAGGCAAAAAGGGGAUCACAAACUUACGUGCAGUGCACCUGAUAUGGGCCAUCUACAAAAGACAUCAUAAGCACAAGAGUAAGAGUAGAACUAUGAGACCAGAAAGUAAACAGAAAGAAAAGUGAGAUGUAACACCCUUGGUGUUACUGUCACUAAAACUUGAGCAUUAGCAUAUCAUGUGUUUGUCACACCUAGAGUGCAUUCACUAGGUAAAAAGUUCAAAAAUAUUGGACUGAUAUGACUUGAUGUGUGGUUAACUCUAGUGUAGAGUACUUAACCCUAAACAAGGCUUAUGAGUGAAAAUGAAACCCAAAUAAGUUAAAAUCUCAAAACGCAUUAGAAAUGAUCAUAAGAUAUCACAUUUGAUGGACUUGGGUAGCACCAAAAGCCUAAAGUAUUAAAAACUCUGAAAAGACCCCUGUUAAACCUUAAAUUGGAACCCUAGGAGGCUAAGUGUAAAAUUUGUGCACUUUUGGACCCAAGUGCAAAAACCAAAGUAUUAGAGCACUAAAAGUCAUAUGGUUCACACAUUUGAGGAUUUGCAAGUCAAAUUGUGGGAUUUGGACUAAUUUGCAAAAUUGCCCCAUGAAACCAUAUGUGACUAAGUCUGAAAUUCAGUGUAUAGGGUUAACUUUGGAACCCUAUAUCUCUCAAUCCAUAAAGAGUCUGACCUAGGUCAACAUAUCAAAUUUGUAGAACUAUAAUAGGAGUACAACUUUGCUUAUGUGAUUAAGCCUUGAUCACAUGCAAAAUUUGGACUAAAAUGAGCACAAACUCGGGCUGUCAGUCAGCCCUAAUUCUGAAUUCUGCUUAACAGUGAAGUUGGAUGAACUUUGGAUUCAAUUCUAGAUCAAGGGAUUAAGCAAAUGAUCAAGAUCUUUACAACAGAAUUGUAGCUGGAUUAUAGGGCUACAAUUUUGUUACAGGGAGAUUAGCACAUUCUCACACAAAAAUCUGAGAUUAGGGCGCUGCAAAUCAUGCUGUCAGGUGCUCUGAAUGACUCCCUCAUGGUACAGUAACAGACAGAUCCCAGAUUCAGCCCCCCUCACCGCCGGUGAUUCCGCGCCGUGAUUGUCGCCGCCGGUGCGAUUCGUGCUCAAUGAAGUGCAGAUAACUACAGUGGGUGAAAGAGCUGGCGCUGGGGAUGAGCUUGGGGCACUAUUGCGCUCGGUCACUCGUCCACUUGCACCGGCGACGUGGCCAACCAGCCGUCGUCGAGGUAAACGUUGUCGCCGUGAUCGUGCCACGACCAUGACCCUUUAACCACGUCACUGCUAGCCGCAACAGCUUGCCAAUGACCACCGUAGCCCCUCAGCAAGUGAGUGCCACGGUAAACCGCACCAAUGAAUCAUCCUCUCUUCUCGGCCGCCAGCGCAAUCUCUUCGAAUUAGACGCCACCGCCCUCGUUUCCUAUAAAUUGAGCGAACCGCUAGCUCCGUUAGGUAAUCACGAAGCCAAAGCACCCACUCGUGACUCGGAAUUGUCCACCAGUGAGCUCCAAUUUGGGAUUUCCCCCAAAUCAGUCAAAGCUCCGCCGCGAGUGAGCUCGCCGUGGUCAGCGCGCUACAGGUCUGAUCAUGCCAUCCUCGCUCUUGUUUUAGCAUCCCUGUGUGCUUAUGAUGCUUCUCGACCCGACCAAUUGAGCUAGGACCCAUUGGAUCACCUAACGCUUCAUGUUGUCCGUUGAUCGCGCUGUCACCGUGGGUAGUGUAAUUAAGAGCUCAAACCUUGCAAUUAAGUGAGGGGAAAUGGUCGUUUAGGGUUGAAUUUGGUGUCAAGCAAAGGGAAGGGCUAGCCGUUGCCUAUUAUGGCCAGUACGAGCUCGCCGGAGCUCGGCCUAUCGCCGUUCGCCGUUGGGGAUCGCGAGUUGUAAAGAAUAGAAAGGGGAGGGGUCUGUUCGAAAAUGUUAGUGACACAACCAAAUAGUGUGCAGGGUUCUUCACCAGUUAUGCAAACCGCUGAGGGCCUCUGUGCAAAUCUGCCAUGCAGGCGCGCGCACGCGGGCGCGUUCUGCCUGUACUGGGCUGGCUCGGGCUAGAUUGAGCCCAGUACUGUUGAUCUUUUUCCUUUUUCUUUUUCUACCAAGAUUUGGAAAUCCAUAGAAAAUUAUAGAAAAAUGCUAAAAAUAUGAGACCAAUUUUGUUGAACUCCAAAAUUUCUAUAGUAUUUAAUAAAAAUGAUUUCAAGAUUUUUAGUCCAAACCAGGAAUUAUGAAGUAUUUAAAAUAGUCAAAACCUAUACCUCUGGAAUUUUAAAAAUUAAUCAGUAACUCCAAAAAUCACCAAACUUUUUGGAUAAGCUUAAAAUGAUAUUUAGAAACCUUGUAUGAAGUUAGACAUGAUUUGGACAAUGUUUGAUACCUAAACCCCAAAACCCUAUUCUUCUAAGUAGUGUCUGUCCUAUGAAAUAAAAUACUGACUCCAAAAACCCUAGUUUCCUGGAGUACCAUGAAGGAAAAUUGUAUUCAAGACCUAAUAUGAUGUACCUUUAUUAUCAUUACAUUUUCAUAAGCAUUACAUGAGCAUUCAUGAUUAUAUAUGAUAUAUAUAGAGAACGAAAAAGUAGUGGUUGAAGAAGGAGUUGCGCCACCACCACCUGAAGAUCCACCUGCCAGGAACUUCUUUUAUUUCGAUCUUUGUGGAGCAGAGCCCGACUCUCCUAUAACACAAGGCAAGCCCCAGUGCAUUUGCCACCUCCUUGCUAUUUAAAAUCUCUCUCACUUGCUCGAUGCAUUAGGUGAUAGGAGUUGGGUGCUAAACAAUUGCUGCAUUUCCUUCCUUGGAAGAUUGAUUACCUUUCUUUGAUCACCUAUUUUAUGAAAAGGUUUUUCUAAUGCUUAGUUUGGCUCUAGAAAAACAAAAUGUUUUGUUUUGUCAAAAGAUGAUGCUUCAAGUGGGAUGGGAUGUUUUCAAAAAUAAAACUGGAUGGUGGAUCCAUCAUGGUCGUGAUUGGUUCAACAUUGGAAAAGAUGUACCUCUGACAGGUACCAAACUUUGGAGUUUGAAAUGAUAAAGCUAAGACCGGGCGGGUGACUUGCACGAGAAGAGAGUCUCGGUGUAGUGUCUCCGUCUGAGUCGAUUAAGGACCGUCUCGAUGUAGGCUUGCUGAUCGAGGACCCUUUUAACAGGUCACAUGCCUCAUCAUGGGUAAGCUUUGCCUUGGGUAGACUAAUACUAGAAUAAGACAACACGCAAUGGGAGUGGAGAGAUGGCGAGAGUAGCGUGUACCCUCCGUGGCAAGAGGCUGGACGGUGGUGUAUUUGUGCUCUCGGUUGGCGUGAACCUAAUCUGGUCUUAAGAACCCCGGUGGCGAGUUGACAUAUGCAAGGGUUAAGUGCUACAUAUGUCGUGUGAUUGGAGAUCCCCAGCUAGGUAUUAAUCGAUUUGGAUCGUCGUUACUUCUUGGACAUGAAAACUUGGUCACUGCCCUACACGUAGCAUUCCAGUGAACAAGAAGGGUUGAUAACAAGAUGGCUAGUAUAGGCCAAGUGCUUGAACUAGGGUAGAAAGAAUUCUAGAUUCAGGUAAUGAUUUAACUUGCUAAUAAAACUGGAUUUUUAAGGAUCCACUAUUAGUAAGCAUUUCUGCAAACAGAGUCUUCAUUCUUGAUGAAGCCUUACCUUGACUCCCUCAAGCCAGCAUAUCCUUGAGAGUCUUUUAUUUUGACGGGUAAGACUUGCGAAAGUACACUUCGUACUCAGGGUUUUCGAACCCAUGUUGUUGUAGGUGAGGAAGCAGCAAACUUUUGUUGCUUUUGCUCUAAGGUGGUGCCAAAAGAGGAAUCUCAAGAGUGAUGCCUCGGGAGGAUGUUGUCCUCCUUUUAAAAACACUUUACUGUUAAGCGGGAGGGGUUUUUGCCUCCCGAGUUUGUAAUAAUACUUCUGCACUCAUAUAUUACUGGUCUGUAAUAAUAACACUCUUUCUAUAUUUUAAUGUAAAUUAAGUUACUGUAAUUGCUUCCGCUUAUUCGUUCCUCCGAUGUGUUGUAAUAUCUACGUGACGGGUGAAACGCUCUUGGGAGAGGUAAAGGAGAUAGAUACCGAACUUGUCGAGUGAUCAGGUGCAUCUACACGGUUGCUCGAGGUCCGCUGGACAAGGACAACUGUAGGUGGGCCUAAUAACUUGGGAGGUUCUGUUGCAGCUGGUAUCGGAGUGAAGCCCAUCUCUUCAAAUAUUAUGAGGCAUUUCAAAAAGAAUUUUCAAAGACUUAUCUAAAGAAAAUUUCUUUCAUUCUUAUCUUACUACUUUCUAAGUACUUAUCUUAUAAGACCAGGUAACAGAGUGCAAUGUAUAGGAGGUUGGGAAUCCACGAAGGUUGAUUCCUUAAUUAUGCAUGCAUCAUGUUUAAAAACUAUACUAAUAAAGUUUUCCCCCUUAUGGAGAUAUGCCACCACGCACGAGGAAAACCACGCGUAAGUCCACUGGACCUAUUGGCGUACCUCGGCAUCAGCUAGCUCCAAGACAUGAAGAGAGCAGCAGCGGCAGUAACAACCCCAUCGGAGACCUAGAAGCCCAAGUGGAGCAGCUUCGGACGGAGCUAUGUCACCGAAACAGGGUGUGAGUAGAAGAUGGUCAACAUAUGAAUGAGUUAAGAGCUGACGUCAGACAUCUGCAAGACGAGCUUGCUGAACAGGAUUUGGCAAUCGAUUGGGUUGUCAAUUCACAUUCGAUUGCUUGGGAUCGGGAAGCCAAAGCUUGAGCCCGUGUGGAUGAGCUCAGCAAGGCCCUUGACAACUUGCAGGUGUAUUGCAAUACUUUACAUGAGGAAGUUCAUUUACUAUAUUUGCGACUGUACCCCAACGUACCUCCUGACCCUGUUGCAAUGGGAGCCGGACCCUCACGAACAGUAGGAGAAGCACUUGGUGGGGAAUUGGACCUUUUUAAACCCCCUCCUUCUAUGAACCUAGCUGACGAACGGUCCCCUACAACAGACAGUGAAGCAACCAAAGACGACAAAUACUAGAGUAGUAUAGUUUAGCUAUAAUACUAAUGUAAAAUAGGUAAUGAAGUCAUGUUGUACAUUUGAGUCUGUAUCAUUACAUCUUGGUAAUGUAAAAUGAUGGUAUGUAUCAGCAUGUUAUAUUUUCCCAAAUAUUUCUUUGCUUCAGAUGCCAUCGAGGACUCGUGCGCAUGACGGCGUCGGUACUUCCCGUGGUCGGGAAGACACGACCAAUCCACCGCCUGUACUGCCAACGUUGGUCGAGGCUCUCGCUGCCUUGGUCAAUGCGACCGCUGACAAUACCCGCUUUCUGCGUGAAAUGGCGGGAAAUCAAUUCCAGCAACAAAGCGGAAGGGCUUCUCUGCAGGGACCCCGUGAGACUUAAUACUAGGAUUUCUCGGAAACCCGUCCCCCACUCUUCGUUAAAGUCGAAGACCCUCUGGAAGCUGACGAAUGGGUACGGGUUAUAAAGCAGAAAUUUGGACUCAUCCGCUGCACCGAAACCCAGAAGCCGUUGUUCGCGGCUCAACAGUUAAGAGGCCCUGCCAGUACUUGGUGGGGAAAUUAUGUGGCCAUUCAACCUGCCAGACAUCAGGUCACGUGAGAUGAAAUUAAGUUAGCAUUUUGUGACACUAUAUUCCAGAAGGAGUGCUAUACAUGAAACAGGAGGAAUUCAUGCAACUCAAGCAAGGAGGAGUUACUGUCAUGCAGUAUCUCAACAAAUUUAAUCAUCUAUCCCAGUAUGCAAUUGGUCAAGUAAAUACUGACCUGAAAAGAAGGAAUUGCUUCAUGAGAGGCCUCAAUGACCAGCUUCAAAGAAAGAUGGCCACCUGCCUAGAUAUCUCCUACAACAGGGCUGUCAGCACAGCGCUGGUAGUAGAAGCUAAGAACACAGGCCCAAGAACAUCGAAGGGAUUCAGAGGUGACAAGUCCAAUCAGGGACCUGAGAAGCGACCAAGGUUGGUAAUCCGACCUUUCAAUCAAAAUCGUUCCUCACCUCGUCCACCCUCCUACCCUUUUAAACAGCCUGUCUUCAUUCGCCCUGCCGCUGCCCCCACUUCUACAAGUCAGCCGAGUGCCUCUGGUGCUCAUUUCCCCGCCCUCCCUAGUUCCUCAACUGGUUGCUUCAAUUGUGGGAAGUUUGGACAUUUUAUCGAAGACUGCCCAUAUCCAAGGCAGAACAAAUCCAACAAUGAGCAGAACUCAGGGAGUUCAAAUCAAGGUAAGGGAAACAUGGCAAGUAAUUCAGCGGGCAAGAAUAUUAAGAAGACUGGGUGAAUAUAAUACACGCAAGUGGCCACUACACUGGAGGGAGAGCUGGUUGAUGGGUACGUUUCUUGUGGCUAAUCACCCAGCAGUCAUUCUCUUUGAUUCUAGUGCUUCGCAUACAUUCAUAAGCAAGAAAUUUUAGGUGAAAUAUUGCAUUCCUUGCAUUGAAUCAAGGGAAGGGUUUAUUAUUCAUUCGCAUGGGGGACAAAUAUUCACUAAAGAAGUGGCUUUCCAUGUGCCUGUAACAUUGGCUGAACGGGACUUUUCCACCAACAUGAUUGUUCUGAAAGGCCAAGAUACAGAUGUAAUUCUGGGCAUGAAUUGGUUAGCCCAGCACAAAGCUAUCCUCAACACUGAUUUAAGAACCAUCAGGUUGAGCUAUGGCCAUGAAGAAGUUCUUUUGUUCAUCCUUGUAGCUAUUCCAGCUAAACCAUUUGGUAAAUUCUAUGAAGCUAUCAUACCAGAAAUCCAAGAUAUUCCGGUAGUGUGUGAGUUUCCAGACGUCUUUCCGGAAGAUCUGCCUGGAUUACCUCCAGAAACAGAUGUAGAGUUUGUGAUUGAACUGAAGCCCGGUACGGCUCCUAUUUCUAGAAGGUCAUACCGAAUGCCUCCAAAUGCAUUGGCAGAGCUCAAGACUCAAUUACAAGAUCUACUGGAAAAGGGAUUCAUUCGGCCCAGUUCGUCACCUUGGGGAUGUCCUGCAAUCUUUGUCAAGAAGAAGGAUCAAAUGCUUCGGAUGUGUGUGGACUACAGACCCCUUAAUGUGGUCACAAUUAAGAAUAAGUAUCAUCUUCCCCGGAUUGAUAUCUUAUUUGAUUAGUUUACCGGAGCUUGGGUAUUCUCUAAAAAUGACCUCAGGUCGGGCUAUCAUCAGAUCCGUAUCCGACCCGAAGAUAUACCCAAGGCCUCAUUUACUACGCGGUACGGAUUAUUCGAAUAUUUGGUGAUGUCUUUCGGAUUAAUGAAUGCUCCUACCCACUUCACAUAUCUAAUGAACUCGGUAUUUAUGCCUGAGUUGGACAAAUUUGUGGUGGUCUUCAUUGAUGAUAUCUUGAUUUAUUCCAAGAAUGAAGAGAAGCAUGCUCAACAUCUAUGGAUCAUAUUAACGCGCUUAAAGGAACAUCAAUUAUAUGCUAAAUUCAGCAAGUGUGCAUUUUGGCUGGAGGAAAUCCAAUUUCUGGGAUAUGUACUAUCUGCAAAUGGGAUUGCAGUUGAUCCCAGCAAGGUCAAGGAUAUUUUAGAGUGGAAACCGCCAACCACUGUGCAUCAGGUUCGAAGUUUCCUUGGACUGGCUGGCUAUUACUGCCGAUUUAUCCUAGAUUUCACUAAGCUUGUAAAGCCAAUCACAAGUCUAUUGAAGAAUGAUAUGAAAUUUAACUGGUCCUUAAGAUGCAACGAAGCCUUCGAGCAAUUGAAGGUAUUAUUGACCACUGGUCCGGUAUUGGCUCAACCGGACAUUCAAAAGCCUUUUGAUGUUUAUUGUGAUGCAUCAGGCAGUGGCCUCGGAUGUGUCUUAAUACAAGAGGGCCGAGUUGUAGCCUAUGCUUCAAGACAGUUGCGCCGGCAUGUUGAACAUUAUUCAACUCAUGAUUAGAAUUAGCUGCUGCGGUUCAUGCCCUUAAAAUAUGGUGUCAUUAUGUGCUGGGAAAUAUUUGUCAUAUAUAUACAGAUCAUAAAAGCUUGAAGUACAUUUUUACCCAGUCAGAACUAAACAUGAGGCAGAGGAGAUGGCUUGAUCUGAUUAAGGAUUAUGAAUUAGAAAUUCACUAUCACCCAGGCAAGGCCAACGUGGUGGCAGAUGCACUAAGUCGCAGGGCUUCCUGCCAUUGUCUUACAGUGAAGACUUCUGACAUCACAUUAUGCCAAGAAAUGGAGAAAUUAAACCUGGGAAUGAUUCAACAUGGAACCUUAAAUCAAUUGAAGCUUGAGUCGGUUCUUCUGCAAAAGAUUAUUGAUGCACAAAGAAGUGAUGAGGGUAUGAAACACAUUCAUGAGAAAAUGAAAGCCGGUAAAGCAAACUUUUUCAGAAAGGAUGAUCAAGGCAUAGUAUGGUUUAAUAACCGCAUAGUUGUACCCAAGAAUGAUGAUGUCCGCUAGCAAAUUUUAGAUGAAGCACAUCUUAGUCUAUAUUCCAUUCAUCCUGGAAGCACUAAGAUGUAUCAUGAUUUACAGCAACAUUAUUGGUGGACAAAAAUGAAGAUCGAAAUUGCACGCUAUGUAGCGAGAUGCGACACUUGUAGACGUGUCAAAGCCAUACACAUGAAAACUGCUGGUCCAUUGCAAUCUUUGCCCAUCCCAACAUGGAAAUGGGAGGACAUUAGCAUGGACUUUAUUGUAGGAUUACGCAGGACAGCAAAAGGAUUUAAUUCUAUUUGGGUUAUAAUUGAUCGACUUACCAAGAUCGCCCACUUUCUUCCAGUCAAGGUAAAGUAUAGAGUGGCCACAUAUGCGGAACUAUAUAUUGCUCGUAUUCUCAGUUUGCACGGUGUUCCGAAGACAAUAGUGUCAUAUCGCGGACCUCAAUUUGUAUCCAAAUUCUGGGAGGAACUCCACAAAGCUCUGGGUACUAAGUUGCUCCACAGUUUGGCCUAUCAUCCUCAAACCAGUGGGCAGACUGAAAGAGUAAAUCAAAUACUCGAGGAUAUGUUACAAGCAUGUGUUCUAGAAUUUCCGCAGAAAUGGGAUGAAUGUUUACCACUGGCAGAAUUUUCAUAUAACAAUAGUUAUCAAGAAAGUAUCAAGAUGGCACCCUUUGAAGCUUUGUAAGGACGAUGGUGUCGUACCCCCUUAAAUUGGUCUGAACCAGGAGAAAGGUGGUUUUUUAGGCCUGAUAUGAUUAAAGAAAUGGAAGAAAAAGUUCAACGAAUUAUACAUAAUUUGAAAGAAGCCCAAGCUCGACAAAAGAGUUAUGCAGACAAACGACGCCAACCCUUGUACUUUCGGGUCGAAGACUGUGUAUCUGAAAGUAUCACCAAUGAAGGGUGUAUCUCGUUUCGGGGUAAAAGGAAAGCUUGCACCCUGGUACAUUGGUCCAUUUCCUAUCCUUGAAAGAUGUGGACCAGUGGCGUACCGACUCCAACUACCCAAAAUAUUGUCUGUAGUGCACAAUGUGUUCCAUGUGUCACAAUUGAAGAAGUGUCUUCGGGUUCCAGAUCAAACCAUUGAAGUGACGAAUGUUACCUUGAAACUAGACUUAACAUAUUUAGAACAUCCUAUUCGAGUCCUGGAUCAAAAGGACAGGGUUACCCGAAAAAGAACUCUCAAAUUUUAUAAGAUACAAUGGAACCAACACACUAAAGAUGAAGCUACAUGGGAAACCCAAGACUUUUUAGAAAAGAAUUUCCCAGGCUUUUUAGCUUCGUGUAAUUUGUAAGAUAUGUACAAUUGUUGUAAAAGAAGAGUAGACCCCAUACCACCCCUGCCUUGUACAAGAAAUAAGGAAAUAAAAAUAUGACGUGUUUCCUUUUCCACUACUUGCCCUAGGACUUUUAAUUCUCGGGACGGGAUUCUUUUAUGGGGGGAAGGAUGUAACACCCCUGGUGUUACUAUCACUAAAACUUGAGCAUAACAUCAUGAGCAUUAGCAUAUCAUGUGUUUGUCACACCUAGAGUGCAUUCACUAGGUAAAAAGUUCAAAAAUAUUGGACUGAUAUGACUUGAUGUGUGGUUAAAUCUAGUGUAGAGUACUUAACCCUAAACUAGGCUUAUGAGUGAAAAUGAAACCCAAAUAAGUUAAAAUCUCAAAACUCAUUAGAAAUUAUCAUAAGAUAUCACAUUUGAUGGACUUGGGUAGCACCAAAACCCUAAAGUAUUAAAAACUCAGAAAAGACCCCUGGAAAACCCUAAAUUGGAACCCUAGGGGGCUAAGUGUAAAAUUUGUGCACUUUUGGACCCAAGUGCAAAAACCAAAGUAUUAGAGCACCAUAAGUCAUAUGGUUCACACAUUUGAGGAUUUGCAAGUCAAAUUGUGGGAUUUGGACUAAUUUGCAAAAGUGCCCCAUGAAACCAUAUGUGACUAAGUCUGAAAUUUAGUGUAUAUGGUUAACUUUGGAACCCUAUAUCUCUCAAUCCAUAAAGAGUCCGCCCUAGGUCAACACAUCAAAUUUGUAGAACUAUAAUAGGAGUACAACUUUGCUUAUGUGAUUAAGCCUUGAUCACAUGCAAAAUUUGGAGUAAAAUGAGCACAAACUCGGGAUGUCAGUUAGCCCUAAGUCUGAAUUCUGCUUAACAGUGAAGUUGGAUGAACUUUGGAUUCAAUUCUAGAUCAAGGGAUUAAGCAAAUGAGCAAGAUCUUUACAGCAGAAUUGUAGCUGGAUUAUAGGGCUACAAUUUUGUUACAGGGAUAUUAGCACAUUCUCACACAAAAAUCUAAUAUUAGGGCGCUGCAAACCAUGCUGUCAGGUGCUCUAAAUGACUCCCUGAUGGUACAGUAACAGACAGAUCCCAUAUUUAGCCCCCCUCGCCGCUAGUGAUUCCGCACCGUGAUCGUCGCCGCUGUUGCGAUUCAUGCUCAAUGAAGUGCAGAUAACUACGGUGGGUGAAAGAUCUGGCGCUGGGGAUGAGCUUGGGGCACUAUUGCGCUCGGUCACUCGUCCACUUACACCGGUGACGUGGCCAACCGGCCGUCGUCGAGGUAAACGUCGUCGCCGUGAUCGUGCCACGACCAUGACCCUUUAACCACAUCACUGCUAGCCACAACAGCUCGCCAAUGACCACCGUAGCCCCUCAACAAGUGAGUGCCACGGUAAACCGCACCAAUGAUUCAUCCUCUCUUCUCGACCGCCAGCGCAAUCUCUUCGAAUUGGACGCCACCGCCAUCGGUUCCUAUAAAUUGAGUGAACCGCUAGCUCCGUUAGGUAAUCACGAAGCCAAAGCACCCACUCGUGUCUCGGAUUGUCCACCAGUGAGCUCCAAUUUUGGAUUUCCCCCAAAUCAGUCAAAGCUCCGCCGCGAGUGAGCUCGCCGUGGUCAGCGCACUACAGGUCCGAUCAUGCCAUCCUCGCUCUUGUUUUAGCAUCCCUGUGUGCUUAUGAUGCUUCUCGACCCGGCCAAUUGAGCUAGGACCCAUUGGAUCACCGGGAACGCUUCAUGUUGUCCGUUGAUCGCGCUGUCACCGUGGGUAGUGUGAUUAAGAGCUCAAACUUUGCAAUUAAGUGAGGGGAAAUGGUCGUUUAGGGUUGAAUUUGGUGUCAAGCAAAGGGAAGGGCUAGCCGUUGCCAAUUCUGGCCAGUACGAGCUCGCCGGAGCUCGGCCUGUCGACGUUCGCCGUCGGGGAUCGCGAGUUGUAAAGAAUAGAAAGGGGAAGGGUCUGUUCGAAAAUGUCAGUGACACAACCAAAUAGUGCGCGGGGUUCUUCACCAGUUAUGCAAAACGCUAAGGGCCUCUAUGCAAAUCCGCCAUGUGGGCGCGCGCACGCGGGCACGUUCUCCCUGUACUGGGCUUGUGAUCUUUUUCCUUUUUCUUUUUCUACCAGGCUUUGGAAAUCCAUAGAAAUUUGUAGAAAAAUGCUAAAAAUAUGAGAAAAACUCCUAAAUUUCUAUAGUAUUUAAUAAAGACGAUUUCAAGAUUUUAGUCCAAACCAGAAAUUAUGAAGUAUUUAAAAUAGCCAAAACAUAUACCUCUGGAAGUUUAGAAAUUAAUUAGUAACUCCAAAAAUCACCAAACUUUUUGGAUAAGCUUAAAAUGAUAUUUAGAAACCUUGUGUGAAGUUAGACAUGAUUUGAACACCGUUUGUUACCUAAACCCCAUAACACUAAUCUUCUAAGUAGUGUCUGCCCUAUGAAAUAAAAUACUGACUCCAAAAACCCUAGUUUCCUAGAGUACCGUGAAGGAAAAUUGUAUUCAAGACCUAAUAUGAUGUACCUUUAUUAUCGUUGCGUUUUCAUAAGCAGUACAUGAGCAUUCAUGGUUAUAUAUGAUAUAUAUAGAGAACAAAGAAGAAGUAGUGGUUGAAGAAGAAGGAGUUGCACCACCAACACCUGAAGACCCACCUGCCGGGAACUGCUUUUAUUUCGAUCUUUGUGGAGAAGAGUCCGACUCUCCUAUAACACAAGGCAAGCCCCGGUGCAUUUGCCACCUCCUUGCUAUUUUAAAAUCUUUCUCACUUGCUUGAUGCAUUAGGUGAUAGGAGUUGGGUGCUAAACAAUUGUUGCAUUUCCUUCCUUGGAAGAUUGAUUACCUUUCUUUGAUCACCUGUUUUAUGAAAAGGUUUUUCUAAUGCUUAGUCUUGCUCUAGAAAAACAAAAUGUUUUGUUUUGACAAAAGAUGAUGCUUCAAGUGGGAUGGGAUGUUUUCAAAAAUAAAACUGGAUGGUGGAUCCAUCAUGGUCGUGAUGGGUUCAACAUUGAAAAAGAUGUACCUGUGACAGGUACCAAACUUUGGGGUUUGAAAUGAUAAAGCUAAGUCAGACGGGUGACUUGCACGAGAAGAGAGUGUCGGUGUAGUGUCUCUGUCUGAGUCGAUUAAGGACCGUCUCGAUGUAGGCUUGCUGAUCGAGGACCCUUUUAACUAGUAACAUGUCUCAUCAUGGGUAAGCUUUGCCUCGGGCAAACUAAUAGCAGAAUAAGACAACACACAAUGGGAGUGGAGAGAUGGUGAGAGUAGCGUAUAACCUCUGUGGCAAGAGGCUGGACGGUGGUGUAUCUGUGCACUCGAUUGGCGUGAACCUGAUCUGGUCUUAAGAACCUCGGUGGCGAGUUGACAUAUGCAAGGGUUAAGUGCUACAUAUGUCGUGUGAUUGGAGAUCCCUAGCUGGGUAUUAAUCGAUUCAGAUCGCCGUUACUUCUCGGACAUGAAGACUUGGUCACUGCCCUACACGUAGCAUUCCAAUGAACAAGAAGGGUUGAUAACAAGAUGGAUAGUAUAGGCCAAGUGCUUGAACUAUGGUAGAAAGAACUCUAGAUUCAGGUAAUGAUUUAACUUGCUAAUAAAACUGGAUUUUUAAGGAUCCACUAUUAGUAGGCAUUUCUGUAAACAAAGUCUUGAUUCUUGAUGAAGCCUUACCUUGACUCCCUCAAGCCAGCAUAUCCUUGAGAGUCUUUUAUUUUGACGGGUAAGACUUGCGAAAGUACACUUCAUACUCAGGGUUUUCGAACGCAUGUUGUUGUAGGUGAGGAAGCAGCAAACUUUGGUUGCUUUUGCUCUAAGGUGGUGCCAAAAGAGGAAUCUCAAGAGUGAAGCCUCGGGAGGAUGUUAUCCUCCUUUUAAACACAGUUUAAUGUUAAGCGGGAGGGGUUUUUGCCUCCUGAGUUUGUAAUAAUACUGCUGCACUCAUAUACUACUGGCCUGUAAUAAUAACACUCUUUCUAUAUUUUAAUGUAAAUUAAGUUAAUGUAAUUUCUUCUGCUUAUUUGUUCCUCCGAUGUGUUGUAAUAUCUACGUGAUGGGUGAAACGCUCUUGGGAGAGGUAAAGGAGACAGAUACCGAACUUUUCGAGUGAUCAGGUGCAUCUACAGGGUUGCCCAAGGUCCGUUGGACAAGGACAACUUUAGGUGGGCCUAAUAACUUGGGAGGUUCUGUCGCAUGAGACAAAACUUUUGAGAUAAGUAAAUAACAUAGAGUGGGUCAAGAUAACCAACUUUUGAAAGGACACUAAGGUCAAGGUAAGAGUAGGGGUCUAUAGUCCUUAAGGCGACCAUUCUAGUCUAGGUUAGCGGUCCUACAGUCAGCAAGGCUCUGAUACCACUUAUGUCACACCUGGUUUUGGAAGGUAAACCGAAUGUGAACCAUGUACGUGCCAGGAUCAGAACUCACGUACACAACGAUUACAUAAUUGGACGUCAUCACACAAUGCUCGAAUUAGAUAACGGAAGGGCACUUAAUUACCUGGGGUGGGGUGGUUUGUAAAGCAAGGGUGAGUACACAUCAACAUACUCAGCAAAUGCCCCAUUUGGCUAAAGUGGACUAGCUGUAUGUGGAAUUAAGGUUAAGAAAUUGCUUUUAGUUGGUCAAGUUUUAUUACUAUAAAUAGAGCCAAAUUUUAGUAAUAACCCAGUUAUUACCUAGAGGCACUCCCUCCAAGAGGAAAUACCGGAGAUCAAAUUUAUAACCAUCAUUGCUAUUCAUCAUCAUAAAAGUAACCAAUGUUCUUCUAAUCAAAGAGGAUCCCAAGGCUGCUCUUAACCGUGAGCACGGCUGAUAUACUAGUUUCUAACACUCUACAGAGGUCGCACACUUUACCCACAAGUCGUGAUUCCCAUUCUGCCCGGGAUUCUAGCCUCCCCAUUGAUCACUACCAAGGUGACCUAGCAGGGUCUCACUACGUAGCCUUUACAAAGAUUUCCCAGAGGUCAUAGUCACCGUUAUGUUUCUCCAGUUUGAUAAACACAGUACAUCUCCCCAAAGGAAGGGUGACUAACAAAACCAAAUCAAAGAACCUUUGCAACCAGCCUCGGCAGAGCAAGUACUGAGCCCGGGCCCCAUUGACGGUCCCACGGCGAAGCCAACUACUCCUCUGGUUCCUCUAAUUAAUCAGCUAAGGGCGUCCCAUUCCACCCUCAUGGUUGCACUGUUAUCCCGGGUUGUCACUCCCCAAACUGGUCCUUACGGAGAGGUACUCCGGAAACAGCCUGAGCCCCCUAAAAUAAUCACAAGAACCUCAUCGGGAUAACAUCAUCGUAUCAUGAAUAAUCACAUCAUGUUCAUUGAUUAAGUUAAAGCAAUAACAUAAGCUAACCAUGAUUACCCAAAAGGUAAACAAGGGUAAGGUAAAUACAGACUAGUCAAUCCUUAAGUUUCAAUAAUGUAAUGUGGGACAGUGAAUUAUAAAGUAAAGUAGGACAUGAUAGGUCUGAGGACAGUUGCCUUCACCAGGUUGUUGCUCAGAGGGAUCUUCGACAACACACUCAGGAACCAUGGGCUGCUCGUUGUCUAAAUAAAGCGAUCAUACAUUCAAUACAUUUGGAAAGUACAAAUGAACAUCACAUCAAACAUGUACAAACAUUGGAACACAACUCAAAAGAGGAAGUAUUAAAUAAAGGAGAAUGAGAUCAAGUUAUAAAAUGAACUAAUCUUAAUUGGGGAUUGAUUACUCUCUAAGUGUUGGAACAUAGCUCAAAAAGUAAUGUAGUAAUUAAACAAAGCAAAGAUUAAAUUAUAAGAUGAACUACUCUCAUUUAGGAAUUUGAUUAUCCUUUAAGUGUUAUCCAUAAUUACAUAACGUAAUUCUACUCAUUUCACUGAGACCUAAAAGUUAAACCAGAGGUGAAUUCAUGUAGUACAUAUUGUUAAUCUCACAAGAGUAAAUAUACUUUAACUCCUAGGAUUCUCCUUUUAUUUAUGUCAUUAAAUGAAUAAAUCAACAUAUAAUUUAAUCCUAUAUUCUAAGUGUAAAAUUAAAGUAUACAGACUAUGGCUGGUCAUAAUUUAUUUGAACAGAGAAUAAUUUUAUGAACAUUUUGCAAUUUGAACCACUAAAUUUGGAGUUCAUAUGAAAAAAUAUGAAAUAAACAAGUUUUGAAGUUUGAAAUAUAAAAUUAGGGCUAAAUCUGUGAUUAAUAAAAGUACAGGGGCUAUUCAAAAUAAACCAGGAACUGCGCGUUAAAAUAGAGGACGGCGGAUUGAUUUCCUAAAACCAGGGGGUCUCUUAAGCAAAACUUACACGUGAAGGGGUACGGGGAAACUUCAACCGUCGGAUCAGAGAUCAACGGCAAGGAUUAGAUCGCGUAGGCGCGGGCACGCGGACGCGGCUUACAGGCGGGGCCAGGGCGUUAGCGAGCCCGGGCGGGCUCGCCAACCGGGCCUAGAGGCAGAGACGCAGGUGAGGGGGAAGAGAGAGAGGCGGCUAGAUCUGGAUCGGAGGGCUGUGAUCAGAUUCGCUCUGGUUAAAUCUAAAGUGCCUGAUCUCGGACAGACGCCCGAGAUCUAAUGGCCAGGGGCGGACACAGGCACGGUGGCGCUGCUAAGGUCCAUGGCGAGAGCUCGCUGGAGACAAGGGGGCUGGCCACGGCGGGGCUCCAGAGGCUUGGGGGCUAGUUCGGGCGUGCUCAUCAGGGCGGUCUGGCGGACUCGACCAUGGGUAUCAUGCCGGCGCGGAAGCACCAGAAUGUGCUGCACACGGCGAGGCGGGCUAACGGCGGCGUGGGACAGCUCCGACGAGAAAUCGCACGAGCAACAGAGCAGCGAUGACCAAAUUAAGGGUGCGGGUGGGUUCCUCACCUUGAGGGGAAGCGCUGGAGUCAAGGGGCAACGGCGGAGGCGCAAGGAAGCGACAGGGCGACGGCAGCGAGGCUUCGGCUGCGCAAGAAUCGCUCCGGUGAGCGCGGACCGGACGAACCAGAGAGGGGAAGGGCACACCGAUGGGUGUCCCGAGCAGCUAACGGCGAGGCGGAACUUACCGUGGCACGGGACUGGGCACAGACGCGACGGUGACCGCAGAACGGGCAGCAGUCGACGACGGGCGGUGAUGGAGCUCUCUGCUCGCGCGGACAGAGCGAGAGAGAGGGCGAGGGGGUUUGGCAUAGGGCGCAAAUGAGCGAGGGGAGGUGGGCGAGCAGGGCGCGGGGCUCAAAAGGGGCACGGGCGCGAGGACAUGGGUAGAGAACACGCGGUCGUGGGCGCGUCCACGGCGGGGAGAUCGUGGGCGAGAGGUUAGGGACGGCUGACAGGUGGGGACGACGGGACAGAGAGAGAGAGAGGGCGCGACCUGAGAGAGAGAGAAAAGUAACACCUGAAUUUGGAUGAUACUGAGAAAGAAAUUUUAUACCCCCAAAUUCAGGGUGUUACAACAUGCUUCCACGAUCUCACAAGGUCAAAUGUAGCAAGGGGCUAACUUGCCUUUGAUCCCAAACCUUUGCACUCCUUUGGUGGGUGAUACUUUAGAUAUACGAAAUCUCCCACUUCAAACUGGAGGGGUUUUCUUCUCUUAUCAUGGUAACUCUUCUGCCUGGCCUGAGCAGCUUCUAGAUUCUUCCUGAUCAAUUUGACUUUCCUUUCGACUUCAGUCACUAAGUCAGGUCCAAAAAAUUCCCUUUCUCCAGGCUGAGACCAGUUGAGGGAUGUUCGACACCUUCUUCCAUAUAGGGCUUUGAAGGGUGCCAUCUUUAGGCUGGAUUGAUAACUGUUGUUAUAAGCAAACUCUACCAACGAGAGGUACUUAUCCUAGUUCUUGCCGCAAUCGAUCGCACAAGCCCUUAGCAUAUCUUCAAGAAUUUGAUUGACCCUUUCGGUCUGACCAUCAGUGUGGGGGUGGUAAGCUGAACUCCUUAUUAGCUUGGUUCCCAAAGACUCUUGAAAUUGCUCCCAAAAUCUGGCAACAAAUUGGGCUCCUCGAUCAGAAACAAUGGUCCGAGGUAACCCGUGCAAACACACGAUUCGGUCAAUAUAUAGUUCUGCAAACUUCUGAGCCUUAUCGGUGGUGUGCACUGGAAGAAAAUGUGCCACUUUUGUCAAUCGGUCCACAAUGACCCAAAUCGAAUCAUGAUGCCGAGAGGUGUUGGGCAGACCCACAAUUAAAUCCAUGCUGAUGCCAUCCCAUUUCCAUGAAGGUAUUGAUAGGGGUUGCAAGGCACCAGCUGAUUUUAAGUAGCUCGCCUUUAUCCUCUGACAUGUGUGACAUUCCGAUACAUACUGAGCUAUUUCCCUCUUCAUUCUGGUCCACCAAUACAAGGGCUUCAGAUCAUGGUACAUCUUGGUGCUUCCCAGAUGAAUGGAAAAUUUGGAGAGAUGAGCCUCAUCCAAAAUUUUCUUCUUGAGAUCUUUAUUUUUAGGGACCACCAAUCUGUCUUCAAACCACAAUAUCCUCUUGCUAUCUUGACAAAAACACUUAUUCUUUUCCGCUUUCUGAUGGAGGUUUUCCAUAAUAAUUUGCACUCCCUUGUCACUGAGUUGGGCCAUAAUUAUCUGGUCUUGCAAGGUUGGCUCAAUGGAAAUGUGAGACAAGGCACCAGAAGGAAUCACUUUGAUCUUCAUCUUGCUCAACUCAUCACACAAGGUAUUGAUGCAAGAAUCCAUCAUAACACAGUUGCAUUGUGACUUCCGACCCAAGGCAUCCGCUACCACAUUGGCUUUCCCCGAGUGGUAGUGUACUUCCAAAUCGUAGUCCUUGAUCAGCUCUAGCCAUCUUCUCUGCCUCAUGUUGAGAUCAGCCUGAGUAAAUAUGUACUUGAGGCUCUUAUGAUCUAUGUAGAUGUUGUAGUGGGUUUCGAUCAAAUAGUGCCACCACAUUUUUAAUGCAUGAACCAUGGCUACUAACUCCAAGUCAUGAGUGGGAUAAUUUUUCUCAUGAGGCCUAAGUGCCCUUGAUGUGUAGGCAAUGACCCGGUUGUCUUGCAUCAAAACACAACCCAGUCCAGUGCCAGAGGCAUCACAUUACACAUCAAAUGGCUUGUUGUUAUCUAGUUACGCUAACACGGGUGCUGUGGUCAGAUGCUGCCUCAAGGUGUGGAAAGCAUCUUCACACUUCUGACCCCAAUCAAAUUUGGCUCCCUUCUUUAACAAUUCAUUCAUGGGCUUCGCAAUUCGAGAGAAGUCUGGAAUGAAUCUUCGAUAAUACCGGCCAAUCCCAGAAAACUUUGAAUCUGACAGACAGUUGUUGGCGGCUUCCAGUUCAUCACUUCUUGCACUUUAUCUGGAUCAACAACUAUGCCAUCCUAAGAGAUAGUGUGACCCAAGAAUUUGGUUUCUUUCAGCCAAAAAUCACAUUUUGACAGUUUGGCAUAAAGACGGUGCUCUCGCAGACGUUGCAGCACUACAUGCAAAUGACCGACAUGCUCUUCUGUGUUUCUUGAGUACACCAAGAUAUCAUCGAUGAAGACCACCAUAAAUUUGUCUAGUUCAGGCAUGAAUACUGAAUUCAUCAGAUACAUGAAGUAUGCUGGCGCAUUAGUUAACCCAAACGACAUCACCAAAUACUCAUAUAACCCAUAUCUGGUUGAGAAGGAAGUCUUUGGAAUAUCACUUGCGUGUAUCUUGAUCUGAUGAUAGCCGAAGCGAAGGUCUAUCUUUGAAAACACUUUGGCUCCAACCAAUUGAUCGUAAAGAACAUCAAUACGAGGCAAAGGAUACUUGUUUUUGAUAGUCACCGCAUUGAGUGGGCGGUAAUCUAUACAUAGCCUCAAGCUUUCAUAUUUCUUCUUCACAAACAAGGCUGGACAUCCCCAAGUUCAAGUACUUGGGUGGAUGAAACCCUUGUCCAACAACUCUUGCAGAUGUUUCUUCAAUUCUGCCAAUUCAGCGGGUGGCAUUUGGUAAGGCCUCUUGGAAAUAGGUGUCGUUCUCGGUUGCAACUCGAUGGCAAAUUCAAUAUCCCGGUCUGGUGGCAUUCCUGGCAACUCAUCAGGAAAAACAUCUACAUGCUCACAGACCACUGGAAUUUUCUUCAAGGGUAACUCUAUCAUAGGAAAAGCACACGAUCGAGUGGGUUCUUGGCUGGGUAAAUCCAAUGUAAGGUCUCCAAGGGUAGGAGAACGGAUUUCCAGAGCUCUGGCAGCUAUAUCCAACACCACCCGAUGUUGAGUCAUCCAGUCAGCUCUGAGACUGAUGUCCAUACCCUCUAAUCCCAAAAUCAGGAGUGUGGUUUUGAAGAUUUAACUUCCCAGUGAGAUAGGCACACUUUGAUUUAAUUGAUUUGUUGCAAUUUUGCCCCUAGGUGUUGCUAUCAUGAAAGACCGUUUUUGUAUGAUAGAAAGGUAGUUGGCAUUUAACGCUAAACUUCUGGCUAACGAAGCUAUGUGAUGCACCAGAAUCAAAUAGAAUUAAUGCAAGUUGAUUAAAAACUGAAAAGAUACCAGUCAUGACGGGGGCUCCUUCAGGUAGCUCCUCUAGAGUAGUGAAAUUGAGCUUCCCUUGUCUGACUUGCACCUUCUGCUUCCUCCCUCUGUCUUGAUUUGGUGCUGGCAUCUGCCUCUGCUGAUUCCGUGGGCAAUUCUUGGCAUAGUGGCCUACAUUGCCACAUGUGAAGCAUUUGUUUCAAUUCCCAUGGCUGAACUGCUGCUGCUACUGAGGUUGAUUGUUCUUUGGAGCGGGAGAGGGGAAACAGUUUUGUGCUUGCUGCUGUUGCGGCGGCCUAAUCACCCAUCUUCCUGCCUGCUGCUAAAAACCUCUGCUCUGAUUGUUGGAGACAAUCCUGAACCUCUAGGGUGGAUCUGAGGGUCCUGACAUUGGUGCUUUCCUUUUCUUCUCUGUCAGGCGAGCUACAAUAUAGUCUUCCUGUGAUAUGGCCAAGUUGAGCAACUCAUUGAAACUGUCAACCCGAACUGUGUUGAGACGCUCACGCAGCUUGGUGUUGAGACCCCUGUGGAAACGGUCUCUCUUCUUCUCAUAAGAAUCUACGUGAUAACCCGCAUACUAGCACAGGUCAUUGAAGGCCUGGGCAUACUGCAGCAUAGUGCGGGUUCCCUGAGUUAAUGUCAUAAACUCAUUCAGCUUGUGAUCCAGAAUCCCUGCUGGAAUGUGGUGUCCCCUGAAAGCAGUCUUGAAUUCCUCCCAUGUCACUUCAUGAUCAGCAGGUACCAUGGCACAGAAAUAGUCCCACCAUGUCCGAGCAGGUCCGCGAAGCUGCUGCGUGGCAAAACUAGUCUUGGUGUCAUCAGGGCAAGAUCCCAUGAGGAGGGGAAACUUGGACUCCACGACUCGUAGCCACACAUCGGCGUCAAGCAGAUCCUCUGCCUUGGUGAACAAGGGCGGUUGCGUGCUCAAGAACUCUUGAUAGGUUGCCACGACCGGAGGUCGCUGCGGCUGGCCUCCACCAUACUACUGAGGGUGGGGCUGGCGCUGCAAAAGUUGUCGCAAAAUUUCAUUCUGUUGAGCCAUCAGCUCCUGCACUGUGGGAGCUGGAGGAGGUGGGGGGGGAACUUGCUCAUUCUGCCCGCGACGCUCCCUAGCUGCCAUCUGAAAACAAAAUUUAUCGCCAUUGUUAUCCCGAUUCACGAUUCCGAACAAUAUUCCUUAUAUCAUGCGGAAAGAAAAUGUCACAACAUCAAAUUGGACUAGGAUAACAUGAUUGCAUUCACUUCAUUACUCACAAAAGUUUUUCCUGGGUUACAUCAAUUUAGGGGAAAGCACCCAUAAGCCUAGUCCAAAAUCUGGUGCCAAACUAAGCUCGCCUGGGUUUCUAUCGACCUAGUGCGUCAAGCAAACCCAUCAACCCUGAGUAGUAGAAGCGACACUGGAUACGGGCGAAGGGGGCAUCUCGGAGGGAGUCGCAUUGGUACCAGGGCCUGGUCCUAACUCCUCGGGAGCCUCCUCUCCCUCGCUUUCGGCAUCGUUUGCCUCCAUAUCCUGGUGGUGCAUCUCCAGGUGGUCGUUAGCUUCCUCAAGCUCUUCCUGCACAUUACGGAGCUGGUUCUCCAGGACAUCAAUGGUGUUGUCCCGGAUCUCCACCUGCUGUUCCACCUGUAGGUCCUUCUCCACCAACUCUGAAGACCUCCCAGCUGUUGAGGGUGAGCUUAGUUGUGACGGAACCUCCCAAGUCAUUAGGCCCACCUACUGUUGUCCUUGUCCAGCGGACCUUGGACAACCCUGUAGAUGCACCUGAUCACUUGAUAAGUUCGGUAUCUGUAUCAUUACUUUGCCCAAGAGCGUUUCACCCGUCACGUAGAUAUUACAACACAUCGGAUUAACGAAUAAGAGGAAGCAAUUAUAGUAACUUAAUUUACAUUAAAAUAUAGAAGGAGUGUUAUUAUUACAGACCAGUAGUAUAUGAGUGUAGAAAUAUUAUUAUUACAAACUCGGGAGGCAAAAACCCCUCCCGGUUAAAAGUAUAAUGUUUUUAACAGGAGGACAACAUCCUCCCGAGGCUUCACUCUUGAGAUUCUUCCUUUGGCACCACCUUAGAGCAAAAGAAACAAAAGUUUGCUGCUUCCUCACCUACAACAACAUGGGUUCGAAACCAUGAGUACGAAGUGUACUUUCGCAAGUCUUACCCGUCAAAAUAAAAGACUCUCAAGGAUAUGCUGGCUUGGAGGAAGUCAAGGUCAGGCUUAAUCAAGAAUCAAGACUCUGUUUGCAGAAAUGCUUACUAAUAGUGGAUCCUUAAAAAUCCAGUUUUAUUAGAAAGUUAAGUCAUUACCUGAAUUUAGAGUUCUUUCUACCCUAGUUCAAGCACUUGGCCUAUACUAGCCAUCUUUUUAUCAACCCUUCUUGUUUACUGGAAUGCUACGUGUAGGGCAGUGACCAAGUCUUCAUGUCCGAGAAGUAAUGGCGAUUCGAAUCGAUUAAUACCCAGCUGGGGAUCUCCAAUCACAUGACAUAUGUAGCACUUAACCCUUGCAUAUGUCAACUCGCCACUAGGGUUCUUAAGACCAGAUCAAGUUCACGCCAACCGAGAGCACAGAUACACCACCGUCCAACCUCUUACCAUGGAGGGUACACGCUACUCUCGCCAUCUCUCCACUCCCAUUGCGUGUUGUCUUAUUCUAGUAUUAGUCUGCCUGAGGCAAAGCUUACCCAUGAUGAGGCAUGUGACCAGUUAAAAUGUCCUCAAUCGUCAAGCCUACAUCGAGACAGUCCUUAAUCGACUCAGACGGAGACACUACAUCGAGACUCUCUUCUCGUGCAAGUCACCCGCCCGGUCUCAGUUUUAUCAUUUUAAACCCAAAGUUUGGUACCUAUCAGAGGUACAUCUUUUCCGAUGUUGAACCCAUCAUGGCCACGAUGGAUCCACCAUCAAGUUUCAUCUUUGAAAACAUCCCAUCCCAUUUGAAGCAUCAUAUUUUGUCAAAACAAAACAUUUUGUUUUCUAGAGAAAGACUAAGCAUCAGAAAACCCUUUUCAUAAAACAGGUGAUCAAGGAAAAGUAAUCAAUUUUCCAAGGAAGGAAAUGCAUUAAUUGUUUAGCACACAACUCCUAUUACCUAAUGCAUCAAGCAAGUGAGAAAGAUUUUAAAAUAGCAAAGAGGUGGCAAAUGCACCGGGGCUUGCCUUGUGUUAUAGGAGAGUUGGGCUCUGCUCCACAAAUAUCAAAAUAAAAGGAGUUCCUGGCAGGUGGGUCUUCAGGUGGUGGUGGUGCAACACCUUCUUCUUCAACCACUACUUCUUCUUCGUUCUUUAUAUAUAAUCAUAUAUAACCAUGAAUGCUCAUGUAAUGCUUAUGAAAAUGCAGUAAUAGAAAAGGUUUAUCAAGUUGUAUCUUGAAUACAAUUUUCCUUCACGGUACUCCAGGAAACUAGGGUUUUUGGAGUCAGUAUUUUAUUUCAUAGGGCAGACACUACUUGGAAGAUUAGGGUUUUGGGGUUUAGGUAUCAAACAUUGUCCAAAUCAAGUCAAACAUCACCCAAGGUUUCUAAAUAUCAUUUUAGGCUUAUCCAAAAAGUUUAGUGAUUUUUGGAGUUAUUAAAUAAUUUCUAAAAUUCCAGAGGUAUAGGUUUAAGUCCCUUUUAAACACUAUAUAAUUCCUUGUUUGGACUAAAAAUCCUAAAACUAUUUUUAUUAAAUACUAUAGAAAUUUAGGAGUCCAACAAAAUUGGUCUCAUAUUUUUGGCAUUUAUCUAGAAUUUUCUAUGAUUUCUUUAAUCGUGGCAGAAAAAAGAAAAAAAAGAAAGGGUGAACAGUGGUUAGCUGAAACUGGCCCGAGUCGGCCCACGAACGGGGAAAUACGAGCGCGCCUGCUCCCUCGUUGCUGGUAUUGCGAAAAGGCCCCUGGUUAAUCAAAUAACUGAUGAAGAACCCCUAACCAUUAUUCAUUGUCUCUGACAAAUGCAAAGAGGUCCUCCGACUUCUGUUUCUUCUCCAACCUGACUCAUGGCCACGACGCGCUCGCCGUCGACCACCUUGUUGCUCGGACUGGCCAUGACCGGCGUUGGCUGCCCAAAUUAACUAAUGGGCAAGCAUUACCGACCCAAGGCGAACCUAGAACAAGCCUUAAUUGAGUUAAUCCGGCCCUGGAUUCACCUACCCACGAUGACGGCGGUCACCGAGGUCAAACCGAGGCGUUCCUGACGAGUAAGCACAGUCUAGCUCAUUUAAUUGAGCCGACAAGCAUCACAAGCAUGCGAGGGUGCUAAAACAUGAAUAAGGAGGGUGAGUGCGGACCUGAGAGCGGCUAGCCCCGACGGGGUGAUUCACGGCGGCGCAUAUGAUCAAUUUGGGGGAAAACCCAAAUUCUACGGCUAUGGUGGCUAAUUGGAGAUGAGAGUUAGUGUCCUGGGUUCGUAAUAACUUGGCGAACUAGAGUGGGGCAUCAAUUUAUAGAAGCUUUAGGCGACGGCUCCAAAUUUGGGAGGAGAGUGGUGCUUAUCUCCCUGGUGAGGCAAUCACCGAGGCUACCAUGGAGCGCCUGUGUUCACCUUGCGCCUGUCACUAUCUCGGGGAUGCCACAAUCACGGCAAUGUGGUGAAUCAGGCGACUACGUGUCCCUUGCUGCGAUCACGGCGAGCACCGGCGGAGAUAUUCUACCGACCGCGCGGGCAAGUGGGUACGACGGUGACUCAGCCCCGGCGAAGACCUUCUUCCCCGAGAUCUUUUUAACCCUCACGGUUAUCUACUCCUUAUUAGCAUGAAUCGUGGCAUCAGCGUGAAUCGCAGUGUGGAGGUCACCAGCGACGAGGUACCCAGAACUUGGCGAUCUGAUCCAAUCACUGUACCAUCGCGCUAGUCAUUAGUGGUUCUGACAGAGCGAUUUGUAGUGCUUCGUUCUUCAAUUUUUAUGUAACAACUUGAUCUUCGGCCAGCAGGGAAAUUGUUGCCCUAUAAUCCCUUUCUAACUUUGUUAUAGUGUCCACCAUCAAAUAGUCACAAGAUCCUACUCAAAAUCGAUUUCUAAGUUCAUCCAACUUCACUGUUAAUCAGAAUUCAAACUUAGGGCUGACUGACAGCCCGACUUUGUGCUCAUUUUACUCCAAAUUUUGCAUGUGAUCAAGGCUUAAUCACAUAAGCAAAGUUGUACUUAUAUGAUAGCUCUAUAACCUUGAUGUAUUGACCCUGGGCAAAUUCCUUGUAAGUUCAGGAAUAUAGAGCUACAAAGUCAGCCCUAUGCAACUGAAUUUAGACUUAGGCAUAUGGAGCAUAUGAGGUGCUUUUGCAAUUAAGUCCAAAUUUCACAAUUUGAUUUGCAAAUCCUCAAUUUUGUGAAACAUAUGAUUUAUGGUGCUCUAAUACUUUGGUUUUUGCACUUGGGUCCAAAAGUGCACAAAAUUUACAUUUAGCCCCCUAGGGUUCCAAUUUAGGGUUUUCUAGGGUUUUUAGUACUCUAUGGUUUUGGUGUUACCCAAGUCCAUUAAAUGUGAUAUCUUAUGAUCAUUUCUAAUGAGUUUUGAGACUUUAACUUAUUUGGGCUUCAUUUUCACUCAUAUGCCUAGUUUAGGGUUAAGUACUCUACCCUAGAAUUACACACAUACCAAGUCACACCAAUACAACUUGUUUGAAAUUUUUUCCUAGUGAAUGCACUCUAAGUGUAACAAACACAUGAUAUGCUAAUGCUCAUGAUGUUAUGAUCAAGUUUUAGUAACAGUAACACCAGGGGUGUUACAUCCUUCCCCCCAUUAAACAAUCUCGUCCCGAGAUUAAAAGUCCUAGGGCAAGUAGUGGAAAAGGAAACGCGUCAUAUUUUUAUUUCCUUAUUUCUUGUACAAGGCAGGGGGUGGUAUGGGGUCUACUCCUCUUUUACAACAAUUGUACAUAUCUCACAAAUUACAUGAAGCUAAAAUGCCUGGGAAAUUCUUUUCUAAAAAGUCUUGGGUUUCCCAUGUAGCUUCAUCUUUCGUAUGUUGGUUCCAUUGUAUCUUAUAAAAUUUGAGAACUCUUCUUCGGGUAACCCUGUCCUUUUGAUCCAGGACUCGAACACGAUGUUCUGAAUAUGUUAAAUCUGGUUCCAAGAUAACAUUCGUCACAUCAAUCGUUCGAUCAAGAACCCGAAGGCACUUCUUCAAUUGGGACACAUGGAACACAUUAUGCACUGCAGACAAGGUUUCGGGUAGUUGGAGUCGGUAUGCCACUGGUCCACAUCUUUCAAGGAUAGGAAAUGGACCAAUAUACCAGGGUGCAAGCUUUCCUUUUACCCUGAAACGAGAUACACCCUUCAUUGGUUAUACUUUCAGAUACACAUAGUCUUCAACUUGAAAGUACAAGGGUUGGCGUCGUUUGUCUACAUAACUCUUUUGUCGAGCUUGUGCUUUUUUCAAAUUAUGCAUAAUUCAUUGAACUUUUUCUUCCAUUUCUUUAACCAUAUCAGGCCUGAAAAACCAUCUUUCCCCUAGUUCAGACCAAUUUAAUGGAGUAUGGCACCGUCGUUCAUAUAAAGCUUCAAAAGGUGUCAUCUUGAUACUUUCUUGAUAACUAUUGUUAUAUGAAAAUUCUAUCGGUGGUAAACAGUCAUCCCAUUUCUACAGAAAUUCUAAAACACAUGCUCGCAACAUGUCUUCAAGUAUCUGGUUCACUCUCUCAGGCUAUCCACUUGUUUGGGGAUGAUAGGCCGAACUGUGAAGCAACUUAGUACCCAAAGAUUUGUGGAGUUCUUCCCAGAAUUUGGAUACAAAUUGUGGUCCGCAAUCUGACACUAUUAUUUUUGGGAUCCCGUGCAGACUGAGAAUACGAGCAAUGUAAAGUUCUGCAUAUGUCAUUACUAGAUACUUUACCUUUACUGGAAGAAAGUGGGCGGUCUUUGUAAGUCGAUCAAUGAUAACCCAGAUAGAAUCAAAUCCUUUUGUUGUCCUGGGUAAUCCCACAAUGAAGUCCAUGCUAAUGUUCUCCCAUUUCCAAGUCGGGAUGGGCAAAGAUUGCAGUGGACCAACAGUCUUCAUGUGUAUGGCUUUGACACGUCGGCAAGAGUCACACAUCGCCACAUAGCGUACAAUUUCAAUCUUAAUUUUUGUCCACCAAUAAUGUUGCUUUAAAUCAUGAUACAUCUUAGUGCUUCCGGGAUGGAUGGAAUAUCGACUAAGAUGUGCUUCAUCCAAAAUUUGCUGACGGACAUCAUCAUCUUUAGGCACAACUAUGCGGUUAUUAAACCAUACAAUGCAUUGAUCAUCCUUUCUGAAAUAGUUUGCUUUACCGUCCUUUAUUUUCUCAUGAAUGUGUUUCAUACCCUUAUCACUUCUUUGUGCAUCAAUAAUCUUUUGUAGAAGAACUGACUUAAGCUUCAAUUGAUUUAAGGUUCCAUGUUGAAUCAUUCCCAGGUUUAAUUUCUCCAUUUCUUGGCAUAAUGUGAUGUCAGAAGUCUUUAUUGUAUGACAAUGGCAGCAAGCCUUGCGACUUAGUGCAUCUGCCACCACGUUGGCCUUGCCUGGGUGAUAGUGAAUUUCUAUUUCAUAAUCCUUAAUCAGCUCAAGCCAUCUCCUCUGCCUCAUAUUUAGUUCUGACUGGGUAAAAAUGUACUUCAAACUUUUAUGAUCUGUAUAUAUAUAUAUAUGACAGAUAUUUCCCGGCAGAUAAUGACGUCAUAUUUUAAGGGCAUGAACCACAAUAGCUAAUUCUAAGUCAUGAGUUGGAUAAUGUUCCUCAUGCCGGCGCAACUGUCUUGAAGCAUAUGCUAUAACUCGGCCCUCUUGCAUUAAGACACAUCCGAGACCACUGCCCGAUGAGUCAUAAUACACAUCAAAAGGCUUUUCAAUAUUCGGUUGAGCUAAUACCGGAGCAGUGGUCAAUAACACCUUCAGCUGCUCGAAGACUUCGUUGCAUCUUGAGGACCAGUUAAAUUUUGUAUCAUUCUUUAACAAGCUUGUGAUUGGCUUCACAAGCUUGGAGAAAUCCGGGAUAAAUCUGCGGUAAUAGCGAGCCAGUCCAAGGAAACUUUGGACUUGAUGUACAGUGGUUGGUGGUUUCCACUCUAAAAUAUCCUUGACCUUGCUAGGAUCAACCGCAAUCCCAUUUGCAGAUAGUACAUGUCCUAGAAAUUGGAUUUCCUCCAGCCAAAACGUGCACUUGCUGAAUUUAGCAUAUAGUUGAUGUUCCCUUAAGCGCGUUAAUACGAUCUGUAGAUGCUAAGCAUGCUCCUCUUCAUUCUUGGAAUAUAUCAAGAUAUCAUCAAUGAAGACCACCACAAAUUUGUCCAACUCAGGCAUAAAUACCGAGUUCAUUAGAUAUGAGAAGUGAGUAGGAGCAUUCGUUAAUCCGAAAGACAUAACCAAAUAUUCGAAUAAUCUGUACCGCGUAGUAAAUGCGGUCUUGGGUAUAUCUUCGGGUCGGAUACGGAUAUGAUGAUAGCCCGACCUGAGGUUAAUUUUGGAAAAUACCUAAGCUCCGGUAAGCUGAUCAAAUAAAAUAUCAAUCCGGGGAAGAGGGUACUUGUUCUUGAUUGUGACCUCAUUAAGGGGUUUAUAGUCCAUGCACAUCCGAAGCGUUUGAUCCUUCUUCUUAACAAAGAUUGCGGGACACCCCCAAGGUGGUGAACUGGGCCGGAUGAAUCACUUCUCUAGUAGAUCUUGUAAUUGAGUCUUGAGUUCUGCCAACUCAUUUGGAGGCAUUCCGUACGACCUUCUAGAAAUAGGAGCCGUACCGGGCUUUAGUUCAAUCACAAACUCUACAUCUCUUUCUGGAGGUAAUCCAGGCAGAUCUUCAGGAAAGAUGUCCGAAAACUCACACUACCGGAAUAUCUUGGAUUUCCGGUAUGAUAGCUUCAUAGACUCUGCCAAAUGGUUUAGCUGGAAUAGCUACAGGGAUGGACAAAAGAACCUCUUCAUGGCCAUAGCUCAACCCGAUGGUUCUUAAAUCAGUGUUGAGGAUAGCUUUGUGAUGGGUUAACCAAUGCAUGCCCAGAAUUACAUCUAUAUCUUGGCCUUUUAGAACAAGCAUGUUGGUGGGAAAGUCCUGCUCAGCCAAUGUUACGGGCACAUGGAAAGCCACUUCUUUAGUGAAUAUUUGUCCCCCAGGCAAAUGAAUAAUAAACCCUUCCCUUGAUUCAAUGCAAGGAAUGCAAUAUUUCUCCACAAAUUUCUUGCUUAUGAAUGUAUGCGAAGCACUAGAAUCAAAGAGAAUGACUGAUGGGUGAUUGGCCACAAGAAACGUACCCAUCAUUACCAGCUCUCCCUCCGGUGUAGUGGCCACUUGAGUGUAGUAUAUUCGCCUAGUCUUCUUAAUAUUCUUGCGUGCUGAAUUAUUUGCCAUGUUUCCCUUGCCUUGAUUUGAGCUCCCUGAGUUCUGCUGAUUGUUGGAUUUGUUCUGCCUCGGAUAUGGGCAGUCAGUUGAGGAACUAGGGAGGGCGGGGAAACGAGCACCAGGGGCACUCGGCUGACUUGUAGAAGUGGGGGCAGUGGCAGGGUGAAUGAAGACAGGCUGUUUGAAUGGGUAGGAGGGUGGACGAGGUGAAGAACGGUUUUGAUUGAAAGGUCGGAUUACCAACCUUGGUCGCUUUUCAGGCCCCCUAAUUGGACAUGUCACCUCUAAAUCCCUUAGAUCUUCCUUGGCCUGUAUUCUUAGCUUCUACUGUCGGCGCUGUGCUGACAGCCCUGCUGUAUGUGAGAUCUAGGCAGGUGGCCAUUUUUCUUUGAAGCCGGUCAUUGAGGCCUCUCAUGAUGCAAUUCUUCUUUUUCAGGUCAGUAUUUACUUGAUCAAUUGCAUACUGGGAUAAAUGAUUAAAUUAGUUGAGAUACUGCUGUUGGGGGCCUUCGUCUUCUGAAGAUCCUCAAAAACAUGAUUUAACAAUGUUUCUGGAGAAUAAUACAUGAACAGGUACCUUCAGACUCGAAUCAGAACCAUAAUGUGAAGAGCACAAACAAUACGAAGGUUGACGCAGAGCCGAACAUAUGCGCAAGGGAGCUUCGACAUGAUAGCAGAAAAGGGAACCGACUUAAAAGGGAAAAGGCUAUUUAGACCUCGAUGGAUCAUUAUAGAGUCAUUAGCAAAUGUAAAGGGCAUGAGUGUAACUUUACAUGGGCUGCGUCCCGUGCCUAUAAAUAGAUGAACAGUGCUCCUGUACUAUUCACGCUGACUUGGCAUUUUGCUUUUGCGUCACACUCGUACCUUUACCUUCUUUCAAGCCGAAGGUACAUUUGUAAUUUGAUGUCAUUUCUAUUUUUCCAUGAUAAUAAAGUAGAAAUGAGCUGAUAAUGUUACAUAUUUGUUCAUGUUAUCUCUUACAUUCCAUAUGAUUCUCCUUUUAUUAUCCUAUGCUACAAUCAUGAAGGUAUGUCCUUCAUGACCUUCGUCUGAAGAUCAUUACAUCCUAAGGGAAAUAAUGCUUCGGAGGACGAAGGACAUUAACAUUUAAUAUUUUGUGUUGCCUUGUUCUUAACUCAUGGCAUUUGAGAACAAGUCCCCAACAUUGGCGCCCACCUCCGGUGAACUCUUUUCGACCACCUUCGGCAAGCACUGACCUUCAUCAUGCCACCGAAGAAAGCUUCAGCGAUAGGGGCUGCCACUUUGUAGCCACUAGACCCAAACUAGGAGACCCUUUCUCUUCGAGAGGCCCGAAGCCAGAAGAGGAAGGCCACUAGUCCAACACUCCAGGAGGAGGAGUUGGACCAAGAAAUCAGAAAUAUGGAGAUGCUUCAUCAACAAGUACAAAGGAAGAAGGAGAAGAUGGCCCGACUAGCUGAUCUUCAAAGGCAGAUUGACGAAGCCACUGAAGAAGUAUGCCAUCUUGCUCAAGACAAACAAGAGCGAAGGCCCCAACAUAGGGAGCUUCACCAAGAAGGUUUCUUCAACGAGGAUGGAUGGUAUGAUGAUUUCAAUCAUGACACCUUUACCUUUGACGAUGCUUCUCCCUUAGCAGCAGAACUGCAGGCUAUCCCAUGGCCUCCAUCAUACAAGCCACCUCAGCUCCCCAUGUAUGAUGGACAUUCAGACCCGAAGCAGUUUUUGAUGAGUUAUGAAGCAACUAUAUCUUCAUAUGGAGGCAAUGCAGCUGUCAUGGCCAAGUCCUUCGUCAUGGCAGUUAAGAAUGUGGCCCAAACGUGGUAUUCUUCUCUUCGGCCAGGAACUAUUACUUCAUGGAAGAAGCUCAAGGACAUGCUGGUGAUAAGUUUCCAAGGCUUUCAGACGAAGACAGCCACAGCUCAGGCUCUAUUUCAAUGCACGCAAGAUCAUGAGGAGUAUCUUCAGGCAUACGUCCGAAGGUUCUUGCGUUUGAGAGCACAAGCGCCUACAGUGCCCAAUGAAAUUGUCAUUGAGGCCAUGAUGAAGGGGCUUCAUCCAGGACCUACUGCCCAGCAUUUUGCUAGAAAGCCUCCACAGACUUUGGAAAAGCUGCUUCAAAAGAUGGAUGAAUACAUCCGGGCUCACAAUGAUUUUCGCCAAAGAAGGGAACAAUCCUACAGGUUCUCUGAGAUGACCAGGGACUUCGGAGGAAGAAUCCACCCAAGGCAUGUUAGGUCAAUCCACUCUACCCAAAGUGACGACAGAGGAAGUCAGCAAUAGAGGCCACAAUAUUCCUCACAAGCUUCGGGGCAGCAACAAAGCUCUUUCCGGCCGCCAGCUCCAAGAGGCAAAGGCGCCAGGGGCUUCGGAGGAAGGUUAGGGGAUCAACCCAGGAAAAUUUAUUGCUUAUUCUGUGGUGAGGUCAAAGGCCAUACUACAAGGAUGUGCCAUGUCACCAUUCAGAAACAAAAGGAAAUAGCAGAAGCUGCAAGCAGAACCAGCCGAAGCAGGUCAUGCAUACCGCUUCGUAUCACUCACCCUACAUACCAGAGUAUGUGGGUAACCAUCCUGCAGCGUCUGUUGCUUCGGCUAGUCAGCCACAAGCAUCCUGGCCAUAGCCCGCACCUCCGCCACAACUACAACCUGCAUAUUCACGAGGCCAGCAACCAGAAGGGAGCCAACAGACCCAUCAGCAGCGAGAUUUCAGGGAGGAGUCUGAAGCUCGCACAGUCAACAGUACUGUGCCAGAAUCGAAGCAUAUCUACUAAGAGAUAUCCUACUCCUGAAACAGUUUUUACAUUCAUCAUCAUUUUCUUUUUUACUAAGGAACAAUCGUUCAAAACCUAGUUCUUUUAUCAUUUUCAAUUUCCUGUAAUAGCUUCGUUCUUGCCAUAGCAAAAUAUACCUUCUCCACAGACUCACGAAGUUCAAAAAGUUGCUGAAGCACAAAAGUCGUUCCUAAGGGAACGCGGGGCUAAAAAUCACAUUACAAGUAUCACCGAAGCUACAAAAAGCCGUUCUAAGGAACGCAGCAUAAGUUUGCCGAAGCUACAAAAAGUCGUUCUAAGGAACGCAGCGUAAGUUUGUCGAAGCUACAAAAAGUCGUUCCUAAGGGAGCGCAGUGUAAGUUUUCUGCUCAAAAGUCGUUCCAAAGGGAAUGCAGAGCCAAAUACCGCCGAAAUAUAAGGCGAAGCGCGAAAAGUCAAUGCGAAUACCGCCGAAAUAGAAGGCGAAGAAGUUCAAUAGAUGUUCCUAAGGGAAUGCAGAACUUACAACAAAAAGUUAGCACUGAUACACCGAAAAAUAAGCGGUGAAGCCGAAAAAUAAACGACAAAGAGAUUGUGUAUUCCACUGUGGGGAUGUGAGUGUGUGUCUUCGACACAAAUAUCAUUUUGCAUAGCAUAACAUCAUCACAUCAUUUCGCAUAACAUAACAUCAUACAUCACAUUGCAUCAAUGGCACAAGAAGGGGAUACAAUGUUGACCUUCGGAGAAUGCUUCGAAAAAGUGAAAUUGUGCUAAGGCACAAAAUAAGUUUUGAAGAAAUACAGCUUCAUCAGCUCUGAUGUGGAGGAAAAAAUCUAUCGUUGACGAAGUAUUAAUGCUUUGGCGACGCCUGGAGGAUUUUUUUUACGAAGCACUCUGAUGUGGAGGAAAAAAAUCUAUUGUUGACGAAGCAGCAAUGUUUUUGCCACGAUUGGAGGAUUUUUUUAUGAAGCAUAAAGGCUCUUCUUUACGAAGCAUGAAACGAAGGGAAGGUGUUUUUUCGCCGAAGGCUCAAAAACGGUAUGUACAUAAAAGUUUCAUGCAUCGCAAAGAAAUGAAUUACAAAGCCAAUCAUAUAUUACAUUCAAAACCCAUGAGCACCAAAUAUUAAAAGCAUGGUCCAGCAAAUGUUACAUUAAUCAUCUAACAAUGUUUUUACAAUAGCUAUUCUUCUUCUUUCAAAACUUUAUCUGCCGCUUCGGUCAGCAGUUGGGUAACGACUUCAUCUACAUAGUUUCGACCAUGUUAAUAAUUUCUGUUGAUUCCUUUGCCUCUGGGUCGGCCAGUGACUCGAAGGGAUCUAGGGGAGGAGAUAGUUCAGCUGUGGUAGAAAACGUAAAUCAGUUCGAAGUCACAAAAAUAAAACAACAAAGUUAAACACCAUUAAGUAAUACCUAUCCGCCUUUCGAGUUCCGCAGCUCUUUCAGCUGCUUUCGUUGCUUCUCUAGCGUCAUGAAUAUCUUUUUCGUUUUUCUUUAUUAUUACAUGGGCCAUUCCUCGGCCGCCAUUUUCCCAUAUGUCAGUAAAAAAAAUUCCACCUAUUAAGCUUGCUUUGGUCGAGGGGUCCUUCGUAUCAUCAAUGCAGAGGGCAGCUUCGGCCUGAGCCAAGGUUUUAACAUGCUCACAACUUGACUUCUCCAAAAUAGCUGCAAUUCCCCUCACACCAGAGAAGGCACAGACGUCGCCGCGGUCACUCAAAAUUUCCUCAAAAGCUUCGGCUUCGCUGCUGAUCCAUUCAAUUGGGCCUUCGGGGUCGUCCCGUAUGAACUUAUCUUCGCUUGAAUAUGUGCCAACGUUGGCGAAGCUAGUUUUUAUUUUCUUCACACAUUCCAUAGAUUUUUCAAAACAUCUUUCUUUCGACGAGCGAAGCUCUGCAACUGUUUUCUCCCAAUAAUUUUUUCAGUAAUCACUGGCAUCUCGGUCAGCUUCAGCAAUAGCGCAUUUCAAUUUUGCUUCGGCCAGUUGUUUUUGGAGGUUUUCAAUCUCGUUCCUUUGGAUUUCAGAUUGCGUCUUGUAGUUAGCUUCAUCCCCCUUUACUUUGUCCACCAAUGUAAGUAGAAUUUUGUCUUUUUCCAAAGCUUCGUUCCUCAGCUUAAUAACCUCUGUUCGAAGGUUGUUGAGAGCGAUAGUGCAACUCUCAUCUUCGGCGUUCUUUUGCGCCCUUAAGGCGUUGCUAAGUAUUAAACCCUAUAUGAAAAGAAUAAACGAGUUAAUAUAAGAACAAAAGAAUAAUUCAAAAUUCAUAAGCUUCCAAAUAUACAAUUUUUGUACCUUCAGACUGUUAUAUGCAAGGCGAUCCCCAAGAUCGUCCUUCGUCAUGGCGCAGAGGCUAGUUUCAAGCUUCGGGAACCCCAUACUUCUGGUCGUCUCCUGGUAGAUAGAUAAUUCUUUGUUGUCUGGGAGGCAAUAUAAGAAGUCAUCUUUGUCUGUACCAUUGAACACUAAGGCCCCUUUCGGGCACUUCAGUUCUCGGGCAUAGUGUUUAGCUUCAAAAAUCUCUUCUUCAGAUAAUCUUUUUCCCGAAGCGUGUCGUAUAAUAUAAUCAAGAACUUCGGAAGGCGCUUCGAGAGUAGGAGUGGCAGCCUUUUCAGGCAGAAUCUGUUCUAUAGCUUCUUCUUCCGCUGCCUUUUCUCCAGUUUCCAAGGGUUUCUCCUUGGCGGGCUCUGAAGGCCCAGCUUCGGCGUCGGCCUGGCUUAUUGUAGCUUCGACUUCAGUCAGCUUUGUCUCGGUUUCAAUCUGCGCUUUCGAAGCCUUGGCAGUUUUUCCUGUAGUAGAGCUUCAAGCUUUUAUUGUCUCCAGCACAUCUAGUACACUAGCUAUCCUUUUUCUCUUGGGGGUUGCUGCUAGACCUUUUUGUGUCUUUGGCACCUCCACUCUUGCCGAAGGGCUUAGGACUUCUAAUGUUUUUGCCCCUUCGAUUCUUGAUUUUUCAAUUUUGUCAAUCUUCGGCAUUGCAGCCGGCUCUUCAAUCCUCUGCGUAAGGGCAGGCCCUUUGGUUUCAAUAGCCGAAGAGGUCUCACCGCCAAAUUCAGGCACUAUGGCCGGUUCAAUGUAGCGCGGUCGGUGGGUAAGGGCUUUCAGAUUUUUCCUCUUCGGCGUAGGCUCGCUUGGAGCAGCCGAAGCAGCAACGUUUCCAGAAGUUGUACUCUUUCUCUUCUGCCCCCGUGGCGGGUAGCGGUAGUCAGGGUACAUAAAUCCAAUAGCAUCAAAAACUCUAUUUAGCCUCUUCUUUUUCCGGCUCCCGAAGGCCGCAAAUAGUGCGUUAUCUUCAGACUUGGAGUAUGCUCCAAGUAGUUCAUCACUAGUGUUUUCAACACACUUCAGCCAGUCAUCGUCUGGUUCAAUAAACUGGUCUCCAAACCUGAAGGUAUAUUUCAAUCGAACCAAACCACCUUCGCUAGGGUUAGUAAUGGUUUCCUUUGGCAUUUCCUAGUUGUCUAUCAGUGGCCAUAUCCUGUAGGCCACGUGCUCUUGGACUAAGUCCCUUGUCCUAAUAAAAGUGCAGACUGUGCUGAAGGCCCUUUGGCAUGCUUCGGCUGCCUCGUCAAUCUCUACCUUCGGUUUUCGGAGCCCGAAGCGGGACCAGAUUGGUUGCAUGAUGAUUUCUUUAAUAUCUUCUCUUGCUUUUAAAUGAUUCUUCACAUAAAACCAUUCUUCCAUCUAGGCCCCGGGCCACCUCUUCCGAAAGGUUGGCACUGGGUAGCUUGAGCCAGAGCGACCAACGAAGCUGUAGCAACCAAAAUUGUUAUGGUACUGUUCUUUACCCCAGGGUUUCGUUUCAUAGCAUAGUUCAUGCAUACUGCAAAAGCAUUUUGCACUUGGCUCUAGACCUUGACUUCUCACAGCCCAGACGAAGAUCCCCAUUCUGAUAAUUGCUUCGGGAGUGAUCUGGUGAAGGAAAAUCUAAUAUAUCUUUAAAACCUCAACCACAAAUCUGCUCAACGGGAAUCGAAGCCCGGCUUUGAAGAAGCUUCGGUAGAUCACAACUUCAUUUUCUUCGGGGCAGGAACAGCCCUGUCUGCGUCAGCCCUCACAUAAGACAUAUCUUGAAAAUACCUUCCUCUCAUAUUAUCAAGAUGGCUCUGUUUGAUAGUUGAUUUCCCGAAGACUGAAUGACUUGGUCGCUAGGGCCGAUCUUCAGAAUCUUCGCCUCCACUUUCUACAUCAUAACUGUCGCUGUCAUCAGUAUCUUCAGAUAAGCCUUCUAUAAUUUCUUUCGUAAUCUUUUCUGUGUUUGUUUUUGCAAUGGACUCAAUAAAUCCAGCAGUCUUUUCCUCAAGGAGCUUCUCCUCCUCGCUCAGCUUCGUCUCAGCAGCAACUUUUUUGUCUUCAGACAUCUUUUCUUUGGAAAUGGUGAAAACGUGUCAUUAAAGCCAAAGUUUACAAAGUCUAAGAAAUCAAGCAAGCGUUGGUAGGCAAGAGCUAAAAAAUUAAGCAAGCAUAGCAGGUGGCAGAUAGCGUACCAAAUGUGCUUGGGGUGGGUUCUUAUUUAUACGCCCGGUGCGCUCCAAGUUGGAGGGCCCUGUAUGUCAUUAACUGUUGCUAUUCUAGCAAAGGGAAGGUGUUUUUUCGGACCUUCGGCUUAGGGCCUUCAUCCAUAUCGCAAUCUGAAUUCGUUAUUCUAACAAAUUAAUAUUGCGAGGGGCUACUGUUGGGGGCAUUCGUCUUCCGAAGGUCCUCAAAAACAUGAUUUAACAAUGUUUUUGGAGAAUAAUACAUGAACAGGUACCUUCGGACUCGAAUCAGAACCAUAAUUUGAAGAGCACAAAGAAUACGAAGGUUGACGCAGAGCCGAAGCUAUGCGCAAGGGAGCUUCAGCAUGAUAGCAUAAAAGGGAACCGACUUAAAAGGGAAAAGGCUAUUUAGACCUCGAUGGAUCACUAUAGAGUCAUUAGGAAAUGUAAAGGGCAUGGGUGUAAUUUUACAUGGGCUGUGUCCCGUGCCUAUAAAUAGAUGAACAGUGCUCCUGUACUAUUCACACUGACUUGGCAUUUUGCUUUUGCGUCACGCUCGUACCUUUACCUUCUUUCAAGCCGAAGGUACAUUUGUAAUUUGAUGUCAUUUCUAUUUUUCCAUGAUAAUAAAAUUGAAAUGAGCCGAUAAUGUUAAAUAUUUGUUCAUGUUAUCUCUUACAUUCCUUAUGAUUCUCCUUUUAUUAUCGUAUGCUACAAUCAUGAAGGUAUGUCCUUCAUGACCUUCGUCUGAAGAUCAUUACAUCCUAAGGGAAAUAAUGCUUCGGAGGACGAAGUACAUUAACAUUUAAUAUUUUGUGUUGCCUUGUUCUUAACUCAUAGCAUUUGAGAACAUGUCCCCAACAACUGCAUAACAGUAUCUCCUCCUUGCUUGAGUCGCAUAAAUUCCUCCUGUUUCAUGUGUAGCACUCCUUCUGGAAUAUAGUGCUCACGAAACGCUAACUUAAACUCAUCCCACGUGACCUGAUGUCUGGCAGGUUGAAUGGCCACAAAAUUUUCCCACCAAGUACUGACAGGGCCUCUUAACUAUUGAGCAGCGAACAACGGCUUCUGGGUUUCAGUGCAGCGGAUUAGUCCAAAUUUCUGCUCUAUAACCCGUACCCAUUCGUCGGCUUCCAGAGGGUCUUCGGCUUUCACGAAAAGUGGGGGACAUGUUUCAGAGAAGUUCAGGUAUGAAGUCUCAUGUGGUCCCUGCGGAUAAGCCCUUCCGCCAUGUUGCUGGAAUCAAUUUCCCGCCAUUUCACGUAAAAAGUGGGUAUUGUUGGUGGUCGCAUUGACCAAGGCAGCGAUAGCCUCGGCCAACGUUGGUGGUAUAGGCGGUGGAUUGGGCAUGUCUUCCCGACCACGGGACGUACCCGCACUGUCAUUUGCACGAGUCCUGGAUGGCAUCUGAGGCAAAGAAACAUUUGGAAAAAAUAUAACAUGCCAAUAUACACCAUCAUUUUACAUUACCAAGAUGUAAUGAUACAAACUCAAUUGUACAACAUGACUUUAUUACCUAUUUACAUUAGUAUUACAUCUAAACUAUACUACUCUAGUAUUUAUCGUCUUUGGUUGCUUCACUGUCUGUUGUAGGGGACCGCUCAUCAGCCAGGUUCAUAGAAGGAGGGGGCUUAAAAAGGUCCAAUUCCCCACCAAGUCCUUCACCUGAUGUUCCUGAGGGUCCGGCUCCCAUUGCAACAGGGUCGGCAGGCACGUCUGGGUGCAGUCGCGAAUACAGUAUAUGGACUUCCUCAUGUAAAGUAUUGCAAUACACCUGUGUCGGCGUUUCGACCCCGGGGGGUCCCUGGACCGACGAGUAAAUUGUCGCUGCGUGCCCCAGCCCAGAUGGGUUGGCGCGAGACGGAACACAAAGGGGGGAAAACCACGGCUUCAUGUUAUCCUACGCCAGAGUGGGUGCGCUUGCAGUAGGGGUUACAAGCAUUCGCGAGGGAGAGAGAGAGUCCCGCGCGACCACCCUCUCAUAUGAGGGCCCUGGCCCUUCCUUUUAUAGAUUCAAGAAGAGGGUCCAGGUGUACAAUGGGGGUGUAGCAAUAUGCUAACGUGUCUGGUAGAGAGGAGCCGGAGCCCAAUGUACAUGCCAAUGUGGCUGUCGGAGAGGUGCUAGGGCCCUGUGUACAUGGUCGUGGCUGUCGGAGGAGCGUUUGAGCCCUGUAGAAGCACAACUAUCAGGGCUGUCGGGACCUUGCUGACGUCUCCUUGCUUCCGUAAGGGGCUGAGAGCCGCCGUCGUCAUGGACGCACGCGGGGAGCCAUCAUUACAUGUUACCGGGGCGAGCCUGGAUGGGACGCCGAUCUUGUUCCCCCGUAGCCUAAGCUAGCUAGGGGUAGGGUAAUGAUGAACCCCCUGUGGCGUGGACGGUCCGAGCCCGAGGUCGGGCGAGGCGGAGACUCCUCCUGAGGCCGAGGCCGGGGUCGGGCGAGGACGUGAUUCCGCCCGAGGUCGAGGUUGAGGCUGGGCCCUGGGGUCGGGCGAGGCGGAGACCACCUUCCGAGGUCGAGGUCGAGGCCGAGCCCUGGGGUCGGGCGAGGCGGAGACCACCUUCCGAGGCUGAGGCGGGGGCCGAGCCCUGGGGUUGGGCGAGGCGGAGACUUCUCCUGAGGCCGAGGCCCAAGGUCGGGCGAGGCAGAGCUUCCUGUGGCGCCUGAGGCCGGACUCAGCUGCUGUCAGCCUCACCCUGGCGGGUGGCACAGCAGUCGGAGAGGGGCGAGCGGCGCUGUUGUGACACCCCAGGUGUCAGUUUCGUGUUACGUCGCGAGAUUUGUCCUAAUCUCGGAUGCUCAGUAAAAAUUUUCUAUUUUUCGCUCGCCUAUGUCCCUAAUUAUCCAGAUUAUUCAUUCACGUUUCACCGAAUUCGGAAUUAUUCAAUCUCACAGAAGGCCGAAUUUGGAGCCUGUUAAAACUUUUAUUUCUCGGAACGAAUGCAAACUCGAUAAUCAUUCUCAAUUUAUCAAACUCGUCUAAAGCUCGUUUAAUCAAACGCUCGACAGCUGCUAGUCGAGCUGUGUCCGACUCCGAUUUCUCGAUGUUCGAUCUAUGUCCAAAAAAAAAUUAAUCCGACUCCAUACUCUCAAACGGAAUGCUCAAUAGGUCGUCCUCUAAAUCAAUUUUAUCCGUUUCGGCCAAAUAUCUUAUGUCCGAACCGAACUCAAAACCCCGUAUCGACGACAAUUUUAAAAUGUCACGAUCCGAUUUCUCCGACUAAAAUCCAGGGCCGAUCAAAUCUCAGGGCAAUUUAAUUUUGAAUCACGCGUAGAAAAUUAUUUUCGAGCGAAAUCAAAUCCAACUCUCGGCCGAAUUAAUUGCUCAAUCGUCCGUUUGCCGAAAUCUAUUUCGCUCUGUUCUGUGUACAGACAAAUUCCGCGGGAACAUUUAUUCCGGAAAAUGUUUAGCACAGUCCGAUUUCGUGUUUGGGCCAGCCCAACCCAGCCCAAUUGGGCCCAUUUAAAACCCUAACCCUAGGGCUGCUUCUAUAAAUAGGGGUGCUCACUUGGAAAUUUUCCAUUCCCACCCCACUAUUUUCCCUAGCCGCCAUUUCUUCUCUCCCUGGUUUCUUCCCCCACGCGCAGCAGGCAGAGCGCAGCGAGCUCGCCGGCGUCCAUGGCGUGGCACCUCUGCUCUCCCUCUCGCAGCGCCCCCUGCUCCUUCUCCCUCGCACAGCAGCAGCCGAGCGCCCUCCCUGCUCCUCCUCCUGGCGAGCGGCUGCAGCAGGGAGUCGUCUUCUCCGUGGUCGGCCAGCAAUCGAGCUCCCCAGCGUUUCCCUCUGUUGUCCAUGGCGUGGGCGAGCUCUGAUCCAUGGCGCCCUCCUCCCCUUCUUCUUCCUCAAGCCAGCAGGCGCCUCCCCCUACUCCCUGGGCACAGUGCCCCCUUCUCUCCCCUUGGUCACGGCUUCCUCUGCUUCUUGCUCCAUGGCGCCCUGAAUUCUCAGCAGAGAGCUUUUUUCCCCAUUGCCGACCCUCACUAUUGCAGACCGAGCCCCAGCGUCGCCCAGCAGCCAUGGCGCCCAAGCUCUCUGCUCCCAUCUCCUCCUUGGCGCAGUGGGAGAAGCUCCCAUGGGUGCCACCCCCCUGCAGCUUCCCCUUGCCGGCGCCCAGAAAUUGCAGCAGCAGCUCCUCCCCUCUCUCCAUGGCCGACGCUCAGAGCUCCAGCAGCCGCUCCUCCAACUCCCCAUGGCGUACUGCAGCAGACGCCUUGGAGCAACCCCGCCAUGGCUUGCGACUCGGUGUCCUCCCUGCUUGCGUGCUGCUGCGCAGUGCCUAUGGUGCUUGCUAGGUGCUCGACGAAAUGUGCAGCAACCUCGUCGUCUUCGUGCGCUGCCGGCUCGCUGUUUGGUGGAGCCAAUGGACAGCACGCCGUGAUGCCGCCGUGUGUUCGCUGUUUUUGCGCAGCCCCGAACAUCGAUGUCGUUCACCCCAGUGACAUCGCGACGCUCCUUGUUUGGUUCCACAUCGGCGUUAUUUUCAUACGAUUAAUUGUGUAUGUGUGCUGUUUUAUUUUUGUGGAAGAGAGAACCCCGUGUUUUGCGAGAAGAAGGGAAGCCGCUCGACGCUCGUCGAUGUUCGUAGCGAUGCACAAAUCGGAAUCUCCAUCGUCCUCACAAACAUCGAUUGGGUUUGUUUAUGGUGAGCCGAUGCAUGUCGCUCUUGAUCUACUGGUUUAAUUAAUUUGAAUGGAUGUGUGUAAAAUGUUUCGGUUAUGCGCAUUGGUGGGAUCACGUUUGCGAUUGGAGAACAAGAGUUUAUUCGAUGUAUGCGAUUUGUAGUUUGUACAAUUAUAUUUUAGUCGAUGUGGUGUACAAUUGUGUUGGAGUGUGGGUAGGUAUAAAAAUGUUUUGGUUAUAGGCCAUAGCAAGGUUGCCUUCACGAUUUGGUAAGCAAACAUGUUGUGUUGUUUAAUGUGAUGAGUAAAUUGGAAAUACGUGGGAUGCGAGGAUUUAAUUAGUGCACGUAGGUGUGUGAGUGCCGUGGUGUGAUAUAGUAGUGGUGGCGUGAGAUGUUUGUUUGAGGUGUGCGGGUAUAUGCCGCGAUGUGGUUAUACUCGCAACGAGAAAAGAUGUAUGUAUUGUGACACGACUCUUAGAUCGCUAUUAUAUGAUCGUGUGAAGGAUGCUCAUGAUGGUUGUGUGAUUAAGGAGUGAUGUAGUGGCAACCGAGAAGUAAGUUUAAUUUUUCAAACGACUAGUGGAUAGUAUCUAUCGGUGUUCUCAUGAUUUUUGUUGUAUGACAAUGUGAUGCUUUGCUUUGUCAAUUAUCACAUUCCAUGCCCCUUUUGAUAAAUAAUGUCUUGUUGAUCGAUUAGAAGUCUUAUAUGAGCGUUGUCGCAGCCCAAUGAUUAUUGGAGGCGAGUAGCGUUCAUGAGUCAAUCCUUGCUAAAAUUGAAGAACAGUCCGAUAACAUAUGCACAUGGGUGAUGUAGGUCCUUCAGUAGCCAGUGUAAGUCUUAUGGAGUUUUAUGUCAUAUUUUAAUGUCUCUAUGUUAGACCUCCUAAAAUAUGGUGUUUUAAGUGACUUGUGUGUUGUCCAGUGUAAGUUGAGAAAAGGUUAAGAAACAUUAAUUAACCUGCUCCCACCCAUGUUUUGAGUCGCAAUGUCUAAAAUGGUUUGCUAAGUUUUAUGUUGUGUUAGCCAACUCAUGUAAGUAGGAGUCGGUUGUGUAAGUGAGUGUGAUAUAUAUGUUGUGUCUCGGAUUGUGGUAAUAAUAGGCAAACCGAUGUGUAUGAUGUAUAGCGGCCUAGGUUGUUGCUUUGGUUAACCAACUUGCUAGAUGGCCUUGGUUAAGCUCAUAGUCACGAUGAUUUGCUUGUUGUAGUCUAAAUGUGUAUGAUUAUGGUCGUGGGUAAAAAUCUGUAGUGCUCAUGUGGUGUCUAAACUAAAAUGCGGACUAGUGGGUGAAAAGCGCUUAGAUAUAAGUAUAUGCCGGAUUUGAUGAUUGUGGUGAAUGCGUUUGUUAACUGAAUGUGGUAAUUUUAGUGCACUAAAUAAUUUGGAUAAAAGUUGUAAGUCUACUUGUUAGUCCUCAUUUAAUUAUUUUAACACUAAGAAAUGGUAAAGUGCUAGAAUGAUUCAAGUCUCUAGAAUGCGGCAAUUCUUGAAUUAUAGAAGCUGAAAUUUAUUGAUUGCUGUUUUGGGCUGCACGCAUUGUUUUGUUUGUGCUGUAUGUUUGAUGAACUAAAUGGUGUUUUCUGUACAUAUGUGCUAUAAAAAAGUGGUAGAGAACUUUAUUAUCUUGCUGGUGUUAAAAUUUGACAGCCAUAGGUCUGACAGUUUAGGAGUUAUGCUUUUUACAAAUUCAGUAACUGAAUCUGUCCAAAUUCUGUACAGAUUUCAGAAACUGCAUUGUUUGCCUAAUUUAAUGUUACAAUCUGUUCAUGGUCAUUAUAAGAAAGUUGUAGAUGUUUUUCUGAUCUUGCUUGUGUUAAAAUUUUAUAAACACAGGCCUGAUAGUUUAAGAGUUAUGAAUUUUACAAACUGGUUGCUGUGUUCUGUCCUCGGUCAGAACAGAUUUCGAAAACUGUAAUAUUUGAUUUGAUUAAAACUGGAAUCACUUCUUGGUGAUUAUAAAAGUUAUGUAGUACUUUGCCCAAGCUUUCCAAAAAGUCUUGAAUCACUAUUUUUGGUGGUCUGAAGAUUAAGUUACAUGUGUUUGAAGUGUGAAGACUGAAUCUGUCCAGUUUUGGACAGCACAGCCUUCACAGUAUAUUUUACCCUUGAUACAUGCUAAACCAGCCAGGGAUGUUUAUAAAUAAUUUGUAGAACAUUUAAUUAGCUUUCCAGAAAGUCUAGGAUCACUUAGUUUGGAUGUCUGAAUCUUUUGUUGUGAAAUUUUGAAGCCGCAAGUCUGAAUCUGUCCAAAUCUGGACAGAGCUGCUGUGUUUGCACAAUUCGACCUUGCUAAGUGUUUAAUCAGGUUGUGAUGACAAUACCAAAGUUGUAGAGCACUUUUUAAGCUUUCCAGAAAGUCCUAGUUUGAUAUUUUUGGACUAACAAUUGAAGAGUUAUGAUUAAAACAAGCAACUGCUGUAUUGCUGUCCAAAAAUUCUGCUAUUGCUCAUUUGAUUGUUAGUUCACCCGUUUGGCUAAAAAUGUUGGUUAGCACUAAAUUCAUAUAGAAUUACCAUGGCUAAGCUUGAGAUAACAUAUGUGUCAUGUUUUUAUACGUUUCUUUCUCUAGUAAAUUGUGAUGUAGUAUUGUGUUGCGUAAAUGUCCAGAAUGUUUGUCGUCUUUUUAGUGGUGUUAAUGUUGUGCGUUCGACGAUAUGUAGUUAGCUAACGCUAGUGUGUGUGGUUAUUUGUGAUGUCUCGCUACUUAGUGUUUAAUUCACUAGCGUGUACUUAAAGUAUCAUGUGCUAUUUCAUUAUAUUCAUGCAUAUGCAUCUUGCAUCUCAUUUAGGACCGAGAGAUGCUGAUCGUGCAAGUGAUGUGGUGCCAACAACAAGAUGCAGUUGGUGGACGACCUGAAGAGUGAUGGACUUAACCAGUGGAUGCUCGCCAAGCGAGUACCUCCCCCAGCAAACACUAUCUAAGUGUUAAAAAUUAAAGGCAAGCCCCGGUUUUAUGCAUAACCGUUUAUAUAUGCUAUUUUACUACACUUAAUGUUUGUAGGCUUGUACUGUGCACUUAAGUGUAGGAGUUGAAUGAAACCCUAGUUGCAUGAACUCAGGAUUCCUUUUGAGAUGGAUACUAGUAUGCUAGGUCGAGUAGCUGCUUUACUAAUUAGGGAUUUCGGUAGAAGUCGAGUGAUUUUUCUAGCACUCGCGCGAGGUCAGGAAUUGGUUGUACCCACUUUCAUAUCAUAUGGAUGAUUGGUUUGUGGGCAACAAUCCAUGGGGAUUGGUUGUCCACGGGAUAAAAAUUGGAAUAAGGAUUAAGGUGUGGUACCGUGAGUCAAGCGUUUGAACGUACUAAACACAUACCGAGAAAUAUGGUAAAUCGGUAAGCCUAGUACCUGAGUGAACCUGCCCGCAGACAUAUCCCCUCACGCGACCUGAGACUUGGUCUCCCAUUCCGGUUAUGGUGGGUACAAGUGCGGUCACUGCACGACGGCAGUCGGGGUCAGUGAGGCAUUGUACGCCAAGGCGGUGAGCCCUGAUCUGUUGCCAGGGAAUCGACGGGGACGGUUGAUGUGUGUGGGGACGGAGUGCCCCUACAUGUCGUGUGUUUAGGUUUACCUUGCAAGGUUUAAAAACUCGAUUCGAAUCGUCUGCUUCUCGCAGCUAAUGAGACUGCUUGAUCCAUGCUGCUACAUUGAGUAAUAAGUGAAAAUGAGUUGACUGGCAAAAUGAUGUUGAUUGAUAAAAUGUUUGAUAUCAUGUAUGAAUAGCUAGGUACACAUCUAGUUAAAAGGAUCAUACUAAAACUUGAAAAGCUAAAAACUUGAUUUUAGACUCAGCUAGUGCUUUUGGCAAACCAAACCCCUCAGCCAAACAGCUGCAUGUCUAGAGGUAGAGGAGUAGACUCCUCACACCGGGUAAGUCUAGCUGAGUAUUAGUAUACUCAGCCUUGCUUGUGGCAUAAUUUUUGCAGGUACUCCUUAGGAUGAUUGGUUGAUGGUGUGACUUGGCCUUCAUCCCUGCUACCGGGAUAGACGGUCCAGUGGGUUAUUGCUUCCGCAGGAGAGGACCAGGAGGAGUAGCGUGGCCAGGCUUCGCCAUGUUACUCGGUUUUCUCCGUUAGUUAUUUCCGCUGCAUUAAAAUUUAUGGUUAUUAUUUCUGAAACUCCGAUAAUGUAAUCACUAAUUAUACUUAUUAAAUUUGUGGUAUUAUGUUUUAUUGUAUUUCUCUGUGCCUCACCUUCGAGUGAGCUAGUGGUAUUCGAUCCUGGUAAGUGGCUUUAUCGGACUAGAUCCGAGGGACUGACGGGUUAUUCCUGUUUAAGUGUGUUGCUGCCCUUAAGGGUGCGACUUGGGCACUUAAGCUGGAAUAAUUCGGGCGGUUCCGCCACAGCUGGUAUCGGAGCGAAUACCAGUACAGAGAAGUCAAUAAGUCAUGAUUACCAACCUUUUCUAAAAGUAAAACUUGCUAGAGACCAAUGUUGGAUAGAUUGUCAGGACGAUCAGGAUAGACCUAGGACGUGAAGCCCUAGGAAUAGAUGGGUAGCUAGGUGGCUAUUUAUAUAGGCCAUAAAGGCUACUACUACUAUUAAUAAGGAUGUUGUAGAAGCAUCCGAAGAAUUAGCUAGGUCUGAGAAGACGACUAGAAUGAGCAUGCAUCAUGAUUGUCGCAUAAUUGUCUCUUGUGCACUAACAUGCUUCUCUCACCUUUAUUCCAAUAAUAAGAACUUGUGAAUAAUGUGAUGUAUUGCUAUGUUAGAAAUGCCUUACCUCGUGUCAGAUUGGUAAGUCUUGUUAGGUUGUGUUAUGUGUUUCUCUUGCCUUGCUAUCUAAGUGGUAUUGAAAUUGUUCAACCCUUUUUGCAAAAAAAAUGUUGUUUGUUUGCUCAUAAAAAGACCCCCACCCAAACAACCUUGAGCUUAGCAAGUGAAACCUUUAAAAAAAUUCAUGUGCUUGUUUUGAUGUUUCCAGCCCUUGAGUGUUUUAUCCUUGAAGUUACACCUGCACAGCUUAUAGACCCCCACAGCUUGACCGCUAGACCAACCCAAGUCUCCUUGUGCACUUGUGUCAAAAAAAUAUAUAUUUGUUGUUGGUGUCUAGUUGCGCAAACCCUAUCAAGGCCAUGUUUCUUUCCAUAAAUCCUUGCUCCUAAAACAUCAUAGCAUUUUUGUUGAUCAUCCUAGCUGAUCCUGUUCGCCUAUCUCUCCUUUUGCCUGGAUCUGGUAAUCCUUUUUCUUGUGAAUCAUAUUUGCUUUAUCAUCCAAAUCUCCGAAUCCUUUAAUGAUUCUGCCAUGUUAUCUGGUUAUCUGCUAUAACCCGUUCUCAAGUAUCGAAUGUUGAUCUUGCCUAAAUCUCUCAUUUCUGGUCAUUCUCAUACCCCCUUCUCUGAAGAUCAUGACACUAAUGUUAUCAACUUAUCCCUAAACAGCAUAUCCAUGUGGAUUAAUGGAUGUUGUUGUUAUCUUUGGAUCUCUCAUGUCUCUAAAAGCUUAUCAAUCUCGAUCUCAUGGUUGGUUCAUCCUCAUAUUAAAUAUCGUAUCAAUCUUUGGCUGAUAAUCCCCGUGAUGAUCAUAAAAUAGUUCUCAGAGUUAAAUAAAAAUUCUCAUCUGAUGCUCUUUUGCCAACAAUCUUUGCUUCAACUUCAGUCGCAUUUUCUGAGCCAUACUCUCAUGGGCUCCAUCUAUUUAUGCUAUGUGGAAUCCUCGUUGGUUACGUUUGGUAAUGGCGUCAUGACUAACGACUGAUGGUGCCGCGACGAAACCGAGAGCCUACUAUGGUGCACACAUGGUUGAGCCGCUCGGCACGCGCUGGUAUCGUGGUUAAUAGUCGUGAUCCAUUACGAGACUAUACUGGUGUGCUAUCUUUUGUGGAUUUUAUCUCAAGUGAUCACUGCAUUUUGUCUCAACAUGCCGUGAUAUUCUAUCCAAAUUUAUCUUCAUUAUCUUAUCAGAUCCCAUCUCAUAAUUUUGCAUCUAUCUCCAGCCUGGGAGUUACAUGCUUCUCCACCCUUUAAGAUCCUCAUUCGAAUCUCAGGACGAGAUUCUUUUUAAGGGGGGAAGGCUGUGACACCCCAGGUGUCAGUUUCGUGUUACGUCGCGAGAUUUGUCCUAAUCUCGGAUGCUCAGUAAAAAGUUUCUAUUUUUCGCUCGCAUAUGUCCCUAAUUAUCCAGAUUAUUCAUUCAUGUUUCACCGAAUUCGGAAUUAUUCAAUCUCACAGAAGGCCGAAUUUGGAGCCUGUUAAAACUUUUAUUUCUCGGAACGAAUGCAAACUCGAUAAUCAUUCGCAAUUUAUCAAACUCGUCUAAAGCUCGUUUAAUCAAACGCUCGACAGCUGCUAGUCGAGCUAUGUCCGACUCCGAUUUCUCGAUGUUCGAUCUAUGUCCAAAAAAAAUUAAUCCGACUCCAUACUCUCAAACGGAAUGCUCAAUAGGUCGUCCUCUAAAUCAAUUUUAUCUGUUUCGGCCAAAUAUCUUAUGUCCGAACCGAACUCAAAACCCCGUAUCGACGACAAUUUUAAAAUGUCACGAUCCGAUUUCUCCGACUAAAAUCCAGGGCCGAUCAAAUCUCAGGGCAAUUUAAUUUCGAAUCACACGUAGAAAAUUAUUUUCGAGCGAAAUCAAAUCCAACUCUCGGCCGAAUUAAUUGCUCAAUCGUCCAUUCGCCGAAAUCUAUUUCGCUCUGUUCUGUGUACAGACAAAUUCCACGGGAACAUUUAUUCCGGAAAAUGUUUAGCGCAGUCCGAUUUCGUGUUUGGGCCAGCCCAACCCAGCCCAAUUGGGCCCAUUUAAAACCCUAACCCUAGGGCUGCUUCUAUAAAUAGGGGUGCUCACUUGGAAAUUUUCCAUUCCCACCCCUCUAUUUUCCCUAGCCGCCAUUUCUUCUCUCCCUGGUUUCUUCCCCCACGCGCAGCAGGCAGAGCGCAGCGAGCUCGCCGGCGUCCAUGGCGUGGCACCUCUGCUCUCCCUCUCGCAGCGCCCCCUGCUCCUUCUCCCUCGCACAGCAGCAGCCGAGCGCCCUCCCUGCUCCUCCUCCUGGCGAGCGGCUGCAGCAGGGAGUCGUCUUCUCCGUGGUCGGCCAGCAAUCGAGCUCCCCAGCGUUUCCCUCUGCUGUCCAUGGCGUGGGCGAGCUCUGAUCCAUGGCGCCCUCCUCCCCUUCUUCUUCCUCAAGCCAGCAGGCGCCUCCCCCUACUCCCUGGGCACAGCGCCCCCUUCUCUCCCCUUGGUCACGGCUUCCUCUGCUUCUUGCUCCAUGGCGCCCUGAAUUUUCAGCAGAGAGCUUUUUUUCCCCAUUGCCGACCCCCACUAUUGCAGACUGAGCCCCAGCGUCGCCCAGCAGCCAUGGCGCCCAAGCUCUCUGCUCCCAUCUCCUCCUUGGCGCAGUGGGAGAAGCUCCCAUGGGCGCCACCCCCCUGCAGCUUCGCCUUGCCGGCGCCCAGAAAUUGCAGCAGCAGCUCCUCCCCUCUCUCCAUGGCCGACGCUCAGAGCUCCAGCAGCCGCUCCUCCAACUCCCCAUGGCGUACUGCAGCAGACGCCUUGGAGCAACCCCGCCAUGGCUUGCGACUCGGUGUCCUCCCUGCUUGCGUGCUGCUGCGCAGUGCCCAUGGUGCUUGCUAGGUGCUCGACGAAAUGUGCGGCAACCCCGUCGUCUUCGUGCGCUGUCGACUCGCUGUUUGGUUGAGCCAAUGGACAACACGCCGUGAUGCCGCCGUGUGUUCGCUGUUUUUGCGCAGCCCCGAACAUCGACGUCGUUCACCCCGGUGAGAUCGCGACGCUCCUUGUUUGGUUCCGCAUCGGCGUUAUUUUCAUACGAUUAAUUGUGUAUGUGUGCUGUUUUAUUUUUGUGGAGGAGAGAACCCCGUGUUUUGCGAGAAGAAGGGAAGCCGCUCGACGCUCGUCGAUGUUCGUAGCGAUGCACAAAUCGGAAUCUCCAUCGUCCUCACAAACAUCGAUUGGGUUUGUUUAUGGUGAGCCGAUGCAUGUCGCUCUUGAUCUACUCGUUUAAUUAAUUUGAAUGGAUGUGUGUAAAAUGUUUCGGUUAUGCGCAUUGGUGGGAUCACGUUUGCGAUUGGAGAACAAGAGUUUAUUCGAUGUAUGCGAUUUGUAGUUUGUACAAUUAUAUUUUAGUCGAUGUGGUGUACAAUUGUGUUGGAGUGUGGGUAGGUAUAAAAAUGUUUUGGUUAUAGGCCGUAGCAAGGUUGCCUUCACGAUUUGGUAAGCAAACAUGUUGUGUUGUUUAAUGUGAUGAGUAAAUUGGAAAUACGUGGGAUGCGAGGAUUUAAUUAGUGCACGUAGGUGUGUGAGUGCCGUGGUGUGAUAUAGUAGUGGUGGCGUGAGAUGUUUGUUUGAGGUGUGCAGGUAUAUGCCGCGAUGUGGUUAUACUCGCAACGAGAAAAGAUGUAUGUAUUGUGACACGACGCUUAGAUCGCUAUUAUAUGAUCGUGUGAAGGAUGCUCAUGAUGGUUGUGUGAUUAAGGAGUGAUGUAGUGGCAAGUGAGAAGUAAGUUUAAUUUUUCAAACGACUAGUGGAUAGUAUCUAUCGGUGUUCUCAUGAUUUUUGUUGUAUGGCAAUGUGAUGCUUUGCUUUGUCAAUUAUCACAUUCCAUGCCCCUUUUGAUAAAUAAUGUCUUGUUGAUCGAUUAGAAGUCUUAUAUGAGCGUUAUCGCAGCCCAGUGAUUAUUGGAGGCGAGUAGCGUUCAUGAGUCAAUCCUUGCUAAAAUUGAAGAACAGUCCGAUAACAUAUGCACAUGGGUGCUGUAGGUCCUUCAGUAGCCAGUGUAAGUCUUAUGGAGUUUUAUGUCAUGUUUUAAUGUCUCGAUGUUAGACCUCCUAAAAUAUGGUGUUUUAAGUGACUUGUGUGUUGUCCAGUGUAAGUUGAGAAAAGGUUAAGAAACAUUAAUUAACCUGCUCCCACCCAUGUUUUGAGUCGCAAUGUCUAAAAUGGUUUGCUAAGUUUUGUGCUGUGUUAGCCAACUCAUGUAAGUAGGAGUCGGUUGUGUAAGUGAGUGUGAUAUAUAUGUUGUGUCUCGGAUUGUGGUAAUAAUAGGCAAACCGAUGUGUAUGAUGUAUAGCGGCCUAGGUUGUUGCUUUGGUUAACCAACUUGCUAGAUGGCCUUGGUUAAGCUCAUAGUCACGAUGAUUUGCUUGUUGUAGUCUAAAUAUGUAUGAUUAUGGUCGUGGGUAAAAAUCUGUAGUGCUCAUGUGGUGUCUAAACUAAAAUGCGGACUAGUGGGUGAAAAGCGCUUAGAUAUAAGUAUAUGCCGGAUUUGAUGAUUGUGGUGAAUGCGUUUAUUAACUGAAUGUGGUAAUUUUAGUGCACUAAAUGAUUUGGAUAAAAGUUGUAAGUCUACUUGUUAGUCCUUAUUUAGUUAUUUUAACACUAAGAAAUGGUAAAGUGCUAGAAUGAUUCAAGUCUCUAGAAUGCGGCAAUUCUUGAAUUAUAGAAGCUGAAAUUUAUUGAUUGCUGUUUUGGGCUGCACGCAUUGUUUUAGUUGUGCUGUAUGUUUGAUGAACUAAAUGGUGUUUUCUGUACAUAUGUGCUAUAGAAAAGUGGUAGAGAACUUUAUUAUCUUGCUGGUGUUAAAAUUUGACAGCCAUAGGUCUGACAGUUUAGGAGUUAUGCUUUUUACAAAUUCAGUAACUGAAUCUGUCCAAAUUCUGUACAGAUUUCAGAAACUGCAUUGUUUGCCUAAUUUAAUGUUACAAUCUGUUCAUGGUCAUUAUAAGAAAGUUGUAGAUGUUUUUCGGAUCUUGCUUGUGUUAAAAUUUUAUAAACACAGGCCUGAUAGUUUAAGAGUUAUGAAUUUUACAAACUGGUUGCUGUGUUCUGUCCUCGGUCAGAACAGAUUUCGAAAACUGCAAUAUUUGAUUUGAUUAAAACUGGAAUCACUUCUUGGUGAUUAUAAAAGUUAUGUAGUACUUUUCCCAAGCUUUCCAAAAAGUCUUGAAUCACUAUUUUUGGUGGUCUGAAGAUUAAGUUACAUGUGUUUGAAGUGUGAAGACUGAAUCUGUCCAGUUUUGGACAGCACAGCCUUCACAGUAUAUUUUACCCUUGAUACAUGCUAAACCAGCCAGGGAUGUUUAUAAAUAAUUUGUAGAACAUUUAAUUAGCUUUCCAGAAAGUCCAGGAUCACUUAGUUUGGAUGUCUGAAUCUUUUGUUGUGAAAUUUUGAAGCCGCAAGUCUGAAUCUGUCCAAAUCUGGACAGAGCUGCUGUGUUUGCACAAUUCGACCUUGCUAAGUGUUUAAUCAGGUUGUGAUGACAAUACCAAAGUUGUAGAGCACUUUUUAAGCUUUCCAGAAAGUCCUAGUUUGAUAUUUUUGGACUAACAAUUGAAGAGUUAUGAUUAAAACAAGCAACUGCUGUAUUGCUGUCCAAAAAUUCUGCUAUUGCUCAUUUGAUUGUUAGUUCACCCGUUUGGCUAAAAAUGUUGGUUAGCACUAAAUUCAUAUAGAAUUACCAUGGCUAAGCUUGAGAUAACAUAUCUGUCAUGUUUUUAUACGUUUCUUUCUCUAGUAAAUUGUGAUGUAGUAUUGUGUUGCGUAAAUGUCCAGAAUGUUUGUCGUCUUUUUAGUGGUGUUAAUGUUGUGCGUUCGACGAUAUAUAGUUAGCUAACGCUAGUGUGUGUGGUUAUUUGUGAUGUCUCGCUACUUAGUGUUUAAUUCACUAGCGUGUACUUAAAGUAUCAUGUGCUAUUUCAUUAUAUUCAUGCAUAUGCAUCUUGCAUCUCAUUUAGGACCGAGAGAUGCUGAUCGUGCAAGUGAUGUGGUGCCAACAACAAGAUGCAGUUGGUGGACGACCUAAAGAGUGAUGGACUUAACCAGUGGAUGCUCGCCAAGCGAGUACCUCCCCCAGCAAACACUAUCUAAGUGUUAAAAAUUAAAGGCAAGCUCCGGUUUUAUGCAUAACCGUUUAUAUAUGCUAUUUUACUACACUUAAUGUUUGUAGGCUUGUACUGUGCACUUAAGUGUAGGAGUUGAAUGAAACCCUAGUUGCAUGAACUCUGGAUUCCUUUUGAGAUGGAUACUAGUAUGCUAGGUCGAGUAGCUGCUUUACUAAUUAGGGAUUUCGGUAGAAGUCGAGUGAUUUUUCUAGCACUCGCGCGAGGUCAGGAAUUGGUUGUACCCACUUUCAUAUCAUAUGGAUGAUUGGUUUGUGGGCAACAAUCCAUGGGGAUUGGUUGUCCACGGGAUAAAAAUUGGAAUAAGGAUUAAGGUGUGGUACCGUGAGUCAAGCGUUUGAACGUACUAAACACAUACCGAGAAAUAUGGUAAAUCGGUAAGCCUAGUACCUGAGUGAACCUGCCCGCAGACAUAUCCCCUCACGCGACCUGAGACUUGGUCUCCCAUUCCGGUUAUGGUGGGUACAAGUGCGGUCACUGCACGACGGCAGUCGGGGUCAGUGAGGCAUUGUACGCCAAGGCGGUGAGCCCUGAUCUGUUGCCAGGGAAUCGAUGGGGACGGUUGAUGUGUGUGGGGACGGAGUGCCCCUACAUGUCGUGUGUUUAGGUUUACCUUGCAAGGUUUAAAAACUCGAUUCGAAUCGUCUGCUUCUCGCAGCUAAUGAGACUGCUUGAUCCAUGCUGCUACAUUGAGUAAUAAGUGGAAAUGAGUUGACUGGCAAAAUGAUGUUGAUUGAUAAAAUGUUUGAUAUCAUGUAUGAAUAGCUAGGUACACAUCUAGUUAAAAGGAUCAUACUAAAACUUGAAAAGCUAAAAACUUGAUUUUAGACUUAGCUAGUGCUUUUGGCAAACCAAACCCCUCAGCCAAACAGCUGCAUGUCUAGAGGUAGAGGAGUAGACUCCUCACACCGGGUAAGUCUAGCUGAGUAUUAGUAUACUCAGCCUUGCUUGUGGCAUAAUUUUUGCAGGUACUCCUUAGGAUGAUUGGUUGAUGGUGUGACUUGGCCUUCAUCCCUGCCACCGGGAUAGACGGUCGAGUGGGUUAUUGCUUCCGCAGGAGAGGACCCGGAGGAGUAGCGUGGCCAGGCUUCGCCAUGUUACUCGGUUUUCUCCGUUAGUUAUUUCCGCUGCAUUAAAAUUUAUGGUUAUUAUUUCUGAAACUCCGAUAAUGUAAUCACUAAUUAUACUUAUUAAAUUUGUGGUAUUAUGUUUUAUUGUAUUUCUCUGUGCCUCACCUUCGAGUGAGCUAGUGGUAUUCGAUCCUGGUAAGUGGCUUUAUCGGACUAGAUCCGAGGGACUGACGGGUUAUUCCUGUUUAAGUGUGUUGCUGCCCUUAAGGGUGCGACUUGGGCACUUAAGCUGGAAUAAUUCGGGUGGUUCCGCCACAGCUGUUUUUCUGUCAGGUCAGUCAGUGGGUGGGCAAAGUGACUGCGGUCACUUCGACCCUGUCGACUGAGGUACGCGUGUCAGGAUAAGGCGCUAGGUGAUCCUUGCAUUGAAUGCGCCUGUGAUACGGUCGGUUGGUGAGGCGAUUUGGCCAAGGUUGCUUCACUACGAAGCCUGCCCGAGCUGGGCUUCGGGCGAGUCGAGGGUGCGCCCGUUGCUGAGGAGGCCCUCGGGCGAGGCAUGAAUCCGUCUAGGACUACUGUUCCCGCCCGAGGCUGGGCUCGGGCGAGGCGAGAUCGCGUCCUUAGAGUUGACGAAGCCAUGACCUGAAUUGCACCCAUCAGCCUCUGCAGUUUGCGCUGAUGGUGAUUACCAGCCGAGUUUAGGAGUCUUGGGGGUACCCCUAAUUAUGGUACCCGACAGUAGCCCCCGAGCCUCAAAGGGAGUGUUGGUACUCGCUUGGAGGCUUUGUCGCACUUUUUUGCAAGGGGACCGGCCUUUCUCAGUUAUAUUUUGUUCCGGUGGGUGCACGCGAGCGCACCCGCCGGGUGUAGCCCCCGAGGCCUCGGAGGAGUGGUUUGACUCCUCCGAGGUCUUAAUGCCUUUCGUGAUGCCUUGGCCGGUCUGGUUGCUCCCUCAUGCGAUCUGAUCAUAGUCCGGGUGCAUGGUCAGGUUCCGAGUUUUCGGGCUGGUUUGUUCACGCUGUCAAUGGUUGGGCCGGAGCCGGGUUUGCGAGAGCAGCCCCCAAGCCUCUGCACAGAGCGAGAGGACGAUCAAGGACUGACUCGGCUUUUAUCAUAUGCCCCUUCGUCGCCUUUCCGCAAGGAGGAGGGGGGGAAAGCGCCAUGUUGCCCUCGGAGGGCGCCGAACAUGGUGUCUCCAGUGAAUUGCUAACGGGUGAUCCGAGUGGACGCCCAUGCCCCGUUCGAUAAGGGUCGGCUAGUGGCCCAGAGGCGUGCUCCAAAAGUACCUGCAGGUGAUUUGCCAGACCCGGUCCCGUUCGAUAGGGUCUGAGGGCUCGAUGCCUCCCUCUGAUGGGACCCCGUUACAAAAUCGCUCAUGCUGGUCUUGGAAAUGUCCUAGGGUACCUCGGGAGCGUAGCCCGAGCCUCGGCCAUGUAUCGGACGUACCCAGAGUCAUCCCUCGCUCUGCGUGCUCUGGGGCGGCUGUCGAACCCUUCAAGGGGCCAGCCUUCGAACACCUGAUCAGUAGUGGGCGCGGAGCCCGAGUGCUCUGAGGCGGCUGUCGAACCCUUCCGAGGGGCCAGCCUUCGAACCUCUGAUCAGUAAUGAGCCUGAAGCCCGAGUGCUCUGGGGCGGCUGUCGAACCCUUCCGAGGGGCCAGCCUUCGAACACCUGAUCAGUAGGAGGGCUCGGGGCCCGCUUCCUUCGCGGAGAAGGAUCCCUUUCAAAAUAUCCCCUUUCCCGGUCCCUGUAGCAAGAGAGAGAAAGGGGAAGAAAAGGAUACGAAUUUAAACGAUGUGGCGCACCUUUUUUGACGCGGUCAUCAUGGCGGAGGUGAAACGUCGCCCGCUUCGCCUGCCAAAGGUGUAGCUUGCCCUGCCGCGAAGUUAAUGCAACGGGACAGGUGGUUCGCGGGGCAGUCGUUCUGCGAGCCGUUCGAGGGACAGAACACGGGUGCGUCGUCUUCACGCCAUGGGAGAGGGCUCCCCUGCUGCUCCAGGAGGGGACGUGAGCCUGCAGACGAUUUGACUGCUGCUUCCGCUCGCCUGCUGCCGCCAUUACUGUCGGCCCGCUUUUGGCUAGAUCGACUAUCGCGCCUCCUCCCGCGGCUGACUGACCCAUGACCGAUGUGCUCGGUUGGCACUGUUGGGUCAUGCGCAGGGUUGCCUCGAGUCGCGGCACCGGUUCCGCAGUCGAGAAGGCGUGACAUUGACGUAAGUGGCAGUGCAGUUUUUCGCACGUAGUAACCGGCGCGCCGGUUACAUGACGUGUGGCCUGGGCUCCAUGCUGGAUGCGUCAAAGUCGAAGGGGUGCAUCUCCGUGGUGCGGUUGCACGCCACCUGCAUGGCGGUCUGCCCUUUCAACCGUUGGUUUCAGUGAGGAUGGAGGAGUGCUUGUAACAGCAGGGCGGUUACACGCUUCGCACGCGGUGGUUUGGCUUCUUCCGUUCCGGGCCAGCUUGCAUGACGUGUGGGACCCAGCCCCUGUGUCGUUGGGAGAGGACCCUGGAGCGCGUCGAUGAAGACUUAGUCCGCGACGCCUGAGGACGCGAGUGGGGAGAGCCGCCUUUAAAAAGGGAUCAACCCCCCGGGUGGCAGCCAUGCCUUCUCACUCCCCUCAUGCAUCGCAUCCUCCCACCUUCCGAGCCCCCGGAUGUGGAGCGCCCACUUUGCCUUCGUCUUGUCGUUGGAGGAGCGCAACCUUACGGAGGUGGGCACCCUUCAGCCAUCGCUUGGCUUCAAGGAUUUUCAUCAGGCAGCCCGGCUGCAUUCCCCCACCGAUGGUCACCCAGGAUGGUGACCACCAGUUCGAUGGUGGGGAGAAGCAAGCCGGGAUACGGACUCUGCCCCGCCCUCAGCUUCAAGGAUCUUCAUCAUCCUUGCUGGGGAGGAGGGCGAGGCGAGCCGGGGCCUGCCUUCGCGUGGGCUGGCGUCUUGCUUCUUCCUCCAGCAUCUGGGGGUGGAAACCAUCCUCCAGCUCUGCGGAGGAGGCGUCCUCCAGCCAUGCGGGGGAAGGCAAACUGCUGCUGCCUGGCCAGGGUGCAGCAUUCCGUCUCCUGUCCGGGCGACUGUGGCCGGCCGCACCGGAGGGUCUCACAACAUGUCGUACGCCACGAGGGCGGUACUCAUGUUAUGGGACGGUCCCGUUCUCGUUCUUGCGGCGAGGACGGGAGUGAGGACCUGCCGGUGCGCUUUGGGGCGGCCGGUGCUCGCUGGUGCGGUGUUGGUGUGCAGGUGGCUGCCAUCGUCGGUGCUGAGGCGGUGGCAGCUAGAGAAGGCUUCUCUGCCGACGAGAUCGUCGGCGCCACCUGCGGUCGGACCUCUAGCUCUUCAGCCUUGGCGGCUUGUCCUCGCCCCUCAAGUGGGGACGCGGGCGAGGGCCUUGUCGCAGCAGCAUUUGCCCUGAGUUCAUCGCUGCUGUUGUUUAGCUGCCCGGAGCGGAGGUCGUUGUCGCUGCUGCUGCAGUGGUCGGCGGCGAGCCAACUGGAGCUUGUCGUCCCGCAGGCCCUCCGAUGCGGAGGUUGUUCAUACCCGCGGGAGUGGAACCGGAGUUCCCUUUGUAAUGGCACCUUGAGUGCCAGUGUUUGUUCAUUGUGGCUGUCGAGGCCUAAACAUCUAGGUAUUUGAGUGUAAUACCGUGUUUCUUCCUCAUUUUGAGCACUAGGACACGCCUGUCGGCUAGCUGAACCGCUUAACCGAGUGUGAGUUGCCCUGUGUGGAAGGUGACGAGUGAGGUAUCCGUAUCCCGGAGGCAUAGGAGUCCCUCGGCUCGGUCGGCCUUGCCAUCCAAGGCUUCUCUUGCUCAGUUAAAAACCCUCGGCUGCUCUGCGAUGAGCAAGAGCCGGAGGCAGCGGUGUCAGCGUGGACAGAGGCGGAGUCGGCUCGAGAAGAAGCUUCGUUGGCCCGGGAGCACGUGGCCUCCUUGGCCGAGGAGGUGCAGCAGCGGCGGCUGGAGCUUGGCCAGGUCGUCCGCUGGCGGGACCAACCCCAAAGUCAGGCUGCCGAGGCCAUGAGCCGGGCUGAUGUCCUCGGGGGACAGCUGGCUGAGGCUACAUAGCGGUCGGUCGAGGUGUUUGCCUGGGCCAGGACCCUUACGGAGACCAUGUCUAUGAUAGCCCGAGCUUGGUGCUGGCCUCCUCCGAGGUGGAGAUCCUUCUGCCCGUGUCGCCAUCCGAGGCCGGGCCAGAUUCCACCGAAGGUGGAAACGACGCCGAGGGUGCUGCUGCUCCCUCUAUUGAUGUCUGAACCUGCAGGGAGAGUUUGUCUGUAGUGUGCGUAUGUUUUUCGCGGCCGCCGAGGCCCAAACAUAUCAUUGUCGUGUUGUAAAACUGCGUUUCCUUUCCUCUUGUUUCGAGUAUCAGGACUUGUUCGUCGAUAACAGAAUCGUUUAUCCGAGCGAGAGUUACUUUUCACGGAAGGUGACGAGUGAGGUAUCCGUAUCCCGGAGGCGUAGGAGUUCCUCGGCUCGGUCAGCCUCGCCGCUUACGUGCACUCUUACUCGUUCGUAGGAUUCUGUUAUCGAUAUAGUCGAGAAGGCACGUAAAUCGUUUUGGCAGAAAAGUUUUCGAGCGUUAAGACUUGUUUGAUCAGCAGAAUUGCUUAUCCGAGCGUGAGUUACUUAUCGCAGAAGGUGAUGGGUGAGGUAUCCGUAUCCCGGAGGCGUAGGAGUCCCUCGGCUCGGUCAGCCUUGCCUCUUAUGUGUACUCCGUCGUUUUCAGGAUCCCGCUAUCGAAGCAGUCGAAAAGCGCGAAAGAUGUUCUGGUAGAAACACUUUUUCUAAGGAAAUUUUUUACGCAGAGGGGGUCCCCCCCUUCUAGCCCCCGAGGGAGGGUCGGGCUUUGCCGAGGCAAGGCUGACCCUUCCUUGACGGUUAGACUUUAUUUGAAUAGAAAAUGAGGUAUAUGAACGACUUGAAAACAUCUUAAGGGUAAAAGCGACAUAGCUGUCGGAUGUUCCAAGCGUUGUUGUAGACCUCGCCUUGAUUGUUGGCCAGCUUGUAUGUUCCGAGCUUCAAAAUCUUGGCGAUGAUGAAUGGCCCCUCCCAGGGAGGAGUAAGCUUGUGGCGCCCUCGGGCGUCUUGCCGCAGCCGAAGCACCAAGUCUCCCACUUGGAGGUCUCGGGGCCGAACCCCUCGGGCGUGGUAGCGUCGCAGAGACUACUGAUAUCACGCCGAGUGUAGCAAGGCCACGCCCCGAGCUUCUUCCAGCUGGUCCAGCGAGUCCUCUCGGCUGGUCUGGUUGCUUUGGUCGUCGUACGCCCUUGUCCUCGGGGAACCGUAUUCUAAGUCUGUGGGCAAGACAGCCUCGGCCCCAUAGACUAGAAAGAACGGUGAGAAACUCGUGGCCUAGCUUGGCGUCGUCCUCAGACUCCAGACCACCGAGGGUAGUUCCUUCAUCCACCGCCUGCCGAACUUGUCGAGGUCGUUGUAGAUCCUCGGCUUAAGUCCCUGCAGAAUCAUGUCGUUGGCACGCUCCACCUGCCCAUUUGUCAUGGGGUGAGCCACGGCGGCCCAGUCCACCCGGAUGCGGUGGUCCUCGCAGAAGUCCAGGAACUUCUUGCCAGUGAACUGGGUGCCAUUAUCGGUGAUGAUGGAGUUCGAGACCCCGAAGCGAUGGAUGAUGUUGGUGAAGAACGCCACCGCCUGCUCGGACCUGAUGCUGGUUAGGGGUCGGACCUCGAUCCACUUGGAGAAUUUGUCGAUGGCGACCAGCAGAUGCGAGAAGCUCCCGGGUGCCUUAUGCAAGGGACUGACGAGGUCCAGACCCCACACAGCAAACAGCCAAGUGAUGGGUAUUGUCUGUAGGGCCUGAGCGAGCAGGUGCGUCUGUCUUGCGUAGAAUUGACACCCCUGGCAGGAGCGUACAAUCCUAGUGGCGUCGGCCACCAUGGUGGGCCAGUAGAAACCUUGUCUGAAGGCAUUCCCAACGAGGGCUCGAGGUGCUGCGUGGUGACCGCAAGCCUCUGUGUGUAUCUCUUGCAAUAGCUCCUGUCCUUCAGUGAUGGAUACGCAUCGUUGGAGAAUGCCUGAGGGGCUGCGGUGGUAGAGCUCCUUUUCAUCGCCCAGUAAGACGAACGACUUGGUGCGCCGCGCCAGUCUUCGAGCUUCGGCUUUGUCGAGGGGGAGCUCUCCUCGGUGGAGAUAUUGCAGGUACGGGGUCUGCCAGUUUCGAUUAGGCGUAACCCCAUUCCGCUCUCCCUUGACACGCAGUGCCUCACCCUCGGCGGCCGAGGGUGCCUCGGGCUGGGCCGAGGCCUCCUUGGGCUCGGCCGAGGCUUCCCCGGGCGUGUCGUCGGUCUCGACGGAGGGUUGAUGUAUGUCUCUGGAGAAGACAUCCAGGGGAACCGUUGUCCGCCCCGAGGCUAUCUUAGCCAGCUCAUCCUCAGUCUCGUUGUACCAUCGGGCGACGUGGUUGAGCUCGAGUCCGUAGAACUUGUCUUCCAGGCGCCGAACCUCGUCGCAGUAGGCCUCCAUCUUCCGGUCGCGGCAGUGGGAGUUCUUCAUGACUUGGUCAGUGACAAGCUGCGAGUCGCCACGAGCGUCGAGGCGCCGAACCCCUAGCUCGAUGGCGAUGCACAACCCGUUAACCAGAGCCUCGUACUCGGCCAUGUUGUUUGACGUCGGGAAAUGGAGGUGCAGCACGUAGCGGAGGUGCUUCCCGAGGGGUGAGAUGAAGAGCAGGCCCGCACCUGCUCCUGUUUUCAUCAGCGACCCAUCGAAGUACAUGGUCCAGAGUUCCAGUUGGAUCGGAGCUAUUGGUAGCUGGGUGUCGACCCAUUCAGCCACGAAGUCUGCCAAGACUUGGGACUUGAUGGCCUUCCGAGGAGCGAACGUGAUUGUCUCGCCCAUGAUCUCCAUCGCCCACUUUGCUAUCCUACCCGAGGCCUCUCGGCACUGGAUGAUCUCCCCCAGGGGGAAGGAUGACACCACAGUCACCGGAUGAGACUCGAAGUAGUGUCGCAACUUUUGCCACGUCAGAAUUACUACGUAUAGUAGCUUCUGAAUUUGCGGGUAGCGGAUCUUGGUCUCGGAUAGCACUUCGCUGAUGAAGUAGACCGGCCUCUGGAUGAGCAGUGCAUGCCCUUCUUCUCGUCUCUCGACUAUGAUCGCGGCGCUGACCACCUGAGUGGUUGCGGCUACGUAGAUCAAGAGGGCUUCUCCUGCAGCGGGGGGCACCAAGAUGGGCACACGUGUAAGGAGUGCCUUUAAGUUUCCGAGGGCUUCCUCGGCCUCGGGGGUCCAAGAGAAGCGCUCGGUCUUUCUUAAGAGGCGAUACAAGGGUAGGCCUCUUUCGCCGAGGCGCGAGAUGAAGUGGCUCAGAGCCACAUGGCAUCCCAUGACCCUUUGUACUCCUUUCAAGUCUUUGAUAGGCCCCAUGUUGGUGAUGGCCGCGAUUUUCUCCGGGUUGGCCUCGAUGCCCCGCUCGGAGACGAUGAACCCCAGGAGCAUGCCUCGGGGGACUCCGAAGACACAUUUCUCGGGGUUAAGUUUCACGCCCUUCGCCCUCAGACACCUGAAUGUCGUUUCAAGGUCAGAGAGGAGGUCAGAGGCUUUUCUCGUCUUGACCACGAUGUCAUCGACGUAGGCCUCGACCUUUCGGCCGAUGUGCUCUCCGAACACGUGGUUCAUGCAUCUUUGGUAUGUUGCGCCUGCAUUCCUCCAACCAAAUGGCAUAGUAAUAUAGCAGUACAUGCCAAAAGGUGUGAUGAAAGAAGUCACGAGCUGGUUGGACUCUUUCAUCUUGAUUUGGUGAUACCCUGAGUAGGCAUCGAGGAAUGAAAGGGUUUCGCACCCAGCAGUGGAAUCCACGAUUUGAUUGAUGCGAGGCAGAGGGUUGGGAACUUUCGGACAUGCUUUGUUUAGACCAGUGUAGUCUACACACAUCCUCCAUUUCCCACCUUUCUUUUUCACAAGCACAGGGUUGGCUAACCAUUCGGGAUGGAAUACCUCUUUGACGAUCCCCGCAGCCAUCAGCUUGUGGAUCUCCUCGCCUAUGGCUCUGCGCUUUUUUUCGUCGAAAUGGCGCAGAGGCUGCUUCACGGGUCGGGCUCCAGCUCGGAUAUCCAGCGAGUGCUCGGCGACAUCCCUCGGUAUGCCAGGCAUGUCCGAGGGACUCCACGCAAAAACCUCGGCGUUUGCGCGGAGAAAGUCGACGAGCACUGCUUCCUAUUUGGGGUCGAGCUCGGAGACGAUCUGGACUUGCUUGGAGGCAUCGUUGCUAGGAUCGAGAGGGACGAACUUAACCGCCUCUGCUGGCUCGAAGUUGCCGGCGUGGCGCUUCGCAUCUGGCACCUCCUUAGAGAGGCUCUCCAGGUCGGCGAUGGGGGCCUCGGACUUGGCGAGGGCCUCAGCGUACUCCACACACUCCACGUCGCAUUCGUACGCGUGUCGGUAUGUGGAUCCGAUGGUGAUGAUCCCGUUGGGGCCCGGCAUCUUGAGCUUGAGGUGGGUGUAGUUGGGGACGGCCAUGAACUUGGCGUAGCACGGUCUCCCAAGGACCGCGUGGUAGGUUCCCCGGAACCCGACCACCUCGAACGUGAGGGUUUCCUUUUGGAAGUUGGAGGGGGUCUCAAAGCAGACGGCAGAUCGAGUUGUCCAAGGGGCUGGACACGCUUCCCGGGGAUAAUCCCGUGAAAGGGUGCCGCACCGGCCCGGAUCGUGGACAGAUCGAUCUGCAAGAGCCUGAGGGUCUCGGCGUAGAUGAUGUUGAGGCUGCUGCCUCCGUCCAUAAGGACCUUGGUGAGCCUGACGUUGCCGAUGACGAGGUCAACAACGAGCGGGUACUUUCCUGGGCUCGGCACGCGGUCGGGGGUGGUCGCCUUGGUCGAAGGUGAUGGGCUUGUCGGACCAGUCUAGGUAGACUGGCGCCACCACCUUCACCGAGUAGACCCCCUGUCGCUCUUGCUUGCGGUGUCGAGCCGAGGCGUUCGCCACUUGCCCACCGUAGAUCAUGAAACAAUCGUGGACCUCGGGGAACUCCUCUGACUUGUUGCCCUCCUUCUUGUCGUUGUCAUGGCCUCUGCCACCUUCCGCCGAGGGCCAGGCCUUAUGGAAGUAGCACCGAAGCAUGACGCAUUCCUCAAGGGUGUGCUUGACGGGACCCUGAUGAUAGGGGCACGAUUCCUUGAGCAUCUUGUCGAACAGGUUGGCCCCUCCGGGAGGCUUCCGAAGGUUCUUGUGCUCGGCGGCAGCGACAAAAUCUGUGUUGGCGGCGUCGCGUUUCGCUUGCGACUUCUUCUUGCCUUUCUUCUUCGUGCCGCGCUGGGCGGACGCCUUGGGGAUGUCUUCCUGCUGGCGUCCCUGAGGCUGCUUGUCCUUCCGGAAGAUGGCCUCGACCGCCUCCUGACCAGAGGCGAACUUGGUGGCGAUAUCCAUCAACUCGCUCGCCUUGGUGGGAGUCUUGCGACCCAGCUUGCUCACCAGGUCGUGGCAAGUGGUGCCGGCGAGGAACGCGCCGAUGACAUCUGAGUCGGUGAUGUUGGGCAGCUCGGUGCGCUGCUUCGAAAACUGUCGGAUGUAGUCCCGCAAGGAUUCCCUUGGCUGCUGGCAGCAGCUUUGGAGAUCCCAGGAGUUCCUAGGGCGCACGUAUGUGCCCUGGAAGUUUCCAGCGAAGGCUUUGACCAGAUCGUCCCAGUUGGAGAUCUGCGCAUGAGGCAAAUGCUCCAGCCAGGCUCGGGCGGCGUCGGAGAGGAACAGGGGGAGGUUGCGGAUGAUGAGGUUGUCAUCAUCCGUUCCACCUAGCUGGCAGGCUAGCCGGUAGUCCGCAAGCCACAGUUCCGGCCUUGUUUCCCCCGAGUACUUGGUGAUGGUAGUCGGGGCUCGGAACCGGGUCGGGAACGGCGCCCGUCGUAUGGCCCGGCUGAAGUCUUACGGACCAGGUGGUUCGGACGAGGGGCUCCGAUCCUCCCCACUGUCGUAGCGUCCCCCACGCCUAGGGUGGUAGCCUCGGCGCACCUUUUCGUUGAGGCGGGCUCGACGGUCGUGGCGGUGGUGCUCGUUGCCGAAGCGACCCGGGGCCGCAGGCGUCGCGUCCCGUGUGCGCCCGGUGUGGACCGAGGCUUCCCGCAUGAAUCGGGAAGUCCCGGCGCGAUGCUCUAGGGACUCUACAUGAAUCGGUGGGGACUCUUCGGGAGGCAGAGCUCUCGACCCGUCGGACCGUGGCAUCCUCCAGGAGAUUCUUGAGCUCUCCCUGGAUACGCCGCCCCUCGGUGGUGGAUGGCUCCGGCAUCGCUCGGACUAGUAUUGCCGCUGCAGCCAGGUUCUGGCCGACCCCACUGGAAGCCGGGGGCAGCCUUGCCAUGGCAUCGUCAGUGAUACGGCGCUGAACGUCCUGGGCCUAAUGACGCGCUUCUCCGGCUAGUGCUCGGCCUGCCCACUCCUGCUCGAUGUUUUGCCGGAGCUGCACAAGCUGUCCUGCUUCCUCGUCGAGCUUGGCCUGCAUCUCGCGGAUUUGCUCGAGCUGUGUGUCCUGACCCCCCGCAGGGACUGGGACCAUAGCUAGCUCCCGCAGGAUGUCAAUGUGAGGCGCAGGCCCAGGGGGAUCAUCGUCCCCCGGCAUACUGAGGUGGUUGCCUUUGCUGUGACCCCCAGAUCGACGUGGAAACAUUCGCGACCUGGGCCACAACCUUCGUUGUCAAGGCUGCGGCCAUCAUCGGAGCAAUCGGAGAGGCAGUAGUCACAUGCGGUCAUGAAGUCUCGCAUGGCGCUAGGAUUACCGAGCCCGGAGAAAUCCCAACUAGAGUCAGGCUCGUCGUCUUCCUCAAGGCCCGGGGGCCCGUAGGUCGAGACGGCUGUCAGUCGGUCCCAGGUCGACCACAUAUGGUACCCCGGAAGGUUAGGAUAUGCCUUUAUGAAAGCGCUCAUCGAAGUGGGAUUGCUUGGUGGAUCGAAGCUGAAUCUAAAAGGCAUAGGAUGGAAAACGGACGGUACCUCUUGAUCGAUGGACGGUGACGAAGUCGCGUCGGGGACGGACUGCACCGUUAUGUCAGGUACGAGGAUAACGCCCAGCAGGCCCUUCGCGAGCGUGCUGGCGUCAUCUGUUCGCUUCGGGUUGGCGUGUUGCGGGGAAACGACGCUCGUCGUCGUCUUGGGCACGAGGUCAACGCCCGCCGUGUCCCCCGCUGGGGUGCUGGGGUCGUCGACUUGCUCGACCACUGACGAGGUGCCACCUCCUGCUUGGCCACGGUUGCCCCACCUCCUCCUUCUGCGGCGAGGAAGGCGACGGGACAAGCCCGAAUGCUGCUCUUCCACCAUGGGGGGAAAACGUCGCCGAGUCCGCCGCCGCCGGGCGGGCUGACGGUCGUCGUUGUCGUGCUGUGGGGGAAGGAGUACCAUGUCGUAGCUGCCGUCGAGUGACAUGAACUCGAGACUCUCGAAACGGAGCAACGUCCCGGGCUGAAGAGGUUGCUGGAGACUACCCAUCUGGAACUUGACGGGAAGUUGUUCGUCAACACGCAGCAGGCCCCUACCUGGCGCGCCAACUGUCGUCGUUUCGACCCCGGGGGGUCCCUGGACCGACGAGUAAAUUAUCGCUGCGUGCCCCAGCCCAGAUGGGUUGGCGCGAGACGGAACACAAAGGGGGGAAAACCGUGGCUUUGUGUUAUCCUGCGCCAGAGUGGGUGUGCUUGCAGUAGGGGUUACAAGCGUUCGCGAGGGAGAGAGAGAGAGUCCCGCGCGACCACCCUCUCGUAUGAGGGCCCUGGCCCUUCCUUUUAUAGAUGCAAGGAGAGGGUCCAGGUGUACAAUGGGGGUGUACCAAUAUGCUAACGUGUCCGGCAGAGAGGAGCCAGAGCCCUAUGUACAUGCCAACGUGGCUCUCGGAGAGGUGCUAGGGCCCUGUGUACAUGGUGUCGUGGCCGUCGGAGGAGCGUUUGAGCCCUGUAGAAGCACAGCUGUCGGGGCUGUCGGGACCUUGCUGACGUCUCCUUGCUUCCGUAAGGGGCUGAGAGCCACCGUCAUCAUGGACGCAUGCGGGGAGCCAUCAUUACUUGUUGUCGGGGCGAGCCUGGAUGGGACGCCGGUCUUAUUCCCCCGUAGCCUGAGCUAGCUAGGGGUAGGGUAAUGAUGUACCCCCUGCGGCGUGGUCGGUCCGAGCCUGAGGUCGGGCGAGGCGGAGACUCCUCCUGAGGCCGAGGCCGGGGUAGGGCGAGGACGCGAUUCCGCCCGAGGUCGAGGUUGAGACCGGGCCCUGGGGUCGGGCGAGGCGGAGACCACCUUCCAAGGUCGAGGUCGAGGCCGAGCCCUGCGGUCGGGCGAGGCGGAGACCACCUUCCAAGGCCAAGGCGGGGGCCGAGCCCUAGGGUUGGGUGAGGCGGAGACUUCUCCUGAGGCUGAGGCCCAAGGUCGGGCGAGGCGGAGCUUCCUGUGGCGCCUGAGGCCGAACUCAGCUGCUGUCAGCCUCACCCUGGCGGGUGGCACAACAGUCGGAGAGGGGCGAGCGGCGUUGUUUUCCUGUCAGGUCAGUCAGUGGGAGGGUGAAGUUACUGCGGUCACUUCGACCCUGUCGACUAAGGUACGCAUGUCAGGAUAAGGCGCCAGGCGAUCCUUGCAUUGAAUGCACCUGUGAUACAGUCGGUUGGUGAGGCGAUUUGGCCAAGGUUGCUUCACUAUGAAGCCUGCCCGAGCUGGGCUUCGGGCGAGUCGAGGGUGCGCCCGUUGCUGAGGAGGCCCUCGGGCGAGGCGUGAAUCCGUCUGGGACUACUGUUCCCGCCCGAGGCUGGGCUCGGGCGAGGCGAGAUUGCGUCCCUUGAGUAGACGAAGCCUUGACCUGAAUUGUGCCCAUCUGCCUCUGCAGUUUGCGCUGUUGGUGAUUACCAGCCGAGUUUAGGAGUCUUGGGGGUACCCCUAAUUAUGGUACCCGACAACCUGCAAGUUGUCAAUGGUCGCACUAAGCUCUGCCACACGAGCACGAGCUUUGGCUUCCCGGUCCCAAGCAAUCGAACGUGAAUUGACAGCCCAAUCGAUUGCCAAAUCCCGUUCAAGAAGCUCGUCUUGCAGAUGUCUGAUGUCAGCUCUCAACUCAUUCAUACGCUGACCAUCUUCUACCCACACCCUGUUCCAGUGACAUAGCUCCGUCCGAAGCUGCUCCACUUGGGCUUCUAGGUCUCCGAUGGGGUCGUUACUGCCGCUGCUGCUCACUUCAUGUCUCGGAGCCAGAUGAUGCCGAGGUACGCCAACAGGUCCGGUGGACUUACGCGCAGUUUUCCUCAUGCGCGGCGACAUAUCUCCAUAAGGGGGAAAACCUUAUUAGUAUAGUUUUUCAACAUGGUGCAUGCAUAUUUACGGAAUCUACCUUCGUUGAUUCCCAACCUCCUAUACAUUGCAAUCUGUUACCUGGUCUUAUAGGAUGAGUACUUCAGAAAGUGGCAAGGUGAGAACAAAAGAAAUUUUCUUGGAUAAGUAUUUGAAAAUUCUUUUUGAAAUGCCUCAUAAUAUCUGAAGAGAUGGGCUUUGCUCCGAUACCAGAUGUGACGAAACCUCCCAAGUCAUUAGGCCCACCUACAGUUGUCCUUGUCCAGCGGACCUUGGACAACCCUGUAGAUGCACCUGAUCACUUGAUAAGUUCGGUAUUUGUAUCCUUCCUUUUCUCAAGAGAGUUUCACCCGUCACGCAGAUAUUACAACACAUCGGAGGAAUGAAUAAGCGGAAGCAAUUAUAGUAACUUAAUUUACAUUAAAAUAUAGAAAGAGUGUUAUUAUUACAAACUAGUAGUAUAUGAGUGCAGAAAUAUUAUUAUUACAAACUCGGGAGGCAAAAACCCCUCCCGCUUAAAAGUAUAAUAUUUUUAACAUGAGGACAACAUCCUCCCGAGGCUUCACUCUUGAGAUUCUUCCUUUGGCACCACCUUAGAGCAAAAGCAACAAAAGUUUGCUGCUUCCUCACCUACAAGAACAUGGGUUCGAAAACCCUGAGUACGAAGUGUACUUUCGCAAGUCUUACCCGUCAAAAUAAAAGACUCUCAAGGAUAUGGUGGCUUGGAGGGAGUCAAGGUCAGGCUUAAUCAAGAAUCAAGACUCUGUUAGCAGAAAUGCUUACUAAUAGUGGAUCCUUAAAAAUCUAGUGUUAUUAGCAAGUUAAGUCAUUACCUGAAUUUAGAGUUCUUUCUACACUAGUUCAAGCACUUGGCCUAUACUAGCCAUCUUUUUAUCAACCCUUCUUGUUUACUGGAAUGCUACGUGUAGGGCAGUGACCAAGUCUUAAUGUCCGAGAAGUAACGGUGAUCCGAAUCGAUUAAUACCCAGCUAGGGAUCUCCAAUCACACGACAUAUGUAGCACUUAACCCUUGCAUAUGUCAACUCGCCACCGGGGUUCUUAAGACCAGAUCAGGUUCACGCCAACCGAGAGCACAGAUACACCACCGUCCAGCUUCUUGCCACGGAGGGUACACGCUACUCUCGCCAUCUCUCCACUCCCAUUGCGUGUUGUCUUAUUCUGGUAUUAAUUUGCCCGAGGCAAAGCUUACCCAUGAUGAGACAUGUGACCAGUUAAAAUGUCCUCAAUCAUCAAGCCUACAUCGAGAUGGUCCUUAAUCGACUCAGACGGAGACACUACACUGAGACUCUCUUCUCGUGCAAGUCACCCACCCGGUCUCAGCUUUAUCGUUUCAAACCCAAAGUUUGGUACCUGUUAGAGGUAUAUCUUUUUUGAUGUUGAACCCAUCACGGCCAUGAUGGAUCCACCAUCAAGUUUUAUCUUUGAAAACAUCCCAUCCCAUUUGAAGCAUCAUAUUUUGUCAAAACAACACAUUUUGUUUUCUAGAGCAAGACUAAGCAUCAAAAAAACCUUUUCAUAAAACAGGUGAUCUAGGAAAAGUAAUCAAUUUUCCAAGGAAGGAAAUGCAUUAAUUGUUUAGCACAUAACUCCUAUUACCUAAUGCAUCAAGCAAGUGAGAAAGAUUUUAAAAUAGCAAAGAGGUGGCCAAUGCACCGGGGCUUGCCUUGUGUUAUAGGAGAGUCGGGCUCUGCUCCACAAAUAUCAAAAUAAAAGUAGUUCCCGGCAGGUGGGUCUUCAGGUGGUGGUGGUGCAACUCCUUCUUCUUCAACCAAUACUUCUUCUUCGUUCUCUAUAUAUAAUCAUAUAUAACCAUGAAUGCUCAUGUAAUGCUUAUGAAAAUGCAGUAAUAGAAAAGGUUUAUCAAGUUGUAUCUUGAGUACAAUUUUCCUUCACGGUACUCCAAGAAACUAGGGUUUUUGGAGUCACUAUUUAAUUUCAUAGGGCACACACUACUUGGAAGAUUAGGGUUUUGGGGUUUAGGUAUCAAACUUUGUCCAAAUCAAGUCAAACUUCACCCAAGGUUUCUAAAUAUCAUUUUAGGCUUAUCCAAAAAGUUUAGUGAUUUUUGAAGUUAUUAAAUAAUUUCUAAAAUUUCAGAGGUAUAGGUUUAAGUCCUUUUUAAAAACUAUAUAAUUCCUUGUUUGAACUAAAAUUCCUAAAACUAUUUUUAUUAAAUACUAUAGAAAUUUAGGAGUCCAACAAAAUUGGUCUCAUAUUCUUGGCAUUUUUCUAGAAUUUUCUAUGAUUUCUUUCAUCCUAGCAGAAAAAGAAAAAGAGAAAAGGUGAACAAUGGUGGGCUGAAACUGGCCCGAGUCGACCCACGAACGGGGAAAUACACGCGCGCCUGCGCCCUCGUUGCCGGUCUUGCGAAAAGGCCCCUAGUUAAUCAAAUAACUGGUGAAGAACCCCUAGCCACUAUUCAUUGUCUCUCUGACAAAUGCACAGAGGUCCUCCGACUUCUAUUUCUUCUCCAUCCUAACCCAUGGCCACAACGCGCUCGCCGUCGACCACCUUGUUGCUCGGACUGGCCGUGACCGGCGUUGGCUGCCCAAAUUAACUAAUGGGCAAGCAUUACCGACCCGAGGCGAACCUAGAACAAGCCUUAAUUGAGUUAACCGGCCCUAGAUUCACCUACCCACGAUGACGACGAUCAUCGAGGUCAAACCGAGGGGUUCCCGACGAGUAAGCACAAUCUAGCUCAGUUAGGAGCCGACAAGCAUCACAAGCAUGCGAGGGUGCUAAAACACGAAUAAGGAGGGUGAGUGCGGACCUGAGAGCGGCUAGCCCCGACGGGGUGAUUCACGGCGGCGCAGAUGAUCAAUUUGGGGGAAAACCCAAAUUCUACGGCUAUGGUGGCUAAUCGGAGAUGAGAGUUAGUGUCUUGGGUUCAAAAUAACUUGGCGAAGUAGAGUGGGGCAUCAAUUUAUAGAAGCUUUAGGCGGGGGCUCCGAAUUUGGGAGGAGUGUGGAGCUUAUCUCCCUCGUGAGGCAAUCACCGAGGCUCACCGUGGAGCGCAUGCAUUCACCUUGCGCCUGUAACUAUCUCGGGGUGCCACAAUCACGACAAUGUGGUGAAUCAGGCGACUACGUGUCCCUUGCUGCGAUCACGACGAGCACCAGCGGCGAUAUUUUACCGACCGUGCGGGCAAGUGGGCACGGCGGUGACUCAGCCCCGACCAAGACCUUCUUCCCCAAGAUCUUUUUAACCCUCACGGUUAUCUACUCCUUAUCGGCACGAAUCAUGGCAUCGGCGUGAAUCACAGUGCAGAGGUCACCGACGACGAGGUACCCUGAACUUGGCGAUCUGAUCCAAUCACUGUACCAUCGCGCUAGUCAUCAGUGGUUCUGACAGAGCGAUUUGUAGUGCUUCGUUCUUGAAUUUUUGUGUAACAACUUGAUCUUCGGCCAGCAGGGAAAUUGUUGCCCUAUAAUCCCUUUCUAACUUUGUUAUAGUGUCCACCAUCAAAUAGUCAGAGGAUCCUACUCAAAAUCGAUCUCUAAGUUCAUCCAACUUCACUGUUAAUCAGAAUUCAGACUUAGGGCUGACUGACAGCCCGACUUUGUGCUCAUUUUACUCCAAAUUUUGCAUGUGAUCAAGGCUUAAUCACAUAAGCAAAGUUGUACUCCUAUGAUAGCUCUAUAAUCUUUAUGUAUUGACCCUGGGCAAUGUUGGAACUUGCUGUCACUCGCAAGGGGGCCAACAAGGGUGAACAGUGACGUUAACAGGGGAACGCGCUAGAUGGCAAUAGCUCUGUUAAUCUGGCCUCUCACGGGCACUGUGCGGGGGUAUUUAUAGAUACCUGAGCGCCCAGCGCCUUGUGCUAAGGACGCAUGUGCCCUCGGCUACCUAGGUUAUCCCCAGAAUAUUCCAUAAAGCAGGGUUACAGACUGUAAUUACAGGGACGCCUUUACAAAUUAGGCCCGUAACACGAGGCGGCCACGCAGGGCCCGUUACAAUGGGCCGGAUCACACGUGGGCCUCUGAGCUGGAUGAGGCCGCACCGUGGGAUGACGUCGUCGCAGGUCUUCGUCUGGUGCCGAAACGGCGAAGGGUGUCCCUGCCCGUUUUGUCUCUGUCAGACCAGCGGCUGCAACGAAGGCCUCGAGCGAAGGGUGGCGUCUUUGCCUUCGCCCCAACAUUUGCCCUCUGAGGGACCAGUUCGACAAAGUCACCUGGUGCCGAAGACGUCGCUAGAUGGCGGAGACGCUGCCCUCGCUCGAAGUGGUUCCGCGGGGGUUUUUGACAUGACCGUUGAUUGACAGCGUACUGUUGGAUUGCGGGUUUCCCGAAGCGCCGCGCCCUGUUGGAUUGCGGGUUUCCCGAAGAGCCGCGCCCUGUCUAUAAAAGGGGGCGGGAGUCGGUGCUUUUUGAACUUCACUUUCCGCGCUCCGUGAAAACCCUAGCCGCCUUUUUCACCGUCUUGCUGCUCGUCUGCCCGUCGUGCUCUUGUUCGCCGGAGAUCUGGCUCGAGUGAAGCAGACCGCCCGCCGCCGCCGACAGUACGUAGCGAUGCCGACCUCCUCUUCUUCCGCUGCCGCUACGCCGCAGGCCGACCCCUCGCCGCCGGCCGCCGCUUCGCCGCCGGCCGACGCCUCGUCUGAGGAGACGCUGAGUAGUUUGAUGGCGGAGGAGUUGCGCGCCGGCGAUUCUGUUGAUUUUGGCGUGUCGCGGAUGUCGUCGGUCCGCGUGCAAGAUAUGCAGCGGUUGGGUUACUUCGGCGGUGGAGUUGCUCGUGUCCCGGGGACAGAGGAAGUCCCCGAGCCGGAGGGCGAGUUGGUUGUGUUCGAGGCGUUCUUCGCCGCCGGUCUCCGCCUGCCUGCGCACCGAUUUGUUGGCGAAGUCCUGCGCAGGUUUAACGUUCAGAUACAUCAGUUGACACCGAAUGCCGUGGUGGCUCUGUCGAAGUAUGUCUGGGCGACGACUUCGUACGACGGACAGCCAUCGGUCGAAGUCUUUGCGAAGUAUUAUUGUUUGCACUGGCAGAAGAGGAUGAUUGGAGACGAAGUUGCUCAGUUUGGGUCCUGCACGUUCACGCCGAAGACCGGCAAGACCACGAUGCAGGUAGUCGAGUUGGUUCCUUGCGCCCGCAACAAGUGGGGCAACUGGAAUGAAUUUUGGUUUUACGUUGCUGAGGGUACCGUCGAAGACCAUGAGGGACUCCCCGUGUCCGAGAUGUGUUCUCAUUUUUACUCAGCGUACCCGCCCUUUGAAGUGGCGGAGGAGGAUGCGAACGAAGGGGCCCUUCGGUGCGCCGCCGGCCUGAGUAGUGGACGCGAUUUGGUUGAAGAAUUUGUGGCGUACGGGGUAUGGCCCUUGGCGCAUGGCUGGGCGUUGGGCGAAGUGUGCCCUCGCCAGAUGCCUUUCCAUGGUGGAAGGGUGGUGCGAAGUCCCGCCUUCGCGCUGAAUCUGCAAAGCCGCGAUCCGGCCGCCUUUGUGCGUGAGGCGGAGGAUGGGGCGGUGCGGCUCGUUGGACGUUACGUGCCGAGGACAGAGGGCCAGCGCAGCUGGGAUAUCCGCGGAUCGAAUGACCGUUUGAACAGGGUUUUUGAAUUGAAUCAAUUGUCGUAUGACGGCUAUCCUGGUCAAGACGAUGUGGACCGCCGUGGGAAGAAGCCGGUGGUGGAGACUAGAGACGACCCUGCGCCGGCGGCCGCCCCAUCCUCUAAAAAGUGGAAAUUAGGUACUGCUAUGGGAGGACUUGGGGUUUCCGAUGGUUUUGCUAGAGAGUUGAUGAGGACAUGCGCGGCCCCGUGGGGAAGGAUGUCUUCGCCCGAGCUCCGGGAGUCUUCGGCUCGGAUGCUAAGGGUUACCGGGGGUUGUUGGCCUAAGAAUGUUCCUAUCCCCCGCGCGGCUGGCGAGGACUUUUUUACAUCUCGCAUGGUUCGUGAAUGGAGAGUUUUUCCUUACGGGCGGAAUAUUGCUACUGUUGUGUCGGCAGUGAUGGACAAGGAUCGCCAGGGAGCUGCACAAAAGCGCCAGGCAGUUGUCAGGCUCGUUGAAGCCAGGCCUAAGAGGCAGUGGGGGGCUGCGAAGGCUGCGGCCCCCGGCGGAGGCAAGCCGCCGUUGGCGGUGAAGUCGGGCGUCCCUGCAUCUAGCAAAGCGCCGGAGGCAACGACAGGCGCCGGAGGCUCCAAAACGACGAAGGCUGUGCCGCCGUCCAGCAGAGUGCCGGAGGUCGCGAAGGCGGCCCGAGCGUUGCCGUCGGCAGGCAAGCGUGUCGCUGACUUCGCCACCGAUAUUAGUGUGGACGACUAUCUUGGUGGUAAGUCGUUGGCUCGUUUUUUUUAUUUAUUCGUUGAUACGUCGCAGGGUCGGAUGAAGGCCAACUUGCUAUAGUUGCGCCUGCCACGGCGACCACGAUGGCUGCCGUAGUGCCGAAGGCGAAGGGCGGGGCUCUUAGCGCCGGAGGCGAGGUGUUGGCCCUCGCAGCUGUUAGGGAUGAGGCGGGCGCUGCGUCCCGCCGGCUGAAGGAGGUGACGGAGGCGCUAAGUCAGGUCCGCUGAGCUAGACUUCGUUUUUUUCGGCUUGCUGGGGCCGUGGUCUUACGUGUGUUCUGCAGGUGGCUGACUUCGCCAACCGCACAGCGUCGGGGGCCCUCACGGCGGUUGUGUCUGUCGAAGUCGAGAGACUUCAGACACAACAUGCCGAUGUCGUCCGUGAAAAAUCGGCCGCCGACAGCAAGUGCCGCAAGCUGGCGGACAAGGUGGCCGCGCUGGAGGGAGAGAAGGCUGACCUCCGGCGCCAAUUGGUGGGGGAGAGGAGGGAGACCAACGAGGCCCUCGUCAAGGCGCAGGCUGCGCAGGCGGAGGCUAAUCUGGCACGGGCGGAGGGCAAUCUUGCCAGGGAGCGCGCCGAGCAGCUGCAGGAGCGGCUCAUCGCCCUGGAGAGCUGCGUGGAGAGGGCCGAGGCCGUGACGCGCGCGGAGGCCGAACGGGCGCGCAAACAGCUUAUGGAUACAUACCAUGAGCUGGGCGUGCGGACCGGUGACUUCGAAAUGCCAGACCGAGAGCCCGGACUUCGCUGCCUGGAGUGGGUGCAGGAGGAGUUGCAGGCACUCCCCACUGUCGUGGAGGGGUUUAUGUCGUAUGCCUCCCUGGUCACCUGCGAGGGGGCGAUGAACGCGCUCUCCCGCGAAGGGUGCCGGCACUUCGAGGUCUUCGACCAAGCUGAUGAAGAUUUUGAGCGAGAUAUCUAUAAGGUUGAGGACCCCAUAGUGAAGGAAUCCGCCGGGGCCAUCUACGACCGGAUGUGGGGUCCGCACGGUCGCGAGGUGGUCAGGGAGCGCGCCGAGACGGCGAGGGCUCAGGUAACGUUUUCGUUUGUUUGGCGUUUGCUGGAUGUGGGCUGUGUGUGGGUUUGCUGAAUUUUGUGUGUUGUGUCUUAGGCGGCGCGUGGCGAGAGGGUGGACGACUUCGGGGCGUUGAACAGCGCGCCGCCUGAGCCGGAGCCGACCCCGGCGGAGGCCGUGUCCGGGGCCGCCCUGGAGACGCCCCCGGAGAUCGCAGAAGGCGCACCGGAUACCUCCGCAUCCGCUGCGGCCGGCGGAGACGUGCCCCCAGAGACCGCCGAAGGCGCGCCUGAUGCCCUCGCAGCCGCUGCGCCGAGUGCUGAAGAUCCUGCGACGGUGGCGGCGGAGGCGACGGCGGAGGCGACGGCGGAGGCAACGGCGGAGGCUCCUCAGGUGGCGUAGUGGGUGUAGAUAGUUAGGGAAUUUUGGAUAUGUUGCUGAAUUUUGGUUGCUGCGCAGGUUCAAGAUUUUGGGCCUGCGCACGCAACCGCCACUACUAAAUUUUUGGCAGCUUCGACCGCGGAUGGUGGUAAUGAAUGUGGUGGAUCUGCAUCUGAGUUUUCUGAUUUUGCUGACUCUGGGAGCUCGGUUGAGUGGACUGAGGAGUCGUCGGAGGAGGACUUGGACUACUUUGUGACCUUGGAUGUGGCUGCGGCGGAGGCUUCACCGCACGCCGCGGACACAGAAGAUGUGCCUGGUCCUAGCACCGGGCGCCGGCGACGAAGGGCGGUUGCGAAGCGUAGAGUUAGUGGGGUGGAGGGGGGACGGCUUCGUGUGAGUAGGGCUGGCCGACAGGAACUGUUGUCUUUGCCGGCCGCCGUGAAUACAGGUGAAGGGGAACUACGAAGUCUUUUUGCGGGUGAGGAGCUUAGGAUAAUGUUAUUUAAUUAUAGGGAGAUGGGAAUUAUUCCUAAGGUUGAGCCGAUGUAGAGUGUGGUGCCCUCGCUUGUAUAUGUGUAAAGGCUUGUAUGAUGAGGUUGUGUGCCCUCGCUUGUCUAUGCCUGCGAAGGCGUUGUGUACUUGGUCUGGUGUGUUUUGUUAUGCUGUGCUGGUGCGAUUAUAGUCGGUCUUGGCGCGGACGGUUUGACGUUGUCGUUUCUGCUUUUGUUGUGCUAGUCCGGCUGCACCCUUAGGCAUCUUCUGCACGGAUAGUCUACGCGGUAGACUUCGGUUUCUUUGCACUUGUUGUGCUAGUACGGCUGCACCCUUAGGCGACUUCUGCGCGGAUAGUCUUCGCGGUAGCCUUCAGUUUUUUCGCACUUGUUGUGCUAAUCCGGCUGCACCCUUAGGCGACUUCUGCGCGGAUAGUCUACGCGGUAGACUUCGGUUUCUUCGCACUUGUUGUGCUAGUCCGACUGCACCCUUAGGCGACUUCUGCACGGAUAGUCUUCGCGGAAGACUUCGAUUUUUUCGCACUUGUUGUGCUAGCCCGGCUGCACCCUUAGGCGACUUCUGCACGGAUAGUCUUCGCGGAAGACUCCGAUUGUUCGCACUUGUUGUGCUAGUCCGGCUGCACCCUUAGGCGACUUCUGCGCGGAUUUGUCGCACGCGAGGGUGGCUAGCGCUUAGCCUCGCGGUGACCUCGUAUUGGUCGAAUGUCGAAGACCGUCGUCGUGGUCUUUUUUCGACGCAUGUUUUUGCGGGGGAUUUUUCACACAUAUAUUACAUGGCUCCGCCUCGUUAAAAACCUCACCCCCCGGGAGGAAAAGAGUGCGGGCCGGUAUAAGAUUGUUUUUGCGAAUUACAAGGGCGAAAUCAGCCCUGAUGAGUCAAACAAAGAAUUUGCGGAGGUUGUCGAUGUUCCAGGAGUGCUCCAGGUCUUCGUCGUUUGGCGUUGUGAGCCUGUAAGCGCUGGGGGAAGCUAUCGUCUUGACUAUAAAGGGGCCCUCCCACUUGGGCUCCAGCUUGCCCCUGGACUCUAUCCGAGUGGUUCGGACGAGUACGAGGUCCCCUUCGCUGAAUUCCCUCGGGAUGACUGCGUGGUCGCGCCAUGCUUUUGUCUGGGCUUGGUACUUGUUUAGGGCCUGCAGGGCGAAGACUCGGUCUCCGUCAAUGAGAACCUUUCAAGUUGGCUCGUCCACGUCGGGGACGGCUGAUGGAACUGUUCGCGGGGACCCAUGUUUUAUUUCUUGUGGGGUCAUGGCCUCCGAUCCGUAUAGAAGGCGGAAAGGAGUAAACCCGGUCGCCCUGCACUCAGUCGUGUUCAGUGCCCAGACUUCCUCAGGUAACAAAUCGGUCCAUUUGCCCUUUUUUCAUCGAGGAGCAUCUUUUUGACAGUUGUGAAGAUUUUCCCAUUGGCGCGUUCCACAACUCCGUUAGACUACGGAUGAUAGACUGAGGCGAAGGCAAGCUUGGUGCCAAUGGAGAAGCAAAAAUCCUUGAAGUCUUGGCUGUCAAACUACUUGCCGUUGUCAACUGUUAGUUCAGACGGUACUCCGAAGCGGCAAACGAUAUUUUGCCAAAAGAAUUUCUGGGCAGUUUUUGACGUUAUUGUGGAAACAGCCCUUGCCUCGAUCCAUUUGGUGAAGUAUUCGACAGCGACGAAGGCGAACUUAAGGUUCCCCUGAGCGGUGGGCAGGGGCCCGACAAUGUCCAGGCCCCAGCGCUGGAGAGGCCAUGUGUGGGCGAUCAGCUUUGUAUACUGCGAGGGGUUGCCUGACCGAGGAGAAAACUUCUGGCAGGCUUCACAGGACCUUGUGACCCGAUUUGCGGCGCAGAUCAUUGCGGGCCAGUAAAAACCUUGGCGGAUCACCUUAGAAGCUAGGGCACUUGGCCCUGCGUGUGAGCCGCACGUGCCACUGUGGACUUCGCGUAGGAUCUGGAUGCCUUCGGUUUCGGUGACGCACUUAAGCAUUGGCUGACUGACCCCUUUCUUGUAGAGUUGGCCUUCAAUCAGUGCGAAGUCUCGACUUCGAUGUCUGAGGCGCUUGGCCUCGCUGAUGUCGGUUGGAUGAUAGUACCCCUGUAGGAACAGGGUUAUUGGUGCCCGCCAGUCUUCGGUCAUGAUUAGGUUGACUAUGCGGUGGCCCUCGCUGUCAUUAGUUAUUUGGAGCCCUUCGGGGCUCCGGACGGCUGGCGUGCCGAUAAUGUGAAAGAACACGUCGGAGGGCAAGGACUCGCCCCUGGCGGCAGCCUUGGCCAAUGCGUCGGCCUCUUCAUUCUUGGCCCGAUCCACAUGCUGCAGGGUGAAUCCCUUGAAUUGUCUCUCGAGACUUCGGAUGGCCGUGAGGUAUUGCAUGAGUGCGGGGUCCUUUGCUGCAUAGUCUUUCUCAACCUGGCCGGCAACUACCUUGGAGUCUGUUUUGAUGAUGCAGGUGGUGACUCCGAGGGCCCUUAGCUUGCGGAGGCCGAGGAUGACUGCUUCAUAUUCUGCUAUAUUAUUAGUGCAUCUGUCGGAUUCCAGAGCGAAGCUGAGGCGUGCUGCAUAUCUGUGCUUGACCCCGGCUGGUUAGGUGAUGACUGCAGCGGCGCCUGCCCCCGCAUGGCACCAUGCGCCGUCGCAAUGGAUCGUCCAAACCUUUUCUGCGGACGGGUCUGGCUGUGUUAUUGGCCUAGUCCAGUCGACGACGAAGUCUGCCAGGACUUGUGACUUGAUGGCUGUCCUGGGCUCGAAGCUGAUGUGGUAGCCGGAUAGUUCGGCUGCCCACUUGGCAAUCCUCACCGAUGCCUCCGGGUUUCUGAACAAUUCGCCGAGUCCCCUGUCUGAGGUGACUCGGACCUUGAAUGCUUCGAAGUAGUGGCGCAGUUUGUGCGAAGACAUAACGACUGCGUAGGCAAUCUUCUCCAGCUCUGUCAUGUUGCACUUGGACGGUGUCAGUACUUCGGAGACAUAGUAAACAGGGCACUGCCUGACCACGCCCUCAACUGUCUGCUCCUGCACUAGUGCCACGCUGACCGCAUGUGGCGAAGCUGCGACGUAGAGCAAUAGGGGGAGCGAGGAGUCGGGGUUUGUGAGGACGGCCAACUCCGAUAGGUACUGUUUUAGUGAGGUGAAGGCCGCUGCCUGCUCCGGUCCCCAGGCGAAGUCUUUUGCACCGCGGAGUGUUUUGAGGAAGGGGAGACUUCGCUCAGCGGACCUGGAGAUGAAUCUGUUGAGAGCGGCCAAUCUGCCUGUCAGGCGCUGGACGUCCCUGGCGGACUGUGGAGGCGUCAUAUUUAUGAUGGCCUGGAUCUUGGUUGGGUUGGCCUCGAUGCCGCGGUGUGAUACCAGGUAGCUCAAUAUUUUGCCUUGGCGAACACCGAAUACGCACUUUUCCGGGUUUAGGCGGAGUCGUGCGUCUCGCAUGUUCGCGAAUGUCUCGGCGAGGUCGGUGAGAUGGUCAUCCUUGCUCUUGCUGGCGACGACGAUGUCGUCCACAUAUGUAAAUAUAUUUCUGCCAACUUGCCCUUCGAGCACUGUUUUGGUGAGUCUGGAGAAGGUGGACCCGACGUUCUUGAGUCCCUCUGGCAUUCUGAUGAAGCAAUAUGUGCCGAAGGGUGUUAUGAAGCUGGUGCUAGCCUUGUCUUCCUCCUUCAUGUAUAUCUGGUGGUAACCGGAGAAGCAGUCGAGGAGUGACAUGACCUCGCAUCCGGCCGCGCUAUCGACUAUUUUGUCGAUCCGCGGCAACGGGAAAUUGUCCUUUGGGCAGGCCUUGUUGAGACUGGUGAAGUCUAUGCACAUGCGCCACUUCCCGCUUUUUUUCUGCACCAUUACAACAUUGGAGAGCCACGUAGGAUAAGCCACGGGCUCGAUGAAUUUGGCUUCCAGGAGGCGGUGCACCUCCGCCUUGGCGGCCUCUGUCUCCUCAUCGGACAUUUUGUGAAGCCUCCGCUUUUUUGGUCGCACCGAAGGGUCAAUUCCCAUGCUGUGCUCAAUUAUGGAUCGGCUGACUCUGACCAGAUCGAGGGUAUACUAGGCGAAGACAUCCUUAUUCUUGGUUAGGCAGCAGAGGAGUUUCUCCUCUUCAUGCGAAGUGAGGUCUUCGCUGAUAGUGACUAUCUGCUUGGGCGUGGCCUGAUCGAGGGGGACAGUCUUGGUCCCGUCGUUGCUCUGCAGCUGUGCCUUGUCGUGCUGCUUAUUGGUUGGGCUGGCGGGCGCGGGGACCUCGCGUUGUGCCGUGAGGUAGUGCACGUUUCUCUGACCGGGCACGAAGUCCCGCUCGAUGUUGCGCGCAGUCUGUUGAUUGCCGUAGACCGUAAUGACGCCUAACGGACCUGGUAUCUUCAUACAUAGGUACAGUCCGUGAAUGGCUGCUUCGAACUUAUUGAUGGAACCCCGACCCAUGAUGGCAUUGUAUGGAUAUACCACAUCCACGAUAUCAAAGGUUACUUGCUCACUUCGGGCAUUGGGUGCUACAUCGAAGGAAAGAGGCAGCUCUAUUUUACCGACAGGAAAGGUGCCUUUGCCGCCGAAGCCAUACAACGGGUUGUCCGAAGGCUUGAGCAGGCUGUGGCUUAUGCCCAUGCGAUCGAAGGCGUGGAGGAAGAUGAUGUCCGCCUGACUGCCAUUGUCAACUAGGACUUUGUGCAGGUCCCAGCCUACCACGCUGCAAUUGAUAACCAUGGCGUCGCAGUGGGGGGCGCUGCGUAUGUCGACGUCUCGUGCGUCGAAGGUUAUCGGUAUGUGGGACCACUUUGUCUGCACGACUGGGCCAGUGACGGCGACAUGGUUGAUGCUGCGGUAGUGGUCCCGCUUCUGCCGCUUGGUGUCGAAGUCAGUGCUGGACCCCCCAGUUAUCAUGUGAAUGACUCCGCGAUAUGGUUGAUCGGUGAAGUCUUCCUGCUUUGGGGCGUGGGGGAUGUUUUGAUGUUGCUGGUGUGGUGGUGGGGGUGGGGGAGGUACGAUUUGUACUUCAUGAUGGUGUUGGUAAGCGUGGUGCGGUGGAUGCGGGGCGGGGGCGUGGAUGUAUGGUUGGGGGGGUUGCUGGUAAGUGUGUGUGACAACUCUGGGGUUGUCGGCUGGCUGCGCCCGUGCCAUUCUGUCCCUGGUGGCCUUCGUUUCGGGGCAGUCUUUGGUUUGGUGGGCGCAGUCUUCGCCACUGAAGAGGCAGUAGAAUCGACGCGGCGGCUGCGCACGCCCUCGACCCCUACCACGAGUUCCAUUUCCGCGGCCCUGGGGGGGAUAUUCCUGGCGACGAGGCGGGUCAGCAGCGGGGUGCUGGUUGGCGAUGUUGUGCACUUGCUGCUGAUUGCGGCCGUCUCGACUAGAGUCUGGCUGCAGAGUCCUCGUCCACGUGCGGCUGGACUGUGGAGCAUCUUUGGGUUUCCGCUGCGACUCAACCUUGCGCUGGUGGAGCUCUUCAGAUUUGGCAUAUUUUUCGAAGAGCUGAUAUAGCUCCUGGAGGUUCUUGGGCGGAUCUCUGAUACAGUGGCUGUAGAGGACGCCGGCGCGAAGGCCACUGAUAGCAUAGUGGAUAGUGAUCUGAUCAUCGACUCAGGGCAGCUGUGACUUGAGUGUUAAAAAUUUGCGGUAAUACUCCCGCAGAGUCUCCUUUUCCAGCUGCUUGCAGAGCGAGAGUUCGGCUAAUGCGUCGGUGUCUGGGCGGUACCCUUGGAAGUUGAGCAGGAACUUGUCCCUGAGGCUUCUCCAGGAAUCGAUGGACAGCGGAGGCAAUCUGGUGAACCAGGUGAGAGCUGGGCCCUCUAGGGCGAUGAUGAAAGACUUCGCCAUUGUGGCGUCGUCCCCUCCGGAAGAUGCAACGGCGACCUGAUAACUCAUUAUGUAUUGCGCCGGGUCGGUGCUGCCGUUGUACUUGGGAUAGGUCCCUGCUCGGAAGUUAGUUGGCCAAGGCGUCACUUGCAGGUGUGGCGCCAGGGGACUUCGCUCGUCGAGAUAGUUGACCCCUUGGAAUGGCGCGGCGUGGUGGAAGGUGUGGUCGCGCUGGGGGAAACGCGGGUCUUCCGGUUGUGCGCGGUGUUGCAGGGGUGGCCCUUGCUGCAGGCCAAGGUGGCCUUCGCGCGUGUCUUCCAGUUGUGCGUGCUGCUGGAGGGGUGGCCCUUGCUGCAGGCCAAGGUGGCCUUCGCGCUGCAUCAGCGUGAUCUCCCGCUCGAGGUCUUGGGCCUUCUGCUCUUCGUCGCGUAUCAUUUGUCGCACUUUGGCUAGUGCGGACACUCGCUGGCGCUUGGCCUCCAGUAUCUCUUUCUGCCUCUGGAGAUUGCGGUUCUUGAGGCGCAGGGCGCGCAGCUGUAGCUGUUCUUCCGCUGAGACGCCGAGGACUUCACCAUCCUCGGUGAGGUCCGCGCCUUCCAGUGGGGCGAAGCCUGGGGGUGGCUGUGAUUGUCCUUCAGGGCCGCAAGUGCGGAGAGUGUCGUCUUCACAGGUGUGGGGAACGUUGUCUUCAGUGGCCUCUUGGUGGGUGGAUUGGGUGAGGGCGAGGGCCUUGCCCUUUCUUGCGGCAAGCAGUGCUGCCUUCGUAGCCUCGUCAGCCUUCGGGUUAGCUCUCUUGGGUGCCAUCGCGGGUGGUUUUCUUGUAGCACGAACGGUGGGCGCCAAAUGUUGGAACUUGCUCUCAAUCGCAAGGGGGGCCAACAAGGGUGAACAGUGACGUUAACAGGGGAACGCGCUAGAUGGCAAUAGCUCUGUUAAUCUGGCCUCUCACGGGCACUGUGCGGGGGUAUUUAUAGGUACGUGAGCACCCAGCGCCUUGUGCUAAGGACGCAUGUGCCCUCAACUACCUAGGUUAUCCCCAGAAUAUUCCCAUAAAGCAGGGUUAUAGACUGUAAUUACAGGGACGCCUUUACAAAUUAGGCCCGUAACACGCGGCGGCCACGCAGGGCCCGUUACAAUGGGCCGGAUCACACGUGGGCCUCUGAGCUGGACGAGGCCGCACCGUGGGAUGACGUCGUCGCAGGUCUUCGUCUGGUGCCGAAACGGCGAAGGGUGUCCCUGCCCGUUUUGUCUCUGUCAGACCAGUGGUUGCAGCGAAGGCCUCGAGCGAAGGGUGGCAUCUUUGCCUUCGCCCCAACAGGCAAAUUCCUUGUAAGUUCAGGAAUAUAGAGCUACAAAGUCAGCCCUAUGCAACUGAAUUUAGACUUAGGCAUAUGGAGCAUAUGAGGUGCUUUUUGCAAUUAAGUCCAAAUUUCACAAUUUGAUUUGCAAAUCCUCAAUUGUGUGAAACAUAUGAUUUAUGGUGCUCUAAUACUUUGGUUUUUGCACUUGGGUCCAAAAUUGCACAAAAUUUACACUUAGCCCCCUAGGAUUCCAAUUUAGGGUUUUCAGGGGUCUUUUGAGGGUUUUUAGUACUCUAGGGUUUUGGUGCUACCCAAGUCCAUUAAAUGUGAUAUCUUAUGAUCAUUUCUAAUGAGUUUUGAGACUUUAACUUAUUUGGGCUUCAUUUUCACUCAUAACCCUAGUUUAGGGUUAAGUACUCUACCCUAGGGUUACACACAUACCAAGUCACACCAAUACAACUUGUUUGAAAUUUUAGCCUAGUGAAUGCACUCUAAGUGUAACAAACACAUGAUAUGCUAAUGCUCAUGAUGUUAUGCUCAAGUUUUAGUAAUAGUAACACCAUGGGUGUUACAUUAGUGGUCUGAGCAAGGUUAGUAAAGUGUGCCAUGGGCCAUGGCGUCGCUUUGGAGAGCCUGAAGCCGGUACAGUGCGUUCAUGCACUGAACAGUGAUCCUCCCAACUUGGUCGAGAUACAUAGCCCACACGUCCUUCACAUGGUUCACACGGUUGCACCACAUGGGGUCAUCCCUCUUCUCAGCGGGGAAGAGUCCUAGUGGGUGCAUCACCAUCUCCAAGGGAUGGUAGCCACAGAAAGUCAUCAGAGUCUUCAUAGCUGCCGCCUCGGUGGUGUCGUCCGACCUAAAUCCAAUAGUCUCGAAGUCAAGGGAACGCCAACCCAGCUGUAGGGGGUGAGCCUCCAGAGUCAGCCAGGCUCGGCAACGUGGUACCCGAUGCUCCUCGUACAGCUGCACUGUGUACAAAGGGGCAUAGGGUAACCGACGGAGUUGAGCACCUCCCACAAGAUGGAAGGGAAACCUUCGUACGAAAGGAAAUCGGAACUGAAAUGAGUGUCUCCUCCAUUGGAGGGGGUGGGUGAAGUCAUCUGUGGAAGAGGAUCAUAUGUAAAGGUUACGGUAGUGGAAAGGAAAAACAUGUGCCCGGGUUGUUAAAAGGAGGUGGGGUAGAUUUGAUCCUACUCCUUAUGUUAGUUAUUAUUGUCCCUAUUUGCUAUAUUCGUACUUAGAUGCAUUUUCCUUUAAUUUCUAAUCCUUUCAUGUUUUAUAAUGCAUGCAUGCUGAAAAGAACUUCUCCUCACCGAUCAGAAGGGUGCUUUUAGGGCAUCCUUGCAAUUCUAAAACUGGCCUAUAUGGCCUACUUAAUUAGCCACCUGUUUUUCGCACUAUUUCUAAGGCCUUUUGUCCUAGGUCUAGCGUUCUAGUCCUGACGAUUCCAAUACUAGUUUCUAAGCAAGUUUUUAUUUUUGAAAAGUUGAUAUGCACGAUUUAUUGCUUUCUCUGUGGUGGUAUUUGCUCCGAUACCUGCUGUGCCGAAACCACACGAAUUAUUCUAGCUUAAGUGCCCAAGUCACGCCUAAGGGCAGCAACACACUUAAAUCGGAAUAGUCCGUCAGUCCCUCAGACCUAGUUUGAUAAAGCCACUUCCUGGGAUCAAAUACCACUAGCUCACUUGAAGGUGAGUCACAGAGUGAAAACAAUAAAGUAGGAAACCACAAAUUAAAGUACUGGAGUUAUUACAUAAAUUGGAGUUUUUAAGCAAACGGAAACAAGUUCAUAAUUCAGUGGAUAGUCGAUAACGUCAAAGGCUGAGGAAUAGUGCAAGGCCUAGCCCACUACUCCUCCUACUCCUCUCCUGCCGGAGCGGCAUCCCAUUCGACCAUCCAACCCGAUGGCAGGGUGGAAGGCCAAGUCACACCAUCAACCAUGUCCUGAAGCGUACCUGCAAAAAUUGUGCCACAAGCAAGGCUGAGUAUACUAAUACUCAUCUAGACUUACCCGGUGUGAGGAGUCUACUCCUCUACCUCUAGACCAUGCAGCUGUUUGGCUGAGGGGUUUGGUUUGCCAAAAGCACUAGCUGAGUCUAAAAUCAAUUUUAGCUUUUCCAGUUCUAGCAUCAUUAAUUUAACUAAGUUCGCUCCUUCUAAGCAUACUUGGUAGCAAUCAUUUAGUACAAUCAAUAUGUUAUCUCAAGUAAAACCUCAUUUCACUUCUUACUCAAUACAGUACAAGGGGUCAAGUAGUCUCGUUAGCUGCGAGAAGCAGACGAUCCGAAUCGAGUUUUUAAACCUUGCAAGGUAAACCUAAACACACGACAUGUAGGGGCACUCUGUCCCCACACAUAUCAACCGUCCCCAUCGAUUCCUCGUUCGCGUCCAGGGCUCACCGCCUUGGCAUACAAUGCUCCAUUGACCCCGGCUGCCGCCGUGCAGUGACCGCACUUGUACCCACCAUAGCUAGAAUGGGAGACCCAGUCUCAGGACAAAUGAGGGGGAAAGUCCGCGCCCGGCUUCACUCAGGUACUAGGUUUACCGGUUACCAUAUUUCCAGACAUGUGUUUAGUACUUUCAAACGCAUGACUCAGGUAUCCACACAUUAAUCCUUAAUUCCAUUUCCGUCUCAUGGACAUGGCAUCCAUCCUGGAUCCAAGUCCAUAGACCAUCCUAGAUCCUGUUAUCUAGAUGAAUACAUUCAAUUCCUGACCUCGCGCGAGUGCUAGAAAAAUCACUUGACUUCUACUGAGAUCCUAAUUAGCAAAGCACCUACUCGACCUAGCAUACUAGUAUCCAUCUCAAAAAGGAAUCCUGAGUUCAUGCAACUAAGGGUUUCAAGCAACUCCUACACUUAAGUGCACAUUACAAGCCUACAAACAUUAAGUGUAGUAAAGUAGCAUAUAUAAAUUGGUUAUGCAUAAAACCGGGGCUUGCCUUCAAAUGUUGGGGCUACGGGGAGAUCCUCUAUGGCAGGCUCGGGAGCUGGCUCCUGGUCUUCCUCGUGGACAGCUCCUUGCUCGGGAAUGAGGACAUACUCUCCGUCAGCGAGGUUGCAAUCUAAUGAAUGCAAUGAGUGAGAUAUAUGUACGCCAUGAUAUGCAAUGUGGUAGUAAUAGGAAUGAUUAAAUUGAUGAAGUAAGUUUCAAUCUUACUACGGGAAUUCUAGUGGUAUACUUAGCCAAUUUUGGGUCAAGUAUGGUUAAGGUAAAUGGUCAGAUUAUUUUAGUGCUCCCCUGAUUUCCUUUUAGUGUCUUAGUGAAAGUUUAUUAUGAUCCUUGUUGAAUUCAUUGGAGUGAGAUUCAUUAUCCUUACUAAUUCUCUCUUCUUCUCUUUUUCUCUUAUGCUUUUAAGGUGGGCUUGAACUACAAUAUAGCUUUAUAAAUUCCCAAAAAUUCUGUAAACAUUACAGUAGCUUCUUAAUGGUGUAUAACUCUCAGUCUCAAAAAUUUAGGCUUAAAAUGUUAAGGGUUCUCUCUGUACAAAAAUAUUUAGUUUUAGGGCAGAGAGGAUGCUUUGAACUACAACUCUCUUCUAAUAGUGGAUUAUUCUUUAAGGCUUAUUUUUUCUGGCAUGUAGGUGUAAUAAUAUGACAUUGUACCAAGUUUUAGCCACUGAUACAUAUUUGUCAUUUUACUGUGAUUUUCUAAAGUUUUUGGCCAAAGGGGUCCUUUCUACUACCACUAUACUUGAAAAAUGUCAAACAACAAAUUUCUAAUUUUUCCUAUCUUCUUCUUUGUGCAAGAGCAAUCAUUAUAGAAUUUGGCAACUUUUUGCUUAGGGGAGAGGGUGGUAGAAAUUCUUGGAAUAUAUGGUCUUUUUCAUGGGGUAGGGGGUAAUGUGUGUUACCUUGCAUUUUUACUUGAGUUUUAUAUUUUUCUCUAGUGGUUUACCUCAUAAGUAAUUGGGUGAAAAUUUGUUUGCCCACGGUUGCACAAUUUUAGGCUUCCUCAUGAUUUAAUUAGAACAUGGGCCAAAUCCAAGUUUUAAUUGUUCAACUCAUUUAUUUUGAUGGGUUGGAGUGUCUAUUAUUUUUGUAGUGGUGUUCUUGCAGUUAGGAGUCUACUAAAAUUUCUUUACCAUUUUUGUAGUGGUCCUUAUAUUUUUAAUCAUGGUUUCCCUUGAUUUCUUAGUGCCUAAUAAAAUAAUUAACCUUUAUUAGCUCUAGACUAGGGUUCUCUGUAUUUUUCCUAUAUUCUUCAUCACUUAUGUAUACUAGGAAAAGUAUGUUCAUCCUCUGUUUAUUAUUUUCCUGCCUUUCUUAAUUUUCUAAGUUUUGGACAGAAUUAGUUUUUCAUGGAUAAUCUUGAUUUAUUCUUGUAUACUGGGGUACUUAGUAUUUUUAAACAAUGUGUAUGUUGGGUAUGUAUCUCUACAAAUUUUCUUAAGCCUAGUAUAGAAGUAUUUCUAUUUUUCUCUAUAUUAAUAAGGUUUGGGCAGUUUCCUUAUUUAAUUCAAUACUCUAAAAAUUAGUACAGAAAAUAUGGGGUUUAUUAUUUUUGUCUGAUAGUUCAUAAUGUCUUGAAUCCAACAAAAUUGGUUUGACUAAUUUGGAUGAGUAUUUCUGAAGUUAUGCAUUUAACUGAUUUACUGCUGAUUUAAGGAAUUUGAAAUUCAAAUCGAAAAGGAAAUCCACUUUGCUCUGGGGUCCCUAGCAUUUUCUUCCUGGUUUUCCUUACAAACAGGCCCUCGGGUUCCUAUUGCACUAAGUCUCUGACAGCGCAGAAAGCCCCAAAGCCCCCUGGGUAACCCUAAAUCUAACCCGCGGUCCUUCCUUUAUUUAAACAGUGCCCACGGUGGAGGAAAGGGCGGAGGGGCUUACCGGCGGCGAGAUAGCUCUGGUGAGGCGUCCAGGGAGGUCGGGGAGGUGACAGUGGUCACGUCGAGGUGCGGGUCAGCGUCAGAGAUGGCUGGAGUCGGCGGGUCCUCGUGCGCAGGCGGGGGAGUUCGUCGGCGGCGAGUGUUCCAGCCUGCUCACGGUGGGAUAGAUCAAUUGGUUGGCUUGGGAAGGUUUACUAAGGGACGCAGAGGCGGUAUACGCGAGGAAUUGGAAAAUGGCGCAGUGACUUACCCGGUCCACGUUCGUCGGUGAGUGGAAGAAGUCUGGCGAGGGUGAUUCGGGGUUUCUGGUGAGGUUGCGCUGGGUCUGAGGCUCGGGGAGAUUCACGGGCCUCUAGCGAAGCUAACCGAACUGCUGGCAUAGAGUGGGAGCGGCUGGGGUGAGCUGACCGCGGUGGCCGAAGCUCGGGCAGCUUGGCGGGCGAAGGAGAGCUCUCUAUUCACGGCCAAAAGCUCCGGUGAACAAGCGCGGUCAGUGUGGGAAGCUGAGGCGAGGUCGUGCAGGGCCACUGGCCUUUAUAGGCGCGGGUGCGAGGAGGACGCGUGGCGGAUUUGACCGUGCACUGGGGCGAGCGCGCGCGUGGGUUGGGCGAACGUCGGCGUGCCGACCAGGGUCGAACACAUGUUUGCGUUUCUUCUGCCCGAGUUCUGGCACGAGUAGUCACUCAUCCAAGCCUGCUCUUUCCUUGGUCAGUGCAUAAAACCUCUUCUCGUCCCUAUAAGCUACAAAUUAUGUGUGGGGGUCAAAGGAUUUGGCCUACUGGUUCCAAAGAUAUGGAGCUCUCAAGUGGGGUUUGACUCACAGCCCGAGCCUGAGGCAAAUCAUUGGUUUUGUCGUGUCUAGGGUCCAAAUUCCAAUGCCAUCUUCAGAUAUGUGGUAGAGGGAUUAGUUUAGCACAUAUUUGUUAAUGGGAGCUUACGGUUUUGGAUUAGGGAUCAUGGUGAACUUGCUCGAGUUUGGGUUAGAGGCUGAAAUUCAGAAAUCUGAAUUUCAGAUUUCUCUACAAAGCCUCCAAAUGAAUGGCAUGUUUGGGGUUUUUGAAAAAUUCUUUUGGCCAAGCUUCCUUACUAACUUUUGUAGCUUAAUUAGUGUAUUUCAACUUUUAUAAUUGGCCCAAGCCAUGAUUCCAUGUUUUUCAUGGUCUUUUUACCAAUUUCCCCUUUUUCACUUAAUUGGCUUAAUUAGGGUUAUUCUAGGGUUUGGGCAUUUUACUCAGUUUGAGGUGCAUGAUAUGGUUAAGGUGUGAUCCUUGAGAUGAAAAAGACUUAAUUAAUCUUUGCUCCUCAAGUUUGGUGUCUUUUGCUCAAUUUGAUUCACAUGAGAUAAUGGCCUUGAUGUGAGUACUAAGAAGAAACCCUAAGUAACAUCUGGGUGUUACAGGUCUUGAGUUCUGGUCUCAACCCCUUCAAGAAACGGUCCAUCUUCUUGGCUUCUGUGCUGACAUCAUCAGGUGCAUAGCGAGCAAGUUCUAUGAAUUUGUGAAUGUAUUCGCUGAUGGAUAUCCCUCCUUGAGUUAAUUCCCGAUAUUCUUCUUCUUUGAGCUAGACGAUUCCCAAGGGUACAUGAUGCUCUCGGAAAGCGGCUUCAAAUUCUGCCCAGGUAGCAUCACUUACGGCAGUGCUGAAAGUAUCCCACCAGGAUAGGGACAUCUUGGAGAGCUGAUGAGCAACUAGGUGAACACGCUGGUUCUCUGGGCAUCCAAUGGCCUCUAACUUCCUCUUUACUGUGUGCAGCCAGUCAUCAUCAUCGAGCGGGUUGCUAGAUCCGGCGAAUGUGGGAGGCUUCAGCCUUAGGAACUCUCCCAUUCUAUCCUAAGGUCUUCCUCCAAUCAGGCGCUGGUUCUCGAGGCUUCUAGUGAGGACCUCAAUGAGUCGGGUUUGGUUGGCCAGAACUUGGGCUAGGUCUAAUGGAAGCUUCGGAGGCGCAUGGCGGUGGGUCUCACUCCCUUAUCCACCGACUUCUCCUUUGAUACCUAGGGGAGUCCUUGCUCCAAUUCCCGAGGCGGUACGCAUGGUUUUAUCCGAGGCCAUAUGCUAGAGGGGAGAAAGGAUUACUACUAUGCAUAUGCCAUCAUUUUUUUCAAACAUGUUAUUUUAUUCAGCACUCCAGUUCAUUACAAGCAUAACAACCACCACAGACUACACUACGCACGAGCGUUAUCCGCUAGAGUGACUCCAAACUCCUUGAGGAGAUCAUCAAGGCUAGACAGGGACACUUCCUCGAUGUCGGAGAAGCUCUCUAUCCCUAGGGAGGGUAGUGUUGGCGGGGCUUCUUCCUUUGGGUCAGUCUGCCUUCCUUGGCUCUUCAAAUGUUUUUGGAUCUUCUUGACGGGGGCAAGCAUCUUCAGCCUCCUAGCAUAGUCCAUCUUCAGGGUCCGGUAUGACUCACGAGUGUUGGCUUCUUCACCUUCUGCCAUCUCGAGACUGUCUUGAAGAGCCACCUUUUCUUCCUUCAACUCCUUGAUUUGCUGCUCUAGGCUUUCCACCCGGGAGUUUAGGUGGGUGCAGUGGGAAAAAAGGUCAUCAUAGUGGUUGUCAAGGGUGUGGAGAUAUCCAGCCAUGUAGACUAUGGUAGGGUCAUCUUCAUUAGGAUCUCUCCUUGACAAGGCCUGGAGUCUUUUCCUCCAAGCAGGAGUAUUUUUUUUGCUAGGUGGAAAGUAGUGAAGGGGUGUCUCAGAGACCUCCCUGUUGUAGUUUUGGCAUAGCUAGCGGAGGACUUUUUGGGCAGCAUUCUGGCAGGUACCUCGGAAGCAAUGGCCAGUAGCAGUGAUCUGAAAGGGAGGGUGAUUUGGGUAGUUUCAGCUUUCUCCCAAGUAGACUGCCAUAGAGCAUUUCUCAAUCCCAUUCUCGCGGUAUUCUUUCCAGACAUACUCCGGCUUCUUGAGGAUCCCCAUGCGAAGCGCGCAGCUCCGAAGAAGGUGAGGGAAUCCUUCCACCUCUGAGCAAUAGGAUGUCCUAAGGACAAAGGUGCCUUCCAUCUGGUAGCAAGAGAAGAAGGGUUGUUAAUAUCGGGGAAAGGAGAGAAGGUUCUUUAAGAGGUUAAGAGGUCUUUUCUUUUGAGGAAAGCCUUUUAGGUCAGGGCUGCGGUCUAUGGCCAGUCCUAUGGCUCUGAUACCACCUGAAGCGUCCCGAUCCUUUGGGACUCAAAUGUGAUACAAUUACUAGUCCCAGGAGGCUAGUAAACAUAUUCAUUUCUUCAAAUAGUACAGAGUCUUGAAUAAUAGUUAUUACAGUACCAAGAUACAAGCUCUAGCGAGCCUGGAAACAUAGCACAAUGGAAGAUCAUCAAGCCCAAGCCACAUGAAGACUGGGUGCAGACACAACCCUCUUCUAGUCGAACAUAGCAGAAAAGAAGUCUUCAGCUGCUGAAAAACAUAAUAAAAUCUGGGUGAAUACACUAGGUAUUCCACAAGCCCAUCCCGCCCGUAAAGAGAGAGGGACCUAUACAGUACAUGCUUGGUAUGGUGGAGUUGAAGUCACUCUUUUUUUCAGAGAAAGGCAAUACUUUGUCAUUUUACCCAAGAGAGAGGAGUAGCACAUUUUCACACUCAACCACCAUUAAGAUUCCCACUCCCGUGGUACUACUUUUAUUUCCAAAAGCACCCACACACUUGCCCUUCUUACGAAGCUUAAAAACACUAAUUGCCAUACCACACCAGACUCGUCCAUACCAGUGGACACGGACUAUUCAAAUAGGUUUCAAACUCUGCACAAAGGUGUACACUUUACCCACUAGUCCGGCUCUGCGGUCUCAUGGCCAAUGAGACCCGAAUCCGAAUCUCUUUCCUUCCUUGCAUGUCCUUACCUUAACGAUUAUACCAGAAGGAUUCAGGCCACCACCAUGCCCAAACUGAACAAAACAUUCCCCUUCCUUAUCCUCCCGGUGCUCCCCAGCCAUCAUAACCCUGGGGUUUGGACCGUACAAGUUCAUAUUGAGUGACUGUCCAUACAGUCUCGAGUGGUUCUACUUGUCAUGAGUAUAGGUAGUGAAGGAUGACAAACCGGUCCUUAUAUGAGGGGACAAUCCUUCCUGCUCACACCUAACCCGGCUGAGCCAACACCUUAGGCCCUCCCCUAAACCAGGGAGUCCCUGAUCAUCCCUCUCGGUUGGUGAUAAGGGUGAAUACCCUCCAUCAUACACCUUUUGAAAACAUUUCUCUUUUUAGAAAAAACCAUUGCCUCAACCCACAUUUUGUACCCAAAAGAGAUUCUUUAAAGCAGGCCAUCACUCGUCUCACAAUGCAUAGAAUCCAACCCAUAUUCCUGGCUUAGGCAGUGGUACAAAGAGUAGGUAAUUUAUGCAUCAAUGGAAGAAUGGACUUGCCUUUGUCGAAGUUCUCUUGGCAUGAAAGAUCUAUUUCUGGGAGUUCAGGCUCAUUCCCUUCUUUCGGAGCUACGAUUUCCGAAGAGUCGGAUCCCUCUUCGCCUAGCAGAAACAAGCAAUAAAUAAUACUGAAAGUCGCCUAGAGGGGGGGUGAAUAGGCAAAUCUGAAAUUUAUAAACUUUAAGCACAACUAUAAGUCGGGGUUAGCGUUAGAAGUAAAAUCGAGUCCAAAAGAGAGGGCGAAAACAAAUCAACCAAGAAGUAAAGCGAGUGACACGGUGAUUUGUUUUACCGAGGUUCGGUUCUUGCAAACCUACUCCCCAUUGAGGUGGUCACAAAGACCGGGUCUCUUUCAACCCUUUCCCUCUCUCAAACGGUCACUUAGAUUGGGUGAGCUUUCUCCUUAAUCAAACAGGUCACUUAGACCCCACAAGGACCACUACAAACUUAGUGUCUCUUGCUUUGAUUACAAGUGUCUUGAGAAUAAGAAUGGGGAAGAAGAAAGCACGAUUGCAAAAGCCAAGCGACAAGAGCGACAAAUAACACACGGAUCACUCUCUCUCUCUCUCAAGUCACUAAUCACUAAUGAUCACUUGUCUCAAUUGUGGAACUUGGAGAGAUUGGAGGCUUUGAUUGUGUCUUGGAAUGGAUUGCUAGCUCUUGUAUUGAAUGUUGAAGGUUGGAAUGCUUGGGUGAAGUGAAUGGAGAUGGUUGGGGUUGCAUUUAUAGCCACCAACCACUUCCUAGCCAUUGCUCCAAUUCUGCCGACCGCGGACUGUCCGCGUCCCUGGUCCGGACGGUCCGCCCCUGUACAUCAAUGACUGAAAUCGCAACGGUCAGCAGUAACGGCUAUAUCAAUGGCUAUAAUGCAUUAAAUGCAUCGUCAGAUGUCAGAUAAAGGCAGUCGCGGACAGUCCGAUCGUGCACCCCGGACGGUCCGUGAGGACGCUAUAAUUCAUUUUACCGAACCCGUCACCUUCGGGUUUUUCGGUUCCUCACCUAUCGGACGGUCCGCGAGGACGCUAUAAUUCGUUUUACGGUGCUUGCUUUCCCUCCGGACGGUCCGUAGUGUAGACUUAGGUUUUUGCAUUGGUUCUGUUCGAGGGUCAUCUUGGUGUUGCAGACGGUCCGCCGCAAGGGCCCGGACGGUCCACGCUUAGUCUGUUUUUCCAAAAAGCUUCUCCUGUCUGGAACAAACUACGGUAUUUCGGACAGUCGAUUUAGAAUAGUUGUAGAUGAACUUAUGCACCUGUGAAAUGAUCAACUAGGGCAAACAAGUUAGUCCAAUUAUUUGUGUUGGACAAUUCAACCACCAAAAUCAUUUAGAAAAAGGUUUGAUCCUAUUUCCCUUUCAAACUCCCCCUUUUUGGUGAUUGAUGCCAACACAAAACAAAGCAAAUAUAUAAGUGCAUAAUUGAACUAGUUUGCAUAAGGUAAGUGCAAAGGUUGCUUGGAAUUAAAUUGGUUUAAUUUUCAUAAGAUAUGCAAGGAUUGCUUUCUUCAUAUUUAACAUUUUGGACCACGCUUGCACCACUUGUUUUGUUUUGGCAAACUCUUUUGGAAAUUCUUUUCAAUGUCAUUUUGCAAAUAGUCAAAGGCAAAUGAAUAAGAUUUCGAGAAGCAUUUUCAAGAUUUGAAAUUUUCUCCCUCUGUUUCAAAUGCUUUUCCUUUGACUAAACAAAACUCCCCCUCAAUAAAAUUCUCCUCUUAGUGUUCAAGAGGGUUUUAGAUAUUAAUUUUGAAAGGGGUCAUACCAAUUUGAAAUUAUAUCAAAAAUAAGAUACCAAUUGAAAAACUUCUUUCAUACAAAUUGAAAGACUACAUUUUGAAAUUGGUGGUGCGGUCCUUUUCCUUUGGGCUAAUACUUUCUCCCCCUUUGGCAUGAAUCGCCAAAAAUGGAUACUUGUGAGUGAAAUAGACGCCCUAUUACUCUCUCUCCCCCUUUGGCAAACAAUAUAUGAGUGAAGGAUUAUACUAAAGUUGGAGAGCGAUGCGGAGUGACGGUGAAGGGUUAAUAACUUGAUGGAGUGGAGUGGAAGCCUUGUCUUCGCCGAAGACUCCUUUUCCCUUUCAAUGACUUAGCAUAAAAUACACUUGAAAACACAUUAAUCAUAGCACAUGAAAGAGAUAUUAUCAAAGGUUUAUAAAUAAGAUAUGUGUGCAAAAUAUCAAUCAAAAUUCCUAGAAUGUUUAGCUCAUGUCUAAGUUUGGUAAAAGUUUUCUCAUCUAGUGGUUUGGUAAAGAUAUCGGCUAAUUGUUCUUUGGUGCUAACAUAAGCAAUCUCGAUAUCCCCCAUUUGUUGGUGAUCCCUCAAAAAGUGAUACCGAAUGGCUAUGUGCUUAGUGCGGCUAUGCUCAACGGGAUUAUCCGUCAUGCGGAUUGCACUCUCAUUGUCACAUAGGAGAGGAACUUUUGUUAAUUUGUAACCAUAGUCCCUAAGGGUUUGCCUCAUCCAAAGCAAUUGCGCGCAACAGUGGCCUGCAGCAAUAUACUCGGCUUUGGCGGUAGAAAGAGCUACUGAGUUUUGUUUCUUUGAAGCCCAAGACACCAGGGAUCUUCCCAAGAACUGACAAGUCCCUAAUGUGCUCUUUCUAUCAAUCUUACACCCUGCCCAAUCAGCAUCUGAAUAUCUAAUUAAAACAAAAGUGGAUCCCUUGGGGUACUAAAGGCCAAACUUAGGAGUAUGAACUAAAUAUCUCAAGAUUCGUUUCACGGCCCUAAGGUGAACUUCCUUAGGAUCGGCUUGGAAUCUUGCACACAUGCAUACAGAAAGCAUAAUAUCCGGUCGAGAUGCACAUAUAUAGAGUAAAGAUCCUAUCAUCGACCGAUAUACCUUUUGAUCUACGAAUUUACCUCCCGUGUCGAGGUCGAGAUGCCCAUUGGUUCCCAUGGGUGUCUUGAUGGGCUUGGCAUCCUUCAUUCCAAACUUGGUAAGAAUGUCUUGAAUGUACUUCGUUUGGCUGAUGAAGGUGCCCUCUUGGAGUUGCUUGACUUGAAAUCCUAGGAAAUACUUCAACUCCCCCAUCAUAGACAUCUCGAAUUUUUGAACCAUAAUCCUACUAAACUCUUCACAAGUGGAUUUGUAAGUAGACCCAAAUAUGAUAUCAUCAACAUAAAUUUGGCAUACAAACAAACCACUUGCAAUUGUUUUAGUAAAGAGAGUAGGAUCGGCUUUUCCGACUUUGAAGCCAUUAGCAAUAAGGAAAUAUCUUAGGCAUUCAUACCAUGCUCUUGGGACUUGCUUGAGCCCAUAAAGCGCCUUAGAGAGUUUAUAGACAUGGUUAGGGUACUCACUAUAUUCAAAGCCAAGAGGUUGCUCAACAUAGACCUCCUCCUUGAUUGGUCCAUUGAGGAAGGCACUUUUCACGUCCAUUUGAUAGAGCUUAAAGCCAUGGUAAGUAGCAUAGGCAAGUAAUAUACGAAAUGACUCAAGCCUAGCUACGGGUGCAUAGGUUUCACCGAAAUCCAAACCUUCGACUUGUGAAUAUCCCUUGGCCACAAGUCAGGCUUUGUUCCUUGUCACCACACCAUGCUCAUCUUGCUUGUUGCGAAAGACCCACUUGGUUCCUACAAUAUUUUGAUUAGGACGUGGAACAAGAUGCCAUACCUCAUUCCUCGUGAAAUUGUUGAGUUCCUCUUGCAUAGCCAACACCCAAUCCGAAUCUCUUAAUGCAUCUUCCACCCUGUAUGGCUCAAUAGAAGACACAAAAGAGUAAUGUUCACAAAAAUGAGCGACACGAGAUCGAGUGGUUACCCCCUUAUGAAUAUCACCGAGGAUGGAGUUCACGGGGUGAUCUCGUUGUAUCGCUUGGUGGACUCUUGGGUGUGCUGGUCUUGGACCCUCAUCAUCUUCCUUGUCUUGAUCAUUGGCAUCUCCCCCUUGAUCAUUGUCCUCCUCUUGAGGUGGCUCCUCUUGAUCUUCAUUUUCAUCAUCUUGAGCUUGAUCCUCAUCUUGGGUUGGUGGAGAUGCUUGAUUUGAAGAUGAUGGUUGAUCUUGUGCAUGUGGAGGCUCUUCGGAUUCCUUAGGACACACAUCCCCAAUGGACAUGUUCCUUAGCGCGACGCACGGAGCCUCUUCAUCAUCUAGCUCAUCAAGAUCAACUUGCUCUACUUGAGAGCUGUUAGUCUCAUCAAACACAAUGUCACAAGAAACUUCAACUAGUCUAGUGGACUUGUUAAAGAAUUUAUAUGCCCUUGUAUUUGAAUCAUAACCAAGUAAAAAGCCUUCUACAGCCUUAGGAGCAAAUUUAGAUUUUUCUACCUCUUUUAACAAGAAUAAAGCAUUUGCUACCAAAGACUCUAAAAUAUGAAACAUUGGGUUUUUUACUGGUGAGGAGUUCAUACGAUGUCUUCUUGAGGAUUCAGUGAAGGUAAAGACGGUUGAUGGCGUAGUAAGCGGUGUUGACUGCUUCCGCCCAAAACCGGUCCGAAGUCUUGUACUCAUCAAGCAUGGUCCUCGCCAUGUCAAGUAGAGUUCUAUUCUUCCUCUCCACUACACCAUUUUGUUGUGGUGUGUAGGGAGAAGAUAACUCAUGCUUGAUGCCCUCAUCCUCAAGAAAGCCUUCUAUUUGUGAGUUCUUGAACUCCGUCCCAUUGUCGCUUCUAAUCUUUUUGAUCCUUAAGCUGAACUCAUUUUGAGCCCGUCUCAAGAAUCCCUUCAAAGUCUCUUGGGUUUGAGAUUUUUCCUGCAAAAAGAACACCCAAGUGAAGCAAGAAUAAUCAUCCACAAUAACUAGACAGUACUUACUCCCGCCGAUGCUUAUGUAAGCAAUCGGGCCGAAUAGAUCCAUGUGGAGUAGCUCGAGCGGCCUGUCAGUCGUCAUGAUGUUCUUGUGUGGAUGAUGAACACCAACUUGCUUUCCUGCUUGACAUGCGCUACAAAUCUUGUCUUUCUCAAAAUGAACAUUUGUUAGUCCCAAAAUGUGCUCUCUCUUUAGAAGCUUAUGAAGAUUCUUCAUCCCAACGUGGGCUAGUCGGCGAUGCCAGAGCCAACCCAUGUUAGUCUUAGCAAUUAAGCAAGUGUCAAGUUCAGCUCUAUUAAAAUCAACUAAGUAUAGCUGACCCUCUAACACUCCCUUAAAUACUACUGAAUCAUCACUUCUUCUAAAGACAGUAACACCUAUAUCCGUAAAAAGAUAAUUGUAGCCCAUUUUGCAUAAUUGAGAAACAGAAAGCAAAUUGUAAUCUAAAGAAUCUACAAGAAAAACAUUGGAAAUAGAAUGGUCAGGAGAUAUAGCAAUUUUACCAAGUCCUUUGACCAAACCUUGAUUUCCAUCCCCAAAUGUGAUAGUUCGUUGGGGAUCAUAGUUUUUCUCGUAGGAGGAGAACAUCCUUUUCUCCCCAGUCAUGUGGUUUGUGCACCCGCUAUCAAUUAUCCAACUUGAGCCCCCGGAUGCAUAAACCUACAAAACAAAUUUAGGCCUUGUUCUUAGGUACCCAAACGGUUUUGGGUCCUUUGACAUUAGAAACAAGCACCUUGGAUACCCAAACACAAGUCUUUGAGCCCUUGUGUUUGGCCCCAACAUAUUUGGCAACUACUUUGCCUGAUUUGUUAGUUAAAACAUAUGAAGCAUCAAAGGUCUUAAAUGAAAUGUUAUGAUCAUUUGAUGCAAUAGGAGAUUUCUUUUUAGGCAUUUUGACAUGGGUAGAAUGCCUAGAACUAGAUGCCUCACUCUUAUACAUAAAAGCAUGAUGAGAGCCGGAGUGAGACUUCCUAGAAUGAAUUCUCCUAAUCUUGUGCUCGGGAUAACCAGCAGGGUAUAAAAUGUAACCCUUGUUAUCCUGAGCCAUGGGAGCUUUGCCCUUAACAAAGUUGGACAAUUUCAUAGGGGCAUUAAGCUUGAAAUUAUCUCCCUUUUGGAAGCCGAUGCCAUCCUUAAUCCCAGGGCAUCUCCCAUUAUAGAGCAUGCUUCUAGCAAAUUUAAAUUUUUCAUUUUCUAAGUCAUGCUCAUUUAUUUUGGCACUAAGUUGAGCUAUGUGAUCAUUUUGUUGUUUAAUUAAGGCUAGGUGAUCAUGAAUAGCAUCAACAUUAAUAUCUCUACAUCUAGUACAAUUAGUAACAUGCUCAAUGGUAGAUGUAGAGGGUUUGCAAACAUUUAAUUUAUCAAUCUUAGCAUGUAACAAAACAUUUUCAUUUCUAAGAUUGGAAAUUAACAUCAUUGCAAACAUUUAAUUCUUUAGCCUUAGCAAUUAAUUUUUCAUUCUCAAUUUUAAGGCUAGAGAGAGAUGCAUUCAAUUUGUCAAUCUUAGUAAUUAAGCUAGCAUUAUCAUUUUUAAGGUUGACAAGAGAAUCAUCACUAACAUUUAAUUUCUCAACCUUAGCAAUCAAUUUAUCAUUCUCAAAUCUAAGGUUGGAAAUAGUGUCACGGCAAGUGCUUAGCUCACUAGUUAAUUUUUCACAUUUUUCUAUCUCCUGAGCAUAAGCAUUUUUAACUUUAACAUGCUUCUUAUUUUCUUUAAUAAGGAAGUCCUCUUGUCUAUCCAAGAGUUCAUCCUUCUCAUGAAUAGCACUAAUCAAUUCAUUCAAUUUUUCUUUUUGUUGCAUGUUUAAGUUGGCAAAAAGGGUGAGCAAAUCAUCCUCAUCAUCACUAGAGCUAGCCUCAUCACUAGAUGUUGCAUAUUUAGUGGAAGCUCUAGAUUUUACCUUCUUCUUUUUGCCGUCCUUUGCCAUGAGGCACUUGUGGCCGAUGUUGGGGAAGAGGAGACCCUUGUUGACGGCGAUGUUUGUGGCGUCCUCAUCGGAGGAGGAGUCGGUGGAGCUCUCGUUGGAGUCCCACUCCCGGCAAACAUGGGCAUCGCCGCCCUUCCUCUUGUAGUAUUUCUUCUUUUCCCUCCUCUUUCCCUUCUUGUCGUUGCCCCUGUCACUAUCACUAGAUAAUGGACAUUUAGCAAUAAAAUGAUCAGGCUUACCACACUUGUAGCAAACUUUCUUGGAGCAGGGCUUGUAGUCCUUCCCCCUCCUUUGCUUGAGGAUUUGGCGAAAGCUUUUGAUGAUUAAAGCCAUCUCCUCAUUGUCGAGCUUGGAGGCGUCGAUGGGAAGCCUACUCGAUGUAGACUCUUCCUUCUUCUCCUCCGUUGCUUUGAAGGCGAUGGGUUGCACCUCGGGUGUGGAGGUGGUGCCUCGCUCGAUGAUUUGUUUGGAGCCCUUGAUCAUGAGUUCGAAGCUCACAAACUUUCCUAUCACUUCCUCGGGAGACAUUAGUUUAUAUCUUGGAUCACCACGAGUUAAUUGAACUUGUGUAGGAUUAAGAAAAACGAGUGAUCUAAGAAUAACCUUGACCAUCUCAUGGUCAUCCCACUUAGUGCUCCCGAGGUUGCGCACUUGGUUCACCAAGGUCUUGACCCGGUUGUAGAUGGCUUGUGGCUCCUCCCCUUGGUGAAGCAUGAAGCGACCGAGCUCCCCCUCGAUCGUUUCCCUCUUGGUGAUCUUGGUCACCUCGUCUCCUUCGUGCGUGGUCUUUAGUACGUCCCAAAUUUCUUUGGCACUCUUCAACCCUUGCACCUUAUUAUACUCCUCUCGACUUAGAGAGGCGAGGAGUAUAGUAGUGGCUUGGGAGUUGAAGUGCCGGAUUUGGGAUACCUCGUCCGAGUCGUAGCCUUCAUCCCCCACAGAUGGUUCCUGCGCUCCAAAUUCAACAAUGUCCCAAAUGCUAGCGUGGAGUGAGGUUAGAUGGUGCCUCAUUUUAUCACUCCACAUACAAUAAUCUUCACCGUUAAAAACCGGUUGUUUGCCUAGUGGGACAGAAAGUAAAGGAGUGUGUUUGGAAAUGCGAGGAUAGCGUAAGGGGAUCUUACUAAACUUCUUGCGCUCAUGGCGCUUAGAAGUGACGGACGGCGUGUCGGAGCCAGAGGUGGAAGGCGACGAAGAAUUGGUCUCGUAGUAGACCACUUUCUUCAUGUUCUUCUUCUUGUCGCCACUCCGAUGCGACUUGACGCGUGGAGGUGAUUCCUCCCUCUUCUUGUUGCCGGACUCCCCCGAUGGAGCUUUCCCGUGGCUUGUGGUGGGCUUCUCGCCUGUCACCAUCUCCUUCUUGGCGUGAGCUCCCAACAUCACUUCGAGCGGUUAAGCUCUAAUAAAGUAUCGGGCUCCGAUACCAAUUGAAAGUCACCUAGAGGGGCUGAAUAGGCAAAUCUGAAAUUUAUAAACUUUAAGCACAACUACAAGUCGGGGUUAGCGUUAGAAGUAAAAUCGAGUCCAAAAGAGAGGACGAAAACAAAUCAACCAAGAAGUAAAGCGAGUUACACGGUGAUUUGUUUUACCGAGGUUCGGUUCUUGCAAACCUACUCCCCGUUGAGGUGGUCACAAAGACCGGGUCUCUUUCAACCCUUUCCCUCUCUCAAACAGUCACUUAGAUCGAGUGAGCUUUCUCCUUAAACAAACGGGUCACUUAGACCCCACAAGGACCACUACAAACUUAGUGUCUCUUGCUUUGAUUACAAGUGUCUUGAGAAUAAGAAUGGGGAAAAAGAAAGCACGAUUGCAAAAGCCAAGCGACAAGAGCGACAAAUAACACACGGAUCACUCUCUCUCUCAAGUCACUAAUCACUAAUGAUCAAUUGUCUCAAUUGUGGAACAUGGAGAGAUUGGAGGCUUUGAUUGUGUCUUGGAAUGGAUUGCUAGCUCUUGUAUUGAAUGUUGAAGGUUGGAAUGCUUGGGUGAAGUGAAUGGAGAUGGUUGGGGUUUUAUUUAUAGCCACCAACCACUUCCUAGCCGUUGCUCCAAUUCUGCCGACCGCGGACUGUCCGCGCCCCUGGUCCGGACGGUCCGCCCCUAUACAUCAACGGCUGAAAUCGCAACGGUCAGCAGUAACGACUAUAAUGCAUUAAAUGUGUCGUCAGAUGUCAGAUAAAGGCAGUCGCGGACGGUCCGGUCGUGCACCCCGGACGGUCCGCGAGGACGCUAUAAUUCAUUUUACCGAACCCGUCACCUUCGGGUUUUUCGGUUCCUCACCUACCGGACGGUCCGCGCCUGAGGCCGGAUGGUCCGCGCUUGAGGCCGGACGGUCCGCGCGUGGUCUCGGACGGUGCUUGCUUUCCCUCCGGACGGUCCGUAGUGUAGACUUUGGUUUUUGCAUUGGUUUUGUCCGAGGGUCAUCUUGGUGUCGUGGACGGUCCACACUUAGUCUGUUUUUCCAAAAAGCUUCUCCUGUUCGGAAUAAUCUACGGUAUUCCGGACAGUCGAUUUAGAAUAGUUGUAGAUGAACUUAUGCACCUAUGAAAUGAUCAACUAGGGCAAACUAGUUCGUCCAAUUAUUUGUGUUGGGCAAUUCAACCACCAAAAUCAUUUAGAAAAAGGUUUGAUCCUAUUUCCCUUUCAAAUGCAUCAAACAUUGUUGGCUAAUAAGGUGUGUCAAGGUAUAUGUGUUAUUAAUUUGUGACCUAGAAAAUAUUUGGACUAUUUUUGGUGCAUAAAAUAUCAAUAUAUAUACAUGUAUAAGAAAAUAGGAAAAGGAAAAAGAGAAAAAGAAACAAGGGAAGGGAUUCUCGGUUAGCUGGGCACGGGGGGAUUUUGGCCCAGCGCGGGCGCAGGCACGUGGCGCUGCGGGCGAGCUGGCCCAGACGACCCACGAGGAGGGGAGACGGCAUGGGCGGACGCCAUGAGCGUGGGCCCACACGCCAGAGAGAGGGGGAGGGCCGACGACAUCGGGCAGUCUGAUGGGGGAGAGGGCGAACCGACCGGGGUUGGGAAAAACCAACCGCCGACGAGGUUCUGCGGCAGUUCUCUAUGUGAAGUGCCACUAGCAAUCAUGGUGUACGCAUAUGAUGAAUAAAAUGCUUCAAGGGAUGAGAUCUUAGGGGCUAAAUAAUGGGGAGGUUUAGGAGUUUAGGGUUUCUAACUUUGGGAUCAAAAUUGGGAUGUUACAGAAUUACCUAAGAUGUCAUAAGCAAGAUGAUUUAAGCGUAAACAUCUUCGAUCUUCCUCGGAAGCAUUUUUCUUAUCAUAACUAGAAGGUAUAGUACUCUUGUCUAAAAUUUGUUCUAAUUGUGGUUCUAUGGUUCUAAAAGCAUUUAUCACACUAGUAGACCAUGAAGCAUAACUAGAACAUUCGGAAAGUAAUAUUUCAAGAGUUACCUCAUUGUUCUCCUUUGGUGGUGUCUUCUUUUCUUUUGGGAUUUUCUCAAAGUCAUCACUUCGAGUUGUUAGACUCAACAUGAAGUGUCUAGCUCUGAUACCAAUUGAAAGUCGCCUAGGGGGGUGAAUAGGCGAAACCUAAAUUUUACAACUUAAACCCGAAACUUGAUCCCUUGAUUAGCUCUUUCUUGCUUGAUCUCUCUUUUGUGGUACUUGUGAGGCUUUGAUGUGUUUAGAAGUAUUGUUCUAGUAGAUAGGAGUGAACACCCAACUCUUGUGUAUGGAAUGGAUCAAUAAAUUUCAUGAAUGGGCUAGUUGGGGUGGCUUUUAUAGCCCUCAACCAUCCAUAUAGCCGUCGUGGCGCAUCUGCUAGAAACUGCACUGGCGGAUGGUCCAUGACAAGGACUCGGACGGUCCGCGACCCCCCAACGGUCAGUCCUGACAUCUCAAUGGAUACGCUUGGCAGACCAAUGGCUAGAUCAACGACGGUCUUUCCUUAGUGAUAGUAUGUGAACGGUCUGCCCUUGGCCCCAGACGGUCCGUGCCAGCUCUAAAAAUUCUUUUGCUCCACUUGUCACCUUUGGGCUAAACCAGAUCUUCACGUGAAGAUGGUUCGAGAUGUAUAGCCAGAUGGUCCAUGAUUUAGUCGAACUCUCCAUGAUUUAGUUCAUGUCCGAAGUCAUAGUGGUGUCGUGGAUGAUCCGCCAGAAGGGGCCAGACGGUCCACACUUGGCCAUUUCAUAACUUGAGUUUCUGACUUGUCGUUGAUCUUUGAACAAUUUUCUCCAAGUUGAUUUUGAUAAACUUGAGAGAGAUCCUAUGACUUAGAAAAUAUCUCAAGUGGAUUUCCAUCUAGUCUAAGUCAUGGACCAUGAACAUUUUGAUUCUUUAACUCAUAUUUCUUCUUUUGCUCAAACUGGCUCCAAAAUAAUGAGAUGUUGAUUCCGAGCUUUCCAACCUCUCUAGAAGUGUUGAAUAGGUUCCUUGUGGUAUUUAAAACUUAUCCAAAGAGUAGAACAAUUGGUAGUUCAACUAUUCCAUGUUUUACCCAUAUUUGGUUGGACUAGAGCUGAUUGCGACUUAGAGACUAAACGAUUGAACUUAUGAACCUGUGAAUCAAAGACUAGGCAAACUAGUUAGUCCGAAUGGUUUUGAUGGUCAUCAAGCACCAAAAUCAAUAUAAGAAAUGGGUUAAGGCUACUUCCCUUUCAGUUGCUCCUCGAUGUUGAUACUGAGGUCUAGUCCAUCCUAGACGUCUUCAUCAUCAUCUUAUGUAGGCAUCCCUAAUGGAUGGAUGUUGGCUGCCUGCUGUAGCAUCGGCGCCUAGGGGAGCGGAGAUAGGUUCUUCGUUAGGUCUGGCCAAACUUUGGCUUGGUAGGGUUGACUUUUUGGGUUUGGGAGGGGGACCUCUGAGUUUUCUAAACUGGUGGUGUGGACCUCGCGCUCUUGUUCAGUGGAGGUGGUUAGCUACUUUUUUGUGGUGUGGCCCUCGCCCUGUGGAUUCGUGGUGGCCUUUGGGUUAGGUGGUGGGGAAUGGUCAGCAGCGAGGGCAAGCUUACCCUUCUUGGCGACGAGGGUUGUCCUGGCAUCAUCAUCAUUUGGUGGUGAGCUAGGACGAUUGUCCUUCUUGGGAGGCAUCGUGGGAAUAGUCUUCGUCGCACAAAUGGUGGGCGCCAAAUGUUUGGUGCUGACACAUGGUCAUGUGGGCCCGAACACGCAGAGACGGAAAGGACGAGCUCAGGUGCACGAAAAGACGUUUGGUAGGAAACUGUAGUGUCUUGUUUUGUGUGUCGCAUCUAGCUUCAAGACAGGGGUAUUAUAGGGCCGUUCGGGGGUAGGUAGUCCAAAGUACAGUCCAGCCCCCUUUCACCAACCAGUUCCGAGGAAUAUUCUAUGUAACAGGGUAAUUACAGCACUGUGAUCCGUAUAGGUGGCACAUACUAAAUAAUACACACAUACAUUACACUGGUAGGUGGGCCUCGUAGACGUGUCCUUCGGUGGACCAACGACGAGCUUGUCACCUCGUAGCCUUCGCUGCCACCUCCGGAGUCUUCAUGGCUCAGCGCCCUUCGCUCUCUCCCGAUGCACGCAUGGCGUGGGUUAGUAGAGGCUUUGUGGCGAAGGCCUUGGUCGAUGUUGAUUGUAGCAGGGCCUCCGUGUGACUUCAUCCUCCGCUAAGGUCAGGCGAAGAGUCAUAGGCCUCCUCGAUCCAAGAUCGUGGUCCUGCAUAUAGGUUAGUAAAGGUGACGCAAGUCAAAGGCCCCUUCGCUCUAUGAUCGGGGUCAUGUCCGGCCUAUGCCCAACAAUGAUGACGACGGCUCCUCCGCCUCCUGCCAUUGUCACGACAUCCACACCACCACCACCACCACCCUCCUCCACCUCUGUCUCUGACGUCGCCGCCCACCCAUCGCUACCAGCUCUCGCCUUCGAUGUUACCAACUCCAUGCUCUUCUUCCAUUACGCAGCUCAAACGCCCAAGCGGGACCUAAACCAGCAGCUGGAGAUCAAGGUCAUAGCUUAGAAGCCGCGCCGCCUCAUCAUAGCCAAAGGAAGCGAUGAUGGCGACGCGAAGCUCAAGGCCACCCCAACCACUGAAGGGUCCAGAGGGGACAAGGGACCCAGAUUCGCCGCCUCCGACGUGAUGGAGGCCGUGAUCGAGGAGUGAGGAUAAGACAGGGCGUGGCGGGAGAGAGGCCGCAAGGUCGUGAGGAGCAGAGGGAGGUGGGCAGCGGACAUGAGACAACAUGGGAGAAGAAAGGGACAGAGACGUGAAACACCCAUAGCCGGGUUGAAGAAAUUUGUUGGGUCUCCGAUAAGACGUGUUGCAUGUUGAGAGGCGUCAGCUCUCACGGAGAGGGCCUGAAUCUGAGUCUCUUUUAAUAAACGAGCAUUAAGUUUUACUUAGAUUUAUAUAAAAUAUUAACAAGAUACAUAUUUUUAAAUAAUUUUAAUUUAACAAUAUAUUAAAAAAUUAUCUAUUAAUACUGUAAUUAUACACCAUAAGCAUUAAUAUUAUUUACAUGUAUUUAGUCAAAAGUUAAAAGCUUGAUUUUUUGAAAAGCAAGAAUGAUAUAUUUGUGGGAUUGUGAGAGUACAUUUGCGAACACCGACCACUACCUGAAUGUUGGCUCACUGCAAUAUUUCAUAUUUGGUGGGCUUGAUGUAGUGCGCAUUUGUUGUUGCGUAAUGCAUAGCGCAAGUAAACAUGCAUCAAGCUGGGUUCAUCCCUAGUGCAUAGCGCGUUGUAUUGGAAAAGUCAUAUCUUGCAACUACAGAAUAGAGACAGUGGACCAGAGCUAGACCAGUGACAUUUAUAGUUUUAUUUGUAUUUAAUAAACUGAUAUAUAACUAUUUUUGCUUUUAAGAAGAGAGAAAGGAACUAAGUUUUAGGGAGAUAAAUGAUAGAAAGUAAUUUCUGAUACAAUUGCAAUACCUCAGCGUACAUGUAUAUAGGCAUUGUGGACAUGCCCACUUGCCAUAUUACAAUCCCUUUCCAUAUUACAAUCCAACACUUCCCCGCAGUCUAAACUGGGAGGACCGCGAACAUUAAGACUGGACCUAAACUCCGUGAAUACGUAUGUCGGCAAACCUUUCGUGAAGAUGUCGGCGUACUGAGACGUAGUGGGAACGUGCAGGACGCGGACUUCACCUAGGGCGACUCGCUCUCUGACGAAGUGGAGGUCGAUCUCAAUAUGCUUGGUUCGCUGAUGUUGAACCGGGUUGGUGGAGAGAUAAACGGCGCUGACAUUAUCACAAUAAACCACUGUAGCACGACGAAGUGGACAACGAAGCUCAAGGAGGAGCUGACGCAGCCAGCUAGCUUCGGCGACUCCAUUCGCGACUGCUCGAUAUUCCGCCUCUGCACUGGACCGGGACACUGUGGGCUGUCUCUUGGAGGACCAGGAGAUGAGAUUGUCCCCAAGGAACACCGCAUAACCUGAGGUGGAUUUGCGAGUGUCGGGACAUCCCGCCCAAUCUGCAUCGGUGUAGACAGUGAGAUCAGCUGGAGAGGUCCGGUGAAGGUGCAACCCGAGAUCCAAAGUACCCUGAAGAUACCGAAGAAUGCGCUUGAGUGCACUUAAAUGAGGUUCUCGGGGAUCAUGCAUGUACAAGCAGACUUGCUGAACUGCAUAGGCUAUAUCUGGCCUGGUGAAGGUGAGGUAUUGAAGAGCCCCAGCAAGACUGCGGUACUGGCUGGGAUCGGAGACAGAAGCACCAUCAGCAGGGAGUUUCGAGUGAGUAUCCACAGGAGUGCUGCUUGCCUUGCAGUUAUUCAUAUCAGCUCGCUCCAGUAUCUCCAGCAUAUACUGGCGCUGAGAGAGAAAAAGACUAUCACCGCGGCGCUGGACACUGACACCCAGAAAGUGGUGGAGAGGCCCCAUGUCUGUCAUAGAAAAUUCCCGGCGGAGAGCUGCGAUAAUCCGGUGAAGAAAACUCGGAGAUGAAGCAGUAAGAACAAUAUCAUCAACAUAUAGCAGGAGAAAAGCCACAUCAGCACCUCUGUAGUAGAUGAACAGCGACGUGUCGGACUUGGCCUCAACAAACCCAAGAGAGGUGAUGUGAGAGGCAAAGCGAUUGUGCCAGGCGCGAGGAGCUUGCUUCAAACCAUAGAGUGACUUGUUCAGACGGCAGACAUGAUUUGGCUUGGCGGAGUCAACAAACCCAGUAGGCUGGACGCAGUAGACUGUCUCAUUCAGGUUGCCAUGGAGAAAGGCAUUCUUCACAUCCAGUUGGUGAAUUGGCCAUGAGCGAGACAGAGCCAGGGUGAGAACAACCCGGAUGGUGUCUGGUUUCACAACUGGACUGAAAGUUUCGUCGUAGUCAAUGCCCGGGCGUUGUGUAAACCCGCGAAGGACCCAGCGAGCUUUGUAGCGGUCAAGAGAGCCAUCAGACUUGAACUUGUGACGAAAAACACACUUGCCGGUAACUAGGUUGAUGCCAGGAGGGCGAGGCACCAAGGUCCAGGUGUCAUUGGCCUGCAGAGCGUCGAACUCGGCCUGCAUAGCCUGACGCCAGGCCGGGUCCGAGAGAGCUGUGCGAACGGAUGACGGUAGCGGAGAGGUGGCCGUGACCAUCGUGCUGAGGUUGAGACGGUCCACGGGUUGUCGGAGGCCGUCCUUGCCACGAGUGCGCAUGCUGUGCACAUUGGUGACGGGGACGAUCAUCGUUGGAGCAGUGGCGACGGUGCGGCCGGUGGUCCGUCCGGUGUCACUAGCAACAACCUGGGACGCGGAGUCCGCAGGGGCAGCGACACCAGCCGGAUUGGUGGAGGGACCGCCCUGGUCGGGCUGACCGCCGUGGCUGAGCUGGCCGAGACCAGCGGUGCCCAGGUCACUGCAGCCGCCCAGACCACGGCCGGGUUGGCUGCCAUGGCCGCGUCCACCUUGGCUGCUGGACGAGGCAGUAGAGUGAGGGCCGCCGGCUGUCCCAGGUGCGGCAUCCAUGCCUCCAGGGAGAUGCGUACCUGCAUUCACAACUCUUGGCCAAAUAGGCGAAGAGGAAUCAUCAGUAUCGUCCAAGAACGCUAGUGUGUUGGAAUUCUGGGGGGAGGUGGACAUCUCGGUGAAGGGAAACAGCGUCUCGUCGAACACAACAUGACGAGAGACGAUGAUCCGGUUAGAGUGGAGGUCGAGACAUCGAUAUCCCUUAUGGUCCGAGGAAUACCCGAGGAAAACACACAGGGAUGAGCGAGGUGAUAGCUUGUGUGGAGCUACAGAGGAUUGGUUGGGAUAGCAGGCGCAACCAAAGACACGAAGGUGAGUGUAAGAUGGCUGAGUGCCGUGGAGAGCGAAAAAGGGGGUAUGGCCGUCUAGGGUUUUAGUGGGAUGACGAUUGAGGAGGUAGGUGGCGGUGUGGAGAGAGUCAGCCCAAUAAACCGGAGGAAGACUAGCCUGAAACAGAAGGGACCGUACAAUGUUGUUGAUUGUGCGAAGAAUGCGUUCUGCACGUCCGUUCUGUUGGGAGGUGUAUGGGCACGACAUCCGAAGAAUGACCCCAUGAGUGAGGAAGAACGUGCGGGCCGAGGAGUGAUCGAACUCGCGGCCAUUGUCGCACUGAACUGCCUUGAUGGAAGAGUCAAACUGCGUGCGGACAUGAGAGAAAAAGUUAGAAAUGACACUGAAAGUUUCGGACUUAAGACGUAAAGGAAAAGUCCAGGUGUAGUGAGUGCAGUCAUCGAGAAUGACUAAAUAAUAUUUAUAGCCAGACACACUAACCACUGGAGAUGUCCAAAGAUCACAAUGUAUUAGGUCGAAAGGAUUAACAGCACGAGAGUUGGAGACACUAAAUGGUAGGCGCACAUGGCGACCUAGCUAACAAGCAUGACAAAUGUGAUCAUCAAUGUGUUUAUUACAUGAAAUGGCAUUGGAACUAAUAAGUUUAGAUAAAGCCGCAUGUCCGAGGUGACCGAGACGACGAUGCCAAAGUGAAGAAGACGUCGUGGUGGUGGCGAGGGCAGUGGUGCUGUUGGAUGGUAUGGGAAAGAACGGGUAGAGGUCACCCGUGCUAUUGCACCUGGCGAUCACGCUCCGUGUCUGAAGGUCCUUCACAGAAAGACCAAAUGGGUCAAAUUCAAUGGAACAAUUAUUAUCAGUAGUGAAACGACGUACAGAGAUUAAAUUCUUAAUAAUGCUAGGUGACACUAGAACAUUAGAGAGAACAAGAGGACGUCGUUCUGUAGGGAAAGAAUGUGACCCAAUAGAUGUAACGGGAAGCGAAGCUCCGUUACCCACAAUGAUAGAUGAAGGACUGGAUGACGAUGGAGGGUGAAGGCUAGAAAGGAUACCAGCGUUGUUGACCAUAUGAGCACCGGCGCCGGAGUCAGCAUACCAUUCGCCCGACGGAGGAGGUGUCAACGUCAUGGCGUUGAAGUUGCUGACAAGGGCGGACGGAUCCCAGGACGGGCCCUGCAUUGGCGUCCAGGGCUGCUGCUGCAGCUGCUGUGGUGGUGGUGGUCCUCCAUAGCUGAAACCAGGAGGAGGCCCAAGAGAGUACGGCUACUGCACGUACUGCUGCUGGGCGGCGAAGGCAGCCGGCGGGGGACGGAACGACGUCCCAGAGGCGUUCGGUGGGCACGGCCAGAACUGAACGUGGCCUGCCCACGGAUUGUAGUACUGCGCCUGGGGUUGCGGGACCGAGUGCUGCUGAUUGCGUCCGCGACCGCCGCGGCGACGGUUGGUUCGCUGGUGGCCGUGGCCGGCCUGGCCGCCCUGGCCGUAGCUGCUCUGGCCGGGCUGCCGUCCUUGGCCGUGUCCGCCCUGGCCAUCUUGCCCGUGGCGUCCGGUUGGGGGACGAGGGGCAGCGACGAGGGCAGUCGACGUGGAGGGGGCCGGAGGAUCAGAGGCCCCGGCGGCCUCGCUGGCGGCGAUGUCGUCGAUGUCGAUUUCCUCGAGCAGGAGAAGCGUGCGAGCCUCCUCGAAGGUGGGGAAGGGCUGCCGCAUCUUGAGGUUGGAGACCAUGGGCCUGAACUUGCCAUUGAGGCCGCGGAGGAGGGUAAGGACCAGUGUAUGAUCGCCGAUCGGAUCGCCGUAGUCGCCGAGGGUCGCCGCCAUCGUCUCAAGACGACGGCAGUAGUCGGUGACAGAAGAUGAGCCCUGUUUCGCCGUGCGAAAUUCCGCCGAGAGCAGCAGGGCGCGUGAUUCGUGCUGGCCGAGAAACUCGUUCUCGAGGUAUGUCCAGGCGCCGCGAGCAUUGGGCUUGCGGUUCAUCGUCGACUGCUGAAGAUCGGCAUGGAUCGUGCCGUAGAUCCAAGUGAGCACGAUGCAGUUCAUCUGCACCCACGCUGGACGAUCGGUGUUGACGACGUCGGAGAGGACAUGAUCCGUGAGGGCAUAUUUGCCCAAGACGGUCAGGAACAGAGCGUGCCACCGGUUGUAGUUGUCCGCGGCGCGAUCCAAAACCAGGGGCACGAGGACCUUGAUGUUGAGGACGGCGAUGGCGGCGGCGUGGACGGUGGCGUACCUGGCUUCGUACGCGUCGAGCGCAGCCGCGCGUUCGCGCUCCUCGCGUGCCGCGCGCUCGGCAUCGGAUUCGGCCAUGGCGGAUGGACGAGCGCCUGCAGCUGUGGCGGCGGCGCGGGAACGGCGGCCCGCGACCUGGAUCGCGCGGCGCGUGGGAGGAUGCGGCCGCGGAAGCUGCGGCCCGCGAGAGGAGGCGGCGUGGAAGAGAAAGGGGAGGCGUCGCGCAGAUGCGCGCGGUCGCGGGGAAGGAAGGAGGCCAGCCGAGGGCGAGCACCUGGCGGCGGCGGCGCAGCGCUCCGAGGGGGAGGCGCGCGGCGUGAUUAGCGGAAGCGAGAGGAACAGGAACCUUCUCGUGAUACCAUGAUAGAAAGUAAUUUCUGAUACAAUUGCAAUACCUCAGCGUACAUGUAUAUAGGCAUUGUGGACAUGCCCACUUGCCAUAUUACAAUCCCUUUCCAUAUUACAAUCCAACAAUAAAACUCUCUCGUGUCACGAUUACGAAGUAUGUAUGAGUCAGGGAAUUAAAUGUCUAUAAAACUAUAGAAUAAAGUGUUAUAGUAAAGAUAACUAUUUCAUCCGUAGUUCAUUUCAUUCUACAUAAUUUGGCAAUUUCAAAAUAACAAUAUAAAACAUUUAGUUGAGACUGAUUUGACUAGCUUUUGGGUUGCAUUGAUGACUCAAUGUCAUCUUUUAAUCUUAUUGUGAUUGCCAACUAGGCCGAAUAUAUGGAAAUUUCAUGUUUGAUACUGAUACACCACACGACUCUAUAUACUACUUUGUCCUAAAAUAGUAUUCGUUUUAGAUCUUGAUUUUUAUAUCUAUAUUCAUGUAAAUGAUGAUAUAUAUAUAUAUAUAUAUAUAUAUAUAUAUAUAUAUAUAUAUAUAUAUAUAUAUAUAUAUAUAACACAUAUAUUAUAUGAAUUCAUUAAUUAUCCAAAACAAAUUUUAACUACGUCUUAUAAAAUGGAACGGUGGGAGUACAUCACAUAGACUCACGCUGCUAGGAUCAACAUGAGGCACAAGAGACAACUAUCCUUUUUUUGCAAUUUAACUGAAAGCUAAGAAGUUGGUCGUGUUUAUUGGGCUUGCAUCUUAUCUGCACCAUCUGUUUCAAUCAUAAUCGUUUUCUUGUUCUUAUACAUAACUUAUACUCCCUCCGUUCUAGUUAAAAAGUGAAUUAUUGGACGUCAUAUAUUUAGAAAUGGAGGUAGUACCUGUUUUGUCUUCUCUUAUCUCUCUCCUCUAUCUUGGUAUAUAAAGCUUAUCUAUGACCUUUUAGGGUUCUUUGAAAUACAGAAAUUUCACAGUAAUGAUGUAUAGUAAUUUUAGUUCAAAAACACAUAGAAAUCGGGAAAUUUUCAUUUGUUCCAAAAGAUGUCUUAUUUAUAAUUGCUCUUAGCGGCAGGGAUUAUUUAUAGCCUCGUGCAGUCGGUGGUCUUGGGAAAUGAAAUCCUAUCCUUAUCUACCAAUGGGACCAGUAGUUAAAAUAGUUAAGUGUCUAAGGGCAGUUCUAAUAGCUAGCAUCGUAUUAUGUAAUGCCUCGUACACCAUGCACUUUAUUUAUAUAUUCUCGCUCCGAUUAAGAUAGUGAAAUUAUAUUUGUCUCAUACUCCACGUGAUCUUAGCCUUUCACUUCCCAUGAGGUCAAAGGUUUUGAGCCCCUCUAUUUUUAUUCUAAGCUAGGUGAAUCGUUUAUAAGAAAAUGAUGAUUACUGUAUACCUUUGGUUCACAUAUUUGUAAUGUAAUAGAUAACUGAUAAAAUUAAAUUAUAUUUGUUUGAGUCCAACCAUAAUCAGAUACCACGCAAUAAAAAUUGAUAUCGGCCUAUUCAAACUUUACCGUUAUUAUUCGAGUGUGAAUCAUUAUCGUUGUCAUUUAUGUUACAUUUGAUGAACCAAAUAACACUAAAAUGAUUUUUUAAAAAAAAUAUCGGUUUGUUUUGUUUAUCUAUAAAAUAAGUUUUUGAUGAAAUUAAAACACGGCGAUAACUUUUUAAAUCACUGGAGAAGCGCCUAGCCAUAAUUUGUAGAGAUGAUUUUUUAUGACAUCCAGUGCAAAUCCAAAAAUCGAUUUCUAAAUAUGAACCAUGAUCAUUGGAUCCUCUCCUAGCCGUAUUUAUUUCUACACAUGAUUGGACUAUUUUUCAAGGCAAUUGUUUUUUUUAUGCCAUUAGGUUGAAAUGGGCUCUUUUAAAACGUGGGAAUCUCGUGUAGAAAUAUCCUCAUUUUUCUUAGAACAAGCGCAGAAACAUGAAAAAAAAAUUGCCUCGUGUUCCAGAUGGAUCGAUCUAUAUAUAUAGUAUCUCUAAAUUAGCGCUAAAUAUGGUUUUUAGCAGUGAUAGUAGUACGUCCUGUAACUAUAAUACUAUCACUGCACCUGUUAUUGGCCGCCAUGGAACAUGAGUAACCUGCCACGUACGAAACCCAGCGGAUUCUCUUCUCGACGGGACUGUAACUUCUGCUGCCACGUGCAGCGGGCCCACCUGUCUGUGUCAGAUGUUGAAAUUGAUUCCCAAUCCUAUCUACUAACUCCGAACUACCGUUGAGCUAGCUAAAAAACAACUCAUUAUCAGUACAUAUGACACGAAGGAUCACAUGAUAACCCAACAAACUACAGUAUUAUAUUUGGCAACCCUAGCUAAGCUCGUCUAUAAAUAGAGGCAUCUGCUCCACCAAGUCUACUCACCAGCUCAAAGCUGCUUUAGCUAGCUAGCAAGAGAGAGAGAGAGAGAGAAAAAAUAUGGCUCCACUCGUCGCUACUGCCACGAUGAACCACGCUGUGGCCCAUCUGCUAGGACCCAAUCAUGAGAGUUUCUCACGGCACCAUCUUUCUUCCUCGCUGCAGCAAAACAGUAAGCGAAGGUGUAAUCUUAGCUUCAGGCCACGAGCUGCUGAGAGUCAGAAUGGAAGCCAAACGCUGAGCCCCUCGGAAGUCCCUAAAAGAGACUGGUUCCCCUCUGACUUCAUCUUUGGUGCCGCCACUUCAGCGUACCAAGUAUGGUGUUUCGAAUGUUUACGUCGCCGUCUUUUGAUAUUUGAAAGAGAUGAUGAUGUUGGACAAAAUUUGCUAUGCAUGUACGUAUCUGUGUAGAUUGAAGGUGGAUGGAACGAGGAUGGAAAGAAGCCAAGCACAUGGGAUCACUUCUGCCACACUUUCCCAGGUAACUCCUCUCCAGCAGCGCCCCCGGCCCCCUUUUUUUAUUGGGUUUAUGAUAAGCAAUGAGAUGCACUUACCACUCAAAAACCAUCAUAUGUGAUUCAUGUGCUCCUUUUUCAAUAGAUUGGAUAGCGGAUCACAGCAAUGGGGAUGUUGCAGCAGAUUCGUACCACAUGUACAAGGUAAGCACUGUGAUACCACCAUCAAUAACUAGCUAUAUAUAUCCCCAAACGAAUUGGGAUCGCGGAUGUAAAUGCGUGCAGUAUAUGUCAUCAUUGAUAAUAUUCAAAUAAAUAUUUAUGCGGACAUGAACUGUUUCCUAGCUUGCGCAGGAAAUGUUUUUUUAAUCCUGCUUAUGGUAUGCUAAAUUUUGGGAUCUCCGUUGGGAAAAAAAAUGGAAGUGAUUCUUUUAUUUUUACUUGGAAUAAGUUGAAAUUUUACGUAAAAUGCUGACAAUUUUUUUUUGCAGCUAGCUAACUCUGUUAAACAUGUAAAUAUAAAUAUGACUAUGAAAUAAUAUAUUUUGUACCUUGCAGAUUUUUUUUGGCAAAAAAUGUUUAUGUACAUGUACUUCUAACUAAGUAUGUCUGCUAAUAUAUAUUAUCGUCAUUAUGACUGGUAGGAGGAUGUCAGAUUACUGAAGGAAAUAGGGAUGGACUCCUAUAGGUUCUCCAUCUCUUGGUCCAGAAUACUGCCGAGUAAGUACAGAUUAAAAUAACCAAAUAUCUUUUCUGGGGUCAAAUUGUUGUGCCAUCAAGUUGUCAUAUAAUUAAACUAACAAAAGAUAUAAAAAUUCUAAAAAAAUUGGUAGUUGUACUACAUUAUAUACUCUAAUAAUAUAUCAAACUAUAAAUUCUAAAUCUUUAUAUAUCAAAAUAAUAUAAGAUAUAGAAAUAUUCUACCACGAAGAAUUAAAAAUAAUAAUAGAAUUUUAUAUCUCUUAACAUAGAAUGAACUAGAAUUAAAACUAGAUAUACUGGUAGAGUAUAUAAUGAAGUACAACUAAAAAUUUAAAUCUUCAUGACUUUUGGUAGUCUGGUUGCACGACAGUUUGACUCUUUUUUGUACUAUGCAUACAUCCAAUCAGAGUUGUUGGAUUGUUAUGAUGCUAAUUUCAGUGUAUGCUUACGACUUUCAGAUGGCACACUCGAAGGAGGUAUUAAUCCAUAUGGCAUCAAGUACUACAAAAAUCUCAUCAACUUGUUGGUAGAGAACGGUAUAAACCCAAUUUUCAACCUAAUUUGCUUAAGAUCAUAAUCCAAUAUGAAAAAGUUUUCAUAAAUCAUUUUUUGCUCUUUGCAACUCAGGCAUAGAGCCAUUUGUGACAAUUUUCCACUGGGACACGCCUCAAGCACUGGUAGACAAGUAUGGUGGCUUUUUAGAUGAGAGGAUUGUGUAAGUAUUAUAUACACUUGAAAUAAUAUGCUCCCAUCUAUCAUUAACUUGCUUUCACUCCUUCCUUAAACAAAAUAAUACCGACGAGAAGAUGAUGAUUCUAAAGUUUUGUCAAAAAUUAUGGUUAUAAUAAACUAUGGACUAAAAUAUUUUUAUAUACAUUUUGGACAAAAUAAAUGUUUAUGGUUUAACUUCAUGUUGUUUCACAACUAAGUAUUAGAGAAACAUGCAUUAAUUGUCAUUCAUUCGGCUUUGUAUUUUUUCAGAAAAGAUUACACAGACUUCGCUAAGGUGUGCUUUGAGAACUUCGGUGAUAAAGUAAACAAUUGGUUGACCUUUAAUGAGCCCCAAACGUUUUCUUCUUUUUCAUACGGAACCGGGCUAUGCGCCCCAGGGCGGUGCACCCCAGGACAAAAAUGUGCUAACCCAAUUGGAAACUCGCUCACUGAGCCAUACACUGUUGGCCAUAACCUUCUCCGAGCCCACGCUGAGGCUGUUGAUCUUUACAACAAGUAUUACAAGGUAGCUAUAUUGUGAUAUUAUUAUACACACACUCCAAUAUACUGAUAAAUAAAUUGCAGGGUGAGAAUGGACGCAUAGGGCUUGCAUUUGACGUAAUGGGUCGUGUCCCAUACGAAAAGUCGGCGUUUACGGAUCAACAGGCCGAACAAAGGUCCUGGGACAUUAACCUAGGAUGGUUCUUGGAGCCGGUUGUUCGUGGUGACUAUCCCUUCUCCAUGAGAUCAUUGGCAAGGGAACGACUACCCUUCUUCACUGACAAAGAGCAAGAGAAGCUAGUGGGUUCC
rnacentral:lncRNA from 1 species